UUUGGUGAUAUUUUUCUUCAUAGUGUAGAAUAAUUUUAGUGCUUAUUCCGCAAAAAAUAUGGCCUCAACUGACCCCAUAGCUUGUAUGUUGCGCCACCACUGUUUCCUAUAUCUUAUUACAUCCGUUGUUUUUAGAUCUUGAUGCAUAACUUUGACAAUUUUUAAUAGAUAUGUGUCUGUAUAAAAAUUAUAAAUGCUAUGAUAAUUUGAUUAAUUAUGAUGAAUAAAAUGUUAUUGCUCUGACUUGAUCCCUCUAGAAUUUUCCAAAAUUUCACAUUACAGUUGUAGUAGUGCAUGCUACCUCUUGAGCAUUGCGUUAGUUUUCCCUUGAAGAGGAAAGGGUGAUGCAGUAAAGCAGCGUCAGUAUUUCCCUCAGUUUUUGAGAAGCAAGGUAUCAAUCCAGUAGGAGGCCACGCACGAGUCCCUCGCACCUACACAAACAAAUAAAAUCCUCGCAACCAACGCAAUAAAGGGGUUGUCAAUCCCUUCACGGUCACUUACGAAAGUGAGAUCUGAUAGAUUUGAUAAGAUAAUAUUUUUGGUAUUUUUAUGAUAAAGAUGCAACGUAAAGAAAGCAAAAUAAAAACAGCGCUAGAAAUAGCUUGUUGACGGGAGAUUAAAUAUGAUGGAAAAUAGACCGGGGGGCCGUAGGUUUCACUAGUGGCUUCUCUCGAGAGCAUAAGUAUUUCGGUGGGUAGACAAAUUACUGUUGAGCAAUUGACAGAAUUGAGCAUAGUUAUGAGAAUAUCAAGGUAUGAUCAUGUAUAUAGGCAUCACGUCCGAGGCAAGUAGCCCGACUCCUGCCUGCAUCUACUACUAUUACUCCACACAUCGACCGCUAUCCAGCAUGCAUCUAGAGUAUUAAGUUCAAAAGAACAGAGUAACGCUUUAAGUAAGAUGACAUGAUGUAGAGGGAUAAACUCAUGCAGUAUGAUAUAAACCCCAUCUUGUUAUGCUCGAUGGCAACAAUACAAUACGUGCCUUGCUGCCCCUACUGUCACUGGGAAAGGACACCGCAAGAUUGAACCCAAAGCUAAGCACUUCUCCCAUCGCAAGAAAGAUCAAUCUAGUAGGCCAAACCAAACUGAUAAUUUGAAGAGACUUGCAAAGAUAACCAAUCAUACAUAAAAGAAUUCAGACAAGAUUCAAAUAUUGUUCAUAGAUAAACUUGAUCAUAAACCCACAAUUCAUCGGUCUCAACAAACACACCGCAAAAGAAGAUUACAUCGAAUAGAUCUCCACAAGAGAGGGGGAGAACAUUGUAUUGAGAUCCAAAAAGAGAGAAGAAGCCAUCUAGCUAAUAACUAUGGACCCGAAGGUCUGAGGUAAACUACUCACACAUCAUCGGAGAGGCUAUGGUGUUGAUGUAGAAGCCCUCCAUGAUCGAUGCCCCCUCCGGCGGAGCUCCGGAAAAGGCCCCAAGAUGGGAUCUCAUGGGUACAGAAGGUUGCGGCGAUGGAAUUAGGUUUUUGGCUCCGUAUCUGGUAGUUUUGGGGGUACGUAGGUAUAUAUAGGAGGAAGAAGUACGUCGGUGGAGCAACGUGGGCCCCACGAGGGCGCGCCCCCUACCUCAUGCCUUCCUGGUAGAUUUCUUGACGUAGGGUCCAAGUCCUCUAGAUCACGUUCGUUCCCAAAAUCACGUUUCCGAAGGUUUCAUUCCGUUUGGACUCCGUUUGAUAUUCUUUUUCUGUGAAACUCUGAACUAGGCAAAAAACAGCAAUUCUGGGGUGGGCCUCCGGUUAAUAGGUUAGUCCCAAAAAUAAUAUAAAAGUGUAUAAUAAAGCCCAUUAAUGUCUAAAACAGAAUAUAAUAACGUUGGAGACGUAUCAAGCAUCUCCAAGCUUAAUUCCUGCUCGUCCUCGAGUAGGUAAAUGAUAAAAACAGAAUUUUUAAUGUGGAAUGCUACUUGGCAUAAUUUGAAUGUAAUUCUCUUAAUUGUGGUAUGAAUAUUUAGACCCGAAAGAUUCAAGACAAAAGUUUAAUAUUGACAUAAAAAUAAUAAUACUUCAAGCAUACUAACUAAGCAAUUAUGUCUUCUCAAAAUAACAUGGCCAAAGAAAGUUAUCCCUACAAAAUCAUAUAGUCUAGCUAUGCUCUAUCUUCACCACACAAAGUAUUUAAAUUAUGCACAACCCCGAUGACAAGCCAAGCAAUUGUUUCAUACUUUUGAUGUUCUCAAACUUUUUCAAUCUUCACGCAAUACAUGAGCAUGAGCCAUGGACAUAGCACUAUAUGUGGAAUAGAAUGGUGGUUGUGGAGAAGACAAAAAAGGAGAAGAUAGUCUCACAUCAACUAGGCGUAUCAACGGGCUAUGGAGAUGCCCAUUAAUAGAUAUCAAUGUGAGUGAGUAGGAAUUGCCAUGCAACAGAUGCACUAGAGCUAUAAGUAUAUGAAAGCUCAACAAAAGGAACUAAGUGGGUGUGCAUCCAACUCACUUGCUCAUGAAGACCUAGGGCAUUUUGAGGAAGCCCAUCAUUGGAAUAUACAAGCCAAGUUCUAUAAUGAAAAUUUCCCACUAGUACAUGAAAGUGAUAUCAUAGGAGACUCUCUAUCAUGAAGAUCAUGGUGCUACUUUGAAGAACAAGUGUGGUAAAACGAUAGUAACAUUGUCCCUUCUCUCUUUUUCUCUCUUUUUUAUUUGGGUCUUUUAUCCUUUUUUUAUGGCCUCUUUUUUUUUAGUCCGAAGACUCAUCACGACUUGUGGGGGAAUCAUAGUCUCCAUCAUCCUUUCCUCACUUGGGACAAUGCUCUAAAAAAAUGAUGAUCAUCACACUUUUAUUUACUUACAACUCAACAAUUACAACUCAAUACUUAGAACAAAAUAUGACUCUAUGUGAAUGCCUCCGACGGUAUAUCGUGAUAUGCAAUGAAUCAAGAGUGACAUGUAUGAAAGAAUUAUGAACGGUGGCUUUGCCACAAAUACAAUGUCAACUACAUGGUCAUGGAAAGCAAUAUGACAAUGAUGGAGUGUGUCAUAAUAAACUGAACGGUGGUAAGUUGCAUGGCAAUAUAUCUCGGAAUGGCUAUGGAAAUGCCACGGUAGGUAGGUAUGGUGGCUGUUUUGAGGAAGGUAUAUGGUGGGUGUAUGAUACCGGCGAAAAGUGCGCGGUAUUAGAGAGGCUAGCAAUGGUGGAAGGAAGAAAGUGCGUAUAAUCCAUGGACUCAACAUUAGCCAUAAAGAACUCAUAUACUUAUUGCAAAAAUCUACAAGUUAUCGAAGCAAAGUAUUACCCGCAUCAUUCUAGGGGGAUAGAUUGGUAGGAAAAGACAAUCACUCGUCCCCGACCGCCACUCAUAAGGAAGACAAUCAAUAAAUAAAUCAUGCUCCGACUUCAUCACAUAACGGUUCACCAUACGUGCAUGCUAAGGGAAUCACAAACUUUAACACAAGUAUUUCACAAAUUCAAAACUACUCAACUAGCAUGACUCUAAUAUCACCAUCUCCAUAUCUCAAAACAAUUAUCAAGUAUCAAACUUCUCAUAGUAUUCAACACACUCAUAAGAUUUUUUUACUAAUCUUGAGUGCCUAUCAUAAUUAAAGCAAAUUACCACGCUGUUUUGUAGGACUAUCAAAAUAAUCUAAGUGAAUCAUGAGAGAACAAUAGUUUCUAUAAAACAAAACCACCACCGUGCUCUAAAAGAUAUACGUGAAGCACUAGAGCAAAAACUAUAUAGCUCAAAGGAUAUAAGUGAAGCACAUAGAGUAUUCUAACAAUUUCUGAAUCAUGUGUGUCUCUCUCAAAAGGUGUGUACUGCAAGGAUUAUUGUGGCAAACUAACAAAUAAAGACUUCAAAUAAUACAAGACGCUCCAAGCAAAACACAUAUCAUGUGGUGAAUAAAAAUAUAGCUCCAAGUAAAGUUACCGAUGGAAGUAGACGAAAGAGGGGAUGCCUUCCGGGGCAUCCCCAAGCUUUGGGUUUUAGGUGUCCUUAGAUUAUCUUGGUGUGCCAUGGGCAUCCCCAAGCAUAGGCUCUUGCCACUCCUUGUUUCAUAAUCCAUCAAAUCUUUCACCCAAAACUUGAAAACUUCACAACACAAAACUCAGCAGAAAAUCUCGUGAGCUCCGUUAGCAAAAAACAAAACACCACUUCAAGGUACUGUAAUGAACUCAUUCUUUAUUUAUGUUGGUGUUAAACCUACUGUAUUCCAACUUCUGUAUGGUUUAUAAACUAUUUUACUAGCCAUAGAUUCAUCAAAAUAAGCAAACAACACACGAAAAACAGAAUCUGUCAAAAACAGAACAGUCUGUAGUAAUCUGUAACUAACGCAAUUUUCUGGGACUCCAAAAAUUGACCCAAAAUAGGAAGACCUAGACAAUUUUUUUAUUGAUCAGCAGCAAUUGGAAUUAAUAUUUUAUCACGUCCUGGUGAUUUUUAACAAUUAUUUUCGUGAACAGAAAGUUUCUGGAAUUUUCAGCAAGAUCAAAUAACUAUCAUCCAAGAAGAUCCUAUAGGUUAAACUUGGCACAAACACUAAUUAAAACAUAAAAACACAUGUAACCAGAGGCUAGAUCAAAUAUUUAUUCCUAAACAAAAGAAAAAAUCAUAAAAACUAAAAAUAAAAUUGGGUUGCCUACCAACAAGCGCUAUCGUUUAACGCCCCUAGCUAGGCAUAAUAGCAAUGAUAGAUCUAGGUAUUGCCAUCUUUGGUAGGCAAUCCAUAAGUGGCUCUCAUAAUAGAUUCAUAAGGUAAUUUUAUUUUCUUUCUAGGGAAGUGUUCCAUGCCUUUCCUUAAUGGAAAUUGGAAUCUAAUAUUCCCUUCCUUCGUAUCAAUAAUUGCACCAAUCGUUCUAAGGAAAGGUCUACCAAGAAUAAUAGGACAUGAAGGAUUGCAAUCUAUAUCAAGAACAAUAAAAUAUAUGGGCACAUAAUUCCUAUUUGCAACAAUAAGAACAUCAUCAAUUCUUCCCAUAGAUUUCUUAAUGGUGGAAUCCGCAAGGUGCAAGUUUAAAGAGCAAUCAUCAAAAUCACGGAAACCUAGCAAAUCGCACAAAAUCUUUGCAAUCGUGGAAACACUAGCACCCAAAUCACACAAAGCAUAGCAUUCAUGAUCUUUAAUUUUAAUUUUAAUAGUAGGUUCCCACUCAUCAUAAAGUUUUCUAGGGAUAGAAACUUCCAACUCAAGUUUUUCUUCAUAAGAUUGCAUCAAAGCAUCAACGAUAUGUUUAGUAAGGCUUUAUUUUGACUAUAAGCAUGUGGAGAAUUUAGCACGGAUUGCAACAAGGAAAUACAAUCUAUCAAAGAGCAAUUAUCAUAAUUAAAUUCCUAGAAAUCCAAAAUAGUGGGUUCAUUAAUAUCUAGAGUUUUGAUUUCUUCAAUCCCACUUUUACCAUUUUUUGCAUCAAGAUCUAAAAACUCCGAAUUUUUGGAACGCCUUCUAGGUAGAGGUGGAUCAUAUUCAGUCCCAUCAUUAUCAAGAUUCAUAUUGCAAAACAAAGAUUUAAUAGGGGACACAUCAAUAACUUUUAGAUCUUCAUCUUUAUUUUCAUAGAAACUAGAAGAACACGCUUUCACAAAACAAUCUUUCUUAGCACGCAUCCUAGCGGUUCUUUCUUUGCACUCAUCAAUGGAAAUUCUCAUGGCCUUGAGAGACUCAUUGAUAUCAUGCUUAGGAGAAAUUGUAUCAGCGUUCCUAGCCAAUUCAUCAAAUUUAAGCAAUUUUUCUUCAAGCAAAGCAUUGAAAUUGUUUUGCGAAUUCAUAAAUUCUUUAACACUAGUCUCAAAUUCAGAAGGCAUCUUAUUAAAAUUUCCAUAAUAAUUGUUGUAGGAAUUACCAUAAUUAUUAGAGGAAUUACUAGGAUACGACCUUGGAUUAAAGUUUCCUCUAUACGCGUUGUUACCAAAAUUAUUCCGACCAACAAAAUUCACAUCCAUAGAUUCAUUAUUAUUCUCAAUCAAAGUAGACAAAGGCAUAUCAUUAGGAUCAGAAGAAACACUUUUAUUAGCAAAUAAUUUCAUAAGUUCAUCCAUCUUUCCACUCAAAACAUUAAUUUCUUCUAUCGCAUGCACUUUUUUAUUAGUGGAUUUUUCGGUGUGCCAUUGAGAAUAAUUAACUAUAAUAUUAUCUAGGAGUUUAGUAGCUUCUCCUAAAGUGAUUUCCAUAAAAGUGCCUCCCGCGGCCGAAUCUAAAAGAUUUCUAGAAGAAAAAUUCAAUCCGGCAUAAAAUUUUUGUAUAAUCAUCCACAAAUUCAAACCAUGAGUAGGGCAAUUACGUAUCAUUAAUUUCAUCCUCUCGCAAGCUUGUGCAACAUGUUCAUGAUCAAGUUGCUUAAAAUUCAUAAUAUCAUUUCUAAGAGAGAUGAUCUUAGCGGGAGGAAAAUACUUAGAGAUAAAAGCAUCUUUGCACUUAUUUCAAGAAUCACUACUAUUUUUAGGCAAAGACAAAAACCAAGCUUUAGCACGAUCUCUAAGCGAAAAAGGAAAUAGCUUCAAUUUAACAAUAUCUUUGUCCACAUCUUUCUUCUUUUGCAUAUCACACAAAUCAACGAAGUUGCCAUGUCUAGGAAUGCUUGAAGCUUCAAAGAUUUCCUAUAAUACAACAUGCCUCUAACUAUUCACAAUAAGAAAAACAUGUAAAUGCGGAAUCAACCAAAUGAUGGUAAAUUGUAGUUGAUUUUGGCCAAGCAAACGUGAGAUGAAAGAAACAUACAUGAGUGAACAUCACGAUUGGAUGUUUUAUUCAAAUUUAACAGGUUAAACUCACCAAAUCCAUCUGGAUAUUUAGUAUUAAACUUUAACAGAUGGUCAGUUGUAGCUAGAUUCACACCACUGAAGCAAAAUUCCAUCUGCCACGGUUACAUCACACCAUCUUUUCAUCGUUACUAUUUAAAUUCCAAAUGCCUGCAACUCAUUUUUUUGUUAUGAUGUAUGCAUGAUUUUUAACUCAAGAGGAAGAGGGGAAACUAAAUCCAAGAAAAGAACACCAAGGAAGCAUCCAAAAUAGAGAAAGGAAAAAUCCAAAAUAGAGGCAGAAUCGAAGGGAAGAAACCCCAUAAAAAAUAGGAGAUCAAACGGUGAAAAAAAUCUAAGAGUCAAACAAUUCCAGGUAAGACCAAAUCGACGGCAAAAUAGCACAAGAGGGACUCACAUUAACAGGUAUACCAGGUAUACCAAUUCAGAAAGAAGUGUAAAGCGAACAGUGCAAUGGACCACUAGUAUAAAUUGGAUGUACACAAACAUGGGACUUAAACAGGAACUGCGAGAUGCAGGGUUCACGUGCAAACCCAAAAAACGGAAAACUGAAACCCACAACAAGAUUUUAUCUUCAUGUUUGUGUAUUAGUUGCUUCUUCCGAAUCCCCACCUAUCAAGCGUUUUCUCUGAAUAAACAAACAGAAUAGUAUUCUCUGAAUUAUACUGUACAACGGUAUUUAACAAAGCGACUGGAAUUAACAAUAUUAUGAGCUAUUGGCUUUUUAGUCAGGUAAAUAUCAUUCUUAAGACUACGGAAAACAGCAGGCGGCGAAGAAAACAUCUAUUGAUGAGAACUAUACACAUACUUAAGAAGGAAGUGACAUCUAUGGUAGCAGAACAUAUAUCAAGCUGUUGCAGCUACAUUAGCAGUUUAGCACAGUUCCUCCAUAAUACACAGGCUAGUGUAAUUUCACAAAUACAAUAAGCUAACAAUAUAUAUUUGGUAGAUGGAAAUGGCUGGAUCAUGACCAAUAUACCAUUACACAUCCGAUGAUGCAAAUAAAGAAACGAGGCCCAACAAUAGUGGAAAAUAAACCACAAUAGAACAUGUAUUUGGCGAAACCUCCAUACUGCAAUAUCAAACAUGAAUUGAAAUUAACAAUCUAGCAAAAAAACAUGACAGAUGCAGUCUUGGUCAUUUUUCCUUUUGUGACAUCCCCUAAAAAAGUAAAAACAAUGUUGUUCGUAUUUUACCAGAGAUACACUGAGCUGGGACAAUUCGGUCUGAAAUAAAAUAUGAUGGCUUCGGAGGAUUCGGAAGGCAAGAAAUUUGCUUUCUUCCAACAUAUAUGGUCUGCUGAACUAAACUUCGUUUCAACGGGCUUUGGCAAAAAUUUGUAACUGCAAACAUCAACUUGUGUGCCCGUCCUACGUCAAACUUUAACCCUGACGGAUUAAAUAUUUUAGGUUAGGCUGAGAUCAGUGUACUUUAUGAGUGUUAAGUGUACUUUCUAAAUAGCAGAGAAACCAUAACAUCUAAGCACAACCCAGCAACUUGUACAAGCUAACAUCAAAUCUGAAAGAGGAAAUGUCGAGAACAGGUGAAGGUACCAUGAUCCACGACUGAGCAAAGUUAUCUAUAAUCCUCGGUGAAUAUCAUAAAUUAGGAUCAACUACGCUGAAGAACAAACGGGAAAGGAACCUAGAAAGAUCUUCUGCCGGUAGAAUAUAACUGAUACACUAUCCUCAUUCUCGAGAUCAAGGUCGUUUCUUGAAUUGCAGUUUCCUCACUGUAGUAUGGGGUCAUUACACUGCGAAGAACAAAGUGUCAUAUGAAUCAUUUAGAGCCCAAUAUUUUUCACUGAAACUCUUAUGAUCACAUAACGAAUUUAAACAUAAGGUUUAUUAGAUAUUUGUUGUUGUGAACAGAUAAUAUAUUUCUGGUGUUGACAAUGUUUUGAUUAUGGAUGCACUUCAAGAUGGGUGGCACAGAUUCUGUUGUACAGGCCUCCACCUGGAAUUUCAUCACUUGUUAUUUUUGUUUUAGAAUGUCUAGGUGCAUUUUUCCUUUAAGGUGGAAACAGAUGUACUUGUAUAAGCAACAAGAAUACAAAGCGCCACUGCCAUACAUUGUGGAAGUUCAGUGCUUCUGUUUACAAAAUCUGCUUCCCAAAACAGAAGGAUUUAUAAUUUUUUAUUACAAUCAAGCGGACAUGAGCUGAUGAGUACAGAUGUAGACAUGUACUGAGAGCAGCACCCUUUCAAAAGUGGAUCAUUUACAAGUUGGAUAGUUUGAUGGUCUGAAAUUAGUGGUCGUGUUUCAGAAUUGUUAUCGAAUAGUAGGGGAUAUAUAUUAACUUCUGAAAUUAGUGGCUGUUUGUCAGAACUGUUAUCGAAUAACAGAGCACAUAUAUUAACUUCAAUAAGUGGAGUAAUAUUUUUGGAUUCGCUGUGAGGAAAGAUUACCAAAACAAAACAGAAGUGAGUGCGAGGACCCAGAUCAAGGCGCUCUUGAGCCUCUUCCCGACCGACCUAGAUGCAGGAGCAGAACACGGCGGAUCUAAUCAGCCAACGAAUAAAGCUGAGGCAGGUAGAGGAAGUAAGGGAGGAAGAAGACUGACUUUUCCUGGUCGCCCUCGUAGUAGAACCUGUGUUUUGAUUUUCGGCCGAAAAAAGUGGAUUUCGGCCAUCUCGGCCUGGGGCGAAAAGUGUAUUUAGGCCGAAAUUGUUCAAAUUUAGCAAAUUUUGGUCAAAUUUAAGUCAAAUUGCAGUCAAAAUUUGGUCAAAUUUCAGCCGAAAUUUUUGAAAAUGGCCGAAAUUCGGCCAUCUCAGCCUAGGGAGAAAAAAAAGCUCAAACCGAAAAUCAAAACACAGAGUAGAACAUGGCGAACAGGAUGACGAGGAAGACGAGGACAGCGUCGAGGAUGUAGACGACGAGCCAGAGCGUGUUCAUGGGCAGGAUCAAGCAUGGGCAGGAUAAGGGCGCAGGCCCCGUUGUAGGCGGCGUGCUUGCAGGCCUGGCGGUUGGCGACGUCGGCGGGGAGCAUGAGGAUGGCGAGGACGGCGACGGUGAUGCCGAGCACGACGACGAGCUUGAGGAAGUAGGCCUGGUUGGCAUCAUCCGGCUGCUGGUAGUUGACGAGCAGGUAGACGCUGACGAGGAGCACCAGGAUGCUGACCACCGCCGCCACGAUCACUAGCGCCACGUUAAAAACCCCAUCUCCUCGGGGCUCCGGUCCCGGUUCCGGCCCGCCGCCUCGCCCCCAUUGGUCGGUCAGAUCUCUCUGUCCCUAGAGGCGGGGGGACACAGGCUAGGGUUUGGGCGUGGGCGGGGAAUAGGCUGCUAUGGUGCCGGCAGCGGGGCGUGUAGGAGAGAAGGAUUAGGAGGAAUAAUUCACCACACUUUGCUUAAGCUCUCGGCUGGUUCUUAUGUAUAGAUUACAGGGCCAGCCAGGGAGAUCAUGGGGUGAUCCACUACCUGGGAUCGUGCGCCACGAUCACUACAUGCGUGCGCCACGAUCAUAUACACACACGCUACACCUAGUGUCUACGCAACUACGGUAUAGCAGUACAGUACAGUCUAACACCCCCCCGCAGUCGUGACGUCGUCGGCGGCGACGCAAAGACUGGACCGGAACUCAGAGAAAACAUCCGAUGGCAGGCCUUUGGUCAUGAUGUCCGCGAGUUGUUGGCGCAUGGGGAUGUGAAGAACACGGAAGUGGCCGAGGGCGACGCGCUCCCGCACGAAAUGGAUGUCCAGCUCCACAUGCUUAGUGCGGCGAUGAUGCACCGAAUUGGCUGACAGGUAGACUGCGGACACAUUGUCAUAGUACACCAGUGCCGCCUUGGUCACUGGAGCGGAGAGCUCGCCGAGAAACUGGCGGAGCCAGAUGCAUUCAGCGACCGCGUUGGCAACGCCGUGGUAUUCAGCUUCGGCACUGGAGCGCGAUACGGUCGCCUGGCGCUUGGAGGACCAGGAGAUGAGAGCAUCGCCGAGGAAGACGCAGAAGCCCGACGUGGAGCGUCGGGUGUCGGGGCAGCCGGCCCAGUCCGCGUCGGUGAACGCACGGACGUCGAGCGUGGUCGAGGCGCGAAGAUGAAGCCCGAGUGUGCAGGUGCCCUUCACGUACCGGAGCACGCGCUUGACGAGCGCGAGGUGACAUUCGCGCGGGUCAUGCAUGUGCAAGCAGAUUUGCUGGACGGCGUAGGCGAUCUCUGGGCGCGUGAUGGUGAGGUAGUGCAGGGCCCCGGCGAUGCUCCGAUAGGCUGAGGGGUCGUCGACGCAGGGCCCAUCGGCUGAGGGGAGUUUGCUCUUCGUGUCGAUGGGUGUCGGGGAAGGGUGGCAGGUGUCCAUGCCGGCGCGUUCCAGGAGUUCGUCGGCAUAUUGUUGUUGCGACAGGAAGAAGCCAGCUCGGGUGCGGGUCACGCGGAUGCCGAGGAAGAAGGCGAGCGAGCCCAGGUCCUUCAUGGUGAAUUCGCCUGUGAGGCGUUGGAUGACAUGGUGAAGCACGCGUGACGAGGACGCGGUGAGCACGAUGUCGUCGACGUAGAGGAGGAGGAACGCCAUGUCGUUGCCGUGCCGGAAGGUGAACAGCGACGAGUCCGAACGCGUAGCUGCGAAGCCAAUGGAGCGGACGAAGCCGGCGAAGUGGAGGAACCAGGCACGGGGCGCCUGCUUGAGCCCGUACAAGGACUUGGAGAGGCGGCGAACGUGCUCUGGUUUGUCGGGGUCGACGAAUCCGGCGGGCUGGAGGCAGUAGACUUCCUCCUCCUAGUUGCCGUGGAGGAAGGCGUUGGAGACGUCGAGGUGGUGCACCGGCCAGCCGCGUGACGCGGCCAGAGUGAGCACCGUGUGGAUCGUCGCUGGCUUGACGACGGGGGAGAACAUCUCGCCGUAGUCGACGCCGGCACGCUGAUGAAAGCCCCGCACGACCCAGUGUGCUUUGUAGCGGGCCAGCGCGCCGUCGGCGUCGUUUUUGUGCUUGAAGAUCCACUUCCCUGUGAUCAGGUUGGCGCCCGGGGGGCGGGCACCAGCUCCCACGUGCGAUUGCGCACGAGCGCAUGGCACCGAGCCAGUUCGGGUCGCGAACAGCAGCGCGAAGCGAACGUGGCACCGGCGACACCGAUGAUGAGGUAGAGGCGGUGGCCGCGUCGUAGUAGCGUGGGUUGGGGCGGAAGAUGCCGCGCUGGGCACGCGUGACCAUGGGCACAGGAGGCGCCGGUGCGCGGCGCGCCGCUGGUGGCGCGCUCGGAGACGAGCUGUCGGAGGAGCCGCUGGCGGAGUUGUCGGAGGAGCCGCUGGCGGAGGCGAAGACAGGCGGACCAGGCGCGGAUGGGCACGUCGAGGAUGGAGCCGAGCCGCCAUCGGAAGCGCCCGCAGCGUACCGCGAGCUGACGCGGCGCGCCUCGCUGGUUGGCGAGGAUGAGCGGGGCAGGCCGGUGAUGGAGAUCGGGCGCGCCGGCAGCACGGGUGACAUGCUGCUGUCAGGCACCAGUGGAAGCGCGGGCAGCGCAGGAGGCCGGACGACGAGCGGGAUCUGCAGGGUAGAGGGUAUGACGGGUGGCGUAGGCGACGGGGAAGAGGAUGCGAACGGGAAAACGUGUUCGUGGAAGAGAACGUGGCGAGACGUGAGGACGCGGCGAGAGGUGAGGUCAAAGCAGCGAAAACCACGAUGAUCGGGAGGGUACCCGAGGAAGACGCAGGCGAUAGAACGUGGCUCGAGCUUAUGGCGGGUGGUGGCGGUGACGUUCGGAUAGCAGAGGCAUCCAAAGACGCGGAGCUGCGAGUAAUCUGGGGCGACGCCGAGCAGGAGUUCAUGCGGAGUGCAGGGCGCCGAGGCGCGGUAGGGCCGACGAUUGAGCAGGUAGGUCGAGGUGUUGAGAGCCUCUGCCCAGAAGCGAGCGGGCAUGUGCGCAUGACAGAGAAGCACACGAACGCCGUCGUUGAUCGUGCGGAGAACUCGCUCGUCCUUGCCGUUCUGCUGACUGGUGUAUGGGCAGGUGAGACGGAAGUGUGUGCCGUGGCGAGCAAGCAGAGAGCGCACGGCUGCGCUGUCGAAUUCACGACCAUUGCCCAUUUGCAGUGCAAGUAUGGGUAACUGAAACUGAGUCUGAACAUAGGCAAAGAAAUCAACAAGUAUGGGAAGAACUUCAGACAUGUGUUUCAGAGGGAAAGUCCAGACAUAGUGACUGAAAUCAUCUAGUAUAACUAAGUAAAACUGAUAGCCGGAUAUGCUUACAACGGGAGCGGUCCAUACAUCAAGGUGUAAAAGCUGGAAAGAACUAGCAGUGGUGGAUGUCUGAAACGGGAGCCAGGUGUGUUUGCCAACACGACAGGCAUGACAGACAGGCGGAUCACGGCAGAACUCCAGGGACUGAUCAACAGCAACAGUGCGGAGUGCGGCAGCCCCUGGGUGGCCAUGCGUUGGUGCCGGGUGCAGGCGUGGGGUACGCCGGGGGAGGGCGGGGAGCCUGGGAGGACGGCGUGGGCGGGCCACCAAUGCCGUUGCCACGUCUGCGGCGGCGUCCGCGCCCACGCCCUUGGUUGGUGUUGCUGGGCGGGGGUGUGGGUGGUGUAGGAGAGCCGCCACGCCCGGCGACGAGAGCGUGCGCAGACUGCUGGCGAGUGGUCGACUGCUCUGCUCGGUGUUCCUCAAGCAGGACGAAGGAGCGCACCUGCAGGAACGACGGGAGCGGGACCUGCGAGGUGAUGUGAGGGAUGGCGGAGUGGAACUGCUGGUUCAGACCGCGGAGCAGGUUGAAGACCUGCCGCGAGUCGGUUACCGGCUGCCCGAGGUCGCGGAGUCGAUCCGUGAACGACUUCAUCUUGGUGCAGUACGCCAUGAUCGACAUGUCGCCCUGAACGACAUAGUGGUACUCGGCGUCGAGGUAGACAGCGCGAGCGAGGUGGUUGUCGCGGAAGAUUCCAUCGACCGCAGUCCAGAUGGCCAGAGCAGUGUCGUCCGGCUGCAUGACGACGUCGAGCAGGUCCGGCGAUAUGGUAGUGUAGAACCAGUGGACGACGACGUGAUCAGCCAUGCCCCACUCGGGAUCAUCGUGGCGGUGGAUGGCCAUGGCGUCGACGUGAGUGCGGAGGCCGAACAUGCCGAUGACGGUGUCGAAGUGGCGGCGCCACUGCGUGUAGUUGCCGGCGAGAAGGUCGAGGGUGACCGGGACAUGACGACGGAUGUCCACGGUCUGCAGGAUCGCGGAGGCGACAGGUGCUGUAGGAGGAGGAGGAGGGAUGACGGGCACCGCGGGCGCGACAGGUGCUGGAGCCGGCGGUGCGUUGGCCAGGGGGACAGCGUUGAGGACGCCGUCGGCGCCGUGCUGCGAGGAGCGAGGGGACACGACGGGGUUGUCAUCCAUGGCGGUGGAAGCGGGACUGGCGACCUGCGCGAAGGGAUUGAGCAGGUCGGGGGAGUCUGAUACCAUAUAGGAAAGAAGGAUUAGGAGGAAUAAUUCACCACACUUUGAUUGAGCUCUCGGUUGGGUCUUAUGUACAGAUUACAGGGCCAGGGAGAUCAUGGGGUGAUCCACUACCUGGGAUCGUGCGCCACGAUCACUAUAUGCGUGCGCCACGAUUAUAUACACACAUGCUACAACUAGUGUCUACGCAACUACGGUAUAGCAGUACAAUAAAGUCUAACAGGGCGGCCACCGGCGGGGAGGGCGGGAUCCGUGCGGGGUGGCGGGAUUUGGGCAGGCGGUGGGCUCGGGGGAGGGCGAUGGCAGCGAAGCAGCAAGGAGGGGCUGGAGGAGAUGAAACGAAAGAGGUCGCGUGACACAGCGACAGCGUAGUCCAAUCCCCUCGCUGCUGAUUUAAAAAAAAGGUAAUGAUAACUCCCGAACGUUCGGGAGUUAAGCAUGGCAACCCGAACGGGUUUAGAUGGCAAGUUUAGUUUGCGUGAGAUUAGGGAAACAUGGCAAUUUUCUGACAAAAGAAAUGAAAAAGGACGAAGUUGCCAUCCCCUAUCAACUAAAGUUGCCAUCCCCUAUAAAUUAAAGUUGCCAUGUAAAAACGUUCGGGACGAAAUGCUCAAAAUCCGAACGUUCGGAAGUUACUGGAUUCAAAAAAAUCCCCUUGCUGCCAAUCGCUGGCCCGUUUCUUUUUUCGCCCAAUCGCUAGGUGAUGACGUGGCUAUCGCGGGAAGGCGCCCUUGAUGCGUAGUCGAAUGGUUUUAAUUAAUAGGAAACGAGUGCUUACUCUAGUUACUGAAUCAUGUACACCAAAUAAAGCCAUUUACACGUAGUUAAUGACAAAAAAAGUUGAUGUUUGCUACGCAAAUGUGUAGUACAAAUUAAGAAGUGCAAGAUUAAAAAAAAAUGCUGGUCCUUGAUUCGUUGUUGAUCGUCAGCAUGCCAUCAUCAAUUUGUAGUUAAUUAUCAUACAAAUUGGCUCUUUCAUAGAGUUGGAGGCUAGCUCCUUUGAUCAGCACGCGCUUAAACACAAACAGCACGUAUAUGUUUUGUCUCCGGAGUUCAAUUCUUCAUCGGCCAGCAAAAAUGGCCCGACCGGGUAGAGGAAAAGGCAUGUUUGUUAGUACGCCUGGAGGAAAUGCCUUUGAUUACGGCAUCUUCAACAGCGACCAGUAAAUUUCCUUCCGCGUUCGUUCACGGAUAGGGGAUCAGUCUGCGGAUACGAAUACAGGAAUCAUCCAUCCAACGCUGUCCGCGUAUAUUUCAAACACAUUUUUUUUUUAAAAUAGGAUGAAAUUCAUGCAAACACAAUGGAUUUCAUACAAACCGGACAAAAAUGUUUACAUUUUGGACAUAUUUUUUUACUAAAAACUCUACAGCCGGCGCCGGCGAAUAUCCACCCCGGCGACAUGGAUACCCUUGACUAGUCUACUGCCGGCCGCAGCGGAUCUCCAAUGUCGUCCCCAUAUCCGGCAGCUAUGAGCCCUAGAGGUAUAUGCUUCAGCGCAAAGAGCGGCUCGCCUCCCUACCGCUCAUCGGAGUGGAACAACCAGCUGAUGCUUCUGCCGAUGGAAAGGGUCCCUACGCUACACGGAUUAGAGUUGGUUUUCGGCUGGGAACGGCGGUGGCCUGCCAGAGGGCAAGACACCGACUGUGUAUGCUGGUGUCACCUGGUGUGGCAUUCGUGGGACCCAAGCGGCAGCGCCUCCUCGAUGAUGGCGGCGAGCGCGGACGUGUUUGACACCACCUCGUCGAUGUCCGUGCAGCCGGCUUCUUUCUCUGUAGGAAGGACGCGGUUACGCUUGCGUUGACAUCGGAUGACUCGGUCACAUGCACGGGAGGGGCGGUACGACAUGGCACCGCCAAUGGCAGCCAUGAUGCCCACGCCACCGUGCUCCCUCCCAGUGCCGAUCUAGAGCAACUUGCCACUCCUCUGCUCGUGACCGGUGGGCUUGACGGGCCACCUAGCCAUUUUUUAUGCCAGACAACUCUUCUUCCUGCUCGUCAGAUGUCAUGGAUAAAACUGUUUAAGGAGGAAAAUGAUGAGUGGACGUGUGAUGCGGUUCUUGCCCAACAUCUGACAUUGUUUAAAUAGCGAGGGGAGACGAGAGGAGCCAACCGGCGUACUGUUUAAUGCCAACCGGCUCGCGAACGAACAUGUGGCCGGAGUAAUUAUCCUAGCACACACGCGGGUUUAAUGGUGGAAGGCGGGCAGUCUGCAGGAAUGAGGCGAGGAUGUGUGCUUAGCCGGCGUGCAGCAGGCGGCGCCCUCGGCCGGCGUGCUGCUUCCAUUGCGGAGGCAGUGAGAGGUCGCGUCCGCUCUGCAGCGCAUGAAUGCGGGCAGCUGGCGCAGAGCGGGAACGCGUGCGGGCGAGGGAGGAGGGGGUUUGGGCGGGUGGUCAGAAGAGGUCGUGGGUGUUGUCCGAACGCCUGCAAAGCCCCCCUCCAUGUUUGUCUCCAGUUUGCGGGAGAAAGUACGUCCGGACCGUCUCCAAUGGACCAAUACAGGCCCGCAUUGGAUAGCACAACACGUCCGGACCAUGUGGUCCGGAUGGUUGUGGACAGUUUAAUUGAGGGUCGGCGUUGGAGAUGCCUUAGAGUUUAUGAAUCCAUUGUGUUUUUCUAAUCAUAAAAAAUCACUUACAAUAAGUUAUAAGGAAAGACACGUUUAUAUGUUAGGUUCAGACUCCAGCUUUCGUUUUACAUAUGCUUUAUUCAUCCGACUGAUUCCAAUAGAGUGAGCCUAGCGUUGUUUUUCUGGAAACUCGCGGGAUAAGGAGACAUGCAUACACAUUCUUUCAAGCAAAUCACAUCCAUUUUUUUUAACUCAUUUUUCUUCUUUUAAUAAUAUAAUAGAUCAUUUAUAUUUUUUAUCUGAAACAGUUGACGUGUAAUUUAUAUUGUAAUCUGAGGAUAAUGUUUGGAUUUUACUUUCAAAUAUAUUUGAAAUGGCCAUGAUGGAAUCACAUCCAUUUAUUUUAUUAUUAUUUGAAUUUGAUCCAAAAGAUAAAUAAUGAGUAGAGGUCAUGUCAACUUUUCUGAGAACUUUGCUAAUCAAAAUAUAAAUUGUAUUUAAAAACAUCUAUUUUUUAGCACGCAUGAAAAACAUAACACGUAUCUUUUCACACAUAAUGAACGGUUGUCAUAAGAACUCAUGCCAUGCCACAACCUCCCUCCGACCCUGCCAACAUUGUUGCAGCUGCACUCGCAAGCCUUAGCGUAGAUGAUAAUUUAUACAAUUUGCGUAAAACAAAAUAAGAUCUACAAAUGAAUAGAAGCUAGAACGUACAUUGGCAUGCACACACAUUGCAAGCCAUACUAAGCUGAUAAGUGUUAAUAACUUGUACAACAUAUACAACACUUAAGACAAGUAAAAGCAAUUUGAUGAGUCAUGGUCUAUCAAAGCCACAUUACUAGUCUAAUCCAUCUUAACAGGUCACACAUGAUUAAAAUCUUGUUUGUGUGCAAGUCAAGCUUAUCUAGUUUACAUGUAACAACUUGUAGAACAUUACAAAAUUUAUGUUUGCUAAUAACUUCUAGAACACUACAACACUUGACAUGUAAAAGGAAUUUGAUGAGUCAUGGCCUACUAAAGCAAGUUAUAUUACUAGUCUUAUCUACCAUAACAGGCCACACAAGAUUACAAACCAAGUUCUGUGCCAGCCAUGCUUAUCUAGUUUAUGCGUAACAAUUUGCAGAAAAUUACAAACUUAGUUUCAGAAAAAUAGGCAAUCUAGAUUAGUGUUUGAGCUGUAAAGUGAAUAAAAUGAGUCAUGCGUGUUAUCACACCUUUUUGGUUGUGGAAUGAUAGUGCAACAACAAGGAACUUUAAUGACCAGUUCAAGAAUACACUUGUAAGUAGUGCCACCGAACACAACAUACCAAAUUAUGAUUUUGAGAAGCAUCCAAGCACAUCCACACAAGCAAAUGCCAAUUGUGAAAGAGAUCAUGCCAUGGCAGCUAUAAAUAGGCCCGUAGCAUGACGAUCAUCCUUCCUCAUCCAUCAUUCUCAUAAGUAGAGCGCAUCAUUUAAGCCAAGCAAGCAGUGCUCAAUACAAAUCCACCAUGAAGACCUUUCUCAUCCUUGCCCUCCUUGCUAUUGUAGCAACCACCGCCACAAUUGCAGUUAGAGUUCCAGUGCCACAAUUGCAGCCACAAAAUCCAUCUCAGCAACAACCACAAGAGCAAGUUCCAUUGGUACAACAACAGCAAUUUCCAGGGCAGCAACAACCAUUUCCACCACAACAGCCAUAUCCGCAGCCGCAACCAUUUCCAUCACAACAACCAUAUCUGCAGCUGCAACCAUUUCCGCAGCCGCAACUACCAUAUCCGCAGCCGCAACCAUUUCGACCACAACAACCAUAUCCACAACCGCAACCACAGUAUUCGCAACCACAACAACCAAUUUCACAGCAGCAGCAGCAGCAGCAACAACAACAACAACAACAACAACAGAUCCUUCAACAAAUUUUGCAACAAUAACUGAUUCCAUGCAGGGAUGUUGUAUUGCAACAACACAGCAUAGCGCAUGGAAGCUCACAAGUUUUGCAACAAAGUACUUACCAGCUGGUGCAACAAUUGUGUUGUCAACAGCUGUGGCAGAUCCCCGAGCAGUCGCGGUGCCAAGCCAUCCACAAUGUUGUUCAUGCUAUUAUUCUGCAUCAACAACAACAACAACAACAACAACCGUUGAGCCAGGUCUGCUUCCAACAGCCUCAACAACAAUAUCCAUCAGGCCAGGGCUCCUUCCAGCCAUCUUAGCAAAACCCACAGGCCCAGGGCUCUGUCCAGCCUCAACAACUGCCCCAGUUUGAGGAAAUAAGGAACCUAGCGCUAGAGACGCUACCUGCAAUGUGCAAUGUCUAUAUCCCUCCAUAUUGCACCAUUGCUCCAGUUGGCAUCUUCGGUACUAACUGAGAAUAGAAUAACUCUAGUAGUAGAUAUAUGAUACACCGUUUUCUUAGUCCAUGGUUUGGUCGUUGUAGCGGUGAAAAAAUAAAGUGACAUGCACUAUCAUGUAAGAACCCGAACUAUACUAUUUCAAACAUGGGAAUAAAAGACAAACACAUGUCUUGUCUACAUAUGAUUGUUUGUUUGAGUUCCACUCAUGUGCCCACUCACAAGUUCACCCCUAAUUAUAUAUAUUAUGCAUUAAGUAGAUAUUUAUGUUGCAUUAAUCUAAAGAUAACAAAAUGAGUCUGAAAUUUGAAUUAAAUUGAAGUAUUUCCUUGGACUUUCAAAUGGAGUAUUAUUAAAGUAGUAAGGACUAUCCACAUCCUUGGCUUGCCCUUGAUCAAUUAUUUCCAGAGAAGCAUUCAAUUCAUCAAUCAAUUACAUUGAUUUUUGUGGCUGGUACUUCUCCUCAACAUGAGUAUAUUCAUCGCGGCUACUCCAAAUAGCCAUGAAUGAGGUACCGGUGCUCUGGAGCACUGGUACCUAACUGCUUCUCAUGUGAAGGGGUGCGGGCGCGGGAGAGGUGUUUUUGGUGGGCCAGGGGAGUAAGAAGCGGCCGUGGCAGCGGUCCAGACGCCCACAAAGCCCCGUAGUUUGUUUUUGGUUUACAGGAAAAUGCACAUCCAGACUGGCCUGCGGGCCGAUAUAGGACCGUAUUGGAUGGCAAAACAUGUCCGGAUGGUCGCGAGCGGUUUAAGGGUUAGCUUUUGUAACACCCGGUUAGUUAUGCUAUGGUAAUUCCCUGCUAAUGAUGUCACGUCAGCACGAUUACUGUUGUUAACCUCACAAUGAUUCAAUCCCAUUCAAAUUCAAAUUUAAAAUAAAGGCAAACAUCAAAAGUUUCAAACAUUAAAACUAAAAUCUUCGAGAGGUGAAAAAUAAUGCAUAAGUAAUUAUGGUGGAGAAACCACACUUUUAUAAAAUGUUUAAAUACUCUAAAAAUAAUAAAACAGUGGCUUAAACUAUUAUUUAAAUGCUUUUAAAAUAGUAAAAAUGUUCUAACUAAAUUAAUUGGGUACCAAACUUUUGGUGGCAGUGGUAUAUUUAGUAGAACUAAUUUAGAUGCUAAUAAAACAUAAAAGGAAAGACAAAACAAAUAAAAGUAAAAGGGGGCAACCCUUGGCUGGGCCUCGGCCAAGCUGGGCACUUGGCUAGCUAGGUUGGCCCAACCGCCUCCCUUAACCCCCCACUCCCCAUCGAACCCUAGACCGAUCGCCCCACUUCCCCCCCACCCCCUCGUCAGCCUCCCCACCUCUCGAUCCCAUCUGGAUCGGGGAGGGGAUCGCCUUCAUCGACCCCGUCGCGGUCGCUGGAUCGCCCGCUCGCCCAUCGCCCGCCGGCGUCGCCGGACCUCCUCCCCGUCGCAUGUCUCCGGCUCUCCUCCCCUCUCGCUCCUCUUCCCCGACCCGAUCUAGAUCGGGAAGGGCCAAUGAGCCCAACGCCCCCCUCCAUCGACGCUGUGCUCCAGCACCGCCGCCCGAAGACCUCGCCAUCGCCGGACCUCGCGUCGCCUCCUCGUAUCCCUCCCCGACUCGCCUCCUCAAGCCACGCCGACCCCCUCUCGGCAACGCCGUGAGCCGCACCCGUUUCCCUCCUUCUCUUUCCACCGUGUUCACCGCGCCGCCUGCCGUGCCCCUCGCCGCGCGCACGCCCACCACCGCGCCAGCCCCCGCUCCCGCCCUCUCCUGCACGCUUGUGCGCGCAUGACCCUAGCCGCGCCCACGCCGUGAUCCCCUUGUCCCGCCCGCCUUCGUCCCGCGCUCGCCGCGGCCCCCAUGCUCCCCUGCGCCCUCUUUUGGGGCCGUCGGCUGCCCCUGUCCCGCAGCUCGCUGGCAUGCGUCCCCGCCUGCGCCUCGCCACCGCUCUACUGCUACGCUACUAUUGCGCUGUGGCCGCCGCCGCUUCCCGCUGCUCUGCCAGCGCCAAAGCUCCUGGUUGGCCCUGCCGCUGCUCGCGUUUAACCGCCGGCCUAAGCGGCCUAACCUCCCCCCUCGCUAAUGAACCCCCACCGACCCGCUGACACCGGGACCCACAUCCCCUAAUUAACCAUUUAAUAAAUUAAAACUCUUAAAUUAACAUUAGUGUAUGACAUGUGGGUCCCCUAUUAAUUAAACUGAUUUAAUUAAAAUCUAUUAACUUUGAGUCUAUGACAUAUGGGCCCCACUAAACAUUUGACCAAUCAACGGUCCAGUCAAAUGCUGACCGGACAGUUGACCAGAGGGCCCCGCCAGUCAGCCAAUGUGCUGUUCUGCUGGGUACCUUUCUAAGUACACCUAGCAUUUUGCAUUUACAAUAUUUGUUUUAAAAUAAAUUAGAAUAAUUUCAAAAAAAUAUUAAAACUUUUAAAAUUAAAAUAAAAUAAUCCGUAACUCGGAUGAAAUUACUUUAUACAUGGAAGUUGCUCAAAAAAUGAGACGAAUCCGAAUACACAGUCCGUUCGUCUGCCACGCGUCCCUAGCAUAGCGAACAUGCAACCAUCCCCCUCCGGUUCGACUGUCCGAAAAAUUAUUAUUGCACAUGCCCGCUAAGAGGUUGGCUGUAUAUGACAUGACAACUUCUUAUAGCCGAGCCUUGGCUGUAUUAUUAACCAUGCUCUUAGUGAGGUAGCUAGUAUAUCAUAGACGACUAGCUAGUAUCAGACUAGCCAAAGUGGGAGUAACUUCAGCAGUAACAUCGACUCCAACUCAGCAAACUUCCUUAUGUGGGAGUAAACCGUGCCCAAUGCAAAAUACAAUCCCAGUCGUAAUUUUUUCAGGAAACGUGUGGGAUCCCAAACGAAAAGCACACGUCACUCUUGCGGCAACCGUCGGUGACACCCAAUAAAUCACAAACGGUCUGCAGCAGCUGUAUGUGUGCAAAGGGGCUCCUGAACCGUUUGUGAUAGAACAUUAUCGCAGACGGUAAUUGUUGGCAAACGUGUGCGAUGGAGUCUAGCAUGGCAGACGGGUUACGCAGAAAACUCGUGUGUGAUGGGGCACAAAUCGCACACAGUUCAUAUGUUGGUCCAUGUGCCUUACAUACUAUUUCCCAAAUGGUUUGUUACGACAGACCGUAUCGUUUCAGUGCGUCAUUAGAAACGCUUAAUCACUGAUACCACACGUGCGAAAGAAAUUAGUGCGUGAUGCAUCGCACACGAUUACAUUUUGGAAGGCCUCUGGAUCACUGCUCCAUAUCCCCGACGGUUUCUGGGCCGUGUGGGAAGGACACCCUAUCGCACACACUCACUUGGCGAUGGUUCCAAAUGCUGUCGCAGAAAAGGGUUAAAAACAGUUUGUUUAGGACCGACGCGUACCAGUGUCUAUCUAUCUAUCUAUCUAUCUAUCUAUGUAUCUAUCUAUCUAUCCAUCUAUCUAUCUAUCUAUCUAUCUAUCUAUCUAUCUAUCUAUCUAUCUAUCUCAAUCCACCUAUCUAUCUAUCCAUCUAUCUAUCUCUCCAUCUAUCCAUCUAUCUAUCCAUCUAUCCAUCCAUCUACUAUCCAUCUAUCUAUCCAUCCAUCCAUCUAUCUAUCCAUCCAUCCAUCUAUCUAUCUAUNNNNNNNNNNNNNNNNNNNNNNNNNNNNNNNNNNNNNNNNNNNNNNNNNNNNNNNNNNNNNNNNNNNNNNNNNNNNNNNNNNNNNNNNNNNNNNNNNNNNNNNNNNNNNNNNNNNNNNNNNNNNNNNNNNNNNNNNNNNNNNNNNNNNNNNNNNNNNNNNNNNNNNNNNNNNNNNNNNNNNNNNNNNNNNNNNNNNNNNNNNNNNNNNNNNNNNNNNNNNNNNNNNNNNNNNNNNNNNNNNNNNNNNNNNNNNNNUCUAUGUAUCCAUUUAUCCAUUGAUCCAUCUAUCGAUCCAUCCAUCCAUCCAUCUAUCCAUCAAUCUAUCUAUCCAUGUAUCCAUGUAUCCAUCUAUCCAUCUAUCGAUCUAUCCAUCCAUCUAUCUAUCUAUCUAUCCAUCUAUCCAUCUAUCGAUCUAUCCAUCUAUCUAUCUAUCCAUCCAUCUAUCGAUCUAUCGGUCUAUCCAUCUAUCGAUCUAUCCAUCUCUCCAUCUACCCAACUAUCCAUCUAUCCAUCUAUUCAUCUACCGAUCUAUCUAUCCAUCUAUCUAUCUAGCUAUCUAGCUAUCUAGCUAUCUAUCUAUCUAUCUAUCUAGCUAUCUAGCUAUCUAUCUAUCUAGUUAUCUAGCUAUCUAUCUAUCUACCUACCUACCUACCUACCUACCUACCUAUCUAUCUAUCUAUCUAUCUAUCUAUCUAUCUAUCUAUCUAUCUAUCUAUCUAUCUAUCUAUCUAUCUAUCUAUCUAAAGGAAAUAUGCCCUAGAUGCAAUAAUAAAGUUGUCAUUUAUAGUUCGUUAUAUCAUGAUAAACUAGCGGAGUCACCCGCGCAUUUGCGCGGCUAGAUUGACUACAUAUAUUGUUAUAUUUGGGAUUAUUUUUCUAUGCCAAUUUUAUGGCCUCUUACUCAGAUAUUAUCUAAUUGAAUUUACCACCACCAUAUGUUAUAUCCAUAGAUUAUAAUGAAAAGGCAACUUCCGACGAAACAUGGACAGAUUAUUGAGUGCUCAGAAGACGGACGCAAUAUCAUAUAUAGACUUCUAUACCAAUCUUCAUGGUUCCCAUCUUUGAUCCUCUCCUCGUCCCUUGGUAUCUAUCUUUGCACCCAAUAUGUCUUUGGAGUUCCAAGAAUUGAAUCUUAGCAUGAAUGGCUUCAAUGUGUACCAAAUGUUCUCUUGUUCCUCCCAAAUUAAUUACUGGUUGCAUUCUUAGUUGCUUUGACAUUCUUGGUUAAUGCAAUUUCUUGCCUACCAAUAUAUGCAUCCACACACGAUCAUAUUUAUAUGACCACUUACCUCUGUAUUCUGGUAUUUGUGCUUCAGAAUUUUUCUCUCAUUCAGUUUAUUCAUAGAUUAAAAACGUCGAUCGUUUCUUUAUUGGUUUGCAUUAUCUUGUUUGCCGAACGUAAGCAUCCACACAUGCUCGUCAUGAUAUGAUUGGUCAUCAUUGUAUAUUUGUAUUUGUGUGUUGAUAGCUUAAGGAUUUUCUCGGAUUCACUUCAUAGUUUAAGGAUUUUCUCGCGUUCAAUUUAUUCUACCUUAUUCAUUUUCAUGUUUCUUUAUUGCAUUUAUAUCAAUUCUUACAAUAUAUUUUCCAAGAUAUGAACUCAACUACUAAUUACGUAGUUUUUCAUCAAAAAUUACAUGUAAAAAUGUUACAAAUGCAUAAACAUGAUAAAAAUAUAUAUCAUAUUCCAUUGAGAGAUCGCCCAUUUAAAAAAAACACGUUGACUUACAAAAAGGACAAUUCAAGCUGCAUGUACGUCCGACUCAUGUUUACCUGACAAUGUCGAUGUUGAUUUCAGCAGUAAAUGAGCUGUGUGUGACCUUUGCGCUUUCCGGUAUUCUUCUAACCUGUGUGCUUUAUGAUCAGUUUGUUGUGCUUAGUACUGGACACUUGAGUAUACUAUCAUAUUUGGUACAAAUAAAUCUGAACUACUAUAGUUAUGAUCCACUGUAUAGUUAAUGGUGGUGGUAAUUAAUAUAUGUGGUUAAAUACUUGCGCUCCUUAGGUGGGGAGUUGGAUUUGUAUUUCCCUAAAAUAAAUUUCAGAUUUCGUAAUAGUGGUGAAGCCAGCCGGAAGAACCUCUGCGUCAUUAUUAAUUUUGGUGAUAUUUUUCUUCAUAGUGUAGAAUAAUUUUAGUGCUUAUUCCGCAAAAAAUAUGGCCUCAACUGACCCCAUAGCUUGUAUGUUGCGCCACCACUGUUUCCUAUAUCCUAUUACAUCCGUUGUUUUUAGAUCUUGAUGCAUAACUUUGACAAUAUUUAAUAGAUAUGUGUCUGUAUAAAAAAUUAUAAAUGCUAUGAUAAUUUGAUUAAUUAUGAUGAAUAAAAUGUUAUUGCUCUGACUUGAUCCCUCUAGAAUUUUCCAAAAUUUCACAUUACAGUUGUAGUAGUGCAUGCUACCUCUUGAGCACUGCGUUAGUUUUCCCUUGAAGAGGAAAGGGUGAUGCAGUAAAGUAGCGUCAGUAUUUCCCUCGGUUUUUGAGAACCAAGGUAUCAAUCCAGUAGGAGGCCACGCAUGAGUCCCUCGCACCUACACAAACAAAUAAAAUCCUCGCAACCAACGCAAUAAAGGGGUUGUCAAUCCCUUCACGGUCACUUACGAAAGUGAGAUCUGAUAGAUUUGAUAAGAUAAUAUUUUUGGUAUUUUUAUGAUAAAGAUGCAACGUAAAGAAAGCAAAAUAAAAAAAGCGCCAGAAAUAGCUUGUUGACGGGAGAUUAAAAUAGACCGGGGGGCCAUAGGUUUCACUAGUGGCUUCUCUCGAGAGCAUAAGUAUUUUGGUGGGUAGACAAAUUACUGUUGAGCAAUUGACAGAAUUGAGCAUAGUUAUGGGAAUAUCAAGGUAUGAUCAUGUAUAUAGGCAUCACGUCCGAGGCAAGUAGCCCGACUCCUGCCUGCAUCUACUACUAUUACUCCACACAUCGACUGCUAUCCAGCAUGCAUCUAGAGUAUUAAUUUCAAAAGAACAGAGUAACGCUUUAAGUAAGAUGACAUGAUGUAGAGGGAUAAACUCAUGCAGUAUGAUAUAAACCCCAUCUUGUUAUCCUCGAUGGCAACAAUACAAUACGUGCCUUGCUGCCCCUACUGUCACUGGGAAAGGACACCGCAAGAUUGAACCCAAGCUAAGCACUUCUCCCAUCGCAAGAAAGAUCAAUCUAGUAGGCCAAACCAAACUGAUAAUUCGAAGAGACUUGCAAAGAUAACCAAUCAUACAUAAAAGAAUUCAGACAAGAUUCAAAUAUUGUUCAUAGAUAAACUUGAUCAUAAACCCACAAUUCAUCGGUCUCAACAAACACACCGCAAAAGAAGAUUACAUCGAAUAGAUCUCCACAAGAGAGGCGGAGAACAUUGUAUUGAGAUCCAAAAAGAGAGAGGAAGCCAUCUAGCUAAUAACUAUGGACCCGAAGGUCUGAGGUAAACUACUCACACAUCAUCGGAGAGGCUAUGGUGUUGAUGUAGAAGCCCUCCAUGAUCGAUGCCCCCUCCGGCGGAGCUCCGGAAAAGGCCCCAAGAUGGGAUCUCACGGGUACAGAAGGUUGCGGCGAUGGAAUUAGGUUUUUGGCUCCGUAUCUGGUAGUUUGGGGGUACGUAGGUAUAUAUAGGAGGAAGAAGUACGUCGGUGGAGCAACGUGGGCCCCACGAGGGCGCGCCCCCCUACCUCGUGCCUUCCUGGUAGAUUUCUUGACGUAGGGAACAAGUCCUCUAGAUAACGUUCGUUCCCAAAAUCACGUUUCCGAAGGUUUCAUUCCGUUUGGACUCGGUUUGAUAUUCUUUUUCUGUGAAACUCUGAACUAGGCAAAAAACAGCAAUUCUGGGGUGGGCCUCCGAUUAAUAGGUUAGUCCCAAAAAUAAUAUAAAAGUGUAUAAUAAAGCCCAUUAAUGUCUAAAACAGAAUAUAAUAUAGCAUGGAACAAUAAAAAAUUAUAUAUACGUUGGAGACGUAUCAAGCAUCCCCAAGCUUAAUUCUUGCUCGUCCUCGAGUAGGUAAAUGAUAAAAACAGAAUUUUUAAUGUGGAAUGCUACUUGGCAUAAUUUCAAUGUAAUUCUCUUAAUUGUGGUAUGAAUAUUCAGACCCGAAAGAUUCAAGACAAAAGUUUAAUAUUGACAUAAAAAUAAUAAUACUUCAAGCAUACUAACUAAGCAAUUAUGUCUUCUCAAAAUAACAUGGCCAAAGAAAGUUAUCCCUACAAAAUCAUAUAGUCUAGCUAUGCUCUAUCUUCACCACACAAAGUAUUUAAAUUAUGCACAACCCGGAUGACAAGCCAAGCAAUUGUUUCAUACUUUUGAUGUUCUCAAACUUUUUCAAUCUUCACGCAAUACAUGAGCAUGAGCCAUGGACAUAGCACUAUAUGUGGAAUAGAAUGGUGGUUGUGGAGAAGACAAAAAAGGAGAAGAUAGUCUCACAUCAACUAGGCGUAUCAACGGGCUAUGGAGAUGCCCAUUAAUAGAUAUCAAUGUGAGUGAGUAGGAAUUGCCAUGCAACGGAUGCACUAGAGCUAUAAGUAUAUGAAAGCUCAACAAAAGGAACUAAGUGGGUGUGCAUCCAACUCGCUUGCUCAUGAAGACCUAGGGCAUUUUGAGGAAGCCCAUCAUUGGAAUAUACAAGCCAAGUUCUAUAAUGAAAAUUUGCCACUAGUACAUGAAAGUGAUAUCAUAGGAGACUCUCUAUCAUGAAGAUCAUGGUGCUACUUUGAAGAACAAGUGUGGUAAAAGGAUAGUAACAUUGUCCCUUCUCUCUUUUUCUCUCAUUUUUUUAUUUGGGUCUUUUAUCCUUUUUUAUGGCCUCUUUUUUUUAGUCCGAAGUCUCAUCCCGACUUGUUGGGGAAUCAUAGUCUCCAUCAUCCUUUCCUCACUUGGGACAAUGCUCUAAAAAAUGAUGAUCAUCACACUUUUAUUUACUUACAACUCAACAAUUACAACUCAAUACUUAGAACAAAAUAUGACUCCAUGUGAAUGCCUCCGGCGGUAUACCGUGAUAUGCAAUGAAUCAAGAGUGACAUGUAUGAAAGAAUUAUGAACGGUGGCUUUGCCACGAAUACAAUGUCAACUACAUGAUCAUGGAAAGCAAUAUGACAAUGAUGGAGUGUGUCAUAAUAAACUGAACGGUGGUAAGUUGCAUGGCAAUAUAUCUCGGAAUGGCUAUGGAAAUCCUAUGGUAGGUAGGUAUGGUGGCUGUUUUGAGGAAGGUAUAUGGUGGGUGUAUGAUACCGGCGAAAAGUGCGCGGUAUUAGAGAGGCUAGCAAUGGUGGAAGGAAGAAAGUGCGUAUAAUCCAUGGACUCAACAUUAGCCAUAAAGAACUCAUAUACUUAUUGCAAAAAUCUACAAGUUAUCGAAGCAAAGUAUUACCCGCAUCAUCCUAGGGGGAUAGAUUGGUAUGAAAAGACCAUCGCUCAUCCCAGACCGCCACUCAUAAGGAAGACAAUCAAUAAAUAAAUCAUGCUCCGACUUCAUCACAUAACGGUUCACCAUACGCGCAUGCUAAGGGAAUCACAAACUUUAACACAAAUAUUUCGCAAAUUCAAAACUACUCAACUAGCAUGACUCUAAUAUCACCAUCUCCAUAUCUCAAAACAAUUAUCAAGUAUCAAACUUCUCAUAGUAUUCAACACACUCAUAAGAUUUUUUUACUAAUCUUGAGUGCCUAUCAUAAUUAAAGCAAAUUACCACGCUGUUUUGUAGGACUAUCAAAAUAAUCUAAGUGAAUCAUGAGAGAACAAUAGUUUCUAUAAAACAAAACCACCACCGUGCUCUAAAAGACAUACGUGAAGCACUAGAGCAAAAACUAUAUAGCUCAAAAGAUAUAAGUGAAGCACAUAGAGUAUUCUAACAAUUUCCGAAUCAUGUGUGUCUCUCUCAAAAGGUGUGUACUGCAAGGAUUAUUGUGGCAAACUAACAAAUAAAUACUUCAAAUAAUACAAGACGCUCCAAGAAAAACACAUAUCAUGUGGUGAAUAAAAAUAUAGCUCCAAGUAAAGUUACCGAUGGAAGUAGACGAAAGAGGGGAUGCCUUCCGGGGCAUCCCCAAGCUUUGGCUUUUAGGUGUCCUUAGAUUAACUUGGGGUGCCAUGGGCAUCCCCAAGCUUAGGCUCUUGCCACUCCUUGUUUCAUAAUCCAUCAAAUCUUUCACCCAAAACUUGAAAACUUCACAACACAAAACUCAGCAGAAAAUCUCGUGAGCUCCGUUAGCAAAAGAAAACAAAACACCACUUCAAGGUACUGUAAUGAACUCAUUCUUUAUUUAUAUUGGUGUUAAACCUACUGUAUUCCAACUUCUCUAUGGUUUAUAAACUAUUUUACUAGCCAUAGAUUCAUCAAAAUAAGCAAACAACACACGAAAAACAUAAUCUGUCAAAAACAGAACAGUCUGUAGUAAUCUGUAACUAACGCAAUUUUCUGGGACACCAAAAAUUGACCCAAAAUAGGAAGACCUAGACAAUUUUUUUAUUGAUCAGCAGCAAUUGGGAUCAAUAUUUUAUCACGUCCUGGUGAUUUUUAACAAUUAUUUUCGUGAACAGAAAGUUUCUAGAAUUUUCAGCAAGAUCAAAUAACUAUCAUCCAAGAAGAUCCUAUAGGUUAAACUUGGCACAAACACUAAUUAAAACAUAAAAACACAUGUAACCAGAGGCUAGAUCAAAUAUUUAUUCCUAAACAAAAGAAAAAAUCAUAAAAAACUAAAAAUAAAAUUGGGUUGCCUCCCAACAAGCGCUAUCGUUUAAUGCCCCUAGCUAGGCAUAAUAGCAAUGAUAGAUCUAGGUAUUGCCAUCUUUGGUAGGCAAUCCAUAAGUGGCUCUCAUAAUAGAUUCAUAAGGUAAUUUUAUUUUCUUUCUAGGGAAGUGUUCCAUGCCUUUCCUUAAUGGAAAUUGGAAUCUAAUAUUCCCUUCCUUCGUAUCAAUAAUUGCACCAAUCGUUCUAAGGAACGGUCUACCAAGAAUAAUAGGACAUGAAGGAUUGCAAUCUAUAUCAAGAACAAUAAAAUCUACUGGCACAUAAUUCCUAUUUGCAACAAUAAGAACAUCAUCAAUUCUUCCCAUAGGUUUCUUAAUGGUGGAAUCCGCAAGGUGCAAGUUUAAAGAGCAAUCAUCAAAAUCACGGAAACCUAGCAAAUCGCAUAGAAUCUUUGGAAUCGUGGAAACACUAGCACCCAAAUCACACAAAGCAUAGCAUUCAUGAUCUUUAAUUUUAAUUUUAAUAGUAGGUUCCCACUCAUCAUAAAGUUUUCUAGGGAUAGAAACUUCCAACUCAAGUUUUUCUUCAUAAGAUUGCAUCAAAGCAUCAACGAUAUGUUUAGUAAGGCUUUAUUUUGACUAUAAGCAUGUGGAGAAUUUAGCACGGAUUGCAACAAGGAAAUACAAUCUAUCAAAGAGCAAUUAUCAUAAUUAAAUUCCUUGAAAUCCAAAAUAGUGGGUUCAUUAAUAUCUAGAGUUUUGAUUUCUUCAAUCCCACUUUUACCAUUUUUUGCAUCAAGAUCUAAAAACUCCGAAUUUUUGGAACGCCUUCUAGGUAGAGGUGGAUUAUAUUCAGUCCCAUCAUUAUCAAGAUUCAUAUUGCAAAACAAAGAUUUAAUAGGGGACACAUCAAUAACUUUUAGAUCUUCAUCUUUAUUUUCAUAGAAACUAGAAGAACACGCUUUCACAAAACAAUCUUUCUUAGCACGCAUCCUAGCGGUUCUUUCUUUGCACUCAUCAAUGGAAAUUCUCAUGGCCUUGAGAGACUCAUUGAUAUCAUGCUUAGGAGAAAUUCUAUCAGCGUUCCUAGCCAAUUCAUCAACUUUAAGCAAUUUUUCUUCAAGCAAAGCAUUGAAAUUGUUUUGCGAAUUCAUAAAUUCUUUAACACUAGUCUCAAAUUCAGAAGGCAUCUUAUUAAAAUUUCCAUAAUAAUUGUUGUAGGAAUUACCAUAAUUAUUAGAGGAAUUACUAGGAUACGGCCUUGGAUUAAAGUUUCCUCUAUACGCGUUGUUACCAAAAUUAUUCCGACCAACAAAAUUCACAUCCAUAGAUUCAUUAUUAUUCUCAAUCAAAGUAGACAAAGGCAUAUCAUUAGGAUCAGAAGAAACACUUUUAUUAGCAAAUAAUUUCAUAAGUUCAUCCAUCUUUCCACUCAAAACAUUAAUUUCUUCUAUCAUGCACUUUUUAUUAGUGGUUUUUUCGGUGUGCCAUUGAGAAUAAUUAACCAUAAUAUUAUCUAGGAGUUUAGUAGCUUCUCCUAAAGUGAUUUCCAUAAAAGUGCCUCCCGCGGCCGAAUCUAAAAGAUUUCUAGAAGAAAAAUUCAAUCCGGCAUAAAUUUUUUGUAUAAUCAUCCACAAAUUCAAACCAUGAAUAGGGCAAUUACGUAUCAUUAAUUUCAUCCUCUCGCAAGCUUGUGCAACAUGUUCAUGAUCAAGUUGCUUAAAAUUCAUAAUAUCGUUUCUAAGAGAGAUGAUCUUAGCGGGAGGAAAAUACUUAGAGAUAAAAGCAUCUUUGCACUUAUUUCAAGAAUCACUACUAUUUUUAGGCAAAGACAAAAACCAAGCUUUAGCACGAUCUCUAAGCGAAAAAGGAAAUAGCUUCAAUUUAACAAUAUCAUUGUCCACAUCUUUCUUCUUUUGCAUAUCACACAAAUCAACGAAGUUGCCAUGUCUAGGAAUGCUUGAAGCUUCAAAGAUUUCCUAUAAUACAACAUGCCUCUAACUAUUCACAAUAAGAAAAACAUGUAAAUGCGGAAUCAACCAAAUGUUGGUAAAUUGUAGUUGAUUUUGGCCAAGCAAACGUCAGAUGAAAGAAACAUACAUGAGUGAACAUCACGAUUGGAUGUUUUAUUCAAAUUUAACAGGUUAAACUCACCAAAUCCAUCUGGAUAUUUAGUAUUAAACUUCAACAGAUGGUGAGUUGUAGCUAGAUUCACAACACUGAAGCAAAAUUCCAUCUGCCACGGUUACAUCACACCAUCUUUUCAUCGUUACUAUUUAAAUUCCAAAUGCCUGCAACUCAUUUUUUUGUUACGAUGUAUGCAUGAUUUUUAACUCAAGAGGAAGAGGGGAAACUAAAUCCAAGAAAAGAACACCAAGGAAGCAUCCAAAAUAGAGAAAGGAAAAAUCCAAAAUAGAGGCAGAAUCGAAGGGAAGAAACCCCAUAAAAAAUAGGAGAUCAAACGGUGAAAAAAAUCUAAGAGUCAAACAAUUCCAGGUAAGACCAAAUCGACGACAAAAUAGCACAAGAGGGACUCACAUUAACAGGUAUACCAAUUCAGAAAGAAGUGUAAAGCGAACAGUGCAAUGGACCACUAGUAUAAAUUGGCUGUACACAAACAUGGGACUUAAACAGGAACUGCGAGAUGCAGGGUUCACGUGCAAACCCAAAAAACGGAAAACUGAAACGCACAACAAGAUUUUAUCUUCAUAUAUAUAUAUUAUGAGCUAUUGGCUUUUUAGUCAGGUAAAUAUCAUUCUUAAGACUACGGAAAACAGCAGGCGGCGAAGAAAACAUCUAUUGAUGAGAACUAUACACAUACUUAAGAAGGAAGUGACAUCUAUGGUAGCAGAACAUAUAUCAAGCUGUUGCAGCUACAUUAGCAGUUUAGCACAGUUCCUCCAUAAUACACAGGCUAGUGUAAUUUCACAAAUACAAUAAGCUAACAAUAUAUAUUUGGUAGAUGGAAAUGGCUGGAUCAUGACCAAUAUACCAUUACACAUCCGAUGAUGCAAAUAAACCACAAUAGAACAUGUAUUUGGCGAAACCUCCAUACUGCAAUAUCAAACAUGAAUUGAAAUUAACAAUCUAGCAAAAAAACAUGACAGAUGCAGUCUUGGUCAUUUUUCCUUUUGUGACAUCCCCUAAAAAAAGUAAAAACAAUGUUGUUCGUAUUUUACCAGAGAUACACUGAGCUGGGACAAAUUGGUCUGAAAUAAAAUAUGAUGGCUUCGGAGGAUUCGGAAGGGAAGAAAUUUGCUUUCUUCCAACAUAUAUGGUCUGCUGAACUAAACUUCGUUUCAGCGGGCUUUGCCAAAAAUCUGUAACUGCAAACAUCAACUUGUGUGCCCUUCCUACGUCAAACUUUAAACCUGAGCUCAGUGUACUUUAUGAGUGUUAAGUGUACUUUCUAAAUAGCAGAGAAACCAUAACAUCUAAGCACAACCCAGCAACUUGUACAAGCUAACAUCAAAUCUGAAAGAAGAAAUGUCGAGAACAGGUGAAGGUACCAUGAUCCACGACUGAGCAAAGUUAUCUAUUAUCCUCGGUGAAUAUCAUAAAUUAGGAUCAACUACGCUGAAGAACAAACGGGAAAGGAACCUAGAAAGAUCUUUUGCCGGUAGAAUAUAACUGAUACACUAUCCUCAUUCUCGAGAUCAAGGUCGUUUCUUGAAUUGCAGUUUCCUCACUGUAGUAUGGGGUCAUUACACUGCGAAGAACAAAGUGUCAUAUGAAUCAUUUAGAGCCCAAUCUUUUUCACUGAAACUCUUAUGAUCACAUAACGAAUUUAAACAUAAGGUUUAUUAGAUAUUUGUUGUUGUGAAUAGAUAAUAUAUUUCUGGUGUUGACAAUGUUUUGAUUAUGGAUGCACUUCAAGAUGGGUGGCACAGAUUCUGUUGUACAGGCCUCCACCUGGAAUUUCAUCACUUGUUAUUUUUGUUUUAGAAUGUCUAGGUGCAUUUUUCCUUUAAGGUGGAAACAGAUGUACUUGUAUAAGCAACAAGAAUACAAAGCGCCACUGCCAUACAUUGUGGAAGUUCAGUGCUUCUGUUUACAAAAUCUGCUUCCCAAAACAGAAGGUUUAUAAUUUUUUAUUACAAUCAAGCGGACAUGAGCUGAUGAGUACAGAUGUAGACAUGUACUGAGAGCAGCACCCUUUCAAAAGUGGAUCAUUUACAUGUUGGAUAGUUUGAUGGUCUGAAAUUAAUGGUCGUGUUUCAGAAUUGUUAUCGAAUAGUAGGGGAUAUAUAUUAACUUCUGAAAUUAGUGGCUGUUUGUCAGAACUGUUAUCGAAUAGUAGGGCACAUAUAUUAACUUCAAUAAGUGGACUAAUAUCUUUGGAUUCGCUGUGAGGAAAGAUUACCAAAACAAAACAGAAGUGAGUGCGACGACCCAGAUGAGGGCGCUCUUGAGCCUCUUCCCGACCGACCUAGAUGCAGGAGCAGAACACGGCGGAUCUAAUCAGCCAACCAAUAAAGCCGAGGAAGUAAGGGAGGAAGAAGACUGACUUGUCCUGGUCGCCCUCGUAGUUAGAACAUGGCGAACAGGAUGACGAGGAAGACGAGGACAGCGUCGAGGAUGUAGACGACGAGCCAGAGCAUGUUCAUGGGCAGGAUCAAGCAUGGGCAGGAUAAGGGCGCAGGCCCCGUUGUAGGCGGCGUGCUUGCAGGCCUGGCGGUUGGCGACGUCGGCGGGGAGCAUGAGGAUGGAGAGGACGGCGACGGUGAUGCCGAGCACGAUGACGAGCUUGAGGAAGUAGGCCUGGUUGGCAUCAUCCGGGUGCUGGUAGUUGACGAGCAGGCAGACGCUGACGAGGAGCACCAGGAUGCUGACCACCGCCGCCACGAUCACUAGCGCCACGUUAAAAAACCCAUAUCCUCGGGGCUCCGGUCCCGGUUCCGGCCCGCCGCCUCGCCCCCGUUGGUCGGUCAGAUCUCUCUGUCCCUAGAGGCGGGGGAUACAGGCUAGGGUUUGGGCGUGGGCGGGGAAUAGGCUGCUAUGGUGCCGGCAGCGGGGCGUGGAGGAGAGAAGGAUUAGGAGGAAUAAUUCACCACACUUUGAUUAACCUCUCGGCUGGGUCUUAUGUACAGAUUACAGGGCCAGCCAGGGAGAUCAUGAGGUGAUCCACUACCUGGGAUCGUGCGCCACGAUCACUACAUGCGUGCGCCACGAUCAUAUACACACACGCUACACCUAGUGUCUACGCAACUACGGUAUAGCAGUACGGUACAGUCUAACACCCCCCCCCCCCCGCAGUCGUGACGUCGUCGGCGGCGACGCAAAGACUGGACCGGAACUCAGAGAAAACAUCCGAUGGCAGGCCUUUGGUCAUGAUGUCCGCGAGUUGUUGGCGCGUGGGGAUGUGAAGAACACGGAAGUGGCCGAGGGCGACGCGCGCCCGCACGAAAUGGAUGUCCAGCUCCACAUGCUUAGUGCGGCGAUGAUGCAUCGGAUUGGCUGACAGGUAGACUGCGGACACAUUGUCACAGUACACCAGUGCUGCCUUGGUCACUGGAGCGGAGAGCUCGCCGAGAAGCUGGCGGAGCCAGAUGCAUUCAGCGACCGCGUUGGCGACGCCGCGGUAUUCAGCUUCGGCGCUGGAGCGCGAUACGGUCGCCUGGCGCUUGGAGGACCAGGAGACGAGAGCAUCGCCGAGGAAGACGCAGAAGCUCGACGUGGAGCGUCGGGUGUCGGGGCAGCCGGCCCAGUCCGCGUCGGUGAACGCAAGGACGUCGAGCGUGGUCGAGGCGUGAAGAUGAAGCCCGAGUGCGCAGGUGCCCUUCACGUACCGGAGCACGCGCUUGACGAGCGCGAGGUGGCAUUCGCGCGGGUCAUGCAUGUGCAAGCAGAUUUGCUGGACGGCGUAGGCGAUCUCUGGACGCGUGAUGGUGAGGUACUGCAGGGCCCCGGCGAUGCUCCGAUAGGCCGAGGGGUCGUCGACGCAGGGCCCAUCGGCUGAGAGGAGUUUGCUCUUCGUGUCGAUGAGUGUCGGGGAAGGGCGGCAGGUGUCCAUGCCGGCGCGUUCCAGGAGUUCGUCGGCAUAUUGUUGUUGCGACAGGAAGAAGCCAGCUCGGGUGCGGGUGACGCGGAUGCCGAGGAAGAAGGCGAGCGAGCCCAGGUCCUUCAUGGCGAAUUCGCCUGUGAGGCGCUGGAUGACAUGGUGAAGCACGCGUGACGAGGACGCGGUGAGCACGAUGUCGUGGAUGUAGAUGAGGAGGAACGCCAUGUCGUUGCCGUGCCGGAAGGUGAACAGCGACGAGUCCGAACGCGUAGCUGCGAAGCCAAUGGAGCGGACGAAGCCGGCGAAGCGGAGGAACCAGGCACGGGGCGCCUGCUUGAGCCCGUACAAGGACUUGGAGAGGCGGCAGACGUGCUCUGGUUUGUCGGGGUCGACGAAUCCGGCGGGCUGGAGGCAGUAGACUUCCUCCUCCAAGUUGCCGUGGAGGAAGGCGUUGGAGACGUCGAGGUGGUGCACCGGCCAGCCGCGCGACGCGGCCAUAGUGAGCACAGUGUGGAUCGUCGCUGGCUUGACGACGGGGGAGAACGUCUCGCCGUAGUCGACGCCGGCACGCUGAUGAAAGCCCCGCACGACCCAGCGUGCUUGCUAGCGGGCCAGCGCACCGUCGGCGUCGUUUUUGUGCUUGAAGAUCCACUUCCCUGUGAUCAGGUUGGCGCCGGGGGGGCGGGGCACCAGCUCCCAUGUGCGAUUGCGCACGAGCGCAUCGUACUCAGCACGCAUGGCACCGAGCCAGUUCGGGUCGUGAACAGCAGCGCGAACCGAACGCGGCACCGGCGACACCGAUGAUGAGGUAGAGGCGGUGGCCGCGUCGUAGUAGCGCGGGUUGGGGCGGAAGAUGCCGCGCUGGGCACGCAUGACCAUGGGCACAGGAGGCGCCGGUGCGCGGGGCGCCGUUGGUCGCGCGCUCGGAGACGAGCUGUCGGAGGAGCCACUGGCGGAGUUGUCGGAGGAGCCGCUGGCGGAGGCGAAGACAGGCGGACCUGGCGCGGAUGGGCACGUCGAGGACGGAGCAGAGCCGCCAUCGGAAGCGCCCGCAGCGCACCGCGAGCUAACGCGGCGCGCCCCGCUGGUUGGCGAUGAUGAGCGGGGCAGGCUGGUGAUGGAGAUCGGGCGCGCCGGCAGGACGGGUGACAUGCUGCUGUCAGGCACCGGUGGAAGCGCAGGCAGCGCAGGAGGCCGGACGGCGAGCGGGAUCUGCAGGGUAGAGGGUACGACGGGUGGCGUAGGCGACGGGGAAGAGGAUGCGAACGGGAAAACGUGGUCGUGGAAGAGAACGUGGCGAGACGUGAGGACACAGCGAGAGGUGAGGUCAAAGCAGCGAAAACCACGAUGAUCGGGAGGGUACCCGAGGAAGACGCAGGCGAUAGAACGUGGCUCGAGCUUAUGGCGGGUGGUGGCGGUGACGUUCGGAUAGAUGCGGAGUAAUUUGUGCGACGCCGAGCAGGAGUUCAUGCGGAGUGCAGGGCGCCGAGGCGCGGCAGGGCCGAUGAUUGAGCAGGUAGGUCGAGGUGUUGAGAGCCUCUGCCCAGAAGCGAGCGGGCAUGUGCGCAUGACAGAGAAGCACACGAACGCCGUCGUUGAUCGUGCGGAGAACUCGCUCGUCCUUGCCGUUCUGCUGACUGGUGUAUGGGCAGGUGAGACGGAAGUGUGUGCCGUGGCGAGCAAGCAGAGAGCGCACAGCUGCGCUGUCGAAUUCACGACCAUUGCCCGUUUGCAGUGCAAGUAUGGGUAACUGAAACUGAGUCUGAACAUAGGCAAAGAAAUCAACAAGUAUGGGAAGAACUUCAGACAUGUGUUUCAGAGGGAAAGUCCAGACAUAGUGACUGAAAUCAUCUAGUACAACUAAGUAAAACUGAUAGCCGGAUAUGCUUACAACGGGAGCGGUCCAUACAUCAAGGUGUAAAAGCUGGAAAGGAAAGAAACUAGCAGUGGUGGAUGUCUGAAACGGGAGCCAGGUGUGUUUGCCAACACGACAGGCAUGACAGACAGGCGGAUCACGGCAGAACUCCAGGGACUGAUCGGCAGCAACGGUGCGGAGUGCGGCAGCCCCUGGGUGGCCGAGACGUUGAUGCCACAGGUCGGUCGUGGCGGCGCCGGCGAAGAUGCCCGGGGAAUGGACGGAUGGCCGCACCACGGGAUAGAGAUCGCCGUCGGAGUCACAUCGGAGAAUCACUACCCUGGUUCGUAGGUCCUUGACAGAGAAACCACGAGCGUCAAAUUCAACAGAAACGGGGUAGGAACGACAAAGCUGCCGAACUGAAAGUAGGUUUUUGACGAGAGAUGGAGAGACGAGAACGUUGCGGAGAGGAAUGGGGGAAGUGCUGGUGAUCAGCGCGCCCGUGCCAACGUGGGUGAUGGGCAGGCGGUCACCACUGCCCACGAUGAUAGAUGCAGUAGUAGAGGACGGGCGAGUGGAGAGGAGAUUACCAGGGGAGGACGUCAUGUGCGCCGCGGCGCCGGAGUCGAGGUACCACUCCGGUGCGCUGCCAGAGGAGGAAGGGCUGGCCGAGGCGCUGUGGAGGGCGGCCUGGAGCGAGGCCAUGUCCCAUGGCUGGUGGGUUGCAGUCGACGAGCUGGCGCCGGGGUGCCCGUAGCCUGACAGGACGUCGGAGACGGGUGGAGUGACGCCGUAGCCGGGGAGGGUAGCGCCGUAGCCGUAUGGUGCAGCCGGCGACGGGGCGGCGAACAUGGCCUGCUGGUACGGCGUACCAGGGCGGGGGCCGAGCACUUCAGCUCCAGCCGCGCGCCAAGGCAUCGGCCAAGCCUGGACCAUGCCGGUCCAUGCGUUUGUACCGGGUGCAGGCGUGGGGUACGCUGGGGGAGGGCGGGGAGCCUGGGAGGACGGCGUGGGCGGGCCACCAAUGCCGUUGCCACGUCUGGGGCGGCGUCCGCGCCCACGCCCUUGGUUGGUGUUGCUGGGCGGGGGUGUGGGUGGUGUAGGAGAGCCGCCACGCCCGGCGACGAGAGCGUGCGCAGACUGCUGGCGAGUGGUCGACUGCUCUGCUCGGUGUUCCUCAAGCAGGACGAAGGAGCGCACCUGCAGGAACGACGGGAGCGGGACCUGCGAGGUGAUGUGAGGGAUGGCGGAGUGGAACUGCCGGUUCAGACCGCGGAGCAGGUUGAAGACCUGCCGCGAGUCGGUUACCGGCUGCCCGAGGUGGCGGAGUUGAUCCGUGAACGACUUCAUCUUGGUGCAGUACACCAUGAUCGACAUGUCGCCCUGAACGAUAGCGUGGUACUCGGCGUCGAGGUAGACAGCGCGAGCGAGGUGGUUGUCGCGGAAGAUUCCAUCGACCGCAGUCCAGACGGCCAGAGCAGUGUCGUCCGGCUGCAUGACGGCGUCGAGCAGGUCCGGCGAUAUGGUGGUGUAGAACCAGUGGACGACGACGUGAUCAGCCAUGCCCCACUCGGGAUCAUCGUGGCGGUGGAUGGCCGUGGCGCCGAACAUGCCGAUGACGGUGUCGAAGUGGCGGCGCCACUGCGUGUAGUUGCCGGCGAGAAGGUCGAGGGUGACCGGGACAUGACGACGGAUGUCCACGGUCUGCAGGAUCGCGGAGGCGACAGGUGCUGUAGCAGGAGGAGGAGGGAUGACGGGCACCGCGGGCGCGACAGGUGCUGGAGCCGGCGGUGCCUUGGCCAGGGGGACAGCGUUAAGGACGCCGUCGGCGCCGUGCUGCGAGGAGCGAGGGGACACGAUGGGGUUGUCAUCCAUGGCGGCGGAAGCGGGACUGGCGACCUGCGCGAAGGGAUUGAGCAGGUCGGGGGAAUCUGGUACCAUAGAGGAGAGAAGGAUUAGGAGGAAUAAUUCACCACACUUUGAUUAAGCUCUCGGUUGGGUCUUAUGUAUAGAUUACAGGGCCAGGGAGAUCACGGGGUGAUCCACUACCUGGGAUCGUGCGCCAGGAUCACUAUAUGCGUGCGCCACGAUUAUAUACACACAUGCUACAACUAGUGUCUACGCAACUACGGUAUAGCAGUACAAUACAGUCUAACAGGGCAGCCACCGGCGGGGAGGGCGGGAUCCACGCGGGGUGGCGGGAUUUGGGCAGGCGGUGGGCUCGGGGGAGGGCGGUGGCAGCGAAGCAGCAAGGAGGGGCUGGAGGAGAUGAAACGAAAGAGGUCGCGUGACACAGCGACAGCGUUGUCCAAUCCCCGCGCUGCCGAUUUAAAAAAAAGGUAAUGAUAACUCCCGAACGUUCGGGAGUUAAGCAUGGAAACCCGAACGGGUUUAGAUGGCAAGUUUAGUUUGCGUGAGAUUAGGAAAACAUGGCAAUUUUCUGACAAAAGAAAUGAAAAAGGAUGAAGUUGCCAUCCCUAUCAACUAAAGUUGCCAUCCCCUAUGAACUAAAGUUGCCAUGUAAAAACGUUCGGGACGAAAUGCUCAAAAUCCGAACGUUCGGAAGUUACUGGAUUCAAAAAAAUCCCCUUGCUGCCAAUCGCUGGUCCGUUUCUUUUUUCGCCCAAUCGCUAGGUGAUGACGUGGCUAUCGCGGGAAGGCGCCCUUGAUGCGUAGUCGAAUGGUUUUAAUUAAUAGGAAGCGAGUGCUUACUCUAGUUACUGAAUUAUGUACACCAAAUAAAGCCAUUUACACGUAGUUAAUGACAAAAAAAGUUGAUGUUUGCUACGCAAAUGUGUAGUACAAAUUAAGAAGUGCAAGAUAAAAAAAAAUGCUGGUCCUUGAUUCGUUGUUGAUCGUCAGCAUGCCAUCAUCAAUUUGUAGUUAAUUAUCAUACAAAUUGGCUCUUUCAUAGAGUUGGAGACUAGCUCCUUUGAUCAGCACGCGCUUAAACACAAACAGCACGUAUAUGUUUUGUCUCCGGAGUUCAAUUCUUCAUCGGCCAGUAAAAAUGGCCCGACCAGGUAGAGGAAAAGGCAUGUUUGUUAGUACGCCUGGAGGAAAUGCCUUUGAUUAGGGCAUCUUCAACAGCGACCAGUAAAUUUCCUCCCGCGUUCGUCCACGGAUAGGGGAUCAGUCCGCGGAUACGAAUACAGGAAUCAUCCAUCCAACGCUGUCCGCGUAUAUUUCAAACACAUUUUUUUUAAAAAUAGGAUGAAAUUCAUGCAAACACAAUGGAUUUCAUACAAACCGGACAAAAAUGUUUACAUUUUGGACAUUUUUUUUUACUAAAAACUCUACAGCCGGCGCCGGCGAAUAUCCACUCCGGCGACAUGGAUACCCUUGACUAGUCUACUGCCGGCCGCAGCGGAUCUCCGAUGUCGUCCCCAUGUCCGGCAGCUAUGAGCCCUAGAGGUAUAUGCUUCAGCGCAAAGAGCGGCUCGCCUCCCUACCGCUCAUCGGAGUGGAACAACCAGCUGAUGCUUCUGCCGAUGGAAAGGGUCCCUACGCUACACGGAUUAGAGUUGGUUUUGGGCUGGGAACGGCGGUGGCCUGCCAGAGGGCAAGACACCGACUGUGUAUGCUGGUGUCACCUGGUGUGGCAUUCGUGGGACCCAAGCGGCAGCGCCUCCUCGAUGAUGGCGGCGAGCGCGGACGUGUUGGACACCACCUCGUCGAUGUCCGUGCAGCCCGCUUCUUUCUCUAUAGGAAGGACGCGGUUACGCUCGCGUUGACAUCGGAUGACUCGGUCACAUGCACGGGAGGGGCGGUACGACAUGGCAUCGCCAAUGGCAGCCAUGAUGCCCGCGCCACCGUGCUCCCUCCCAGUGCCGACCUGGAGCAACUUGCCACUCCUCGGCUCGUGACCGGUGGGCUUGACGGGCCACCUAGCCAUUUUUUAUGCCAGACAACUCUUCUUCCUGCUCGUCAGAUGUCAUGGAUAAAACUGUUUAAGGAGGAAAAUGAUGAGUGGACGUGUGAUGCGGUUCUUGCCCAACAUCUGACAUUGUUUAAAUAGUGAGGGGACACGAGAGGAGCCAACCGGCGUUCUGUUUAAUGCCAACCGGCUCGCGAACGAACAUGUGGCCGGAGUAAUUAUCCUGGCACACACGAGGGUUUUAUGGUGGAAGGCGGGCAGUCUGCAGGAAUGAGGCGAGGAUGUGUGCUUAGCCGGCGUGCAGCAGGCGGUGCCCUCGGCCGGCGUGCUGCUUCCAUUGCGGAGGCAGUGAAAGGUCGCGUCCGCUCUGCAGCGCAUGAAUGCGGGCAGCUGGCGCAGAGCGGGAACGCGUGUGGGCGAGGGAGGAGGGGGUUUGGGCGGGUGGUCAGAAGAGGUCGUGGGUGUUGUCCGAACGCCUGCAAAGCCCCCCUCCAUGUUUGUCUCCAGUUUGCGGGAGAAAGUACGUCCGGACCGUCUCCAAUGGACCAAUACAGGCCCGCAUUGGAUGGCACAACACGUCCGGACGAUGUGGUCCGGAUGGUUGUGGACAGUUUAAUUGAGGGUCGGCGUUGGAGAUGCCUUAGAGUUUAUGAAUCCAUUGUGUUUUUCUAAUCAUAAAAAAGCACUUACAAUAAGUUAUAAGGAAAGACACGAUUAUAUGUUAGGUUCAGACUCCAGCUUUCGUUUUACAUAUGCUUUAUUCAUCCGACUGAUUCCAAUAGAGUGAGCCUAGCGUUGUUUUUCUGGAAACUCGCGGGAUAAGGAGACAUGCAUACACAUUCUUUCAAGCAAAUCACAUCCAUUUUUUUUAACUCAUUUUUCUUCUUUUAAUAAUAUAAUAGAUCAUUUAUAUUUUUUAUCUGAAACAGUUGACGUGUAAUUUAUAUUGUAAUCUGAGGAUAAUGUUUGGAUUUUACUUUCAAAUAUAUUUGAAAUGGCCAUGAUGGAAUCACAUCCAUUUAUUUUAUUAUUAUUUGAAUUUGAUCCAAAAGAUAAAUAAUGAGUAGAGGUCAUGUCAACUUUUCUGAGAACUUUGCUAAUCAAAAUAUAAAUUGUAUUUAAAAACAUCUAUUUUUUAGCACGCAUGAAAAACAUAACACGUAUCUUUUCACACAUAAUGAACGGUUGUCAUAAGAACUCAUGCCAUGCCACAACCUCCCUCCGACCCUGCCAACAUUGUUGCAGCUGCACUCGCAAGCCUUAGCGUAGAUGAUAAUUUAUACAAUUUGCGUAAAAACAAAAUAAGAUCUACAAAUGAAUAGAAGCUAGAACGUACAUUGGCAUGCACACACAUUGCAAGCCAUACUAAGCUGAUAAGUGUUAAUAACUUGUAUAACAUAUACAACACUUAACACAAGUAAAAGCAAUUUGAUGAGUCAUGGUCUAUCAAAGCCACAUUACUAGUCUAAUCCAUCUUAACAGGUCACACAUGAUUAAAAUCUUGUUUGUGUGCAAGUCAAGCUUAUCUAGUUUACAUGUAACAACUUGUAGAACAUUACAAAAUUUAUGUUUGCUAAUAACUUCUAGAACACUACAACACUUGACAUGUAAAAGGAAUUUGAUGAGUCAUGGCCUACUAAAGCAAGUUAUAUUACUAGUCUUAUCUACCUUAACAGGCCACACAAGAUUACAAACCAAGUUCUGUGCCAGCCAUGCUUAUCUAGUUUAUGCGUAACAAUUUGCAGAAAAUUACAAACUUAGUUUCAGAAAAAUAGGCAAUCUAGAUUAGUGUUUGAGCUGUAAAGUGAAUAAAAUGAGUCAUGCGUGUUAUCACACCUUUUUGGUUGUGGAAUGAUAGUGCAACAACAAGGAACUUUAAUGACCAGUUCAAGAAUACACUUGUAAGUAGUGCCACCGAACACAACAUACCAAAUUAUGAUUUUGAGAAGCAUCCAAGCACUUCCACACAAGCAAAUGCCAAUUGUGAAAGAGAUCAUGCCAUGGCAGCUAUAAAUAGGCCCGUAGCAUGACGAUCAUCCUUCCUCAUCCAUCAUUCUCAUAAGUAGAGCGCAUCAUUUAAGCCAAGCAAGCAGUGCUCAAUACAAAUCCACCAUGAAGACCUUUCUCAUCCUUGCACUCCUUGCUAUUGUAGCAACCACCGCCACAAUUGCAGUUAGAGUUCCAGUGCCACAAUUGCAGCCACAAAAUCCAUCUCAGCAACAACCACAAGAGCAAGUUCCAUUGGUACAACAACAACAAUUUCCAGGGCAGCAACAACCAUUUCCACCACAACAGCCAUAUCCGCAGCCGCAACCAUUUCCAUCACAACAACCAUAUCUGCAGCUGCAGCCAUUUCCGCAGCCGCAACUACCAUAUCCGCAGCCGCAUCUACCAUAUCCGCAGCCGCAACCAUUUCGACCACAACAACCAUAUCCACAACCGCAACCACAGUAUUCGCAACCACAACAACCAAUUUCGCAGCAGCAGCAACAACAACAACAACAACAACAACAACAGAUCCUUCAACAAAUUUUGCAACAACAACUGAUUCCAUGCAGGGAUGUUGUAUUGCAACAACACAGCAUAGCGCAUGGAAGCUCACAAGUUUUGCAACAAAGUACUUACCAGCUGGUGCAACAAUUGUGUUGUCAGCAGCUGUGGCAGAUCCCCGAGCAGUCGCGGUGCCAAGCCAUCCACAAUGUUGUUCAUGCUAUUAUUCUGCAUCAACAACAACAACAACAACAACAACAACAACAACAACAACCGUUGAGCCAGGUCUCCUUCCAACAGCCUCAACAACAAUAUCCAUCAGGCCAGGGCUCCUUCCAGCCAUCUCAGCAAAACCCACAGGCCCAGGGCUCUGUCCAGCCUCAACAACUGCCCCAGUUUGAGGAAAUAAGGAACCUAGCGCUAGAGACGCUACCUGCAAUGUGCAAUGUCUAUAUCCCUCCAUAUUGCACCAUUGCUCCAGUUGGCUUCUUCGGUACUAACUGAGAAGAGAAGAACUCUAGUAGUAGACAUAUGAUACACCGUUUUCUUAGUCCAUGGUUUGGUCGUUGUAGCGGUGAAAAAAUAAAGUGACAUGCAGUAUCAUGUAAGAACCCGAACUAUACUAGUUCAAACAUGGGAAUAAAAGACAAACACAUGUCUUGUCUACAUAUGAUUGUUUGUUUGAGUUCCACUCAUGUGCCCACUCACAAGUUCACCCCUAAUUAUAUAUAUUAUGCAUUAAGUAGAUAUUUAUGUUGCAUUAAUCUAAAGAUAACAAAAUGAGUCUGAAAUUUGACUUAAAUUGAAGUAUUUCCUUGGACGUUCAAAUGGAGUAUUAUUAAAGUAGUAAGGACUAUCCACAUCCUUGGCUUGCCCUUGAUCAAUUAUUUCCAGAGAAGCAUUCAAUUCAUCAAUCAAUUACAUUGAUUUUUGUGGCUGGUACUUCUCCUCAACAUGAGUAUAUUCAUCGCGGCUACUCCAAAUAGGCAUGAAUGAGGUACCGGUGCUCUGGAGCACUGGUACCUAACUGCUUCUCAUGUGAAGGGGUGCGGGCGCGGGAGAGGUGUUUUUGGUGGGCCAGGGGAGUAAGAAUCGGCCGUGGCAGCGGUCCAGACGCCCACAAAGCCCCGUAGUUUGUUUUUGGUUUACAGGAAAAUGCACAUCCAGACCGGCCUGCGGGCCGAUAUAGGACCGUAUUGGAUGGCAAAACAUGUCCGGAUGGUCGCGAGCGGUUUAAGGGUUAGCUUUUGUAACGCCUGGUUAGUUAUGCUAUGGUAAUUCCCUGCUAAUGAUGUCACGUCAGCACGAUUACUGUUGUUAACCUCACAAUGAUUCAAUCCCAUUCAAAUUCAAAUUUAAAAUAAAGGCAAAAAUCAAAAGUCUCAAACAUUAAAACUAAAAUCUUCGAGAGGUGAAAAAUAAUGCAUAAGUAAUUAUGGUGGAGCAACCACACUUUUAUAAAAUGUUUAAAUACUCUAAAAAUAAUAAAACAGUGGCUUAAACUAUUAUUUAAAUGCUUUUAAAAUAGUAAAAAUGUUCUAACUAAAUUAAUUGGGUACCAAACUUUUGGUGGCAGUGGUAUAUUUAGUAGAACUAAUUUAGAUGCUAAUAAAACAUAAAAGGAAAGACAAAACAAAUAAAAGUAAAAGGGGGCAACCCCUCGCUGGGCCUCGGCCAAGCUGGCCACUGGGCUAGCUAGGUUGGCCCAACCGCCUCCCUUAACCCCCCACUCCCCAUCGAACCCUAGACCGAUCGCCCCACUUCCCCCACACCCCCUCGUCAGCCUCCCCACCUCUCGAUCCCAUCUGGAUCGGGGAGGGGAUCGCCCCCAUCGACCCCGUCGCGGUCGCUGGAUCGCCCGCUCGCCCAUCGCCCGCCGCCGUCGCGAGACCUCCUCCCCGUCGCACGUCUCCGACUCUCCUCCCCUCUCGCUCCUCUUCCCCGACCCGAUCUGGAUCGGGAAGGGCCAAUGAGCCAAACGCCCCCCUCCAUCGACGAUGUGCUCCAGCACCGCCGCCCGAAGACCUCGCCCUCGCCGGACCUCGCGUCGCCUCCUCGUAUCCCUCCCCGACUCGCCUCCUCAAGCCACGCCGACCCCCUUCUCGGCAACGCUGUGAGCUGCCCCCGUUUCCAUCCUUCUCUUUCCACCGUGUUCACCGCGCUGCCUGCCGUGCCCCUCGCUGCGCGCACGCCCACCACCGUGCCAGCCCCUGCUCCGAGCCCUCUCCUGCACGCUUGUGCGCGCAUGACCCUAGCCGCGCCCACGCCGUGAUCCCCUUGUCCCGCCCGCCUUCGUCCCGCGCUCGCCGCGGCCCCCAUGCUCCCAUGCGCCCUCUUUUGGGGGCGUCGGCUGCCCCUGUCCCGCAGCUCGCUGGCAUGCGUCCCCGCCCGCGCCUCGCCACCGCUCUACUGCUACGCUACUAUUGCGCUGUGGCCGCCGCCGCUUCCCGCUGCUCUGCCAGCGCCAAAGCUCCCGGUUGGCCCUGCCGCUGCUCGCGUUUAACCGCCGGCCUAAGCGGCCUAACCUCCCCCCUCGCUAAUGAACCCCCACCGACCCGCUGACACCGGGACCCACAUCCCCUAAUUAACCAUUUAAUAAAUUAAAACUCUUAAAUUAACAUUAGUGUAUGACAUGUGGGUCCCCUAUUAAUUAAACUGAUUUAAUUAAAAUCUAUUAACUUUGAGUCUAUGACAUAUGGGCCCCACUAAACAUUUGACCAGUCAACGGUCCAGUCAAAUGCUGACCGGACAGUUGACCAGAGGGCCCCGCCAGUCAGCCAAUGUGCUGUUCUGCUGGGUACCUUUCUAAGUACACCUAGCAUUUUACAUUUACAAUAUUUGUUUUAAAAUAAAUUAGAAUAAUUUCAAAAAAAUAUUAAAACUUUUAAAAUUAAAAUAAAAUAAUCCAUAACUCGGAUGAAAUUACUUUAUACAUGGAAGUUGCUCAAAAAACGAGACGAAUUCGAAUACACAGUCCGUUCGUCUGCCACGCGUCCCUAGCAUAGCGAACAUGCAACCAUCCCCCUCCGGUUCGACUCUCCGAAAAAUUAUUAUUGCACAUGCCCGCUAAGAGGUUGGCUGUAUAUGACAUGACAACUUCUUAUAGCCGACCCUUGGCUGUAAUAUUAACCAUGCUCUUAGUGAGGUAGCUAGUAUAUCAUAGACGACUAGCUAGUAUCAGACUAGCCAAAGUGGGAGUAACUUCAGCAGUAACAUCGACUCCAACUCAGCAAACUUGCUUAUGUGGGAGUAAACCCUGCCUAAUGCAAAAUACAAUCCCAGUCGUAAUUUUUUCAGGAAACGUGUGGGAUCCCAAACGAAAAGCACACGUCACUCUUGCGGCAACCGUCGGUGACACCCAAUAAAUCACAAACGGUAUGCAGCACUUGUAUGUGUGCAAAGGGGCUCCUGAACCGUUUGUGAUAGAACAUUAUCGCAGACGGUAAUUGUUGGCAAACGUGUGCGAUGGAGUCUAGCAUGGCAGACGGGUUACGCAGAAAACUCGUGUGCGAUGGGGCACAAAUCGCACACUGUUCAUAUGUUGGCCCAUGUGCCUUACAUACUAUUUCCCAAAUGGUUUGUUACGACAGACCGUAUCGUUUCAGUGCGUCAUUAGAAACGCUUAAUCACUGAUACCACACGUGCGAAAGAAUUUAGUGCGUGCUGCAUCGCACACGAUUACAUUUUGGAAGGCCUCUGGAUCACUGCUCCAUAUCCCCGACGGUUUCUGGGCCGUGUGGGAAGGACACCCUAUCACACACACUCACUUGGCGACGGCUCCAAAUGCUGUCGUGGAAAGGGGUUAAAAACAGUUUGUUUAGGACCGACGCGUACCAGUGUCUAUCUAUCUAUCUAUCUAUCUAUCCAUCUAUCUAUCUAUCUAUCUAUCUAUCUAUCUAUCAAUCUAUCUAUCCAUCUAUCCAUCUAUCCAUCUAUCCAUCUAUCCAUCUAUCUAUCUCAAUCCACCUAUCUAUCUAUCCAUCUAUCCAUCUAUCUAUCUCUCCAUCUAUCCAUCUAUCUAUCCAUCUAUCCAUCCAUCUACUAUCCAUCUAUCUAUCCAUCCAUCCAUCUAUCUAUCCAUCCAUCUAUCUAUCUAUCUAUCUAUCUAUCUAUCUAUCUAUCUAUCUAUCUAUCUAUCUGUCUGUCUAUCUAUCUAUCUAUCUGUCUGUCUGUCUAUCUAUCUAUCUAUCCAUCUAUUCAUCUAUCUAUCUAUGUAUCCAUUUAUCCAUUGAUCCAUCUAUCGAUCCAUCGAUCCAUCCAUCUAUCCAUCCAUCUAUCCAUCCAUCUAUCUAUCCAUAUAUCCAUGUAUCCAUGUAUCCAUCUAUCCAUCUAUCGAUCUAUCCAUCUAUCCAUCUAUCCAUCUAUCCAUCUAUCUAUCUAUCCAACCAUCUAUCGAUCUAUCGAUCUAUCGGUCUAUCCAUCUAUCGAUCUAUCCAUCUCUCCAUCUACCAAUCUAUCCAUCUAUUCAUUUACCGAUCUAUCUAUCCAUCUAUCUAUCUAGCUAUCUACCUAUCUAUCUAUCUAUCUAUCUAGCUAUCUAGCUAUCUAUCUAUCUAGUUAUUUAGCUAUCUAUCUGUCUACCUACCUACCUACCUAUCUAUCUAUCUAUCUAUCUAUCUAUCUAUCUAUCUAUCUAAAGGAAAUAUGCCCUAGAUGCAAUAAUAAAGUUGUCAUUUAUAUUUCCUUAUAUCAUGAUAAACUAGCGGAGUCACCCGCGCAUUUGCGCGGCUAGAUUGACUACAUAUAUUGUUAUAUUUGGGAUUAUUUUUCUAUGCCAAUUUUAUGGCCUCUUACUCAGAUAUUAUCUAAUUGAAUUUACCACCACCAUAUGUUAUAUCCAUAGAUUAUAAUUAAAAGGCAACUUCCGACGAAACAUGGACAGAUUAUUGAGUGCUUAGAAGACGGACGCAAUAUCAUAUAUAGACUUCUAUACCAAUCUUCAUGGUUCCCAUCUUUGAUCCUCUCCUCGUCCCUUGGUAUCUAUCUUUGCACCCAAUAUGUCUUUGGAGUUCCAAGAAUUGAAUCUUAGCAUGAAUGGCUUCAAUGUGUACCAAAUGUUCUCUUGUUCCUCCCAAAUUAAUUACUGGUUGCAUUCUUAGUUGCUUUGACAUUCUUGGUUAAUGCAAUGUCUUGCCUACCAAUAUAUGCAUCCACACACGAUAAUAUUUAUAUGACCACUUACCUUUGUAUUCUGGUAUUUGUGCUUCAGAAUUUUUCUCUCAUUCAGUUUAUUCAUAGAUUAAAAACGUCGAUCGUUUCUUUAUUGGUUUGCAUUAUCUUGUUUGCCGAACGUAAGCAUCCACACAUGCUCGUCAUGAUAUGAUUGGUCAUCAUUGUAUAUUUGUAUUUGUGUGUUGAUAGCUUAAGGAUUUUCUCGGAUUCACUUCAUAGUUUAAGGAUUUUCUCGCGUUCAAUUUAUUCUACCUUAUUCAUUUUCAUGUUUCUUUAUUGCAUUUAUAUCAAUUCUUACAAUAUAUUUUCCAAGAUAUGAACUCAACUGCUAAUUACGUAGUUUUUCAUCAAAAAUUACAUGUAAAAAUGUUACAAAUGCAUAAACAUGAUAAAAAUAUAUAUCAUAUUCCAUUGAGAGAUCGCCCAUUUAAAAAAAACACGUUGACUUACAAAAAGGACAAUUCAAGCUGCAUGUACGUCCGACUCAUGUUUACCUGACAAUGUCGAUGUUGAUUUCAGCAGUAAAUGAGCUGUGUGUGACCUUUGCGCUUUCCGGUAUUCUUCUAACCUGUGUGCUUUAUGAUCAGUUUGUUGUGCUUAGUACUGGACACUGGAGUAUACUAUCAUAUUUGGUACAAAUAAAUCUGAACUACUAUAGUUAUGAUCCACUCUAUAGUUAAUGGUGGUGGUAAUUAAUAUAUGUGGUUAAAUACUUGCGCUCCUUAGGUGGGGAGUUGAAUUUGUAUUUCCCUAAAAUAAAUUUCAGAUUUCGUAAUAGUGGUGAAGCCAGCCGGAAGAACCUCUGCGUCAUUAUUAAUUUUGGUGAUAUUUUUCUUCAUAGUGUAGAAUAAUUUUAGUGCUUAUUCCGCAAAAAAUAUGGCCUCAACUGACCCCAUAGCUUGUAUGUUGCGCCACCACUGUUUCCUAUAUCUUUUUACAUCCGUUGUUUUUAGAUCUUGAUGCAUAACUUUGACAAUAUUUAAUAGAUAUGUGUCUGUAUAAAAAAUUAUAAAUGCUAUGAUAAUUUGAUUAAUUAUGAUGAAUAAAAUGUUAUUGCUCUGACUUGAUCCCUCUAGAAUUUUCCAAAAUUUCACAUUACAGUUGUAGUAGUGCAUGCUACCUCUUGAGCACUGCAUUAGUUUUCCCUUGAAGAGGAAAGGGUGAUGCAGUAAAGCAGCGUCAGUAUUUCCCUCGGUUUUUGAGAACCAAGGUAUCAAUCCAGUAGGAGGCCACGCAUGAGUCCCUCGCACCUACACAAACAAAUAAAAUCCUCGCAACCAACGCAAUAAAGGGGUUGUCAAUCCCUUCACGGUCACUUACGAAAGUGAGAUCUGAUAGAUUUGAUAAGAUAAUAUUUUUGGUAUUUUUAUGAUAAAGAUGCAACGUAAAGAAAGCAAAAUAAAAAAAGCGCCAGAAAUAGCUUGUUGACGGGAGAUUAAAAUAGACCGGGGGGCCAUAGGUUUCACUAGUGGCUUCUCUCGAGAGCAUAAGUAUUUCGGUGGGUAGACAAAUUACUGUUGAGCAAGUGACAGAAUUGAGCAUAGUUAUGAGAAUAUCAAGGUAUGAUCAUGUAUAUAGGCAUCACGUCCGAGGCAAGUAGCCCGACUCCUGCCUGCAUCUACUACUAUUACUCCACACAUCGACCGCUAUCCAGCAUGCAUCUAGAGUAUUAAGUUCAAAAAACAGAGUAACGCUUUAAGUAAGAUGACAUGAUGUAGAGGGAUAAACUCAUGCAAUAUGAUAUAAACCCCAUCUUGUUAUCCUCGAUGGCAACAAUACAAUACGUGCCUUGCUGCCCCUACUGUCACUGGGAAAGGACACCGCAAGAUUGAACCCAAGCUAAGCACUUCUCCCAUCGCAAGAAAGAUCAAUCUAGUAGGCCAAACCAAACUGAUAAUUCGAAGAGACUUGCAAAGAUAACCAAUCAUACAUAAAAGAAUUCAGACAAGAUUCAAAUAUUGUUCAUAGAUAAACUUGAUCAUAAACCCACAAUUCAUCGGUCUCAACAAACACACCGCAAAAGAAGAUUACAUCGAAUAGAUCUCCACAAGAGAGGGGGAGAACAUUGUAUUGAGAUCCAAAAAGAGAGAAGAAGCCAUCUAGCUAAUAACUAUGGACCCGAAGGUCUGAGGUAAACUACUCACACAUCAUCGUAGAGGCUAUGGUGUUGAUGUAGAAGCCCUCCGUGAUCGAUGCCCCCUCCGGCGGAGCUCCGGAAAAGGCCCCAAGAUGGGAUCUCACGGGUACAGAAGGUUGCGGUGAUGGAAUUAGGUUUUUGGCUCCGUAUCUGGUAGUUUGGGGGUACGUAGGUAUGUAUAGGAGGAAGAAGUACGUCGGUGGAGCAACGUGGGCCCCACGAGGGCGCGCCCCCCUACCUCGUGCCUUCCUGGUAGAUUUCUUGACGUAGGGAACAAGUCCUCUAGAUAACGUUCGUUCCCAAAAUCACGUUUCCGAAGGUUUCAUUCCGUUUGGACUCCGUUUGAUAUUCUUUUUCUGUGAAACUCUGAACUAGGCAAAAAACAACAAUUCUGGGGUGGGCCUCCGGUUAAUAGGUUAGUCCCAAAAAUAAUAUAAAAGUGUAUAAUAAAGCCCAUUAAUGUCUAAAACAGAAUAUAAUAUAGCAUGGAACAAUAAAAAAUUAUAUAUACGUUGGAGACGUAUCAAGCAUCCCCAAGCUUAAUUCUUGCUCGUCCUCGAGUAGGUAAAUGAUAAAAACAGAAUUUUUAAUGUGGAAUGCUACUUGGCAUAAUUUCAAUGUAAUUCUCUUAAUUGUGGUAUGAAUAUUCAGACCCGAAAGAUUCAAGACAAAAGUUUAAUAUUGACAUAAAAAUAAUAAUACUUCAAGCAUACUAACUAAGCAAUUAUGUCUUCUCAAAAUAAAAUGGCCAAAGAAAGUUAUCCCUACAAAAUCAUAUAGUCUAGCUAUGCUCUAUCUUCACCACACAAAGUAUUUAAAUUAUGCACAACCCGGAUGACAAGCCAAGCAAUUGUUUCAUACUUUUGAUGUUCUCAAACUUUUUCAAUCUUCACGCAAUACAUGAGCAUGAGCCAUGGACAUAGCACUAUAUGUGGAAUAGAAUGGUGGUUGUGGAGAAGACAAAAAAGGAGAAGAUAGUCUCACAUCAACUAGGCGUAUCAACGGGCUAUGGAGAUGCCCAUUAAUAGAUAUCAAUGUGAGUGAGUAGGAAUUGCCAUGCAACGGAUGCACUAGAGCUAUAAGUAUAUGAAAGCUCAACAAAAGGAACUAAGUGGGUGUCCAUCCAACUCGCUUGCUCAUGAAGACCUAGGGCAUUUUGAGGAAGCCCAUCAUUGGAAUAUACAAGCCAAGUUCUAUAAUGAAAAUUUCCCACUAGUACAUGAAAGUGAUAUCAUAGGAGACUCUCUAUCAUGAAGAUCAUGGUGCUACUUUGAAGAACAAGUGUGGUAAAAGGAUAGUAACAUUGUCCCUUCUCUCUUUUUCUCUCUUUUUUUAUUUGGGUCUUUUAUUCUUUUUUUAUGGCCUCUUUUUUUUAGUCCGAAGUCUCAUCCCGACUUGUGGGGGAAUCAUAGUCUCCAUCAUCCUUUCCUCACUUGGGACAAUGCUCUAAAAAAAUGAUGAUCAUCACACUUUUAUUUACUUACAACUCAACAAUUACAACUCAAUACUUAGAACAAAAUAUGACUCUAUGUGAAUGCCUCCGGCGGUAUACCGUGAUAUGCAAUGAAUCAAGAGUGACAUGUAUGAAAGAAUUAUGAACGGUGGCUUUGCCACAAAUACAAUGUCAACUACAUGAUCAUGGAAAGCAAUAUGACAAUGAUGGAGUGUGUCAUAAUAAACUGAACGGUGGUAAGUUGCAUGGCAAUAUAUCUCAGAAUGGCUAUGGAAAUGCCACGGUAGGUAGGUAUGGUGGCUGUUUUGAGGAAGGUAUAUGGUGGGUGUAUGAUACCGGCGAAAAGUGCGCGGUAUUAGAGAGGCUAGCAAUGGUGGAAGGAAGAAAGUGCGUAUAAUCCAUGGACUCAACAUUAGCCAUAAAGAACUCAUAUACUUAUUGCAAAAAUCUACAAGUUAAUGAAAAUCUAGGGGGAUAGAUUGGUAGGAAAAGACCAUCGCUCGUCCCCGACCGCCACUCAUAAGGAAGACAAACAAUAAAUAAAUCAUGCUCCGACUUCAUCACAUAACGGUUCACCAUACGUGCAUGCUAAGGGAAUCACAAACUUUAACACAAGUAUUUCGCAAAUUCAAAACUACUCAACUAGCAUGACUGUAAUAUCACCAUCUCCAUAUCUCAAAACAAUUAUCAAGUAUCAAACUUCUCAUAGUAUUCAACACACUCAUAAGAUUUUUUUUACUAAUCUUGAGUGCCUAUCAUAAUUAAAGCAAAUUACCACGCUGUUUUGUAGGACUAUCAAAAUAAUCUAAGUGAAUCAUGAGAGAACAAUAGUUUCUAUAAAAAAAAACCACCACCGUGCUCUAAAAGAUAUACGUGAAGCACUAGAGCAAAAACUAUAUAGCUCAAAAGAUAUAAGUGAAGCACAUAGAGUAUUCUAACAAUUUCCGAAUCAUGUGUGUCUCUCUCAAAAGGUGUGUACUGCAAGGAUUAUUGUGGCAAACUAACAAAUAAAGACUUCAAAUAAUACAAGACGCUCCAAGAAAAACACAUAUCAUGUGGUGAAUAGAAAUAUAGCUCCAAGUAAAGUUACCGAUGGAAGUAGACGAAAGAGGGGAUGCCUUCCGGGGCAUCCCCAAGCUUUGGCUUUUAGGUGUCCUUAGAUUAUCUUGGGGUGCCAUGGGCAUCCCCAAGCUUAGGCUCUUGCCACUCCUUGUUUCAUAAUCCAUCAAAUCUUUCACCCAAAACUUGAAAACUUCACAACACAAAACUCAGCAGAAAAUCUCGUGAGCUCCGUUAGCAAAAGAAAACAAAACACCACUUCAAGGUACUGUAAUGAACUCAUUAUUUAUUUAUAUUGGUGUUAAACCUAAUGUAUUCCAACUUCUCUAUGGUUUAUAAACUAUUUUACUAGCCAUAGAUUCAUCAAAAUAAGCAAACAACACACGAAAAACAUAAUCUGUCAAACACAGAACAGUCUGUAGUAAUCUGUAACUAACGCAAUUUUCUGGGACUCCAAAAAUUGACCCAAAAUAGGAAGACCUAGACAAUUUUUUUAUUGAUCAGCAGCAAUUGGAAUCAAUAUUUUAGCACGUCCUGGUGAUUUUUAACAAUUAUUUUCAUGAACAGAAAGUUUCUGGAAUUUUCAGCAAGAUCAAAUAACUAUCAUCCUAGAAGAUCCUAUAGGUUAAACAUGGCACAAACACUAAUUAAAACAUAAAAACACAUGUAACCAGAGGCUAGAUCAAAUAUUUAUUCCUAAAAAAAAGAAAAAAGCAAAAAAACUAAAAAUAAAAUUGGGUUGCCUCCCAACAAGCGCUAUCGUUUAACGCCCCUAGCUAGGCAUAAUAGCAAGGAUAGAUCUAGGUAUUGCCAUCUUUGGUAGGCAAUCCAUAAGUGGCUCUCAUAAUAGAUUCAUAAGGUAAUUUUAUUUUCUUUCUAGGGAAGUGUUCCAUGCCUUUCCUUAAUGGAAAUUGGAAUCUAAUAUUCCCUUCCUUCAUAUCAAUAAUUGCACCAAUCGUUCUAAGGAAAGGUCUACCAAGAAUAAUAGGACAUGAAGGAUUGCAAUCUAUAUCAAGAACAAUAAAAUCUACGGGCACAUAAUUCCUAUUUGCAACAAUAAGAACAUCAUCAAUUCUUCCCAUAGGUUUCUUAAUGGUGGAAUCCGCAAGGUGCAAGUUUAAAGAGCAAUCAUCAAAAUCACGGAAACCUAGCAAAUCGCACAAAAUCUUUGGAAUCGUGGAAACACUACCACCCAAAUCACACAAAGCAUAGAAUUCAUGAUCUUUAAUUUUAAUUUUAGUAGUAGGUUCCCACUCAUCAUAAAGUUUUCUAGGGAUAGAAACUUCCAACUCAAGUUUUUCUUCAUAAGAUUGCAUCAAAGCAUCAACGAUAUGUUUAGUAAGGCUUUAUUUUGACUAUAAUCAUGUGGAGAAUUUAGCACGGAUUGCAACAAGGAAAUACAAUCUAUCAAAGAGCAAUUAUCAUAAUUAAAUUCCUUGAAAUCCAAAAUAGUGGGUUCAUUAAUAUCUAGAGUUUUGAUUUCUUCAAUCCCACUUUUACCAAUUUUUGCAUCAAGAUCUAAAAACUCUGAAUUUUUGGAACGCCUUCUAGGUAGAGGUGGAUCAUAUUCAGUCCCAUCAUUAUCAAGAUUCAUAUUGCAAAACAAAGAUUGAAUAGGGGACACAUCAAUAACUUUUAGAUCUUCAUCUUUAUUUUCAUAGAAACUAGAAGAACACGCUUUCACAAAACAAUCUUUCUUAGCACGCAUCCUAGCGGUUCUUUCUUUGCACUCAUCAAUGGAAAUUCUCAUGGCCUUGAGAGACUCAUUGAUAUCAUGCUUAGGAGAAAUUGUAUCAGCGUUCCUAGCCAAUUCAUCAACUUUAAGCAAUUUUUCUUGAAGCAAAGCGUUGAAAUUGUUUUGCGAAUUCAUAAAUUCUUUAACACUAGUCUCAAAUUCAGAAGGCAUCUUAUUAAAAUUUACAUAAUAAUUGUUGUAGGAAUUACCAUAAUUAUUAGAGGAAUUACUAGGAUACGACCUUGGAUUAAAGUUUCCUCUAUACGCGUUGUUACCAAAAUUAUUCCGACCAACAAAAUUCACAUCCAUAGAUUCAUUAUUAUUCUCAAUCAAAGUAGACAAAGGCAUAUCAUUAGGAUCAGAAGAAACACUUUUAUUAGCAAAUAAUUUCAUAAGUUCAUCCAUCUUACACUCAAAACAUUAAUUUCUUCUAUCGCAUGCACUUUUUUAUUAGUGGAUUUUUCGGUGUGCCAUUGAGAAUAAUUAACCAUAAUAUUAUCUAGGAGUUUAGUAGCUUCUCCUAAAGUGAUUUCCAUAAAAGUGCCUCCCGCGGCCGAAUCUAAAAGAUUUCUAGAAGAAAAAUUCAAUCCGGCAUAAAAAUUUUGUAUAAUCAUCCACAAAUUCAAACCAUGAGUAGGGCAAUUACGUAUCAUUAAUUUCAUCCUCUCGCAAGCUUGUGCAACAUGUUCAUGAUCAAGUUGCUUAAAAUUCAUAAUAUCGUUUCUGAGAGAGAUGAUCUUAGUGGGAGGAAAAUACUUAGAGAUAAAAGCAUCUUUGCACUUAUUUCAAGAAUCACUACUAUUUUUAGGCAAAGACGAAAACCAAGCUUUAGCACGAUCUCUAAGCGAAAAAGGAAAUAGUUUCAAUUUAACAAUAUCAUUGUCCACAUCUUUCUUCUUUUGCAUAUCACACAAAUCAACGAAGUUGCCAUGUCUAGGAAUGCUUGAAGCUUCAAAGAUUUCCUAUAAUACAACAUGCCUCUAACUAUUCACAAUAAGAAAAACAUGUAAAUGCGGAAUCAACCAAAUGAUGGUAAAUUGUAGUUGAUUUUGGCCAAGCAAACGUCAGAUGAAAGAAACAUACAUGAGUGAACAUCACUAUUGGAUGUUUUAUUCAAAUUUAAUAGGUUAAACUCACCAAAUCCAUCUGGAUAUUUAGUAUUAAACUUCAACAGAUGGUCAGUUGUAGCUAGAUUCACACCACUGAAGCAAAAUUCCAUCUGCCACGGUUACAUCACACCAUCUUUUCAUCGUUACUAUUUAAAUUCCAAAUGCCUGCAACUCAUUUUUUUUGUUACGAUGUAUGCAUGAUUUUUAACUCAAGAGGAAGAGGGGAAACUAAAUCCAAGAAAAGAACACCAAGGAAGCAUCCAAAAUAGAGAAAGGAAAAAAAUCCAAAAUAGAGGCAGAAUCGAAGGGAAGAAACCCCAUAAAAAAUAGGAGAUCAAACGGUGAAAAAAAUCUAAGAGUCAAACAAUUCUAGGUAAGACCAAAUCGACGGCAAAAUAGCACAAGAGGGACUCACAUUAACAGGUAUACCAGGUAUACCAAUUUAGAAAGAAGUGUAAAGCGAACAGUGCAAUGGACCACUAGUAUAAAUUGGAUGUACACAAACAUGGGACUUAAACAAGAACUGCGAGAUGCAGGGUUCACGUGCAAACCCAAAAAAUGGAAAACUGAAACCCACAACAAGAUUUUAUCUUCAUAUAUAUAUAUAUAUAUAUAUAUAUAUAUAUAUAUAUAUAUAUAUAUAUAUAUAUAUAUAUAUAUAUUCAAGGCUCGCCCUAUCUAUUAGUUGCUUCUUCCGAAUCCCCACCUAUCAAGCGUUUUCUCUGAAUAAACAAACACAAUAGUAUUCUUUGAAUUAUACUGUACAACGGUAAUUAACCAAGCGACUGGAAUUAACAAUAUUAUGAGCUAUUGGCUUUUUAGUCAGGUAAAUAUCAUUCUUAAGACUACGGAAAACAACAGGCGGCGAAGAAAACAUCUAUUUAUGAGAACUAUACACAUACUUAAGAAGGAAGUGACAUCUAUGGUAGCAGAACAUAUAUCAAGCUGUUGCAGCUACAUUAGCAGUUUAGCACAGUUCCUCCAUAAUACACAGGCUAGUGUAAUUUCACAAAUACAAUAAGCUAACAAUAUAUAUUUGGUAGAUGGAAAUGGCUGGAUCAUGAGCAAUAUACCAUUACACAUCCGAUGAUGCAAAUAAAGAAACGAGGCCCAACAAUAGUGGAAAAUAAACCACAAUAGAACAUGUAUUUGGCGAAACCUCCAUACUGCAAUAUCAAACAUGAAUUGAAAUUAACAAUCUAGCAAAAAAACAUGACAGAUGCAGUCUUGGUCAUUUUUCCUUUUGUGACAUCCCCUAAAAAAAGUAAAAACAAUGUUGUUCGUAUUUUACCAGAGAUACACUGAGCUGGGACAAAUCGGUCUGAAAUAAAAUAUGAUGGCUUCGGAGGAUUCGGAAGGCAAGAAAUUUGCUUUCUUCCAACAUAUAUGGUCUGCUGAACUAAACUUCGUUUCAACGGGCUUUGGCAAAAAUCUGUAACUGCAAACAUCAACUUGUGUGCCCUUCCUACGUCAAACUUUAAACUUGACGGAUUAAAUAUUUUAGGUUAGGCUGAGAUCAGUGUACUUUAUGAGUGUUAAGUGUACUUUCUAAAUAGCAGAGAAACCAUAACAUCUAAGCACAACCCAGCAACUUGUACAAGCUAACAUCAAAUCUGAAAGAGGAAAUGUCGAGAACAGGUGAAGGUACCAUGAUCCACGACUGAGCAAAGUUAUCUAUAAUCCUCGGUGAAUAUCAUAAAUUAGGAUCAACUACGCUAAAGAACAAACGGGAAAGGAACCUAGAAAGAUCUUCUGCCGGUAGAAUAUAACUGAUACACUAUCCUCGUUCUCGAGAUCAAGGUCGUUUCUUGAAUUGCAGUUUCCUCACUGUAGUAUGGGGUCAUUACACUGUGAAGAACAAAGUGUCAUAUGAAUCAUUUAGAGCCCAAUCUUUUUCACUGAAACUCUUAUGAUCACAUAACGAAUUUAAACAUAAGGUUUAUUAGAUAUUUGUUGUUGUGAACAGAUAAUAUAUUUCUGGUGUUGACAAUGUUUUGAUUAUGGAUGCACUUCAAGAUGGGUGGCACAGAUUCUGUUGUACAGGCCUCCACCUGGAAUUUCAUCACUUGUUAUUUUUGUUUUAGAAUGUCUAGGUGCAUUUUUCCUUUAAGGUGGAAACAGAUGUACUUGUAUAAGCAACAAGAAUACAAAGCGCCACUGCCAUACAUUGUGGAAGUUCAGUGCUUCUGUUUACAAAAUCUGCUUCCCAAAACAGAAGGAUUUAUAAUUUUUUAUUACAAUCAAGCGGACAUGAGCUGAUGAGUACAGAUGUAGACAUGUACUGAGAGCAGCACCCUUUCAAAAGUGGAUCAUUUACAAGUUGGAUAGUUUGAUGGUCUGAAAUUAGUGGUCGUGUUUCAGAAUUGUUAUCGAAUAGUAGGGGAUAUAUAUUAAAUUCUGAAAUUAGUGGUUGUUUGUCAGAACUGUUAUCGAAUAACAGAGCACAUAUAUUAACUUCAAUAAGUGGAGUAAUAUCUUUGGAUUCGCUGUGAGGAAAGAUUACCAAAACAAAACAGAAGUGAGCACUGGUAGAAAAUGGGCCUUUAGUCCCGGUUCGCAAAGGCCAUUAAUCCCGGCUGUGCAACCGGGACUAAANNNNNNNNNNNNNNNNNNNNNNNNNNNNNNNNNNNNNNNNNNNNNNNNNNNNNNNNNNNNNNNNNNNNNNNNNNNNNNNNNNNNNNNNNNNNNNNNNNNNNNNNNNNNNNNNNNNNNNNNNNNNNNNNNNNNNNNNNNNNNNNNNNNNNNNNNNNNNNNNNNNNNNNNNNNNNNNNNNNNNNNNNNNNNNNNNNNNNNNNNNNNNNNNNNNNNNNNNNNNNNNNNNNNNNNNNNNNNNNNNNNNNNNNNNNNNNNNNNNNNNNNNNNNNNNNNNNNNNNNNNNNNNNNNNNNNNNNNNNNNNNNNNNNNNNNNNNNNNNNNNNNNNNNNNNNNNNNNNNNNNNNNNNNNNNNNNNNNNNNNNNNNNNNNNNNNNNNNNNNNNNNNNNNNNNNNNNNNNNNNNNNNNNNNNNNNNNNNNNNNNNNNNNNNNNNNNNNNNNNNNNNNNNNNNNNNNNNNNNNNNNNNNNNNNNNNNNNNNNNNNNNNNNNNNNNNNNNNNNNNNNNNNNNNNNNNNNNNNNNNNNNNNNNNNNNNNNNNNNNNNNNNNNNNNNNNNNNNNNNNNNNNNNNNNNNNNNNNNNNNNNNNNNNNNNNNNNNNNNNNNNNNNNNNNNNNNNNNNNNNNNNNNNNNNNNNNNNNNNNNNNNNNNNNNNNNNNNNNNNNNNNNNNNNNNNNNNNNNNNNNNNNNNNNNNNNNNNNNNNNNNNNNNNNNNNNNNNNNNNNNNNNNNNNNNNNNNNNNNNNNNNNNNNNNNNNNNNNNNNNNNNNNNNNNNNNNNNNNNNNNNNNNNNNNNNNNNNNNNNNNNNNNNNNNNNNNNNNNNNNNNNNNNNNNNNNNNNNNNNNNNNNNNNNNNNNNNNNNNNNNNNNNNNNNNNNNNNNNNNNNNNNNNNNNNNNNNNNNNNNNNNNNNNNNNNNNNNNNNNNNNNNNNNNNNNNNNNNNNNNNNNNNNNNNNNNNNNNNNNNNNNNNNNNNNNNNNNNNNNNNNNNNNNNNNNNNNNNNNNNNNNNNNNNNNNNNNNNNNNNNNNNNNNNNNNNNNNNNNNNNNNNNNNNNNNNNNNNNNNNNNNNNNNNNNNNNNNNNNNNNNNNNNNNNNNNNNNNNNNNNNNNNNNNNNNNNNNNNNNNNNNNNNNNNNNNNNNNNNNNNNNNNNNNNNNNNNNNNNNNNNNNNNNNNNNNNNNNNNNNNNNNNNNNNNNNNNNNNNNNNNNNNNNNNNNNNNNNNNNNNNNNNNNNNNNNNNNNNNNNNNNNNNNNNNNNNNNNNNNNNNNNNNNNNNNNNNNNNNNNNNNNNNNNNNNNNNNNNNNNNNNNNNNNNNNNNNNNNNNNNNNNNNNNNNNNNNNNNNNNNNNNNNNNNNAUAUAGAGCUCAAAUGAUUGAAAAUAAUUACUUUUGCAGCAUUUUUCUCAUGUCGGCCCAACGCUUUGGAUCCGAAUCCAUAGAGUCCAUGAUUAGAACUCUGGAGGUGUGAAGUUCAAUAUUUAGCAGAAUCCAGUGGAACCUGCGGACACGUUACAUGCACAGUCAUGCAUAACUCAUCGAUUAGACAUACCAUGCAUGGAGUAAACAAAAGAGAAUGGGCACAAGAGAGAAACACUCACCCAAAAUGGUAAGGAAAUAGAAUAUGACUUUUGAGUUGAUGCUUUCUAAGAAACUUGUACAAGUCUUUCUCCAUGUCUUCGGGGUGAUUUUGUAACACAUGUCCAUUAACGAUAUGUGGGUCAAUGAACCCAACAUCAUGGAUGUUUCUUAUUUUGCAUUCCCAAAUCUUCAAUCUGCAUAAUAGCGUACGCAACAAUAUAGUUAGGACAAUAUAUAUAUAUAUAUAUAGUGCAGGCAAUGAAGAACGAGAUGAGGUAGAAAUAAAUCACUUACAUAACGUAGCAACUCAGGAUAGAUUUGUCGAGCUCGCGCAGAUUGAACAGCUGGAACAAUUCACUCAUAUGAACUUGUACAAAGUACCGUUUGGUGUGAUGCUCCUCUGUAACAUCCGCAUAAAUAUAUUCUUUGUCGGCCCAUGUUAUGAAUUGCUUGUACCAACGUAGAAGAUUUCGCAUUUGUGGUGGUAGACUCUUUUCCCGUGCAGGCUCGACGAGAGGCCCAUUCCGCACAUAUUGUAAUGCUAUCUCACAUACUGGCGCAUCCUCAAGGCCUAAGAUGGCACGAAGAGUCAAACCCAUCUCGGACGUUUGUUUCAUGGCACUCGCUACAGUCAAUCCAAGUGCUGCCGCAGCUCCUAUGAUCUCGGGGUCCUCUUCCGGACCGGCUUUCACUAUGAGCGGGGGGAUCGAUUGUUUAUUCUGCAUCCCGAGCUGGUCAACUUGUUUCCCGCUUUUUUUACUUUCUUCUUUCUCCUCCUUCAAUAUUUUUGCUUGCCAACGAAGUUCAUGUCAAUAGUCGUCAGGCAUAUUCAGCUCGGCUUGGGACGGUGUCGUCAAAAAAUCCUUAGCCCACUUCUUUUGCUUCUCAGUGAAUACUUGCUUGGGCUCAGGCUCUUUUUUCGAAUUCGUAUCCGCCUUCCAUUUCUCAUAAUGAGCAGACGCGGCCAAUUUGGUUUCAGCUUCACUAAGUUCCCAAGGCCUUGGGAGGAGAGGCUUCAGUGAUGGCUCCGGUACCCUUGUGGUCUUACGUACAUAAGGGUCCGGGUUAAUAGUCCAGGAGAGGGUUUCCUUGCUGUCCGCCUGCUUCUACUUCUUCGCCGGAGGUGGAUUGGGGGGCGUCGUACCCGCCGGAGGAGGAUUGGGGGGCGUCGUACCUGCCGGAGGAGGAUUGGGGGGCGGCGGCUGCUUACCCGCCGGAGGUUGUGGAUCGGGGGACGGCGUCGAAUGGCGUGAAGGAGGUGUAGGUGAACCACCACGACCACCACCACCACCACCACCAUCGGAGGGGGUGGACUUGUUAGCAUUGGCGCCUCGCCUGGAAACACUAUGUACUUCUUUUUCCAUAGAAUGAUCUGGCGCUUGACAUCUCCAAGUCUUCUCUCCCCUUCGGGUGUAGCUUUGUCAAUCUCCAGGUCCUCAAACUAUUGGACUAUGUCUUCCACCGUGACACGAGCAUAGCCAUAUGCAAUGGGGUUGUUGUGGUGGAGUGCUCCAGGUGUACAGGGUAAAGCACUGCCAGUAGCUACCUUCGUGGAAACGUUCCCCACGGGAUAAUGCAGAUCACAUUCUUUCAUCUCCUUUACAUCAUCCACGGGGUAGUGAGGCUCCGGUGCACGAAUCUCGAUCAUCGGUGCAUUAGCACCAGGCGGGGCAUCCGUGGAAGCCACGCUGCUUCUCCGCUGCUGGCUUCCGCGAUCCGCUUCAUGAUCUUCAUGCGGCCCUGCAGCCGAUUUUUCUUUUACUAGUUCAUGCACGGUCUGCUUCAACUCAUGGAGUUCCGAUGCAAACUUCACCAAAAGAUCUGCAUCCCGGUCCGUCUUUCUCUUACGGCUUCUGUAACAGUACGGGUCAUUGUCCUGGGAAAACCCUACUUUCCACGAAAUUCUGCCUUUGCCUCGUACACGUCCUCCGUGUUCAUCAUUCCGAGGGCUGUUGUCAGUGCGUCUUUCUCUCUGUUGAACUUGAUCAAGCCCUCUUGAGCUUGGGUCAUUGCGUCAAUAAGGGCUUGGGUGGGAGCAAACUUUUUCUUCCGGUGAACACACACCCCUGUCUCCGGGUCUAGCGAUCCCCCAUGCCCGUACCACCAGCUUUUGGCCCUUGGGUCCCAUCCCUCUGUACCUAGAGGGAUUCCUCGCACCCUCAGGUCCUCCUCCAUCUUCUGCCACUUAGGCUCCGAAAGGCGGUAUCCUCCUGGCCCCAUAAUAUGAUGGAACUUUUUCUUACUCGCAUUAUCCUUAUUUUUUCCGACAUUUCCUUGAAAUGCUCUGAUUUUUUUUGCCUCACAAAUUCUGGCCAAUCAUCUUUCAGUUUCUCAUGUUGUCCAUUGAAAUCCGGAGUCUUGCCCUUGUUGACAUAGUCACGGGUUAAAUUUUUCUUGAAGUUCCGGAAUGCUUCGCCCAUCUUCUCAAGAGCGAACUCUUUAACUAGCCUCCUCCUCUCACGUCCACCCGGAACCUCGUUACCGAAUUCAUCGACUUUGUUGUAUUCCGGAGGUAGAAUGAAAUGUUCCAUAAGCUUUUUCCAGCAAUCCUUUUUCGUUCUCUUGUCGACAAAACUGAAACCAAGACGUGCCUUCUUUGGCUCCUUCCAUUCCUGGACGGUGAUCGGGACGUUGUCUCUAACAACGACUCCACAUUGGUUGAUAAACUUUGAGGUGUGCUGUAGGGGCUUGCCGGUUUCACUGACAAAAUCAAUGGCAUAUGUUUCUCCUUUUUUCAUCGCCUUGGAUUUGCCACGCUUUGUCGUACUCGAUCCGGCCGAGGGUCGCGCACGUUAAUACAUAUGUAUUCGCAUUUCAGUAAGUUUGUAUCACGAGAGGCUCAAUGUAUAUAUAUACCUCGCCGGAGGUGGUUGCUACUUGCAAUUCGAGAUUGUCGUUUGUUGACGGUUGACCUCCGUUGACAAUGUCCGUUCCUUCACCUUCUUGAUCAUCGACAAUGUCUGUUCCACCGUCAAGGUUCAGAAAAGAAGAGACUACAUCCUCUUCUUGCUCAUAUUCUGAGCCCGGCACAUAAGGAAUCUCGUUGUUUAUGAUGCCCAUUAAAUAACGUUCAGCCUCCGGAUCCCUAAGCGGCUCGGCUCUAUCGUCCGCCAUAUGUCACUCCUGCAUGUAGUCAAAAUUAAUUAAGUAUAAAGGAAUUAAAAAAUAAGAUUAAGGGGACAUAGAGGAGGAGCAGCUACGGUUGAAUGAUUAAGAGCUAUUAAAAAAUAAAAUUGAUGUUUUUCCUUUUCUUUUUCCUUUUCUUUUUCCUCUCUACUCUCUCUUUCCUUUUCUUUUUCCUUUUCUUUUCCUUUUCUUUUUCCUUUAUACAAUUAUUCCCAAAUAAAUUUCCUUUUCUUUUUCCUUUUCUUUUUCCUCUCUGCUCUCUCUUUCCUUUUCUUUUUCCUUUUCUUUUUCCUUUAUACAAUUAUUCCCAAAUAAAUUUCCUUUUCUUUUUCCUUUUCUUUUUCCUCUCUGCUCUCUCUUUCCUUUUCUUUUUCCUUUUCUUUUUCCUUUUCUUUUUCCUCUCUACUCUCUCUUUCCGUUUGUUGACGGCAGGCGGCGGCGGGAGGCAGAGGAGGGCAGGCCNNNNNNNNNNNNNNNNNNNNNNNNNNNNNNNNNNNNNNNNNNNNNNNNNNNNNNNNNNNNNNNNNNNNNNNNNNNNNNNNNNNNNNNNNNNNNNNNNNNNNNNNNNNNNNNNNNNNNNNNNNNNNNNNNNNNNNNNNNNNNNNNNNNNNNNNNNNNNNNNNNNNNNNNNNNNNNNNNNNNNNNNNNNNNNNNNNNNNNNNNNNNNNNNNNNNNNNNNNNNNNNNNNNNNNNNNNNNNNNNNNNNNNNNNNNNNNNNNNNNNNNNNNNNNNNNNNNNNNNNNNNNNNNNNNNNNNNNNNNNNNNNNNNNNNNNNNNNNNNNNNNNNNNNNNNNNNNNNNNNNNNNNNNNNNNNNNNNNNNNGCAGGGCAGGGCAGGGGCGGCGGCGGCAGUGCAGGGCAAGGGCGGCGGCGUAGGGCAGGGGAAGUGGGGGGCGGCGGAGCUCACUGGGGGCAGGGCGCUGGUGUCGGGGCAGGGCGUCGGCGUCGAUCGGCGUCGGGGCAGCAGCCUGGCGGCGUCGGCGUCGAUCGGCGUCGGGGCAGGGCGUCGGCGUCGAGAGGAGAAUGAGAGGUGGGGGAAAAUUUACUAAGUGUUAUAUAUAUAGACAGAGCAUUAGUCCCGGUUGGGGACGCCAACCGCGACUAAAGGUACCUUUAGUCGCGGUUGGUCUCCCCAACCGGGACUAAAGGUUCUUUCGCGCCGCUUUCGUUCCCGCGCGGAAAGAGCCUUUAGUCGCGGUUCGUGUCACGAACCGCGACUAAAGGUCCUUUUUCAUAUACUUUUCAGAAAAUACAAAUAAUAUAUCAAAAAAUUCAGAAAAAUAAAACUAAUUCAUUUUAAAAUCUUAAAAAUAGAAAUAAUAUAUCAAAAAAUUCAGAAAAAUAAAANNNNNNNNNNNNNNNNNNNNNNNNNNNNNNNNNNNNNNNNNNNNNNNNNNNNNNNNNNNNNNNNNNNNNNNNNNNNNNNNNNNNNNNNNNNNNNNNNNNNNNNNNNNNNNNNNNNNNNNNNNNNNNNNNNNNNNNNNNNNNNNNNNNNNNNNNNNNNNNNNNNNNNNNNNNNNNNNNNNNNNNNNNNNNNNNNNNNNNNNNNNNNNNNUUAAAAUCUUAAAAAUAGAAAUAAUAUAUCAAAAAAUUCAAAAAAAUAAAACUAAUUCAUUUGAAAAUCUUAAAAAUACAUAUAAUAUAUCAAAAAAUUCUGAAAAAUAAAACUAAUUCAUUUUAAAAAUUCAGACCGAUUGUUUUGUUCUACAUCCUCGAUCCCUUGAAGGUUUGACAAAAGGUUUGAUACAUCAUUCAGUUCAUCGGCCAAAUACAAAUCAUCCGGAUUCGCCAUCGUACGUUUUAAUUCACAUGAUCCAUUCAACAAAGUUUGGUACAAUAAAUUAUUACACAUCAAUUCUUCCCGUGUGUCCCUGCUUGCUUACGAUUGUGCCGUAUCCAUGGAGCAUCCUCAUCAUUUAACUUAAUGCUUGGGUCAGUGUUCACUUUGAAGGGCGGAAUUUCACCAAACAUAUUAUAAUCUUCUGACAUGUCUGUCUUGUCCUCCACUCCCACAAUGUUUCUUUUCCCUGAAAGAACAAUGUGGCGCUUUGGAUCAUCGCAUGAUGUACUGAUCGUUUUCUUAUCUUUCCGUUUCCUCGGUUUGCUACUCAUGUCCUUCAAAUAAAAAACCUGAGCGACAUCUUUGGCAAGGACGAAUGGUUCGUCAAGGUAACCAAGAUUGUUGAAAUCCACCAUUGUCAUUCCGUAUUGCUCGUCCACCUUUACCCCACCUCCUGUUAGCUUGAACCAUUUGCACCGGAACAAAGGGACCUUAAAGGAGGGUCCAUAGUCAAGUUCCCAUAUCUCCUCUAUGUGACCAUAAUAUGUGACCUUUUGCCCAUUCUCGGUUGCUGCAUCAAAGCGGACACCACUGUUUUGGUUGGUGCUCUUUUUAUCUUGGGCGAUGGUGUAAAAUGUAUUCCCAUUUAUCUCGUACCCUUGGAAAGUCGUUAUAGUCGAAGAUGGUGUCUUGGCCAACAUGUACAGCUGAUCUCCAACAUCAUUGUCAUUCAUUAAAUGUUUUCGCAACCAACUGCCGAAAGUCUCCAUGUGGGCCUUUCUAAUCCAGGAUUCAGGUUUCCCCGGGUUGUCCGAGCGUAAAAUAUUCUUGUGUUGCUCGAACUACGGAGCCACCAAGCUGGAAUUUUGUAGAACUGUGUGGUGUGCUUCAGUCAUAGAAUGACCGUCCAUACAUAUCGUUGAUUUCCUUCCGAUCGUGCCUUUUCCACUUAGUCUCCCCUCGUGCCGCGAUUGAGGAAUACCAAUCGGCUUAAGGUCAGGAACAUAGUCAAUACAGAACUCAAUUACCUCCUCAUUUCCAUAGCCCUUGACGAUGCUUCCUUCUGGCCUAGCACGGUUACGAACAUAUUUCUUUAAUACUCCCGUGAACCUCUCAAAGGGGAACAUAUUGUGUAGAAAUACAGGACCGAGAAUGGAAAUCUCUUCGACUAGGUGGAGCAGGAGGUGCGUCAUAAUAUCGAAGAAGGAUGGUGGGAACACCAACUCAAAACUGACAAGGCAUUGGACCACAUCGUUCUGUAACCGUGGUAGAUCUUCUGGAUUGAUUACCUUCUGAGAGAUUGCAUUGAGGAAUGCACAUAGCUUCACAAUGGCUACUCGAACAUUUUCCGGUAAGAGCCCCCUCAAAGCAAUCGGAAGAAAUUGCGUCAUAAUCACGUGGCAGUCGUGAGACUUCAGGUUUAGGAACUUUUUGUCCGCCAUGUUUAUUAUUCCCUUUAUAUUCGACGAGAAGCCAGACGGGACCUUCAUACUGCUCAGGCAUUCAAAAAAUGACCUUCUCUUCUUUGGUAAGAGCGUAGCUGGCACGACCUUGAAACCAUUCCGGAUGCCGGUCAUCUGGGUCUUUCAAAAGUUGUUGGUCCUGCCGUGCUUCCUUUGUAUCAUUUGUCUUCCCAUACACGCCCAAGAAGCUUAGCAGGUUCACGCAAAUAUUCUUCGUAACAUGCAUCACGUCGAUUGCAGAGCGGACAUCUAGGACUUUCCAAUAUUCUAGCUCCCAAAAUAUAGAUUUCUUCUUCCACAUGGGUGCGUGCCCGUCAACUCCCCGCGGAACUGAUUGUCCGCCAGGACCCUUUCCAAAGAUGACUUUCAAAUCCUUGACCAUAUCAAAUAUCUCAGCACCAGUACGUUCCGCAGGCUUCGGCCGGUGAUCUGCCUUGCCGUUGAAAUGCUUGCCUUUCUUUCUUACGUUAUGAUUUCGGGGAAGAAAUCGACGAUGACCCAGGUACACGUUCUUCUUACAAUUACCCAAACGUACACUUUCAGUCUCAUGUAAGCAGUGCGUGCAUGCAUUGUAUCCCUUAUUUGUCUGUCCCGAAAGGUUACUGAGAGCAGGCCAAUCGUUGAUGGUUACAAAAAGCAACGCUCGUAGGUCAAAUUCCUCUUCUUUGUGCUCAUCCCAGACACGUACACCAGCUCUGCCCCACAACUGUAAAAGUUCAUCAACUAAUGGCCUUAGGUACACAUCGAUGUCGUACCCGGGUUGCUUUGGACCUUGGAUGAGCACUGGCAUCAUAAUGAACUUCCGCUUCAUGCACAACCAAGGAGGAAGGUUGUAGAUGCAUAGAGUCACGGGCCAGGUGCUAUGGCUGGAGCUCUGCUCGCCAAAAGGAUUCAUGCCAUCAGUACUUAGACCAAAUCUUAUGUUCCUUGCGUCAGCUGCAAAAUCUUUGAACACUCUGUCGAUCUUUCUCCAUUGCGUUCCAUCAGCGGUGUGUCCCAACUCCCCGUCGGACUUACGGUCCUCUUUGUGCCAUCGCAACGACUUGGCAUGCUUUUUGUUCCUGAACAGACGUUUCAACCGUGGUAUUAUAGGAGCAUACCACAUCACCUUGGCGGGAACCCUCUUCCUGGGUUUCUCGCCCUCAACAUCGUCACCAGGGUCAUCGCCUCUGAUCUUAUAACGCAAUGCAGUGCAUACAGGGCAUUCAUUCAAAUUCUCGUAUUCACCGCGGUAGAGGAUGCAGUCGUUAAUGCAUGCAUGUAUCUUCAGAACCUCUAAACCUAGAGGGCAGACAACCUUCUUUGCUUCGUACGUACUGGCGGGCAACUCGUUAUUCUUCGGAAACAUAUUCUUCAACAUUUUCAGCAAAUUUUCAAAUGAUGAGUCAGCUACACCUUCCUGUGCCUUCCAUUUUAGCAAAUCCAGUGUGCAACCCAACUUUUUCAGACUAUUAUCGCAUCCUGGGUACAACGACUUUUUGUGAUCCUCUAACAUGCGAUCCAAAUUCUCCCUCUCCUUGUCAGUUUCGCAGCGUCUCCGUGCAUCAGCAAUGGUCCGACCAAGAUCAUCAGCGGGCUCAUCAUGUGCCUCUUCUUCACCUUCACCUAACCCUUCCCCACCUUCAGCAUCAUCCUCCAUGAAAGUAUCACCGAAAUGAUCAUGAUAGUUGUCAUCGAUAUCAUCCCCUUCUUCAUCUUGUUCCAUUCUAACCCCUCUUUCUCCAUGCUUGGUCCAACAAUUAUAGCUUCGCAUGAAACCGUGCCGAAGCAGGUGCAUGUGAACGUCUCUUGAGGAGGAGUAACCCUUCUGAUUCUUACAGACACCACAUGGACAGAUAAUAAAACCUCGCUGCUUGUUCGCAUUUGCCACUACGAGGAAAUCUUUCAAACCCGUAGUGAACCGCCGGAGAGUCGGGGACCGUACAUCCAUUGCCGAUUCAUCUGCAUUAUUAUUAUAUAAAGUAUAUAAUUAACCAUCAUGCAUUUGUUAAACUAACUAGCUAGAAAUAAUACAAAUUAAACAAUGAACUACACACAUCCAUAUUUUAUCAAUGACACAUGAAAGGUUCAAGUUGCUAACCGCGAUCGCGGAGGAAAAAUAAAUGAGAAAGCUCAAGUGUGGCUCGGACACUUCAUAUCAUGUUUGUUUCAUGCUCUCGGGCAUUUCAUCGAACACCUUGUGUGCAUAGGAGGAACCAAAAGCAAACCCACCAGCCCCCUUCUGAAUUGUGGCUAAGUGAAGUGAGCUGAGUCCUAUAUAUAGGGAUGGGCCUUUAGUCCCGGCUGGCCUGGCCAACCGCAACUAAAGGCCUUCGGGCCAGCCUGAGGACCUUUAGUCCCGGUUGGCCAGGCCAACCGGGACUAAAGCCCCUCCCGUCCGCCAGCUGUCGACCGAGCGCGCUGGGCCCAGAUAGUUGGUCGCGGGUCUCCUCCCGAACCGCGACUAAAGACCCCUUUGGUCGCGGUUCGAUUAUUUUAGAGACUAAUGGGGGCGUAUGGAAGCCUCUGUUUCUACUAGUGGAGUGCGACGACCCAGAUGAGGGCGCUCUUGAGCUUCUUCCCGACCGACCUAGAUGCAGGAGCAGACCACGGCGGAUCUAAUCAGCCAACGAAUAAAACUGAGGCAGGUAGAGGAAGUAAGGGAGGAAGAAGACUGACUUGUCCUGGUCGCCCUCGUAGUAGAACCUGUGUUUUGAUUUUCGGCCAAAAAAGUGGAUUUCGGCCAUCUCGGCCUGGGGCAAAAAGUGUAUUUAGGCCGAAAUUGUUCAAAUUUAGCAAAUUUUGGUCAAAUUUAAGUCAAAUUGCAGUCAAAAUUUGGUCAAAUUUCAGCCGAAAUUUUUGAAAAUGGCCGAAAUUCGGCCAUCUCAGCCUAGGGAGAAAAAAAAGCUGAAACCAAAAAUCAAAACACAGAGUAGAACAUGGCGAACAGGAUGACGAGGACAGCGUCGAGGAUGUAGACGACGAGCCAGAGCAUGUUCAUGGGCAGGAUCAAGCAUGGGCAGGAUAAGGGUGCAGGCCCCGUUGUAGGCGGCAUGCUUGCAGGCCUGGCGGUUGGCGACGUCGGCGGGGAGCAUGAGGAUGGAGAGGACGGCGACGGUGAUGCCGAGCACGACGACGAGCUUGAGGAAGUAGGCCUGGUUGGCAUCAUCCGGGUGCUGGUAGUUGACGAGGAGCACCAGGAUGCUGACCACCGCCGCCACGAUCACUAGCGCCACGUUAAAAAAACCAUCUCCUCGGGGCUCCGGUCCCGGUUCCGGCCCGCCGCCUCGCCCCCUUGGUCGGUCAGAUCUCUCUGUCCCUAGAGGCGGGGGGAUACAGGCUAGGGUUUGGGCGUGGGCGGGGAAUAGGCUGCUAUGGUGCCGGCAGCGGGGCGUGUAGGAGAGAAGGAUUAGGAGGAAUAAUUCACCACACUUUGAUUAAGCUCUCGGCUGGUUCUUAUGUACAGAUUACAGGGCCAGCCAGGGAGAUCAUGGGGUGAUCCACUACCUGGGAUCGUGCGCCACGAUCACUACAUGCGUGCGCCACGAUCAUACACACACACGCUACACCUAGUGUCUACGCAACUACGGUAUAGCAGUACAGUACAGCCUAACACCCCCCGGAGUCGUGACGUCGGCGGCGGCGACGCAAAGACUGGACCGGAACUCAGAGAAAACAUCCGAUGGCAGGCCUUUGGUCAUGAUGUCGGUGUGUUGUUGGCGCGUGGGGAUGUGAAGAACACGGAAGUGGCCGAGGGCGACGCGCUCCCGCACGAAAUGGAUGUCCAGCUCCACAUGCUUAGUGCAGCGAUGAUGCACCGGAUUGGCUGACAGGUAGACUGCGGACACAUUGUCACAGUACACAAGUGCCGCCUUGGUCAUUGGAGCGGAGAGCUCGCCGAGAAGCUGGCGGAGCCAGAUGCAUUCAGCGACCGCGUUGGCGACGCCGCGGUAUUCAGCUUCGGCGCUGGAGCGCGAUACGGUCGCCUGGCGCUUGGAGGACCAGGAGACGAGAGCAUCGCCGAGGAAGACGCAGAAGCCCGACGUGGAGCGUCGGGUGUCGGGGCAGCCGGCCCAGUCCGCAUCGGUGAACGCACGGACGUCGAGCAUGGUCGAGGCGUGAAGAUGAAGCCCGAGUGCGCAGGUGCCCUUCACGUACCGGAGCACGCGCUUUACGAGCGCGAGGUGGCAUUCGCGCGGGUCAUGCAUGUGUAAGCAGAUUUGCUGGACGGCGUAGGCGAUCUCUGGACGCGUGAUGGUGAGGUACUGCAGGGCCCCGGCGAUGCUCCGAUAGGCCGAAGGGUCGUCGACGCAUGGCCCAUCGGCUGAGGGGAGUUUGCUCUUCGUGUCGAUGGGUGUCGGGGAAGGGCGGCAGGUGUCCAUGCCGGCGCGUUCCAGGAGCUCGUCGGCAUAUUGUUGUUGCGACAGGAAGAAGCCAGCUCGGGUGCGGGUGACGCGCAUGCCGAGGAAGAAGGCGAGCGAGCGCAGGUCCUUCAUGGCGAAUUCGCCUGUGAGGCGCUGGAUGACAUGGUGAAGCACGCGUGACGAGGACGCGGUGAGCACGAUGUCGUCGACGUAGAGGAGGAGGAACGCCAUGUCGUUGCCGUGCCGGAAGGUGAACAGCAACGAGUCCGAACGCGUAGCUGCGAAGCCAAUGGAGCGGACGAAGCCGGCGAAGUGGAGGAACCAGGCACGGGGCGCCUGCUUGAGCCCGUACAAGGACUUGGAGAGGCGGCAGACGUGCUCUGGUUUGUCGGGGUCGAUGAAUCCGGCGGGCUGGAGGCAGUAGACUUCCUCCUCAAGUUUCCGUGGAGGAAGGCAUUGGAGACGUCGAGGUGGUGCACCGGCCAGCCGCGCGACGCGGCCAUAGUGAGCACCAUGUGGAUCGUCACUGGCUUGACGACGGGGGAGAACGUCUCGCCGUAGUCGACGCCGGCACGCUGAUGAAAGCCCCGCACGACCCAGCAUGCUUUGUAGCGGGCCAGCACGCCGUCGGCGUCGUUUUUGUGCUUGAAGAUCCGCUUCCCUGUGAUCAGGUUGGCGCCGGGGGGGAGCGGGGCACCAGCUCCCACGUGCGAUUGCGCACGAGCGCAUCGUACUCAGCACACAUGGCAGCGAGCCAGUUCGGGUCGCGAACAGCAGCACGAACCGAACGCGGCACCGGCGACACCGAUGAUGAGCUAGAGGCGGUGGCCGCGUCGUAGUAGCGCGGCUUGGGGCGGAAGAUGCCGCGCUGGGCACGCGUGACCAUGGGCACAGGAGGCGCCGGUGCGCGGGGCGCCGCUGGUGGCGCGCUCGGAGACGAGCUGUCGGAGGAGCCACUGGGGAGUUGUCGGAGGAGGCGCUGGCGGAGGCGAAGACAAGCGGACCAGGCGCGGAUGGGCACGUCGAGGACGGAGCCGAGCCGCCAUCGGAAGCGCCCGCAGCGUACCGCGAGCUGACGCGGCGCGCCCCGCUGGUUGGCGAUGAUGAGCGGGGCAAGCCGGUGAUGGAGAUCAGGCGCGCCGGCAGCACGGGUGACAUGCUGCUGUCAGGCACCGGUGGAAGCGCGGGCAGCGCAGGAGGCCGGACGACGAGCGGGAUCUGCAGGUUAGAGGGUACGACGGGUGGCGUAGGCGACGGGGAAGAGGAUGCGAACGGGAAAACGUGUUCGUGGAAGAGAACGUGGCGAGACGUGAGGACGCGGCGAGAGGUGAGGUCAAAGCAGCGAAAACCACGAUGAUCGGGAGGGUACCCGAGGAAGACGCAGGCGAUAGAACGUGGCUCGAGCUUAUGGCGGGUGGUGGCGGUGACGUUCGGAUAGCAGAGGCAUCCAAAGACGCGGAGCUGCGAGUAAUUUGUGCGGGCAUGCGGUGACGUUCGGAUAGAUGCGGAGUAAUUUGUGCGACGCCGAGCAGGAGUUCAUGCGGAGUGCAGGGCGCCGAGGCGCGGCAGGGCCGACGAUUGAGCAGGUAGGUCGAGGUGUUGAGAGCCUCUGCCCAGAAGCGAGCGGGCAUGUGCGCAUGACAGAGAAGCACACGAACACCGUCGUUGAUCGUGCGGAGAACUCGCUCGUCCUUGCCGUUCUGCCGUGGCGAGCAAGCAGAGAGCGCGCGGCUGCACUGUCGAAUUCACGACCGUUGCCCGUUUCCAGUGCAAGUAUGGGUAACUGAAACUGAGUCUGAACAUAGGCAAAGAAAUCAACAAGUAUGGGAAGAACUUCAGACUUGUGUUUCAGAGGGAAAGUCCAGACAUAGUGACUGAAAUCAUCUAGUACAACUAAGUAAAACUGAUAGCCGGAUAUGCUUACAACGGGAGCGGUCCAUACAUCAAGGUGUAAAAGCUGGAAAGGAAAGAAACUAGCAGUGGUGGAUGUCUGAAACGUGUUGGAUCGAUGUCCGUGUAGCCCGCUUCUUUCUCUGUAGGAAGGACGCGGUUACGCUCGCGUUGACAUCGGAUGACUCGAUCACAUGCACGGGAGGGGCGGUACGACAUGGCACCGCCACGCCACCGUGCUCCCUCCCAGUGCCGACCUGGAGCAACUUGCCACUCCUCAGCUCGUGACCGGUGGGCUUGACGGGCCACCUAGCCAUUUUUUAUGCCAGACAACUCUUCUUCCUGCUCAUCAGAUGUCAUGGAUAAAACUGUUUAAGGAGGAAAAUGAUGAGUGGACGUGUGAUGCGGUUCUUGCCCAACAUCUGACAUUGUUUAAAUAGCGAGGGGACACGAGAGGAGCCAACUGGCGUUCUGUUUAAUGCCAACCGGCUCGUGAACGAACAUGUGGCCGGAGUAAUUAUCCUGGCACACACGAGGGUUUAAUGGUGGAAGGCGGGCAGUCUGCAGGAAUGAGGCGAGGAUGUGUGCUUAGCCGGCGUGCAGUAGGCGGCGCCCUCGGCCGGCGUGCUGCUUCCAUUGCGGAGGCAGUGAGAGGUCGCGUCCGCUCUGCAGCGCAUGAAUGCGGGCAGCUGGCGCAGAGCGGGAACGCGUGCGGGCGAGGGAGGAGGGGGUUUGGGCGGGUGGUCAGAAGAGGUCGUGGGUGUUGUCCGAACGCCUGCAAAUCCCCCCUCCAUAUUUGUCUCCAGUUUGCGGGAGAAAGUACGUCCGGACCGUCUCCAAUGGACCAAUACAGGCCCGCAUUAGAUGGCACAACACGUCCGGACCAUGUGGUCCGGAUGGUUGUGGACAGUUUAAUUGAGGGUCGGCGUUGGAGAUGCCUUAGAGUUUAUGAAUCCAUUGUGUUUUUCUAAUCAUAAAAAAGCACUUACAAUAAGUUAUAAGGAAAGACACGUUUAUAUGUUAGGUUCAGACUCCAGGUUUCGUUUUACAUAUGCUUUAUUCAUCCGACUGAUUCCAAUAGAGUGAGCCUAGCGUUGUUUUUCUGGAAACUCGCGGGAUAAGGAGACAUGCAUACACAUUCUUUCAAGCAAAUCACAUCCAUUCUUUUUAACUCAUUUUUCUUCUUUUAAUAAUAUAAUAGAUCAUUUAUAUUUUUUAUCUGAAACAGUUGACGUGUAAUUUAUAUUGUAAUCUGAGGAUAAUGUUUGGAUUUUACUUUCAAAUAUAUUUGAAAUGGCCAUGAUGGAAUCACAUCCAUUUAUUUUAUUAUUAUUUGAAUUUGAUCCAAAAGAUAAAUAAUGAGUUGAGGUCAUGUCAACUUUUCUGAGAACUUUGCUAAUCAAAAUAUAAAUUGUAUUUAAAAAAUCUAUUUUUUAGCACGCAUGAAAAACAUAACACGUAUCUUUUCACACAUAAUGAACGGUUGUCAUAAGAACUCAUGCCAUGCCACAACCUCCCUCCGACCCUGCCAACAUUGUUGCAGCUGCACUCGCAAGCCUUAGCGUAGAUGAUAAUUUAUACAAUUUGCGUAAAACAAAAUAAGAUCUACAAAUUAAUAGAAGCUAGAACGUACAUUGGCAUGCACACACAUUGCAAGCUAUACUAAGCUGAUAAGUGUUAAUAACUUGUACAACAUAUACAACACUUAAGACAAGUAAAAGCAAUUUGAUGAGUCAUGGUCUAUCAAAGCCACAUUACUAGUCUAAUCCAUCUUAACAGGUCACACAUGAUUAAAAUCUUGUUUGUGUGCAAGUCAAGCUUAUCUAGUUUACAUGUAACAACUUGUAGAACAUUAAAAAAUUUAUGUUUGCUAAUAACUUCUAGAACACUACAACACUUGACAUGUAAAAGGAAUUUGAUGAGUCAUGGCCUACUAAAGCAAGUUAUAUUACUAGUCUUAUCUACCUUAACAGGCCACACAAGAUUACAAACCAAGUUCUGUGCCAGCCAUGCUUAUCUAGUUUAUGCGUAACAAUUUGCAGAAAAUUACAAACUUAGUUUCAGAAAAAUAGGCAAUCUAGAUUAGUGUUUGAGCUAUAAAGUGAAUAAAAUGAGUCAUCUGUGUUAUCACACCUUUUUGGUUGUGGAAUGAUAGUGCAACAACAAGGAACUUUAAUGACCAGUUCAAGAAUACACUUGUAAGUAGUGCCACCGAACACAACAUACCAAAUUAUGAUUUUGAGAAGCAUCCAAGCACUUCCACACAAGCAAAUGCCAAUUGUGAAAGAGAUCAUGCCAUGGCAGCUAUAAAUAGGCCCGUAGCAUGACGAUCAUCCUUCCUCAUCCAUCAUUCUCAAAAGUAGAGCGCAUCAUUUAAGCCAAGCAAGCAGUGCUCAAUACAAAUCCACCAUGAAGACCUUUCUCAUCCUUGCCCUCCUUGCUAUUGUAGCAACCACCGCCACAAUUGCAGUUAGAGUUCCAGUGCCACAAUUGCAGCCACAAAAUCCAUCUCAGCAACAACCACAAGAGCAAGUUCCAUUGGUACAACAACAGCAAUUUCCAGGGCAGCAACAACCAUUUCCACCACAACAACCAUAUCCGCAGCCGCAACCAUUUCCAUCACAACAACCAUAUCUGCAGCUGCAACCAUUUCCACAGCCGCAACUACCAUAUCCGCAGCCGCAACUACCAUAUCCGCAGCCGCAACCAUUUCGACCACAACAACCAUAUCCACAACCGCAACCACAGUAUUCGCAACCACAACAACCAAUUUCGCAGCAGCAACAACAACAACAACAACAAAUCCUUCAACAAAUUUUGCAACAACAACUGAUUCCAUGCAGGGAUGUUGUAUUGCAACAACACAACAUAGCGCAUGGAAGGUCACAAGUUUUGCAACAAAGUACUUACCAGCUGGUGCAACAAUUGUGUUGUCAGCAGCUGUGGCAGAUCCCCGAGCAGUCGCGGUGCCAAGCCAUCCACAAUGUUGUUCAUGCUAUUAUUCUGCAUCAUCAUCAACAACAACAACAACAACAACAACCGUUGACCCAGGUCUCCUUCCAACAGCCUCAACAACAAUAUCCAUCAGGCCAGGGCUCCUUCCAGCCAUCUCAGCAAAACCCACAGGCCCAGGGCUCUGUCCAGCCUCAACAACUGCCCCAGUUUGAGGAAAUAAGGAACCUAGCGCUAGAGACGCUACCUGCAAUGUGCAAUGUCUAUAUCCCUCCAUAUUGCACCAUUGCUCAAGUUGGCAUCUUCGGUACUAACUGAGAAGAGAAGAACUCUAGUAGUAGAUAUAUGAUACACCGUUUUCUUAGUCCAUGGUUUGGUCGUUGUAGCGGUGAAAAAAUAAAGUGACAUGCACUAUCAUGCAAGAACCCGAACUAUACUAGUUCAAACAUGGGAAUAAAAGACAAACACAUGUCUUGACUACAUAUGAUUGUUUGUUUGAGUUCCACUCAUGUGCCCACUUACAAGUUCACCCCUAAUUAUAUAUAUUAUGCAUUAAGUAGAUAUUUAUGUUGCAUUAAUCUAAAGAUAACAAAAUGAGUCUGAAAUUUGAAUUAAAUUGAAGUAUUUCCUUGGACUUUCAAAUGGAGUAUUAUUAAAGUAGUAAGGACUAUCCACAUCCUUGGCUUGCCCUUGAUCAAUUAUUUCCAGAGAAGCAUUCAAUUCAUCAAUCAAUUACAUUGAUUUUUGUGGCUGGUACUUCUCCUCAACAUGAGUAUAUUCAUCGCGGCAACUCCAAAUAGGCAUGAAUGAGGUACCGGUGCUCUGGAGCACUGGUACCUAACUGCUUCUCAUGUGAAGGGGUGCGGGCGCGGGAGAGGUGUUUUUGGUGGGCCAGGGGAGUAAGAAGCGGCCGUGGCAGCGGUCCAGACGCCCACAAAGCCCCGUAGUUUGUUUUUGGUUUACAGGAAAAUGCACAUCCAGACCGGCCUGCGGGCCGAUAUAGGACCGUAUUGGAUGGCAAAACAUGUCCGGAUGGUCGCGAGCGGUUUAAGGGUUAGCUUUUGUAACACCCGGUUAGUUAUGCUAUGGUAAUUCCCUGCUAAUGAUGUCACGUCAGCACGAUUACUGUUGUUAACCUCACAAUGAUUCAAUCCCAUUCAAAUUCAAAUUUAAAAUAAAGGCAAACAUCAAAAGUUUCAAACAUUAAAACUAAAAUCUUCGAGAGGUGAAAAAUAAUGCAUAAGUAAUUAUGGUGGAGAAACCACACUUUUAUAAAAUGUUUAAAUACUCUAAAAAUAAUAAAACCGUGGCUUAAACUAUUAUUUAAAUGCUUUUAAAAUAGUAAAAAUGUUCUAACUAAAUUAAUUGGGUACCAAACUUUUAGUGGCAGUGGUAUAUUUAGUAGAACUAAUUUAGAUGCUAAUAAAACAUAAAAGGAAAGACAAAACAAAUAAAAGUAAAAGGGGGCAACCCCUCGCUGGACCUCGGCCAAGCUGGCCACUGGGCUAGCUAGGUUGGCCCAACCGCCUCCCUUAACCCCCCACUCCCCAUUGAACCCUAGACCGAUCGCCCCACUUCCCCCACACCCCCUCGUUAGCCUCCCCACCUCUCGAUCCCAUCUGGAUCGGGGAGGGGAUCGCCCCCAUCGACCCCGUCGCGGUCGCUGGAUCGCCCGCCGGCGUCGCCGGACCUCCUCCCCGUCGCACGUCUCCGGCUCUCCUCCCCUCUCGCUCCUUUUCCUCGACCCGAUCUGGAUCGGACAGGGCCAAUGAGCCCAACGCCCCCCUGCAUCGACGCUGUGCUCCAGCACCGCCGCCCGAAGACCUCGCCAUCGCCGGACCUCGCGUCGCCUCCUCGUAUCCCUCCCCGACUCGCCUCCUCAAGCCACGCCGACCCCCUUCUCGGCAACGCUGUGAGCCGCCCCCGUUUCCCUCCUUCUCUUUCCACCGUGUUCACCGCGCCGCCUGCCGUGCCCCUCGCAGCGCGCACGCCCACCACCGCGCCAGCCCCCGCUCCGCGCCCUCUCCUGCACGCUUGUGCGCGCAUGACCCUAGCCGCGCCCACGCCGUGAUCCCCUUGUCCCGCGCUCGCCGCGGCCCCCAUGCUCCCCUGUGCCCUCUUUUGGGGGUGUCGGCUGCCCCUGUCCCGCAGCUCGCUGGCAUGUGUCCCCGCCCGCGCCUCGCCACCGCUCUACAGCUACGCUACUAUUGCGCUGUGGCCGCCGCCGCUUCCCGCUGCUCUGCCAGCGCCAAAGCUCCCGGUUGGCCCUGCCGCUGCUCGCAUUUAACCGCCGGCCUAAGCGGCCUAACCUCCCCCCCCCCUCGCUAAUGAACCCCCACCAACCCGCUGACACCGGGACCCACAUCCCCUAAUUAACCAUUUAAUAAAUUAAAACUCUUAAAUUAACAUUAGUGUAUGACAUGUGGGUCCCCUAUUAAUUAAACUGAUUUAAUUAAAAUCUAUUAACUUUGAGUCUAUGACAUAUGGGCCCCACUAAACAUUUGACCAGUCAACGGUCCAGUCAAAUGCUGACCGGACAGUUGACCAGAGGGCCCCGCCAGUCAGCCAAUGUGUUGUUCUGCUGGGUACCUUUCUAAGUACACCUAGCAUUUUGCAUUUACAAUAUUUGUUUUAAAAUAAAUUAGAAUAAUUUCAAAAAAAUAUUAAAACUUUUAAAAUUAAAAUAAAUAAUCCGUAACUCGGAUGAAAUUACUUUAUACAUGGAACUUGCUCAAAAAACGAGACGAAUCCGAAUACACAGUCCGUUCGUCUGCCACGCGUCCCUAGCAUAGCGAACAUGCAACCAUCCCCCUCCGGUUCGACUGUCCGAAAAAUUAUUAUUGCACAUGCCCGCUAAGAGGUUGGCUGUAUAUGACAUGACAACUUCUUAUAGCCGACCCUUGGCUGUAUUAUUAACCAUGCUCUUAGUGAGGUAGCUAGUAUAUCAUAGACGACUAGCUAGUAUCAGACUGGCCAAAGUGGGAGUAACUUCAGCAGUAACAUCGACUCCAACUCAGCAAACUUGCUUAUGUGGGAGUAAACCUUGUCCAAUGCAAAAUAGAAUCCCAGUCGUAAUUUUUUCAGGAAACGUGUGGGAUCCCAAACGAAAAGCACACAUCACUCUUGCGGCAACCGUCGGUGACACCCAAUAAAUCACAAACGGUCUGCAGCACUUGUAUGUGUGCAAAGGGGCUCCUGAACCGUUUGUGAUAGAACAUUAUCGCAGACGGUAAUUGUUGGCAAACGUGUGCGAUGGAGUCUAGCAUGGCAGACGGGUUACGCAGAAAACUCGUGUGCGAUGGGGCACAAAUCGCACACAGUUCAUAUGUUGGCCCAUGUGCCUUACAUACUAUUUCCCAAAUGGUUUGUUACGACAGACCGUAUCGUUUCAGUGCGUCAUUAGAAACGCUUAAUCACUGAUACCACACGUGCGAUAGAAUUUAGUGCGUGCUGCAUCGCACACGAUUACAUUUUGGAAGGCCUCUGGAUCACUGCUCCAUAUCCCCGACGGUUUCUGGGCCGUGUGGGAAGGACACCCUAUCGCACACACUCACUUGGCGACGGUUCCAAAUGCUGUUGCGGAAAGGGGUUAAAAACAGUUUGUUUAGGACCGACGCAUACCAGUGUCUAUCUAUCUAUCUAUCUAUCUAUCUAUCCAUCUAUCUAUCUAUCUAUCCAUCUAUCUAUCUCAAUCCACCUAUCUAUCUAUCCAUCUAUCCAUCUAUCUAUCUCUCCAUCUAUCCAUCUAUCUAUCCAUCUAUCCAUCCAUCUACUAUCCAUCUAUCUAUCCAUCCAUCUAUCUAUCUCUCUCUCUCUAUCUAUCUAUCUAUCUAUCUAUCUAUCUAUCUAUCUAUCUAUCUAUCUAUCUAUCUAUCUGUCUGUCUAACUAUCUAUCUGUCUAUCUAUCUAUCCAUCUAUUCAUCUAUCUAUCUAUGUAUCCAUUUAUCCAUUGAUCCAUCUAUCGAUCCAUCCAUCUAUCCAUCCAUCUAUCCAUCCAUCUAUCUAUCCAUGUAUCCAUGUAUCCAUCUAUCCAUCUAUCCAUCUAUUGAUCUAUCCAUCUAUCUAUCUAUCUAUCCAUCUAUCCAUCUAUCGAUCUAUCCAUCUAUCUAUCUAUCCAUCCAUCUAUCCAUCUAUCGAUCUAUCGGUCUAUCCAUCUAUCGAUCUAUCCAUCUCUCCAUCUACCCAUCUACCCAUCUAUCCAUCUAUCCAUCUAUUCAUCUACCGAUCUAUCUAUCCAUCUAUCUAUCUAGCUAUCUAGCUAUCUAUCAAUCUAUCUAGCUAUCUAGCUAUCUAUCUAUCUAGUUAUCUAGCUAUCUAUCAAUCUACCUACCUACCUACCUACCUAUCUAUCUAUCUAUCUAUCUAUCUAAAGGAAAUAUGCCCUAGAUGCAAUAAUAAAGUUGUCAUUUACAUUUCCUUAUAUCAUGAUAAACUAGCGGAGUCACCCGCGCAUUUGCGCGGCUAGAUUGACUACAUAUAUUGUUAUAUUUGGGAUUAUUUUUCUAUGCCAAUUUUAUGGCCUCUUACUCAGAUAUUAUCUAAUUGAAUUUACCACCACCAUAUGUUAUAUCCAUAGAUUAUAAUUAAAAGGCAACUUCCGACGAAACAUAGACAGAUUAUUGAGUGCUCAGUAGACGGACGCAAUAUCAUAUAUAGACUUCUAUACCAAUCUUCAUGGUUCCCAUCUUUGAUCCUCUCCUCGUCCCUUGGUAUCUAUCUUUGCACCCAAUAUGUCUUUGGAGUUCCAAGAAUUGAAUCUUAGCAUGAAUGGCUUCAAUGUGUACCAAAUGUUCUCUUGUUCCUCCCAAAUUAAUUACUGGUUGCAUUCUUAGUUGCUUUGACAUUCUUGGUUAAUGCAAUGUCUUGCCUACCAAUAUAUGCAUCCACACACGAUCAUAUUUAUAUGACCACUUACCUCUGUAUUCUGGUAUUUGUGCUUCAGAAUUUUUCUCUCAUUCAGUUUAUUCAUAGAUUAAAAACGUCGAUCGUUUCUUUAUUGGUUUGCAUUAUCUUGUUUGCCGAACGUAAGCAUCCACACAUGCUCGUCAUGAUAUGAUUGGUCAUCAUUGUAUAUUUGUAUUUGUGUGUUGAUAGCUUAAGGAUUUUCUCGGAUUCACUUCAUAGUUUAAGGAUUUUCUCGCGUUCAAUUUAUUCUACCUUAUUCAUUUUCAUGUUUCUUUAUUGCAUUUAUAUCAAUUCUUACAAUAUAUUUUCCAAGAUAUGAACUCAACUGCUAAUUACGUAGUUUUUCAUCAAAAAUUACAUGUAAAAAUGUUACAAAUGCAUAAACAUGAUAAAAAUAUAUAUCAUAUUCCAUUGAGAGAUCGCCCAUUUAAAAAAAACACGUUGACUUACAAAAAGGACAAUUCAAGCUGCAUGUACGUCCGACUCAUGUUUACCUGACAAUGUCGAUGUUGAUUUCAGCAGUAAAUGAGCUGUGUGUGACCUUUGCGCUUUCCGGUAUUCUUCUAACCUGUGUGCUUUAUGAUCAGUUUGUUGUGCUUAGUACUGGACACUGGAGUAUACUAUCAUAUUUGGUACAAAUAAAUCUGAACUACUAUAGUUAUGAUCCACUCUAUAGUUAAUGGUGGUGGUAAUUAAUAUAUGUGGUUAAAUACUUGCGCUCCUUAGGUGGGGAGUUGGAUUUGUAUUUCCCUAAAAUAAAUUUCAGAUUUCGUAAUAGUGGUGAAGCCAGCCGGAAGAACCUCUGCGUCAUUAUUAAUUUUGGUGAUAUUUUUCUUCAUAGUGUAGAAUAAUUUUAGUGCUUAUUCCGCAAAAAAUAUGGCCUCAACUAACCCCAUAGCUUGUAUGUUGCGCCACCACUGUUUCCUAUAUCUUAUUACAUCCGUUGUUUUUAGAUCUUGAUGCAUAACUUUGACAAUUUUUAAUAGAUAUGUGUCUGCAUAAAAAAUUAUAAAUGCUAUGAUAAUUUGAUUAAUUAUGAUGAAUAAAAUGUUAUUGCUCUGACUUGAUCCCUCUAGAAUUUUCCAAAAUUUCACAUUACUGUUGUAGUAGUGCAUGCUACCUCUUCAGCACUGCGUUAGUUUUCCCUUGAAGAGGAAAGGGUGAUGCAGUAAAUCAGCGUCAGUAUUUCCCUCAGUUUUUGAGAACCAAGGUAUCAAUCCAGUAGGAGGCAACACACGAGUCCCUCGCACCUACACAAACAAAUAAAAUCCUCGCAACCAACGCAAUAAAGGGGUUGUCAAUCCCUUCACGGUCACUUACGAAAGUGAGAUCUGAUAGAUUUGAUAAGAUAAUAUUUUUGGUAUUUUUAUGAUAAAGAUGCAACGUAAAGAAAGCAAAAUAAAAACAACGCCAGAAAUAGCUUGUUGACGGGAGAUUAAAUAUGAUGGAAAAUAGACCGGGGGCCAUAGGUUUCACUAGUGGCUUCUCUCGAGAGCAUAAGUAUUUCGGUGGGUAGACAAAUUACUGUUGAGCAAUUGACAGAAUUGAGCAUAGUUAUGAGAAUAUCAAGGUAUGAUCAUGUAUAUAGGCAUCACGUCCGAGGCAAGUAGCCCGACUCCUGCCUGCAUCUACUACUAUUACUCCACACAUCAACCGCUAUCCAGCAUGCAUCUAGAGUAUUAAGUUCAAAAGAACAGAGUAACGCUUUAAGUAAGAUGACAUGAUGUAGAGGGAUAAACUCAUGCAAUAUGAUAUAAACCCCAUCUUGUUAUCCUCGAUGGCAACAAUACAAUACGUGCCUUGCUGCCCCUACUGUCACUGGGAAAGGACACCGCAAGAUUGAACCCAAAGCUAAGCACUUCUCCCAUCGCAAGAAAGAUCAAUCUAGUAGGCCAAACCAAAUUGAUAAUUCGAAGAGACUUGCAAAGAUAACCAAUCAUACAUAAAAGAAUUUAGACAAGAUUCAAAUAUUGUUCAUAGAUAAACUUGAUCAUAAACCCAUAAUUCGUCGGUCUCAACAAACACACCGCAAAAGAAGAUUACAUCGAAUAGAUCUCCACAAGAGGGGGGGAGAACAUUGUAUUGAGAUCCAAAAAGAGAGAAGAAGCCAUCUAGCUAAUAACUAUGGACCCGAAGGUCUGAGGUAAAGUACUCACACAUCAUCGGAGAGGCUAUGGUGUUGAUGUAGAAGUCCUCCGUGAUCGAUGCCCCCUUCGGCGGAGCUCCGGAAAAGGCCCCAAGAUGGGAUCUCACGGGUACAGAAGGUUGCGGCGAUGGAAUUAGGUUUCAUUCCGUUUGGACUCGGUUUGAUAUUCUUUUUCUGUGAAACUCUGAACUAGGCAAAAAACAGCAAUUCUGGGGUGGGCCUCCGGUUAAUAGGUUAGUCCCAAAAAUAAUAUAAAAGUGUAUAAUAAAGCCCAUUAAUGUCUAAAACAGAAUAUAAUAUAGCAUGGAACAGUUAAAAAUUAUAUAUACGUUGGAGACGUAUCAAGCAUCCCCAAGCUUAAUUCCUGCUCGUCCUCGAGUAGGUAAAUGAUAAAAACAGAAUUUUUAAUGUGGAAUGCUACUUCGAAUAAUUUCAAUGUAAUUCUCUUAAUUGUGGUAUGAAUAUUCAGACCCGAAAGAUUCAAGACAAAAGUUUAAUAUUGACAUCAAAAUAAUAAUACUUCAAGCAUACUAACUAAGCAAUUAUGUCUUCUCAAAAUCAUAUAGUCUAGCUAUGCUCUAUCUUCACCACACAAAGUAUUUAAAUUAUGCACAACCCCGAUGACAAGCCAAGCAAUUGUUUCAUACUUUUGAUGUUCUCAAACUUUUUCAAUCUUCACAGAAUACAUGAGCAUGAGCCAUGGACAUAGCACUAUAUGUGGAAUAGAAUGGUGGUUGUGGAGAAGACAAAAAAGGAGAAGAUAGUCUCACAUCAACUAGGCGUAUCAACGGGCUAUGGAGAUGCCCAUUAAUAGAUAUCAAUGUGAGUGAGUAGGAAUUGCCAUGCAACGGAUGCACUAGAGCUAUAAGUAUAUGAAAGCUCAACAAAAGGAACUAAGUGGGUGUCCAUCCAACUCGCUUGCUCAUGAAGACCUAGGGCAUUUUGAGGAAACCCAUCAUUGGAAUAUACAAGCCAAGUUCUAUAAUGAAAAUUUCCCACUAGUACAUGAAAGUGAUAUCAUAGGAGACUCUCUAUCAUGAAGAUCACGGUGCUACUUUGAAGAACAAGUGUGGUAAAAGGAUAGUAACAUUGUCCCUUCUCUCUUUUUCUCUCAUUUUUUAUUUGGGUCUUUUAUCCUUUUUUUAUGGCCUCUUUUUUUAGUCCGAAGUCUCAUCCCGACUUGUGGGGGAAUCAUAGUCUCCAUCAUCCUUUCCUCACUUGGGACAAUGCUCUAAAAAAAUGAUGAUCAUCACACUUUUAUUUACUUACAACUCAAUACUUAGAACAAAAUAUGACUCUAUGUGAAUGCCUCUGGCGGUAUACCGUGAUAUGCAAUGAAUCAAGAGUGACAUGUAUGAAAGAAUUAUGAACGGUGGCUUUGCCACAAAUACAAUGUCAACUACAUGAUCAUGGAAAGCAAUAUGACAAUGAUGGAGUGUGUCAUAAUAAACUGAACGGUGGUAAGUUGCAUGGCAAUAUAUCUCGCAAUGGCUAUGGAAAUGCCAUGACAGGUAGGUAUGGUGGCUGUUUUGAGGAAGGUAUAUGGUGGGUGUAUGAUACCGGCGAAAAGUGCGCGGUAUUAGAGAGGCUAGCAAUGGUGGAAGGAAGAAAGUGCGUAUAAUCCAUGGACUCAACAUUAGCCAUAAAGAACUCAUAUACUUAUUGCAAAAAUCUACAAGUUAUCGAAGCAAAGUAUUACCCGCAUCAUCCUAGGGGGAUAGAUUGGUAGGAAAAGACCAUCGCUCGUCCCCGACCGCCACUCAUAAGGAAGACAAUCAAUAAAUAAAUCAUGCUCCAACUUCAUCACAUCACGGUUCACCAUACGUGCAUGCUAAGGGAAUCACAAACUUUAACACAAGUAUUUCGCAAAUUCAAAACUACUCAACUAGCAUGACUCUAAUAUCACCAUCUCCAUAUCUCAAAACAAUUAUCAAGUAUCAAACUUCUCAUAGUAUUCAACACACUCAUAAGAUUUUUUUACUAAUCUUGAGUGCCUAUCAUAAUUAAAGCAAAUUACCACACUGUUUUGUAGGACUAUCAAAAUAAUCUAAGUGAAUCAUGAGAGAACAAUAGUUUCUAUAAAACAAAACCACCACCGUGCUGUAAAAGAUAUACGUGAAGCACUAGAGCAAAAACUAUAUAGCUCAAAAGAUAUAAGUGAAGCACAUAGAGUAUUCUAACAAUUUCCGAAUCAUGUGUGUCUCUCUCAAAAGGUGUGUACUGCAAGGAUUAGUGUGGCAAACUAACAAAUAAAGACUUCAAAUAAUACAAGACGCUCCAAGCAAAACACAUAUCAUGUGGUGAACAAAAAUAUAGCUCCAAGUAAAGUUACCGAUGGAAGUAGACGAAAGAGGGGAUGCCUUCCGGGGCAUCCCCAAGCUUUGGCUUUUAGUUGUCCUUAGAUUAUCUUGGGGUGCCAUGGGCAUCCCCAAGCUUAGGCUCUUGCCACUCCUUGUUUCAUAAUCCAUCAAAUCUUUCAUCCAAAACUUGAAAACUUCACAACACAAAACUGAGCAGAAAAUCUCGUGAGCUCCGUUAGCAAAAGAAAAGAAAACACCACUUCAAGGUACUGUAAUGAACUCAUUCUUUAUUUAUAUUGGUGUUAAACCUACUGUAUUCCAACUUGUCUAUGGUUUAUAUACUAUUUUACUAGCCAUAGAUUCAUCAAAAUAAGCAAACAACACACGAAAAACAUAAUCUGUCAAAAACAGAACAGUCUGUAGUAAUCUAUAACUAACGCAAUUUUCUGCGACUCCAAAAAUUGACCCAAAAUAGGAAGACCUAGCCAAUUUUUUUAUUUAUCAGCAGCAAUUGGAAUCAAUAUUUUAUCACGUCCUGGUGAUUUUUAACAAUUAUUUUCGUGAACAGAAAGUUUCUGGAAUUUUCAGCAAGAUCAAAUAACUAUCAUCCAAGAAGAUCCUAUAGGUUAACCUUGGCACAAACACUAAUUAAAACAUAAAAACACAUGUAACCAGAGGCUAGAUCAAAUAUUUAUUCCUAAACAAAAGAAAAAAGCAAAAAAACUAAAAAUAAAAUUGGGUUGCCUCCCAACAAGCGCUAUCGUUUAACGCCCCUAGCUUGGCAUAAUAGCAAGGAUAGAUCUAGGUAUUGCCAUCUUUGGUAGGCAAUCCAUAAGUGGCUCUCAUAAUAGAUUCAUAAGGUAAUUUUAUUUUAUUUCUAGGGAAGUUUUCCAUGCCUUUCCUUAAUGGAAAUUGGAAUCUAAUAUUCCCUUGCUUCGUAUCAAUAAUUGCACCAAUCGUUCUAAGGAAAGGUCUACCAAGAAUAAUAGGACAUGAAGGAUUGCAAUCUAUAUCAAGAACAAUAAAAUCUACAGGCACAUAAUUCCUAUUUGCAACAAUAAGAACAUCAUCAAUUCUUCCCAUAGGUUUCUUAAUGGUGGAAUCCGCAAGGUGCAAGUUUAAAGAGCAAUCAUCAAAAUCACGGAAACCUAGCAAAUCGCACAAAGUCUUUGGAAUCGUGGAAACAGUAGCACCCAAAUCACACAAAGCAUAGCAUUCAUGAUCUUUAAUUUUUAUUUUAAUAGUAGGUUCCCACUCAUCAUAAAGUUUUCUAGGGAUAGAAACUUCCAACUCAAGUUUUUCUUCAUAAGAUUGCAUCAAAGCAUCAACGAUAUGUUUAGUAAGGCUUUAUUUUGACUAUAAGCGUGUGGAGCAUUUAGCACGGAUUGCAACAAGGAAAUACAAUCUAUCAAAGAGAAAUUAUCAUAAUUAAAUUCCUUUAAAUCCAAAAUAGUGGGUUCAUUAAUAUCUAGAGUUUUGAUUUCUUCAAUCCCACUUUUACCAAUUUUUGCAUCAAGAUCUAAAAACUCAGAAUUUUUGGAAUGCCUUCUAGGUAGAGGUGGAUCAUAUUCAGUCCCAUCAUUAUCAAGAUUCAUAUUGCAAAACAAAGAUUUAAUAGGGGACACAUCAAUAACUUUUAGAUCUUCAUCUUUAUUUUCAUAGAAACUAGAAGAACACGCUUUCACAAAACAAUCUUUCUUAGCACGCAUCCUAGCGGUUCUUUCUGUGCACUCAUCAAUGGAAAUUCUCAUGGCCUUGAGAGACUCAUUGAUAUCAUGCUUAGGAGAAAUUCUAUCAGCGUUCCUAGCCAAUUCAUCAACUUUAAGCAAUUUUUCUUCAAGCAAAGCAUUGAAAUUGUUUUGCGAAUUCAUAAAUUCUUUAACACUAGUCUCAAAUUCAGAAGGCAUCUUAUUAAAAUUUCCAUAAUAAUUGUUGUAGGAAUUACCAUAAUUAUUAGAGGAAUUACUAGGAUACGGCCUUGGAUUAAAGUUUCCUCUAUACGCGUUGUUACCAAAAUUAUUCCGACCAACAAAAUUCACAUCCAUAGAUUCAUUAUUAUUCUCAAUAAAAGUAGACAAAGGCAUAUCAUUAGGAUCAGAAGAAACACUUUUAUUAGCAAAUAAUUUCAUAAGUUCAUCCAUCUUUCCACUCAAAACAUUAAUUUCUUCUAUCGCAUGCACUUUUUUAUUAGUGGAUUUUUCGGUGUGCCAUUGAGAAUAAUUAACCAUAAUAUUAUCUAGGAGUUUAGUAGCUUCUCCUAAAGUGAUUUCCAUAAAAGUGCCUCCCGCGGCCGAAUCUAAAAGAUUUCUAGAAGAAAAAUUCAAUCCGGCAUAAAAUUUUUGUAUAAUCAUCCACAAAUUCAAACCAUGAGUAGGGCAAUUACGUAUCAUUAAUUUCAUCCUCUCGCAAGCUUGUGCAACAUGUUCAUGAUCAAGUUGCUUAAAAUUCAUAAUAUCAUUUCUAAGAGAGAUGAUCUUAGCGGGGGGGAAAUACUUAGAGAUAAAAGCAUCUUUGCACUUAUUUCAAGAAUCACUACUAUUUUUAGGCAAAGACGAAAACCAAGCUUUAGCACGAUCUCUAAGUGAAAAAGGAAAUAGCUUCAAUUUAACAAUAUCAUUGUCCACAUCUUUCUUCUUUUGCAUAUCACACAAAUCAACGAAGUUGCCAUGUCUAGGAAUGCUUGAAGCUUCAAAGAUUUCCUAUAAUACAACAUGCCUCUAACUAUUCACAAAAAGAAAAACAUGUAAAUGCGGAAUCAACCAAAUGAUGGUAAAUUGUAGUUGAUUUUGGCCAAGCAAACGUCAGAUGAAAGAAACAUACAUGAGUGAACAUCACGAUUGGAUGUUUUAUUCAAAUUUAACAGGUUAAACUCACCAAAUCCAUCUGGAUAUUUAGUAUUAAACUUCAACAGAUGGUCAGUUGUAGCUAGAUUCACACCACUGCAGCAAAAUUCCAUCUGCCACGGUUACAUCACACCAUCUUUUCAUCGUUACUAUUUAAAUUCCAAAUGCCUGCAACUCAUUUUUUUUGUUACGAUGUAUGCAUGAUUUUUAACUCAAGAGGAAGAGGGGAAACUAAAUCCAAGAAAAGAACACCAAGGAAGCAUCCAAAAUAGAGAAAGGAAAAAUCCAAAAUAGAGGCAGAAUCGAAGGGAAGAAACCCCAUAAAAAAUAGGAGAUCAAACGGUGAAAAAAAUCUAAGAGUCAAACAAUUCCAGGUAAGACCAAAUCGACGGCAAAAUAGCACAAGAGGGACUCACAUUAACAGGUAUACCAGGUAUACCAAUUCAGAAAGAAGUGUAAAGCGAACAGUGCAAUGGACCACUAGUAUAAAUUGGAUGUACACAAACAUGGGACUUAAACAGGAACUGCGAGAUGCAGGGUUCAUGUGCAAACCCAAAAAACGGAAAACUGAAACCCACAACAAGAUUUUAUCUUCAUAUAUAUAUAUAUAUAUAUAUAUAUAUAUAUAUAUAUAUAUAUAUUCAAGGCUCGCCCUAUCUAUUAGUUGCUUCUUGCGAAUCCCCACCUAUCAAGCGUUUUCUCUGAAUAAACAAACACAAUAGUAUUCUCUGAAUUAUACUGUACAACGGUAAUUAACCAAGCGACUGGAAUUAACAAUAUUAUGAGCUACUGGCUUUUUAGUCAGGUAAAUAUCAUUCUUAAGACUACGGAAAACAGCAGGCGGCGAAGAAAACAUCUAUUGAUGAGAACUAUGCACAUACUUAAGAAGGAAGUGACAUCUAUGGUAGCAGAACAUAUAUCAAGCUGUUGCAGCUACAUUAGCAGUUUAGCACAGUUCCUCCAUAAUACACAGGCUAGUGUAAUUUCACAAAUACAAUAAGCUAACAAUAUAUAUUUGGUAGAUGGAAAUGGCUGGAUCAUGACCAAUAUACCAUUACACAUCCGAUGAUGCAAAUAAAGAAACGAGGCCCAACAAUAGUGGAAAAUAAACCACAAUAGAACAUGUAUUUGGCGAAACCUCCGUACUGCAAUAUCAAACAUGAAUUGAAAUUAACAAUCUAGCAAAAAAACAUGACAGAUGCAGUCUUGGUCAUUUUUCCUUUUGUGACAUCCCCUAAAAAAAGUAAAAACAAUGUUGUUCGUAUUUUACCAGAGAUACACUGAGCUGGGACAAAUCGGUCUGAAAUAAAAUAUGAUGGCUUCGGAGGAUUCGAAAGGCAAGAAAUUUGCUUUCUUCCAACUUAUAUGGUCUGCUGAACUAAACUUCGUUUCAGCGGGCUUUGGCAAAAAUCUGUAACUGCAUACAUCAACUUGUGUGCCCUUCCUACGUCAAACUUUAAACCUGAUGGAUUAAAUAUUUUAGGUUAGGCUGAGAUCAGUGUACUUUAUGAGUGUUAAGUGUACUUUCUAAAUAGCAGAGAAACCAUAACAUCUAAGCACAACCCAGCAACUUGUACAAGCUAACAUCAAAUCUGAAAGAGGAAAUGUCGAGAACAGGUGAAGGUACCAUGAUCCACGACUGAGCAAAGUUAUCUAUAAUGCUCGGUGAAUAUCAUAAAUUAGGAUCAACUACGCUGAAGAACAAACGGGAAAGGAACCUAGAAAGAUCUUCUGCCGGUAGAAUAUAACUGAUACACUAUCCUCAUUCUCGAGAUCAAGGUCGUUUCUUGAAUUGCAGUUUCCUCACUGUAGUAUGGGGUCAUUACACUGCGAAGAACAAAGUGUCAUAUGAAUCAUUUAGAGCCCAAUAUUUUUCACUGAAACUCUUAUGAUCACAUAACGAAUUUAAACAUAAGGUUUAUUAGAUAUUUGUUGUUGUGAACAGAUAAUAUAUUUCUGGUGUUGACAAUGUUUUGAUUAUGGAUGCACUUCAAGAUGGGUGGCAAAGAUUCUGUUGUACAGGCCUCCACCUGGAAUUUCAUCACUUGUUAUUUUUGUUUUAGAAUGUCUAGGUGCAUUUUUCCUUUAAGGUGGAAACAGAUGUACUUGUAUAAGCAACAAGAAUACAAAGCGCCACUGCCAUACAUUGUGGAAGUUCAGUGCUUCUGUUUACAAAAUCUGCUUCAAAAAACAGAAGGAUUUAUAAUUUUUCAUUACAAUCAAGCGGACAUGAGCUGAUGAGUACAGAUGUAGACAUGUACUGAGAGCAGCACCCUUUCAAAAGUGGAUCAUUUACAUGUUGGAUAGUUUGAUGGUCUGAAAUUAGUGGUCGUGUUUCAGAAUUGUUAUCGAAUAGUAGGGGAUAUAUAUUAACUUCUGAAAUUAGUGGCUGUUUGUCAGAACUGUUAUCGAAUAACAGAGCACAUAUAUUAACUUCAAUAAGUGGAGUAAUAUCUUUGGAUUCGCUGUGAGGAAAGAUUACCAAAACAAAACAGAAGUGAGUGCGACGAACCAGAUGAGGGCGCUCUUGAGCCUCUUCCCGACCGACCUAGAUGCAGGAGCAGAACAGGGCGGAUCUAAUCAGCCAACGAAUAAAGCCGAGGCAGGUAGAGGAAGUAAGGGGGGAAGAAGACUGACUUGUCCUGGUCGCCCUCGUAGUAGAACCUGUGUUUUGAUUUUCGGCCGAAAAAAGAGGAUUUCGGCUGAAUUUCGGCCAUCUCGGCCUGGGGCGAAAAGUGUAUUUAGGCCGAAAUUGUUCAAAUUUAGCAAAUUUUGGUCAAAUUUAAGUCAAAUUGCAGUCAAAAUUUGGUCAAAUUUCAGCCGAAAUUUUUGAAAAUGGCUGAAAUUCGGCCAUCUCAGCCUAGGGAGGAAAAAAAGCUCAAACCGAAAAUCAAAACACAUAGUAGAACAUGGCGAACAGGAUGACGAGGAAGACGAGGACAGCGUCGAGGAUGUAGACGACGAGCCAGAGCGUGUUCAUGGGCAGGAUCAAGCAUGGGCAGGAUAAGGGCGCAGGCCCCGUUGUAGGCGGCGUGCUUGCAGGCCUGGCAGUUGGCGACGUCGGCGGGGAGCAUGAGGAUGGAGAGGACGGCGACGGUGAUGCCGAGCACGACGACGAGCUUGAGGAAGUAGGCCUGGUUGGCAUCAUCCGGGUGCUGGUAGUUGACGAGCAGGUAGACGCUGACGAGGAGCACCAGGAUGCUGACCACCGCCGCCACGAUCACUAGCGCCACGUUAAAAACCCCAUCUCCUCGGGGCUCCGGUCCCGGUUCCGGCCCGCCGCCUCGCCCCCGUUGGUCGGUCAGAUCUCUCUGUCCCUAGAGGCGGGGGGAUACAGGCUAGGGUUUGGGCGUGGGCGGGGAAUAGGCUGCUAUGGUGCCUGCAGCGGGGCGUGUAGGAGAGAAGGAUUAGGAGGAAUAAUUCACCACACUUUGAUUAAGCUCUGGGAUGGGUCUUAUGUACAGAUUACAGGGCCAGCCAGGGAGAUCAUGGGGUGAUCCACUACCUGGGAUCGUGCGCCACGAUCACUACAUGCGUGCGCCACGAUCAUAUACACACACGCUACACCUAGUGUCUACGCAACUACGGUAUAGCAGUACAGUACAGCCUAACACCCCCCUCCCCCGGAGUCGUGACGUCGGCGGCGGCGACGCAAAGACUGGACCGGAACUCAGAGAAAACAUCCGAUGGCAGGCCUUUGGUCAUGAUGUCGGCGAGUUGUUGGCGCGUGGGGAUGUGAAGAACACGGAAGUGGCCGAGGGCGACGUGCUCCCGCACGAAAUGGAUGUCCAGCUCCACAUGCUUAGUGCAGCGAUGAUGCACCGGAUUGGCUGACAGGUAGACUACGGACACAUUGUCACAGUACACCAGUGCCGCCUUGGUCACUGGAGCGGAGAGCUCGCCGAGAAGCUGGCGGAGCCAGAUGCAUUCAGCGACCGCGUUGGCGACGCCGCGGUAUUCAGCUUCGGCGCUGGAGCGCGAUACGGUCGCCUGGCGCUUGGAGGACCAGGAGACGAGAGCACCGCCGAGGAAGACGCAGAAGCCCGACGUGGAGCGUCGGGUGUCGGGGCAGCCGGCCCAGUCCGCAUCGGUGAACGCACGGACGUCGAGCGUGGUCGAGGCGCGAAGAUGAAGCCCGAGUGCGCAGGUGCCCUUCACGUACCGGAGCACGCGCUUUACGAGCGCGAGGUGGCAUUAGCGCGGGUCAUGCAUGUGCAAGCAGAUUUGCUGGACAGCGUAGGCGAUCUCUGGACGCGUGAUGGUGAGGUACUGCAGGGCCCCGGCGAUGCUCCGAUAGGCCGAGGGGUCGUCGACGCAGGGCCCAUCGGCUGAGGGGAGUUUGCUCUUCGUGUCGGUGGGUGUCGGGGAAGGGCGGCAGGUGUCCAUGCCGGCGCGUUCCAGGAGCUCGUCGGCAUAUUGUUGUUGCGACAGGAAGAAGCCAGCUCGGGUGCGGGUGACGCGGAUGCCGAGGAAGAAGGCGAGCGAGCGCAGGUCCUUCAUGGCGAAUUCGCCUGUGAGGCGCUGGAUGACAUGGUGAAGCACGCGUGACGAGGACGCGGUGAGCACGAUGUCGUCGACGUAGAGGAGGAGGAACGCCAUGUCGUUGCCGUGCCGGAAGGUGAACAGCGAUGAGUCCGAACGCGUAGCUGCGAAGCCAAUGGAGCGGACGAAGCCGGCGAAGUGGAGGAACCAGGCACGGGGCGCCUGCUUGAGCCCGUACAAGGACUUGGAGAGGCGGCAGACGUGCUCUGGUUUGUCGGGGUCGACGAAUCCGGCGGGCUGGAGGCACUAGACUUCCUCCUCCAAGUUGCCGUCGAGGAAGGCGUUGGAGACGUCGAGGUGGUGCACCGGCCAGCCGCGCGACGCGGCCAGAGUGAGCACCGUGUGGAUCGUCGCUGGCUUGAUGACGGGGGAGAACGUCUCGCCGUAGUCGACGCCAGCACACUGAUGAAAGCCCCGCACGACCCAGCGUGCUUUGUUGCGGGCCAGCGCGCCGUCGGCGUCGUUUUUGUGCUUGAAGAUCCACUUCCCUGUGAUCAGGUUGGCGCCGGGCGGGCGGGGCACCAGCUCCCACGUGCGAUUGCGCACUAGCGCAUCGUACUCAGCACGCAUGGCACCGAGCCAGUUCGGGUCGCGAACAGCAGCGCGAACCGAACGCGGCACCGGCGACACCGAUGAUGAGGUAGAGGCGGUGACCGCGUCGUAGUAGCGCGGGUUGGGGCGGAAGAUGCCGCGCUGGGCACGCGUGACCAUGGGCACAGGAGGCGCCGGUGCGCGGGGCGCCGCUGGUGGCGCGCUCGGAGACGAGCUGUCGGAGGAGCCGCUGGCGGAGUUGUCGGAGGAGCCGCUGGCGGACACGAAGACAGGCGGACCAGGCGCGGAUGGGCACGUCGAGGACGGAGCCGAGCCGCCAUCGGAAGCGCCCGCAGCGUACCGCGAGCUGACGCGGCGCGCCCCGCUGGUUGGCGAGGAUGAGCGGGGCAGGCCGGUGAUGGAGAUCGGGCGCGCCGGCAGCACGGGUGACAUGCUGCUGUCAGGCACCGGUGGAAGCGCGGGCAGCGCAGGAGGCCGGACGACGAGCGGGAUCUGCAGGGUAGAGGGUACGACGGGUGGCGUAGGCGACGGGGAAGAGGAUGCGAACGGGAAAACGUGUUCGUGGAAGAGAACGUGGCGAGACGUGAGGACGCGGCGAGAGGUGAGGUCAAAGCAGCGAAAACCACGAUGAUCGGGAGGGUACCCGAGGAAGACGCAGGCGAUAGAACGUGGCUCGAGCUUAUGAUGGGUGGUGGCGGUGACGUUCGGAUAGCAGAGGCAUCCAAAGACGCGGAGCUGCGAGUAAUCUGGGGCGACGCCGAGCAGGAGUUCGUGCGGAGUGCAGGGCGCCGAGGCAGGGCCGACGAUUGAGCAGGUAGGUCGAGGUGUUGAGAGCCUCGGCCCAGAAGCGAGCGGGCAUGUGCGCAUGACAGAGAAGCACACGAACGCCAUCGUUGAUCGUGCGGAGAACUCGCUCGUCCUUGCCGUUCUGCUGACUGGCGUAUGGGCAGGUGAGACGGAAGUUUGUGCCGUGGCGAGCAAGCAGAGAGCGCAUGGCUGCGCUGUCGAAUUCACGACCAUUGCCCGUUUGCAGUGCAAGUACGGGUAACUGAAACUGAGUCUGAACAUAGGCAAAGAAAUCAACAAGUAUGGGAGGAACUUCAGACUUGUGUUUCAGAGGGAAAGUCCAGACAUAGUGACUGAAAUCAUCUAGUACAACUAAGUAAAACUGAUAGCCGGAUAUGCUUACAACGGGAGGGGUCCAUACAUCAAGGUUUAAAAGUUGGAAAGGAAAGAAACUAGCAGUGGUGGAUGUCUGAAACGGGAGCCAGGUGUGUUUGCCAACACGACAGGCAUGACAGACAGGCGGAUCACGGCAGAACUCCAGGGACUGAUCGGCAGCAACGGUGUGGAGUGCGGCAGCCCCUGGGUGGCCGAGACGUUGAUGCCACAGGUCGGUCGUGGCGGAGCCGGCGAAGAUGCCCGGGGAAUGGACGGAUGGCCGCACCACGGGAUAGAGAUCGCCGUCGGAGUCAGAUCGGAGAAUCACCACCCUGGUUCGUAGGUCCUUGACAGAGAAACCACGAGCGUCAAAUUCAACAGAAACGGGGUAGGAACGACAAAGCUGCCGAACUGAAAGUAGGUUUUUGACGAUAGAUGGAGAGACGAGAACGUUGCGGAGAGGAAUGGGGGAAGUGCUGGUGAUCAGUGCGCCCGUGCCAACGUGGGUGAUGGGCAGGCGCUCACCACUGCCCACGAUGAUAGAUGCAGCAGUAGAGGACGGGCGAGUGGAGAGGAGAUUACCAGGGGAGGACGUCAUGUGCGCCGCGGCGCCGGAGUCGAGGUACCACUCCGGUGCGCUGCCAGAGGAGGAAGGGCUGGCCGAGGCGCUGUGGAGGGCGGCCUGGAGCGAGGCCAUGUCCCAUGGCUGGUGGGUUGCAGUCGACGAGCUGGCGCCGGGGUGCCCGUAGCCUGACAGGACGCCGGAGACGGGUGGAGUGACGCCGUAGCCGGGGAGGGUAGCGCCGUAGCCGUAUGGUGCAGCCAGCGACGGGGCGGCGAACAUGGCCUGCUGGUGCGGCGUACCAGGGCGGGGGCCGAGCACUCCAGCUCCAGGCGCGCGCCAAGGCAUCGGCCAAGCCUGGACCAUGCCGGUCCAUGCGUUGGUGCCAGGUGCAGGCGUGGGGUACGCCGGGGGAGGGCGGGGAGCCUGGGAGGACGGCGUGGGCGGGCCACCACUGCCGUUGCCACGUCCGCGGCGGCAUCCGCGCCCACGCCCUUGGUUGGUGUUGCUGGGCGGGGGUGUGGGUGGUGUAGGAGAGCCGCCACGCCCGGCGACGAGAGCGUGCGCAGACUGCUGGCGAGCGGUCGACUGCUCUGCUCGGUGUUCCUCAAGCAGGAGGAAGGAGCGCACCUGCAGGAACGACGGGAGCGGGACCUGCGAGGUGAGGGAUGGCGGAGUGGAACUGCCGGUUCAGACCGCGGAGCAGGUUGAAGACCUGCCGCGAGUCGGUUACCGGCUGCCCGAGGUCGCAGAGUUGAUCCGUGAACGACUUCAUCUUGGUGCAGUACGCCAUGAUCGACAUGUCGCCCUGAACGACAGCGUGGUACUCGGCGUCGAGGUAGACAGCGCGAGCGAGGUGGUUGUCGCGGAAGAUUCCAUCGACCGCAGUCCAGACGGCCAGAGCAGUGUCGUCCGGCUGCAUGACGGCGUCGAGCAGGUCCGGCGAUAUGGUGGUGUAGAACCAAUGGACGACGACGUGAUCAGCCAUGCCCCACUUGGGAUCAUCGUGGCGGUGCAUGGCCGUGGUGUCGACGUGAGUGCGGAGGCCGAACAUGCCGAUGACGGUGUCGAAGUGGCGGCGCCACUGCGUGUAGUUGCCGGCGAGAAGGUCGAGGGUGACCGGGACAUGACGACGGAUGUCCACGGUCUGCAGGAUCGCGGAGGCGACAGGUGCUGUAGGAGGAGGAAGAGGGAUGACGGGCACUGCGGGCGCGACAGGUGCUAGAGCCGGCGGUGCGUUGGCCAGGGGGACAGCGUUGAGGACGCCGUCGGCGCCGUGCUGCGAGGAGCGAGGGAACACGACGGGGUUUUCAUCCAUGGCGGCGGAAGCGGGACUGGCGACCUGCGCGAAGGGAUUGAGCAGGUCGGGGGAGUCUGAUACCAUAUAGGAAAGAAGGAUUAGGAGGAAUAAUUCACCACACUUUGAUUGAGCUCUCGGUUGGGUCUUAUGUACAGAUUACAGGGCCAGGGAGAUCAUGGGGUGAUCCACUACCUGGGAUCGUGCGCCACGAUCACUAUAUGCGUGCGCCACGAUUAUAUACACACAUGCUACAACUAGUGUCUACGCAACUACGGUAUAGCAGUACAGUACAGUCUAACAGGGCGGCCACCGGCGGGGAGGGCGGGAUCCGCGCGGGGUGGCGGGAUUUGGGCAGGCGGUGGGCUCGGGGGAGGGCGGUGGCAGCGAAGCAGCAAGGAGGGGCUGGAGGAGAUGAAACGAAAGAGGUCGCGUGACACAGCGACAGCGUCGUCCAAUCCCCUCGCUGCCGAUUUAAAAAAAGGUAAUGAUAACUCCCGAACGUUCAGGAGUUAAGCAUGGCAACCCGAACGGGUUUAGAUGGCAAGUUUAGUUUGCGUGAGAUUAGGGAAACAUGGUAAUUUUCUGACAAAAGAAAUGAAAAAGGACGAAGUUGCCAUCCCCUAUCAACUAAAGUUGCCAUCCCCUAUGAACUAAAGUUGCCAUGUAAAAACGUUCGGGACGAAAUGCUCAAAAUCCGAACGUUCGGAAGUUAUUGGAUUCAAAAAAAAUCCCCUUGCUGCCAAUCGCUGGCCCGUUUCUUUUUUCGCCCAAUCGCUAGGUGAUGACGUGGCUAUCACGGGAAGGCGCCCUUGAUGCGUAGUCGAAUGGUUUUAAUUAAUAGGAAGCGAGUGCUUACUCUAGUUACUGAAUUAUGUACACCAAAUAAAGCCAUUUACACGUAGUUAAUGACAAAAAAAGUUGAUGUUUGCUGCGCAAACGUGUAGUACAAAUUAAGAAGUGCAAGAUAAAAAAAAUGCUGGUCCUUGAUUCGUUGUUGAUCGUCAGCAUGCCAUCAUCAAUUUGUAGUUAAUUAUCAUACAAAUUGGCUCUUUCAUAGAGUUGGAGGCUAGCUCCUUUGAUCAGCACGCGCUUAAACAUAAACAGCACGUAUAUGUUUUGUCUCCGGAGUUCAAUUCUUCAUCGGCCAGCAAAAAUGGCCCGACCGGGUAGAGGAAAAGGCAUGUUUGUUAGUACGCCUGGAGGAAAUGCCUUUGAUUAGGGCAUCUUCAACAGCGACCAGUAAAUUUCCUCCCGCGUUCGUCCACGGAUAGGGGAUCAGUCCGCGGAUACGGAUACAGGAAUCAUCCAUCCAACGCUGUCCGCGUAUAUUUCAAACACAUGUUUUUUUGAAAAUAGGAUGAAAUUCAUGCAAACACAAUGGAUUUCAUACAAACCGGACAAAAAUGUUUACAUUUUGGACAUAUUUUUUUUACUAAAAACUCUACAGCCGGUGCCGGCGAAUAUCCACUCCGGCGACAUGGAUACCCUUGACUAGUCUACUGCCGGCCGCAGCGGAUCUCCAAUGUCGUCCCCAUGUCCGGCAGCUAUGAGCCCUAGAGGUAUAUGCUUCAGCGCAAAGAGCGGCUCGCCUCCCUACCGCUCAUCGGAGUGGAACAACCAGCUGAUGCUUCUGCCGAUGGAAAGGGUCCCUACGCUACACAGAUUAGAGUUGGUUUUGGGCUGGGAACGGCGGUGGCCUGCCAGAGCGCAAGAUACCGACUGUGUAUGCUGGUGUCACCUGGUGUGGCAUUCGUGGGACCCAAGCGGCAGCGCCUCCUCGAUGAUGGCGGCGAGCGCGGACGUGUUGGACACCACCUCGUCGAUGUCCGUGCAGCCCGCUUCUUUCUCUGUAGGAAGGACGCGGUUACGCUCGCGUUGACAUCGGAUGACUUGGUCACAUGCACGGGAGGGGCGGUAUGACAUGGCACCGCCAAUGGCAGCCAUGAUGCCCGCGCCACCGUGCUCCCUCCCAGUGCCGACCUGGAGCAACUUGCCACUCCUCGGCUCGUGACCGGUGGGCUUGACAAGCCACCUAGCCAUUUUUUAUGCCAGACAACUCUUCUUCCUGCUCGUCAGAUGUCAUGGAUAAAACUGUUUAAGGAGGAAAAUGAUGAGUGGACGUGUGAUGCGGUUCUUGCCCAACAUCUGACAUUGUUUAAAUAGCGAGGGGACACGAGAGGAGCCAACCGGCGUUCUGUUUAAUGCUAACCGGCUCGCGAAUGAACAUGUGGCCGGAGUAAUUAUCCUGGCACACACGAGGGUUUAAUGGUGGAAGGCGGGCAGUCUGCAGGAAUGAGGCGAGGAUGUGUGCUUAGCCGGCGUGCAGCAGGCGGCGCCCUCGGCCGGCGUGCUGCUUCCAUUGCGGAGGCAGUGAGAGGUCGCGUCCGCUCUGCAGCGCAUGAAUGCGGGCCACUGGCGCAGAGCGGGAACGCGUGCGGGCGAGGGAGGAGGGGGUUUGGGCGGGUGGUUAGAAGAGGUCGUGGGUGUUGUCCGAACGCCUGCAAAUCCCCCCUCCAUGUUUAUCUCCAGUUUGCGGGAGAAAGUACGUCCGGACCGUCUCCAAUGGACCAAUACAGGCACGCAUUGGAUGGCACAACACGUCCGGACCAUGUGGUCCGGAUGGUUGUGAACAGUUUAAUUGAGGGUCGGCGUUGGAGAUGCCUUAGAGUUUAUGAAUCCAUUGUGUUUUUCUAAUCAUAAAAAAGCACUUACAAUAAGUUAUAAGGAAAGACACGUUUAUAUGUUAGGUUCAGACUCCAGCUUUCGUUUUACAUAUGCUUUAUUCAUCCGACUGAUUCCAAUAGAGUGAGCCUAGCGUUGUUUUUCUGGAAACUCGCGCGAUGAGGAGACAUGCAUACACAUUCUUUCAAGCAAAUCACAUCCAUUCUUUUUAACUCAUUUUUCUUCUUUUAAUAAUAUAAUAGAUCAUUUAUAUUUUUUAUCUGAAACAGUUGACGUGUAAUUUAUAUUGUAAUCUGAGAAUAAUGUUUGGAUUUUACUUUCAAAUAUAUUUGAAAUGGCCAUGAUGGAAUCACAUCCAUUUAUUUUGUUAUUAUUUGAAUUUGAUCCAAAAGAUUAAUAAUGAGUAGAGGUCAUGUCAACUUUUCUGAGAACUUUGCUAAUCAAAAUAUAAAUUUUAUUUAAAAACAUCUAUUUUUUAGCACGCAUGAAAAACAUAACACGUAUCUUUUCACACAUAAUGAACGGUUGUCAUAAGAACUCAUGCCAUGCCACAACCUCCCUCCGACCCUGCCAACAUUGUUGCAGCUGCACUCGCAAGCUUUAGCGUAGAUGAUAAUUUAUACAAUUUGCGUAAAACAAAAUAAGAUCUACAAAUGAAUAGAAGCUAGAACGUACAUUGGCAUGCACACACAUUGCAAGCCAUACUAACCUGAUAAGUGUUAAUAACUUGUACAACAUAUACAGCACUUAAGACAAGUAAAAGCAAUUUGAUGAGUCAUGGUCUAUCAAAGCCACAUUACUAGUCUAAUCCAUCUUAACAGGUCACACAUGAUUAAAAUCUUGUUUGUGUGCAAGUCAAGCUUAUCUAGUUUACAUGUAACAACUUGUAGAACAUUACAAAAUUUAUGUUUGCUAAUAACUUCUAGAACACUACAACACUUGACAUGUAAAAGGAAUUUGAUGAGUCAUGGCCUACUAAAGCAAGUUAUAUUACUAGUCUUAUCUACCUUAACAGGCCACACAAGAUUACAAACCAAGUUCUGUGCCAGCCAUGCUUAUCUAGUUUAUGCGUAACAAUUUGCAGAAAAUUACAAACUUAGUUUCAGAAAAAUAGGCAAUCUAGAUUAGUGUUUGAGCUGUAAAGUGAAUAAAAUGAGUCAUGCGUGUUAUCACACCUUUUUGGUUGUGGAAUGAUAGUGCAACAACAAGGAACUUUAAUGACCAGUUCAAGAAUACACUUGUAAGUAGAGCCACCGAACACAACAUACCAAAUUAUGAUUUUGAGAAGCAUCCAAGCACUUCCACACAAGCAAAUGCCAACUGUGAAAGAGAUCAUGCCAUGGCAGCUAUAAAUAGGCCCGUAGCAUGACGAUCAUCCUUCCUCAUCCAUCAUUCUCAUAAGUAGAGCGCAUCAUUUAAGCCAAGCAAGCAGUGCUCAAUACAAAUCCACCAUGAAGACCUUUCUCAUCCUUGCCCUCCUUGCUAUUGUAGCAACCACCGCCACAAUUGCAGUUAGAGUUCCAGUGCCACAAUUGCAGCCACAAAAUCCAUCUCAGCAACAACCACAAGAGCAAGUUCCAUUGGUACAACAACAGCAAUUUCCAGGGCAGCAACAACCAUUUCCACCACAACAGCCAUAUCCGCAGCCGCAACCAUUUCCAUCACAACAACCAUAUCUGCAGCUGCAACCAUUUCCGCAGCCGCAACUACCAUAUCCGCAGCCGCAACCAUUUCGACCACAACAACCAUAUCCACAACCGCAACCACAGUAUUCGCAACCACAACAACCAAUUUCGCAGCAGCAGCAACAACAACAACAACAACAACAACAACAACAACAAAUCCUUCAACAAAUUUUGCAACAACAACUGAUUCCAUGCAGGGAUGUUGUAUUGCAACAACACAACAUAGCGCAUGGAAGCUCACAAGUUUUGCAACAAAGUACUUACCAGCUGGUGCAACAAUUGUGUUGUCAGCAGCUGCGGUAGAUCCCCAAGCAGUCGCGGUGCCAAGCCAUCCACAAUGUUGUUCAUGCUAUUAUUCUGCAUCAACAACAACAACAACAACAACCGUUGAGCCAGGUCUCCUUCCAACAGCCUCAACAACAAUAUCCAUCAGGCCAGGGCUCCUUCCAGCCAUCUCAGCAAAACCCACAGGCCCAGGGCUCUGUCCAGCCUCAACAACUGCCCCAGUUUGAGGAAAUAAGGAACCUAGCGCUAGAGACGCUACCUGCAAUGUGCAAUGUCUAUAUCCCUCCAUAUUGCACCAUUGCUCAAGUUGGCAUCUUUGGUACUAACUGAGAAGAGAAGAACUCUAGUAGUAGAUAUAUGAUACACCGUUUUCUUAGUCCAUGGUUUGGUCGUUGUAGCGGUGAAAAAAUAAAGUGACAUGCACUAUCAUGUAAGAACCCGAACUAUACUAGUUCAAACAUGGGAAUAAAAGACAAACACAUGUCUUGUCUACAUAUGAUUGUUUGUUUGAGUUCCACUCAUGUGCCCACUCACAAGUUCACCCCUAAUUAUAUAUAUUAUGCAUUAAGUAGAUAUUUAUGUUGCAUUAAUCUAAAGAUAACAAAAUGAGUCUGAAAUUUGAAUUAAAUUGAAGUAUUUCCUUGGACUUUCAAAUGGAGUAUUAUUAAAGUAGUAAGGACUACCCACAUCCUUGGCUUGCCCUUGAUCAAUUAUUUCCAGAGAAGCGUUCAAUUCGUCAAUCAAUUACAUUGAUUUUUGUGGCUGGUACUUCUCCUCAACAUGAGUAUAUUCAUCGCGGCUACUCCAAAUAGGCAUGAAUGAGGUACUGGUGCUCUGGAGCACUGGUACCUAACUGCUUCUCAUGUGAAGGGGUGCGGGCGCGGGAGAGGUGUUUUUGGUGGGCCAGGGGAGUAAGAAUCGGCCGUGGCAGCGGUCCAGACGCCCACAAAGCCCCGUAGUUUGUUUUUGGUUUACAGGAAAAUGCACAUCCAGACCGGCCUGCAGGCCGAUAUAGGACCGUAUUGGAUGGCAAAACAUGUCCGGAUGGUCACGAGCAGUUUAAGGGUUAGCUUUUGUAACGCCCGGUUAGUUAUGCUAUGGUAAUUCCCUGCUAAUGAUGUCACGUCAGCACGAUUACUGUUGUUAACCUCACAAUGAUUCAAUCCCAUUCAAAUUCAAAUUUAAAAUAAAGGCAAACAUCAAAAGUUUCAAACAUUAAAACUAAAAUCUUCGAGAGGUGAAAAAUAAUGCAUAAGUAAUUAUGGUGGAGAAACCACACUUUUAUAAAAUGUUUAAAUACUCUAAAAAUAAUAAAACAGUGGCUUAAACUAUUAUUUAAAUGAUUUUAAAAUAGUAAACAUGUUCUAACUAAAUUAAUUGGGUACCAAACUUUUGGUGGCAGUGGUAUAUUUAGUAGAACUAAUUUAGAUGCUAAUGAAACAUAAAAGGAAAGACAAAACAAAUAAAAGUAAAAGGGGGCAACCCCUCGCUGGGCCUCGACCAAGCUGGCCACUGGGCUAGCUAGGUUGGCCCAACCGCCUCCCUUAACCCCCCACUCCCCAUCGAACCCUAGACCGAUCGCCCCACUUCCCCCACACCCCCUCGUCAGCCUCCCCACCUCUCGAUCCCAUCCAGAUCGGGGAGGGNNNNNNNNNNNNNNNNNNNNNNNNNNNNNNNNNNNNNNNNNNNNNNNNNNNNNNNNNNNNNNNNNNNNNNNNNNNNNNNNNNNNNNNNNNNNNNNNNNNNNNNNNNNNNNNNNNNNNNNNNNNNNNNNNNNNNNNNNNNNNNNNNNNNNNNNNNNNNNNNNNNNNNNNNNNNNNNNNNNNNNNNNNNNNNNNNNNNNNNNNNNNNNNNNNNNNNNNNNNNNNNNNNNNNNNNNNNNNNNNNNNNNNNNNNNNNNNNNNNNNNNNNNNNNNNNNNNNNNNNNNNNNNNNNNNNNNNNGAGGGGAUCGCCCCCAUCGACCCCGUCGCGGUCGCCGGACCUCCUCCCCGUCGCACGUCUCCGGCUCUCCUCCCCUCUCGCUCCUCUUCCCCGACCCGAUCUGGAUCGGGAAGGGCCAAUGAGCCCAAGCCCCCUCCAUCGACGCUGUGCGCCAGCACCGCCGCCCGAAGACCUCGCCGUCGCCGGACCUCGCGUCGCCUCCUCGUAUCCCUCCCCGACUCGCCUCCUCAAGCCACGCCAACCCCCUUCUCGGCAACGCUGUGAGCCGCCCCCGUUUCCCUCCUUCUCUUUCCACCGUGUUCACCGCGCCGCCUGCCGUGCCCCUCGCCGCGCGCAUGCCCACCACCGCGCCAGCCCCAGCUCCGCGCCCUCUCCUGCACGCUUGUGCGCGCAUGACCCUAACCGCGCCCACGCCGUGAACCCCUUGUCCCGCCCGCCUUCGUUCCGCGCUCGCCGCGGCCCCCAUGCUCCCCUGCGCCCUCUUUUGGGGGCGUCGGCUGCCCCUGUCCCACUGCUCGCUGGCAUGCUGAAGGAAAUAUGCCCUAGAGGCAAUAAAUAAAGUAUUAUUUAUUUCCUUAUAUCAUGAUAAAUUUUUAUUAUUCAUGCUAGAAUUGUAUUAACCGGAAACAUAAUACAUGUGUGAAUACAUAGACAAACAGUGUGUCACUAGUAUGCCUCUACUUGACUAGCUCGUUAAUCAAAGAUGGUUAUAUUUCCUAGCCAUAGACAUGAGUUGUCAUUUGAUUAACGGGAUCACCUCAUUAGGAGAAUGACGUGAUUGACUUGACCCAUUCCGUUAGCUUAGCACCCGAUCGUUUAGUAUGUUGCUAUUGCUUUCUUCAUGACUUAUACAUGUUCCUAUGACUAUGAGAUUAUGCAACUCCCGUUUACCGGAGGAACACUUUGUGUGCUACCAAACAUCACAACGUAAAUGGGUGAUUAUAAAGGUGCUCUACAGGUGUCUCCAAAGGUACUUGUUGGGUUGGCGUAUUUCGAGAUUAGGAUUUUUCACUCCGAUUGUCGGAGAGGUAUCUCUGGGCCCACUCAGUAAUGCACAUCACUAUAAGCCUUGCAAGCAUUGUGACUAAUGAGUUAGUUGCAGGAUGAUGUAUUACGGAACGAGUAAAGAGACUUGCCGGUAACGAGAUUGAAAUAGGUAUCGAGAUACCGACGAUCGAAUCUCGGGCAAGUAACAUCCCGAUGACAAAGGGAACAACGUAUGUUGUUAUGCGGUCUGACCGAUAAAGAUCUUCGUAGAAUAUGUAGGAACCAAUAUGAGCAUCCAGGUUCCGCUAUUGGUUAUUUACCGGAGAGGUGUCUCGGUCAUGUCUACAUAGUUCUCAAACCCGUAGGGUCCGCACGCUUAAAGUUACGAUGAUAGUUAUAUUAUGUGUUUAUAUGUUUUGAUGCACCGAAGGUUGUUCGGGGUCCCGGAUGUGAUCACGGACAUGACGAGGAGUCUCGAAAUGGCCGAGACAUAAAGAUUGAUAUAUUGGACGACUAUAUUCGGACACCGGAAGUGUUCCGGAGAAGUUUCGGAUAAAACCGGAGUGCCGGAGGGGUUACCGGAACCCCCCGGGGAAGUAUUGGGCCUUAGUGGGCCUUCAGGGGAGAGAGAGGGCAGCAGCGAGGAGGUGGCGCGCCCCCUCCCAUGAGGAGUCCGAAUUGGACUAGGGGAGGGGGCGCAGCCCCUCUUUCCCUCUCCCUCUCCCUCUCUUUCCUUCCCCCCCUCUCUUCCUAGUUGGACUAGGAAAGGGGAGUCCUACUCCUACUAGGAGGAGGACUCCCCUCUCUCUCCUUGGCGUGCCAAAGGGCAGCCGGCCUCCCCCUUGCUCCUUUAUAUACGGGGGCAGGGGGCACCUCUAGGCACACUUGAUAUACGAUAUUUUAGCCGUGUGCGAUGCCCCCCUCCACCAUAUUACACCUCGAUAAUACCGUUGCGGAGCUUAGGCGAAACCCUGCGUCGGUGGAACAUCAUCAUCGUCACCACGCCAUCAUGCUGACGAAACUCUCCUUCAACACUCGGCUGGAUCGGAGUUCGAGGGAUGUCAUCGAGCUGAACGUGUGCUGAACUCGGAGGUGCCGUGCGUUCGGUACUUGAUCGGUCGGAUCGUGAAGACGUACGACUACAUCAACCGCGUUGUGAUAACGCUUCCGCUGUCGGUCUACGAGGGUACGUGGACAACACUCUCCCCUCUCGUUGCUAUGCAUCACCAUGAUCUUGCGUGUGCGUAGGAAAUUUUUUGAAAUUACUACAUUCCCCAACACAUGUGUCCCCGCCCGCGCCUCGCCACCGCUCUACUGCUACGCUACUAUUGCGCUGUGGCCGCCGCCGCUUCCCGCUGCUCUGCCAGCGCCAAAGCUCCCGGUUGGCCCUGCCGCUGCUCGCGUUUAACCGCCGGCAUCCCCUAACCUCCCCCCCUCGCUAAUGAACCCCCACCGACCCGCUGAUACCGGGACCCACAUCCCCUAAUUAACCAUUUAAUAAAUUAAAACUCUUAAAUUAACAUUAGUGUAUGACAUGUGGGUCCCCUAUUAAUUAAACUGAUUUAAUUAAAAUCUAUUAACUUUGAGUCUAUGACAUAUGGGCCCCACUAAACAUUUGACCAGCCAACGGUCCAGUCAAAUGCUGACCGGACAGUUGACCAGAGGGCCCCGCCAGUCAGCCAAUGUGUUGUUCUGCUGGGUACCUUUCUAAGUACACCUAGCAUUUUGCAUUUACAAUAUUUGUUUUAAAAUAAAUUAGAAUAAUUUCAAAAAAAGAUUAAAACUUUUAAAAUUAAAAUAAAAUAAUCCGUAACUGGAUGAAAUUACUUUAUACAUGGAAGUUGCUCAAAAAACGAGACGAAUCCGAAUACACAGUCCGUUCGUCUGCCACGCGUCCCUAGCAUAGCGAACAUGCAACCAUCCCCCUCCGGUUCGACUGUCCGAAAAAUUAUUAUUGCACAUGCCCGCUAAGAGGUUGGCUGUAUAUGACAUGACAAAUUCUUAUAGCCGACCCUUGGCUGUAUUAUUAACCAUGCUCUUAGUGAGGUAGCUAGUAUAUCAUAGACGACUAGCUUGUAUCAGACUAGCCAAAGUGGGAGUAACUUCAGCAGUAACAUCGACUCCAACUCAGCAAACUUGCUUAUGUGGGAGUAAACCGUGCCCAAUGCAAAAUACAAUCCCAGUCGUAAUUUUUUCAGGAAACGUGUGGGAUCCCAAACGAAAAGCACACGUCACUCUUGCGGCAACCGUCGGUGACACCCAAUAAAUCACAAACGGUCUGCAGCACUUGUAUGUGUGCAAAGGGGCUCCUGAACCGUUUGUGAUAGAACAUUAUCGCAGACGGUAAUUGUUGCCAAACGUGUGCGAUGGAGUCUAGCAUGGCAGACGGGUUACGCAGAAAACUCGUGUGCGAUGGGGCACAAAUCGCACACAGUUCAUAUGUUGGCCCAUGUGCCUUACAUACUAUUUCCCAAAUGGUUUGUUACGAUAGACCGUCUCGUUUCAGUGCGUCAUUAGAAACGCUUAAUCACUGAUACGACACGUGCGAAAGAAUUUAGUGCAUGCUGCAUCGCACACGAUUACAUUUUGGAAGGCCUCUGGAUCACUACUCCAUAUCCCCGGCGGUUUCUGGGCCGUGUGGGAAGGACACCCUAUCGCACACACUCACUUGGCAACGGUUCCAAAUGCUGUCGCGGAAAGGGGUUAAAAACAGUUUGUUUAGGACCGAAGCGUACCAGUGUCUAUCUAUCUAUCUAUCUAUCUAUCUAUCUAUCUAUCCAUCCAUCUAUCUAUCUAUCUAUCUAUCUAUCCAUCUAUCCAUCUAUCUAUCUCAAUCCACCUAUCUAUGUAUCCAUCUAUCCAUCUAUCUAUCUCUCCAUCUAUCCAUCUAUCUAUCCAUCUAUCCACCCAUCUACUAUCCAUCUAUCUAUCCAUCCAUCCAUCCAUCUAUCCAUCCAUCUAUCUAUCUAUCUAUCUAUUUAUCUAUCUAUCUAUCUAUCUACCUAUCUAUCUAUCCAUCUAUUCAUCUAUCUAUCUAUGUAUCCAUUUAUCCAUUGAUCCAUCUAUCGAUCCAUCGAUCCAUCCAUCCAUCCAUCUAUCCAUCCAUCAAUAUAUCCAUGUAUCCAUGUAUCCAUGUAUCUAUCUAUCGAUCUAUCCAUCUAUCUAUCUAUCUAUCCAUCUAUCCAUUUAUCGAUCUAUCCAUCUAUCUAUCUAUCCAUCGAUCUAUCGAUCUAUCGAUCUAUCGGUCUAUCGGUCUAUCCAUCUAGCGAUCUAUCCAUCUCUCCAUCUACCCAUCUAUCCAUCUAUUCAUCUACCGAUCUAUCUAUCCAUCUAUCUAUCUAGCUAUCUAGCUAUCUAGCUAUCUAGCUAUCUAUCUAUCUAUCUAUCUAGCUAUCUAGCUAUCUAUCUAUCUAGUUAUCUAGCUAUCUAUCUGUCUACCUACCUACCUACCUACCUACCUAUCUAUCUAUCUAUCUAUCUAUCUACCUAUCUAAAGGAAAUAUGCCCUAGAUGCAAUAAUAAAGUUGUUAUUUAUAUUUCCUUAUAUCAUGAUAAACUAGCGGAGUCACCCGCGCAUUUGCGCGGCUAGAUUGACUACAUAUAUUGUUAUAUUUGGGAUUAUUUUUCUAUGCCAAUUUUAUGGCCUCUUACUCAGAUAUUAUCUAAUUGAAUUUACCACCACCAUAUGUUAUAUCCAUAGAUUAUAAUUAAAAGGCAACUUCCGACGAAACAUGGACAGAUUAUUGAGUGCUCAGAAGACGGACGCAAUAUCAUAUAUAGACUUCUAUAGCAAUCUUCAUGGUUCCCAUCUUUGAUCCUCUCCUCGUCCCUUGGUAUCUAUCUUUGCACCCAAUGUCUUUGGAGUUCCAAGAAUUGAAUCUUAGCAUGAAUGGCUUCAAUGUGUACCAAAUGUUCUCUUGUUCCUCCCAAAUUAAUUACUGGUUGCAUUCUUAGUUGCUUUGACAUUCUUGGUUAAUGCAAUGUCUUGCCUACCAAUAUAUGCAUCCACACACGAUCAUAUUUAUAUUACCACUUACCUCUGUAUUCUGGUAUUUGUGCUUCAGAAUUUUUCUCUCAUUCAGUUUAUUCAUAGAUUAAAAACGUCGAUCGUUUCUUUAUUGGUUUGCAUUAUCUUGUUUGCCGAACGUAAGCAUCCACACAUGCUCGUCAUGAUAUGAUUGGUCAUCAUUGUAUAUUUGUAUUUGUGUGUUGAUAGCUUAAGGAUUUUCUCGGAUUCACUUCAUAGUUUAAGGAUUUUCUCGCCUUCAAUUUAUUCUACCUUAUUCAUUUUCAUGUUUCUUUAUUCCAUUUAUAUCAAUUCUUACAAUAUAUUUUCCAAGAUAUGAACUCAACUACUAAUUACGUAGUUUUUCAUCAAAAUUUACAUGUAAAAAUGGUACAAAUGCAUAAAGAUGAUAAAAAUAUAUAUCAUAUUCCAUUGAGAGAACGCCCAUUUAAAAAAACACGUUGACUUACAAAAAGGACAAUUCAAGCUGCAUGUACGUCCGACUCAUGUUUACCUGACAAUGUCGAUGUUGAUUUCAGCAGUAAAUGAGCUGUGUGUGACCUUUGCGCUUUCCGGUAUUCUUCUAACCUGUGUGCUUUAUGAUCAGUUUGUUGUGCUUAGUACUGGACAUUGGAGUACACUAUCAUAUUUGGUACAAAUAAAUCUGAACUACUAUAGUUAUGAUCCACUGUAUAGUUAAUGGUGGUGGUAAUUAAUAUAUGUGGUUAAAUACUUGCGCUCCUUAGGUGGGGAGUUGGAUUUGUAUUUCCCUAAAAUAAAUUUCAGAUUUCGUCAUAGUGGUGAAGCCAGCCGGAAGAACCUCUGCGUCAUUAUUAAUUUUGGUGAUAUUUUUCUUCAUAGUGUAGAAUAAUUUUAGUGCUUAUUCCGCAAAUAAUAUGGCCUCAACUGACCCCAUAGCUUGUAUGUUGCGCCACCACUGUUUCCUAUAUCUUAUUACAUCCGUUGUUUUUAGAUCUUGAUGCAUAACUUUGACAAUUUUUAAUAGAUAUGUGUCUGUAUAAAAAAUUAUAAAUGCUAUGAUUAAUUAUGAUGAAUAAAAUGUUAUUGCUCUGACUUGAUCCCUCUUGAAUUUUCCAAAAUUUCACAUUACAGUUGUAGUAGUGCAUGCUACCUCUUGAGCACUGCGUUAGUUUUCCCUUGAAGAGGAAAGGGUGAUGCAGUAAAGCAGCGUCAGUAUUUCCCUCAGUUUUUGAGAACCAAGGUAUCAAUCCAGUACGAGGCCACGCACGAGUCCCUCGCACCUACACAAACAAAUAAAAUCCUCGCAACCAACGCAAUAAAGGGGUUGUCAAUCCCUUCAUGGUCACUUACGAAAGUGAGAUCUGAUAGAUUUGAUAAGAUAAUAUUUUUGGUAUUUUUAUGAUAAAGAUGCAACGUAAAGAAAGCAAAAUAAAAACAGCGCCAGAAAUAGCUUGUUGACGGGAGAUUAAAUAUGAUGGAAAAUAGACCAGGUGGCCAUAGGUUUCACUAGUGGCUUCUCUCGAGAGCAUAAGUAUUUCGGUGGGUAGACAAAUUACUGUUGAGCAAUUGACAGAAUUGAGCAUAGUUAUGAGAAUAUCAAGGUAUGAUCAUGUAUAUAGGCAUCACGUCUGAGGCAAGUAGCCCGACUCCUGCCUGCAUCUACUACUAUUACUCCACACAUCGACUGCUAUCCAGCAUGCAUCUAGAGUAUUAAGUUCAAAAGAACAGAGUAACGCUUUAAGUAAGAUGACAUGAUGUAGAGGGAUAAACUCAUGCAAUAUGAUAUAAACCCCAUCUUGUUAUCCUCGAUGGCAACAAUACAAUACGUGCCUUGCUGCUCCUACUAUCACUGGGAAUGGACACCACAAGAUUGAACCCAAAGCUAAGCACUUCUCCCAUUGCAAGAAAGAUCAAUCUAGUAGGCCAAACCAAAAUGAUAAUUCGAAGAGACUUGUAAAGAUAACCAAUCAUACAUAAAAGAAUUUAGACAAGAUUCAAAUAUUGUUCAUAGAUAAACUAGAUCAUAAACCCACAAUUCAUCGGUCUCAACAAACACACCGCAAAAGAAGAUUACAUCGAAUAGAUCUUCAUAAGAGAGGGGGAGAACAUUGUAUUGAGAUCCAAAAAGAGAGAAGAAGCCAUCUAGCUAAUAACUAUGGACCCGAAGGUCUGAGGUAAACUACUCACAAAUCAUCGGAGAGGCUAUGGUGUUGAUGUAGAAGCCCUCCAUGAUCGAUGCCCCCUCCGGCGGAGCUCCGGAAAAGGCCCCAAGAUGGGAUCUCACGGGUCCAGAAGGUUGCGGAGAUGGAAUUAGGUUUUUGGCUCCGUAUCUGGUAGUUUGGGGGUACGUAGGUAUAUAUAGGAGAAAGAAGUACGUCGGUGGAGCAACGUGGGCCCCACGAGGGCGCGCCCCCCUACCUCGUGCCUUCCUAGUAGAUUUCUGGACGUAGGGUCCAAGUCCUCUAGAUCACGUUCGUUCCCAAAAUCACGUUUCCGAAGGUUUCAUUCCGUUUGGACUCCGUUUGAUAUUCUUUUUCUGUGAAACUCUGAACUAGGCAAAAAAUAGCAAUUCUGGGGUGGGCCUCCGGUUAAUAGGUUAGUCCCAAAAAUAAUAUAAAAGUGUAUAAUAAAGCCCAUUAAUGUCCAAAACAGAAUAUAAUAUAGCAUGGAACAAUAAAAAAUUAUAUAUACGUUGGAGACAUAUCAAGCAUCCCCAAGCUUAAUUCCUGCUCGUCCUCGAGUAGGUAAAUGAUAAAAACGGAAUUUUUGAUGUGGAAUGCUACUUGGCAUAAUUUCAAUGUAAUUCUCUUAAUUGUGGUAUGAAUAUUCAGACCCGAAAGAUUCAAGACAAAAGUUUAAUACUGACAUAAAAAUAAUAAUACUUCAAGCAUACUAGCUAAGCAAUUAUGUCUUCUCAAAAUAACAUGGCCAAAGAAAGUUAUCCCUACAAAAUCAUAUAGUCUAGCUAUGCUCUAUCUUCACCACACAAAGUAUUUAAAUUAUGCACAACCCCGAUGACAAGCCAAGCAAUUGUUUCAUACUUUUGAUGUUCUCAAACUUUUUCAAUCUUCACGCAAUACGUGAGCAUGAGCCAUGGACAUAGCACUAUAUGUGGAAUAGAAUGGUGGUUGUGGAGAAGACAAAAAAGGAGAAGAUAGUCUCACAUCAACUAGGCGUAUCAACGGGCUAUGGAGAUGCCCAUUAAUAGAUAUCAAUGUGAGUGAGUAGGAAUUGCCAUGCAACGGAUGCACUAGAGCUAUAAGUAUAUGAAAGCUCAACAAAAGGAACUAAGUGGGUGUGCAUCCAACUCGCUUGCUCAUGAAUACCUAGGGCAUUUUGAGGAAGCCCAUCAUUGGAAUAUACAAGCCAAGUUCUAUAAUGAAAAUUUCCCACUAGUACAUGAAAGUGAUAUCAUAGGAGACUCUCUAUCAUGAAGAUCAUGGUGCUACUUUGAAGAACAAGUGUGGUAAAAGGAUAGUAACAUUGUCCCUUCUCUCUUUUUCUCUCAUUUUUUUAUUUGGGUCUUUUAUCCUUUUUUUAUGGCCUCUUUUUUUUAGUCCGAAGUCUCAUCCCGACUUGUGGGGGAAUCGUAGUCUCCAUCAUCCUUUCCUCACUUGGGAAAAUGCUCUAAAAAAAUGAUGAUCAUCACACUUUUAUUUACUUACAACUCAACAAUUACAAAUCAAUACUUAGAACAAAAUAUGACUCUAUGUGAAUGCCUCCGGCGGUAUACCGUGAUAUGCAAUGAAUCAAGAGUCACAUGUAUGAAAGAAUUAUGAACGGUGGCUUUGCCACAAAUACAAUGUCAACUACAUGAUCAUGGAAAGCAAUAUGACAAUGAUGGAGCGUGUCAUAAUAAACUGAACGGUGGUAAGUUGCAUGGCAAUAUAUCUCGGAAUGGCUAUGGAAAUGCCAUGGUAGGUAGGUAUGGUGGCUGUUUUGAGGAAGGUAUAUGGUGGGUGUAUGAUACCGGCGAAAAGUGCGCGGUAUUAGAGAGGCUAGCAAUGGUGGAAGGAAGAAAGUGCGUAUAAUCCAUGGACUCAACAUUAGCCAUAAAGAACUAAUAUACUUAUUGCAAAAAUCUACAAGUUAUCGAAGCAAAGUAUUACCCGCAUCAUCCUAGGGGGAUAGAUUGCUAGGAAAAGACCAUCGCUCGUCCCCGACCGCCACUCAUAAGGAAGACAAUCAAUAAAUAAAUCAUGCUCCGACUUCAUCACAUAACGGUUCACCAUACGUGCAUGCUAAGGGAAUCACAAACUUUAACACAAGUAUUUCGCAAAUUCAAAACUACUCAACUAGCAUGACUCUAAUAUCACCAUCUCCAUAUCUCAAAACAAUUAUCAAGUAUCAAACUUCUCAUAGUAUUCAACACACUCAUAAGAUUUUUUUACUAAUCUUGAGUGCCUAUCAUAAUUAAAGCAAAUUACCACGCUGUUUUGUAGGACUAUCAAAAUAAUCUAAGUGAAUCAUGAGAGAACAAUAGUUUCUAUAAAACAAAACCACCACCAUGCUCUAAAAGAUAUACAUGAAGCACUAGAGCAAAAACUAUAUAGCUCAAAAGAUAUAAGUGAAGCACAUAGAGUAUUCUAACAAUUUCCGAAUCAUGUGUGUCUCUCUCAAAAGGUGUGUACUGCAAGGAUUAUUGUGGCAAACUAACAAAUAAAGACUUCAAAUAAUACAAGACGCUCCAAGCAAAACACAUAUCAUGUGGUGAAUAAAAAUAUAGCUCCAAGUAAAGUUACCGAUGGAAGUAGACGAAAGAGGGGAUGCCUUCCGGGGCAUCCCCAAGCUUUGGCUUUUAGGUGUCCUUAGAUUAUCUUGGGGUGCCAUGGGCAUCCCCAAGCUUAGGCUCUUGCCACUCCUUGUUUCAUAAUCCAUCAAAUCUUUCACCCAAAACUUGAAAACUUCACAACACAAAACUCAGCAGAAAAUCUCGUGAGCUCCGUUAGCGAAAGAAAAAAAAACACCACUUCAAGGUACUGUAAUGAACUCAUUCUUUAUUUAUAUUGGUGUUAAACCUACUGUAUUCCAACUUCUCUAUGGUUUAUAAACUAUUUUACUAGCCAUAGAUUCAUCAAAAUAAGCAAACAACACACGAAAAACAGAAUCUGUCAAAAACAGAACAGUCUGUAGUAAUCUGUAACUAACGCAAUUUUCUGGGACUCCAAAAAUUGACCCAAAAUAGGAAGACCUAGAAUUUUUUUUUUAUUGAUCAGCAGCAAUUGGAAUCAAUAUUUUAUCACGUCCUGGUGAUUUUUAACAAUUAUUUUCGUGAACAGAAAGUUUCUGGAAUAUUCAGCAAGAUCAAAUAACUAUCAUCCAAGAAGAUCCUAUAGGUUAAACUUGGCACAAACACUAAUUAAAACAUAAAAACACAUGUAAACAGAGGCUAGAUCAAAUAUUUAUUCCUAAAAAAAGCAAAAAGCAAAAAAACUAAAAAUAAAAUUGGGUUGCCUCCCAACAAGCGCUAUCGUUUAACGCCCCUAGCUAGGCAUAAUAGCAAGGAUAGAUCUAGGUAUUGCCAUCUUUGGUAGGCAAUCCAUAAGUGGCUCUCAUAAUAGAUUCAUAAGGUAAUUUUAUUUUCUUUCUAGGGAAGUGUUCCAUGCCUUUCCUUAAUGGAAUUUGGAAUCUAAUAUUCCCUUCCUUCGUAUCAAUAAUUGCACCAAUCGUUCUAAGGAAAGGUCUGCCAAGAAUAAUAGGACAUGAAGGAUUGCAAUCUAUAUCAAGAACAAUAAAAUCUACGGGCACAUAAUUCCUAUUUGCAACAAUAAGCACAUCAUCAAUUCUUCCCAUAGGUUUCUUAAUGGUGGAAUCCACAAGGUGCAAGUUUAAAGAGCAAUCAUCAAAAUCACGGAAACCUAGCAAAUCGCACAAAGUCUUUGGAAUCGUGGAAACACUAGCACCCAAAUCACACAAAGCAUAGCAUUCAUGAUCUUUAAUUUUAAUUUUAAUAGUAGGUUCCCACUCAUCAUAAAUUUUUCUAGGGAUAGAAACUUCCAACUCAAGUUUUUCUUCAUAAGAUUGCAUCAAAGCAUCAACGAUAUGUUUAGUAAGGCUUUAUUUUGACUAUAAGCAUGUGGAGAAUUUAGCACGGAUUGCAACAAGGAAAUAAAAUCUAUCAAAGAGCAAUUAUCAUAAUUAAAUUCCAUGAAAUCCAAAAUAGUGGGUUCAUUAAUAUCUAGAGUUUUGAUUUCUUCAAUCCCACUUUUACCAAUUUUUGCAUCAAGAUCUAAAAACUCCGAAUUUUUGGAACGCCUUCUAGGUAGAGGUGGAUCAUAUUCAGUCCCAUCAUUAUCAAGAUUCAUAUUGCAAAACAAAGAUUUAAUAGGGGACACAUCAAUAACUUUUAGAUCUUCAUCUUUAUUUUCAUAGAAACUAGAAGAACACGCUUUCACAAAAACAAUCUUUCUUAGCACGCAUCCUAGCGGUUCUUUCUUUGCACUCAUCAAUGGAAAUUCUCAUGGCCUUGAGAGACUCAUUGAUAUCAUGCUUAGGAGAAAUUCUAUCAGUGUUCCUAGCCAAUUCAUCAACUUUAAGCAAUUUUUCUUCAAGCAAAGCAUUGAAAUUCAUUUGCGAAUUCAUAAAUUCUUUAACACUAGUCUCAAAUUAAGAAGGCAUCUUAUUAAAAUUUCCAUAAUAAUUGUUGUAGGAAUUACCAUAAUUAUUAGAGGAAUUACUGGGAUACGGCCUUGGAUUAAAGUUUCCUCUAUACGCGUUGUUACCAAAAUUAUUCCGACCAACAAAAUUCACAUCCAUGAAGGAAAUAUGCCCUAGAGGAAAUAAUAAAGUUAUUAUUUAUUUCCUUAUAUCAUGAUAAAUGUUUAUUAUUCAUGAUAGAAUUGUAUUAACCGGAAACAUAAUACAUGUGUGAAUACAUAGACAAACAGAGUGUCACUAGUAUGCCUCUACUUGACUAGCUCGUUAAUCAAAGAUGGUUAUGUUUUCUAGCCAUAGACAUGAGUUGUCAUUUGAUUAACGGGAUCACCUCAUUAGGAGAAUGACGUGAUUGACUUGACCCAUUCCAUUAGCUUAGCACUCGAUCGUUUAGUAUGUUGCUAUUGCUUUCUUCAUGACUUAUACAUGUUCCUAUGACUACGAGAUUAUGCAACUCCCGUUUACCGGAGGAACACUUUGUGUGCUACCAAACGUCACAACGUAACUGGGUGAUUAUAAAGGUGCUCUACAGGUGUCUCCAAAGGUACCUGUUGGGUUGGCGUAUUUCGAGAUUAGGGUUUGUCACUCCGAUUGUCGGAGAGGUAUCUCUGGGCCCACUCGGUAAUGCACAUCACCAUAAGCCUUGCAAGCAUUGUGACUAAUGAGUUAGUUGCGGGGUGAUGUAUUACGGAACGAGUAAAGAGACUUGCCGAUAACGAGAUUGAACUAGGUAUCAAGACACCGACGAUCGAAUCUUGGGCAAGUAACAUACCGAUGACAAAGGGAACAACGUAUGUUGUUAUGCGGUCUGACCGAUAAAGAUCUUCAUAGAAUAUGUGGGAACCAAUAUGGGAAUCCAGGUUCCGCUAUUGGUUAUUGACCGGAGAAGUGUCUCGGUCAUGUCUACAUAGUUCUCAAACCCGUAGGGUCCGCACGCUUAAAGUUACGAUGACAAUUAUAUUAUGAGUUUAUAUGUUUUGAUGCACUGAAGGUUGUUCGGAGUCCCGGAUGUGAUCACGGACAUGACGAGGAGUCACGAAAUGGUCGAGACAUAAAGAUUGAUAUAUUGGACGACUAUAUUCGGACACGGAAGUGUUCCAGAGAAGUUUCGGAUAAAACUGGCGUGCCGGAGGGGUUACCGGAACCCCCCGGGGAAGUAUUGGGCCUUAGUGGGCCUUGAGGGGAGAGAGAGGGCAGCAUCCAGGAGGUGGCGCCCCCCCUCCCAUGAGGAGUCCUAAUUGGACUAGGAGAGGGGGGCGCAGCCCCUCUUUCCCUCUCCCUCUCCCUCUCCCUCUCUUUCCUUCCCCCCUCUCUUCCUAGUUGGACUAGGAAAGGGGAGUCCUACUCCUACUAGGAGGAGGACUCCCCCCCUCUCCUUGGCGCGCCCAAGGCAGCCGGCCUCCCCCUUGCUCCUUUAUAUACGGGGGUAGGGGGGCACCUCUAGACACACUUGAUAUACGAUAUUUUAGCCGUGUGCGGUGCCCCCUCCACCAUAUUACACCUCGAUAAUACCGUUGCGGAGCUUAGGCGAAGCCCUGCGUCGGUGGAACAUCAUCAUCGUCACCACGCCGUCGUGCUGACGAAACUCUCCCUCAACACUCGGCUGGAUCGGAGUUCGAGGGAUGUCAUCGAGCUGAACGUGUGCUGAACUCGGAGGUGCCGUGCGUUCGGUACCUGAUCGGUCGGAUCAUGAAGACGUACGACUACAUCAACCGCGUUGUGAUAACGCUUCCGCUGUCGGUCUACGAGGGUACGUGGACAACACUCUCCCCUCUUGUUGCUAUGCAUCACCAUGAUCUUGCGUGAGCGUAGGAAAUUUUUUGAAAUUAAUACGUUCCCCAACAGUGGUAUCAGAGCCUGAUUUUAUGCGUUGAUGUUAUGCACGAGUAGAACACAAGUGAGUUGUGGGCGAUAUAAGUCAUACUGCUUACCAGCAUGUCAUACUUUGGUUCAGCGUUAUUGUGAGAUGAAGCGGCCCGGACCGACAUUACGCGUACGCUUACGCGAGACUGGUUUCACCGUUGCGAGAACUCGUUGCUUAAAGGUGACUGGCGGGUGUCUGUUUCUCUCACUUUAGUUGAACCGAGUGUGGCUACGCCCGGUCCUUGCGAAGGUUAAAACAACACCAACUUGACAAACUAUCGUUGUGGUUUUGAUGCGUAGGUAAGGACGGUUCUUGCUAAGCCCGUAGCAGCCACGUAAAACUUGCAACAACAAAGUAGAGGACGUCUAACUUGUUUUUGCAGGGCAUGUUGUGAUGUCAUAUGGUCAAGACAUGAUGCUAUAUUUUAUUGUAUGAGAUGAUCAUGUUUUGUAACCGAGUUAUCGGCAACUGGCAGGAGCCAUAUGGUUGUCGCUUUAUUGUAUGCAAUGCAAUCGCCAUGUAAUUGUUUUACUUUAUCACUAAGCGGUAGCGAUAGUCGUAAAAGCAAUAAGUUGGCGAGACGACAACGAUACUACGAUGGAGAUCAAGGUGUCGCGCCGGUGACGAUGGUGAUCAUGACGGUGCUUCGGAGAUGGAGAUCACGAGCACGGUGCUUCGGAGAUGGAGAUCACAAGCACAAGAUGAUGAUGGCUAUAUCAUAUCACUUAUAUUGAUUGCAUGUGAUGUUAAUCUUUUAUGCAUCUUAUCUUGCUUUGAUUGACGGUAGCAUUAUAAGAUGAUCUCUCACUAAAAUUUCAAGAUAAAAGUGUUCUCCCUGAGUAUGCACCGUUGCGAAAAUUCUUCGUGCUGAGACACCACGUGAUGAUCGGGUGUGAUAGGCUCUACGUUCAAAUACAAUGGGUGCAAAACAGUUGCACACGCAGAAUACUCAGGUUAAACUUGACGAGCCUAGCAUAUGCAGAUAUGGCCUCGGAACACGGAGACCCAAAGGUCGAGCGUGAAUCAUAUAGUAGAUAUGAUCAACAUAGUGAUGUUCACCGUUGAAACUACUCCAUCUCACGUGAUGAUCGGACAUGGUUUAGUUGAUAUGGAUCACGUGAUCACUUAGAGGAUUAGAGGGAUGUCUAUCUAAGUGGGAGUUCUUAAAUAAUAUGAUUAAUUGAACUUAAAUUUAUCAUGAACUUAGUCCUGAUAGUAUUUUUGCAAAUUAUGUUGUAGAUCAAUAGCUCGCGUUGUUGCUUCCCUGUGUUUAUUUUUGAUAUGUUCCUAGAGAAAAUUAUGUUGAAAGAUGUUAGUAGCAAAGAUGCGGAUUGGAUCCGUGAUCUGAGGAUUAUCCUCAUUGCUGCACAGAAGAAUUAUGUCCUUGAUGCACCGCUAGGUGACAGACCUAUUGCAGUAGCAGAUGCAGACGUUAUGAACGUUUGGCUAGCUCAAUAUGAUGACUACUUGAUAGUUUAGUGCACCAUGCUUAACGGCUUAGAAUCGGGACUUCAAAGACGUUUUGAACGUCAUGGACCAUAUGAGAUGUUCCAGGAGUUGAAGUUAAUAUUUCAAGCAAAUACCCAAGUUGAGAGAUAUGAAGUCUCCAACAAGUUCUAUAGCUAAAAGAUGGAGGAGAAUAGCUCAAGCAGUGAGCAUGUGCUCAGAUUGUCUGGGUACUACAAUCGCUUGAAUCAAGUGGGAGUUAAUCUUCUAGAUAAAAUAGUGAUUGACAGAAUUCUCUAGUCACCAUCACCAAGUUAGUAGAACUUCGUGAUGAACUAUAGUAUGCAAGGGAUGACGAAAGUAAUUCCCGAGCUCUUCGUGAUGCUGAAAUUGACGAAGGUAGAAAUCAAGAAAAACAUCAAGUGUUGAUGGUUGACGAGACCACUAGUUUCAAGAAAAGGGCAAAGGGAAGAAGGGGAACUUCAAGAAGAACGGCAAGCAAGUUGCUGCUCAAGUGAAGAAGCCUAAGUCUGGUCCUAAGCCUGAGACUAAGUGCUUCUACUGCAAAGGGACUGGUCACUGGAAGCGGAAUUACCCCAACUAUUUGGUGGAUAAGAAGGAUGGCAAAGUGAACAACGGUAUAUUGGAUAUACAUGUUAUUGAUGUGUACUUUACUAGUGUUUAUAGCAACCCCUCGGUAUUUGAUACUGGUUCAGUUGCUAAAGUAGUAACUCGAAACGGGAGUUGCGGAAUAAACAGAGACUAGUAAAAGGCGAGGUGACGAUGUGUGUUGGAAGUAGUUCCAGGAUUGAUAUGAUCAUCAUCGCACAGUCCCUAUACUUUCGGGAUUAGUGUUGAAACUAAAUAAGUGUUAUUUGGUGUUUGCGUUGAGCAUGAAUAUGAUUUGAUCAUGUUUGUUGCAAUACGGUUGUUCAUUUAAAUUAGAGAAUAAUUGUUGUUCUGUUUACAUGAAUAAAACCUUCUAUGGUCAUACACCCAAUAAAAUGGUUUGUUGGAUCUCGAUCGUAGUGAUACACAUAUUCAUAAUAAUGAAGCCAAAAGAUGCAAAGUUAAUAAUGAUAGUGCAACUUAUUUGUGGCACUGCCGUUUAGGUCAUAUUGGUGUAAAGUGCAUGAAGAAACUCCAUACUGAUGGGAUUUUGGAAUCACUUGAUUAUGAAUCACUUGAUGCUUGCGAACCGUGCCUCAUGGGCAAGAUGACUAAAACGCCGUUCUCCGGAACUAUGUGGAGAGCAACAGAUUUGUUGGAAAUCAUACAUACAGAUGUAUGUGGUCCGAUGAAUAUUGAGGCUCGUAGCAGGUAUCAUUAUUUUCUGACCUUCACAGAUGAUUUGAGCAGACAUGGGUAUAUCUACUUAAUGAAACAGAAGUCUGAAACAUUUGAAAAGUUCAUAUAAUUUCAGAGUGAAGCGGAAAAUCAUCGUAACAAGAAAAUAAAGUUUCUACGAUCUGAUCGUGGAGAAGAGUAUUUGAGUUACGAGUUUGGCCUUCAGUUAAAACAAUGUGAAAUAGUUUCACUACUCACGCCACCUGGAACACCACAGCAUAAUGGUGUGUCCGAACGUCAUAACCGUACUUUAUUGGAUAUAGUGCAACCUAUGAUGUUUCUUACCGAUUUACCACUAUAGUUUUGGGGUUAUGCAUUAGAGACAGCUACAUUCACGUAAAAAAAAGGGGGCACCAUCUAAAUCCGUUUGAGAUGACACCGUAUGAACUGUGGUUUGGCUAGAACCCAAAGUUGUCGUUUCUUAAAGUUUGGGGUUGCGAUGCUUAUAAGAAAAAGUUUCAUCCUGAUAAGCUCAAACCCAAAUCGGAGAAAUGUGUCUUCAUAGGAUACCCAAAGGAGAAAGUUGGGUACACCUUCUAUCACAGAUCCGAAGGCAAGACAUUCGUUGCUAAGAAUGGAUCCUUUCUAGAGAAGGAGUUUCUCUCGAAAGAAGUGAGUGGGAGGAAAGUAGAACUUGAUGAGGUAACUGUACCUGCUCCCUUAUUGGAAAGUAGUUCAUCACAGAAAUCUGUUCCUGUGACUACUACACCAAUUAGUGAGGAAGCUAAUGAUGAUGAUCAUGUAACUUCAAAUCAAGUUACUACCGAACCUCGUAGGUAAACCAGAGUGAGAUCCACACCAGAGUGGUACGGUAAUCCUGUUCUGGAGGUCAUGUUACCUGACCAUGAUGAACCUACGAACUAUGAGGAAGCGAUGAUGAGCCCAGAUUCCGAGAAACGGCUUGAGGCCAUGAAAUCUGAGAUAAGAUCCAUAUAUGAGAACAAAGUAUGGACUUUGGUUGACUUGCCCGAUGAUCGGCAAGCCAUAGAAAAUAAAUGGAUCUUCAAGAGGAAGACGGACGCUUAGUGUUACUAUCUACAAAGCUAGAAUUGUCGCAAAAGGUUUUCGACAAGUUUAAGGUGUUGACUACGAUGAGAGUUUCUCACUCGUAUCUAUGCUUAAGUCUGUCCGAAAUAUGUUAGCAAUUGCCGCAUUUUAUGAAAUCUGGCAAAUGGAUAAACAAAACUGCAUUCCUUAAUGGAUUUAUUAAAGAAGAGUUGUAUAUGAUGCAACCAGAAGGUUUUGUCAAUCCUAAAAGUGUUAACAAAAUAUGCAAGCUCCAGCGAUCCAUCUAUGGACUGGUGCAAGCAUCUCGGAGUUGGAAUAUACGCUUUGAUAUGUUGUUCAAAGGAUAUAGUUUUAUACAAACUUGCGGUGAAGCAUGUAUUUACAAGAAAGUGAGUGGGAGCACUACAACAUUUCUGAUAAGUAUAUGUGAAUGACAUAUUGUUGAUCGGAAAUAAUGUAGAAUUAUUCUUAUAAGCAUAAAGGAGUGUUUGAAAUGAGCUUUUCAAAGAAAGACUUCGGUGAAGCUGCUUACAUAUUGAGCAUCAAGAUCUAUAGAGAUAGAUCAAGACGCUUGAUAAGUUUUUUCAAUGAGUACAUACCUUAACAAGAUUUUGAAGUAGUUCAAAAUAGAACAAUCAAAGAAAGAGUUGUUGGCUGUGUUACAAGGUGUGAAAUUGAGUAAGACUCAAAGCCCGACCACGGCAGAAGAUAGAAAAAGAAUGAAAGUCGUUCCCUAUGCCUUGGCCAUAGGUUCUAUAAAGUAUGCCAUGUUGUGUACCAGAUCUAUUCUAUACCCUACACUGAUUUUAGCAAGGGAGUACAAUAGUGAUCUAGGAGUAGAUCACUAGACAGCGGUCAAAAUUAUCCUGAGGAAUAAGGAUAUGUUUCUCGAUUAUGGAAGUGACAAAAGGUUCAUCGUAAUGGGUUACGUCGAUGCAAGUUUUGACACUAAUCUAGAUGACUCUAAGUCUCGGUCUAGAUAUAUAUUGAAAGUGGGAGCAAUUAGCUAGAGUAGCUCCGUGCAGAGCAUUGUAGACAUAGAAAUUUGCAAAAUACUUACGGAUCUGAAUGUGACAGACCCGUUGACUAAAAUUAUCUCACAAGCAAAACAUGAUAUCACCUUAGUACUCUUUGGGUGUCAAUCACAUAGCGAUGUGAACUAGAUUACUGACUCUAGUAAACCCUUUGGGUGUUGGUCACAUGACGAUGUGAACUAUGGGUAUUAAUCACAUGGUGAUGUGAACUAUUGAUGUUAAAUCACAUGGCGAUGUGAACUAGAUUAUUGACUCUAGUGCAAGUGGGAGACUGAAGUAAAUAUGCCCUAGAGGCAAUAAUAAAGUUAUUAUUUGUUUCCUUAUAUCAUGAUAAAUGUUUAUUAUUCAUGCUAGAAUUGUAUUAACCGGAAACAUAAUACAUGUGUGAAUACAUAGACAAACAAAGUGUCACUAGUAUGCCUCUACUUGACUAGCUCGUGAAUCAAAGAUGGUUAUGUUUCCUAGCCAUAGACAUGAGUUGUCAUUUGAUUAACGGGAUCACCUCACUAGGAGAAUGACGUGAGUGACUUGACCCAUUCCAUUAGCUUAGCACUCAAUCGUUUAGUAUGUUGCUAUUGCUUUCUACAUGACUUAUACAUGUUGCUAUGACUAUGAGAUUAUGCAACUCCCGUUUACCGGAGGAACACUUUGUGUGCUACCAAACGUCACAACGUAACUGGGUGAUUAUAAGGGUGCUCUACUGGUGUCUCCAAAGGUACUUGUUGGGUUGGCGUAUUUCGAGAUUAGGAUUUGUCACUCCGAUUGUCGCAGAGGUAUCUCUGGGCCCAAUCGGUAAUGCACAUCACUAUAAGCCUUGCAAGCAUUGUGACUAAUGAGUUAGUUGCGGGAUGAUGUAUUACGGAACGAGUAAAGAGACUUGCCGGUAACGAGAUUGAACUAGGUAUCGAGAUACCGAAGAUCGAAUCUCGGGCAAGUAACAUACCGAUGACAAAGGGAACAACGUAUGUUGUUAUGCGGUCUGACCGAUAAAGAUCUUCGUAGAAUAUGUGGGAACCAAUAUGAGCAUCUAGGUUCCGCUAUUGGUUAUUGACCGGAGAAGUGUCUCGGUCAUGUCUACAUAGUUCUCGAACCCGUAUGGACCCACGCUUAAAGUUACGAUGACAGUUAUAUUAUGAGUUUAUAUGUUUUGAUGUACCGAAGGUUGUUCGGAGUCCCGGGUGUGAUCGCGGACAUGACGAGGAGUCACGAAAUGGUCGAGACAUAAAGAUUGAUAUAUUGGACGACUAUAUUCGGACACCGGAAGUGUUCCGGAGAAGUUUCGGAUAAAACCGGAGUGCCGGAGGGGUUACCGGAACCCCCCGGGGAAGUAUUGGGCCUUAGUGGGCCUUGAGGGGAGAGAGAGGGCAGCAGCCAGGAGGUGGCGCGCCCCCUCCCAUGAGGAGUCCUAAUUGGACUAGGAGAGGGGGGCGCAACCCCUCUUUCCCUCUCCCUCUCCCUCUCUUUCCUUCCCCCCCUCUCUUCCUAGUUGGACUAGGAAAGGGGAGUCCUACUCCUACUAGGAGGAGGACUCCCCCCCUCUCCUUGGCGCGCCCAAGGCAGCCGGCCUCCCCCUUGCUCCUUUAUAUACGGGGGCAGGGGGGCACCUCUAGACACACUUGAUAUACGAUAUUUUAGCCAUGUGCGGUGCCCCCCUCCACCAUAUUACACCUCGAUAAUACCGUUGCGGAGCUUAGGCGAAGCCCUGCGUCGGUGGAACAUCAUCAUCGUCACCACGCCGUCGUGCUGACAAAACUCUCCCUCAACACUCGGCUGGAUCGGAGUUCGAGGGACGUCAUCGAGCUGAACGUGUGCUGAACUCGGACGUGCCGUGCGUUCGAUACUUGAUCGGUCGGAUCGUGAAGAUGUACGACUACAUCAACCGCGUUGUGAUAACGCUUCUGCUGUCGGUCUACGAGGGUACGUGGACAACACUCUCCCCUCUCGUUGCUAUGCAGCACCAUGAUCUUGCGUGUGCGUAGGAAUUUUUUUGAAAUUACUACAUUCCCCAACAAUCCAUAGAUUCAUUAUUAUUCUCAAUCGAAGUAGAAAAAGGCAUAUCAUUAGGAUCAGAAGAAACACUUUUAUUAGCAAAUAAUUUCAUAAGUUCAUCCAUCUUUCCACUCAAAACAUUAAUUUCUUCUAUCGCAUGCACUUUUUUAUUAGUGGAUCUUUCGGUGUGCCAUUGAGAAUAAUUAACCAUAAUAUUAUCUAGGAGUUUAGUAGCUUCUCCUAAAGUGAUUUCCAUAAAAGUGCCUCCGCGGCCGAAUCUAAAGACUUCUAGAAGAAAAAUUCAAUCUGGCAUAAAUUUUUUGUAUAAUCAUCCACAAAUUCAAACCAUGAGUAGGGCAAUUACGUAUCAUUAAUUUCAUCCUCCCGCAAGCUUGUCCAACAUGUUCAUGAUCAAGUUGCUUAAAAUUCAUAAUAUCGUUUCUAAGAGAGAUGAUCUUAGCGGGAGGAAAAUACAUAGAGAUAAAAGCAUCUUUGCACUUAUUUCAAGAAUCACUACUAUUUUUAGGCAAAGACGAAAACCAAGCUUUAGCACGAUCUCUAAGCGAAAAAGGAAAUAGCUUCAAUUUAACAAUAUCAUUGUCCACAUCUUUCUUCUUUUGCAUAUCACACAAAUCAACGAAGCUGUCUAGAUGGGUAGCGGCAUCUUCACUAGGAAGGCCGGGGAAUUGAUCUUUCAUGACAAGAUUCAACAAAGCGGCAUUAAUUUCACAAGAUUCAGUAUCGGUAAGAGGAGCAAUCGGAGUGCUAAGAAAAUCAUUGUUGUUGGUAUUGGUAAAGUCACACAAUUUAGUAUUAUCUUGAGCCAUCGUGACAAGCAAGCAAUCCAACACACGAGCAAACAAGAAGCAAGCGAAAAAGAGGCGAACAGAAAGAGAGGGCGAAUAAAACGGCAAGGGUGAAGUGGGGGAGAGGAAAACGAGAGGCAAAUGGCAAAUAAUGUAAUGCGGGAGAUAAGGGUCUGUGAUGGGUACUUGGUAUGUUGACUUUUGCGUAGACUCCCCGACAACGGCGCCAGAAAUCCUUCUUGCUACCACUUGAGCACUGCGUUGGUUUUCCCUUGAGGAGGAAAGGGUGAUGCAGUAAAGCAGCGUAAGUAUUUCCCUCUGUUUUUGAGAACCAAGGUAUCAAUCCAGUAGGAGGCCACGCACGAGUCCCUCGCACCUACACAAACAAAUAAAAUCCUCACAACCAACGCAAUAAAGGGGUUGUCAAUCCCUUCACGGUCACUUACGAAAGUGAGAUCUGAUAGAUAUGAUAAGAUAAUAUUUUUGGUAUUUUUAUGAUAAAGAUGCAACGUAAAGAAAGCAAAAUAAAAACAGCGCCAGAAAUAGCUUGUUGACGGGAGAUUAAAUAUGAUGGAAAAUAGACCUGGGGGCCAUAGGUUUCACUACUGGCUUCUCUCGAGAGCAUAAGUAUUACGGUGGGUAGACAAAUUACUGUUGAGCAAUUGACAGAAUUGAGCAUAGUUAUGAAAAUAUCUAGGUAUGAUCAUGUAUAUAGGCAUCACGUCCGAGACAAGUAGACCGACUCCUGCCUGCAUCUACUACUAUUACUCCACACAUCGACCGCUAUCCAGCAUGCAUCUAGAGUAUUAAGUUCAAAAGAACAGAGUAACGCUUUAAGUAAGAUGACAUGAUGUAGAGGGAUAAACUCAUGCAAUAUGAUAUAAACCCCAUCUUGUUAUCCUCGAUGGCAACAAUACAAUACGUGCCUUGCUGCCCCUACUGUCACUGGGAAAGGACACCGCAAGAUUGAACCCAAAGCUAAGCACUUCUCCCAUUGCGAGAAAGAUCAAUCUAGUAGGGCAAACCAAACCGAUAAUUCGAAGAGACUUGCAAAGAUAACCAAUCAUACAUAAAAGAAUUCAGAGAAGAUUCAAAUAUUGUUCAUAGAUAAACUUGAUCAUAAACCCACAAUUCAUCGGUCUCAACAAACACACCGCAAAAGAAGAUUACAUCGAAUAGAUCUCCACAAGAGAGGGGGAGAACAUUGUAUUGAGAUCCAAAAAGAAAGAAGAAGCCAUCUAGCUAAUAACUAUGGACCCGAAGGUCUGAGGUAAACUACUCACACAUCAUCGAGAGGCUAUGGUGUUGAUGUAGAAGCCCUCCAUGAUCGAUGCCCCCUCCGGCGGAGCUCCGGAAAAGGCCCCAAGAUGGGAUCUCACGGGUACAGAAGGUUGCGGCAGUGGAAUUAGAUUUUUGGCUCCGUAUCUGGUAGUUUGGGGGUACGUAGGUAUAUAUAGGAGGAAGAAGUACGUCGGUGGAGCAACGUCGGCCCCACGAGGGUGGAGGGCGUGCCCGGGGGGUAGGCGCGCCCCCUACCUCGUGCCUUACUGGUAGCUUUCUUGACGUAGGGUCCAAGUCCUCUGGAUCACGUUCGUUCCGAAAAUCACGUUCCCGAAGGUUUCAUUCCAUGGAACAAUAAAAAAAUAUAGAUACGUUGGAGACGUAUCAGUGCAUGUUAGACGUAGAAAAUUUUCAAGGCUGUAAGAGGAAGUUAUCUCCCGUUCAUCAUCAAACAUGCAUUGUUCCCUCUCGGAACCACGAACCUUCUAGGGAGUUGCUCCGGUUUGUGAGGGGUGUGUGUCCAAACUUUCGUCAAACAUGCCAAUUUCUUUACCACAUCAUCUUGGUGGCUUGACAUUAAAUCAAGCAAGGUUUCAUGUUUUCUGAUCAUUUUUUAAUUUUUUGGAAUUAAAAUGCCAUGGCAUGCACUCCAUGCAUGUGCCCAUGCCUUGACACCAAUAUGUUUGAAAAUUCCUUCUAAUUUACUGCCCAUCGAAUUAACUCGCACACAAGUACACAAAAAUAUUAUUUUUCAAACCGUUAUGGUAAGGCGUUGCAUGUAGAUGUAGUUCAAAUUUGAAUUACCGUCAUUGAAUGGUUGGAAAAUCACUUAAAUGUCUUUAAAAGGUCAAAUGACCCCUGAAAUUUACCAAAUUUUCACAUGACAGUUGUAUUAGUGCACGUUAAAAGUAGGAAAAAAUGGCCGUAAGAGGAAGUUAUCUCCCGUUCGUCAUCAAACAUGCAUUGUUCCCUCUCGGAACCACGAACCUUCCAGUGAGUUGCUCUGGUUUGUGAGGGGUGUGUGUCCAAACGUUCGUCAAACAUGCCAAUUUCUUUACCACAUCAUCUUGGUGGCAUGACAUUACAUCAACUAAGGUUUCAUAUGUUUUUGAUCAUUUUUAUAUUUUUUUGAAUUAAAAUGCCAUGUCACUCCAUGCAUACGUAUGCAUGUGUCCAUGCCGUGAGACCCAUAUGUUUGAAAAUUCGUUCUAAUUUACUGCACAUGGAAUAAACUCGCACACACGUACAUAGAUAUGAUUUUUCACACUGUUUCGGAUAGGCGUUGCAUAUAAAUGUAGUUCAAAUUUGAAUUAUGGUCAUUAAAUAUGUAGCGACCCGACCUCAGACGGUCAAGUCUCUGUGCUCAAGUGUCAUCCCUGGAUCGGUAUGCUGACACACAUAGUACUGGAGGAUUUAUAACAGAGGUAAAUCACAUGUAUAAAGUAAUGUAAAUACUAUUACCUCAAUCCAAAUAGCGGAAGUAACAACAAGGUUGUGGAUUCCCAUCAACACCAACGGCAAAGUUGAGUGUAGAAAUCGUAACCCUAACGUAUCACUUACUCGUCGUAAGAAUCCUGCAACAUGAGACGUUGCAGCCACAAAGGGUCAGUACAUUGAAUGUACUGGCAAAUUCACACCAUAGAGAAAUUAUGAACAAUGGCUAUCACUACAUGCAUAUAUGGCUGGUGGAAAAGCUCUAUGGUUAUAAUGUUUUUGCGAAAAGCCAAUUUUUCCCUACUGCAAAGGAAUAUAUUUUAUUUAACUACAAAGUUUGUUGAAAAAUAUUGAGAAGGUAAACCCCCUCUCAAUCCCAAUUAAAAGUAAUCAUUAACAACCCAACAAAUUAAGAUUAAAAGUGAUGAGAUCAACAUGAUAAUCCCAGAACCAGAUACUCAAGAUGUCCAUAACCGGGGACACGGCUAACCAUGAUUAGUUUGUACACUCUCUAGAGGUUUGCGCACUUUUCCCCACAAGACUCGAUCUCCUCCGUUUGAUUUCUCGCACUACAUGGUGUUUGAGAAACGGAUGACCGAGACACAGUCUUUCAGAAGCGUUAGCACCUUACGAUGGGUAGACAGUUACACCUACUUUCCCCUACAUCUGCUAGUCUACCACUGUAAGAGUUCACACGACUUAAUAAACUAUGCUAGAGCCCAUAAUAGCUUGUGGCUGCACACGGAAGUUUCUAGUAUGAAUAAUCUCAUGAUCCCUUUGAGCCUGGGUGGCAGUCCAUAGGAGAAUCACACGGUACCCCGGGAUUUCAAAAAAAUACAGGCAAUCACUGGAAUUCCCCAGGUGCAUCAAUCCACCCAGAUGUGUAUCGAAGUUGCCACCUUAAGUUGAACCAUUACUUAACAAUACUCACAUCUAUCAUGAAUACUCUCAAACCCAAUCCACGUCAACGAGCAUAGCAUGGCAAUAUAAGCAUAACGUAAUAGUAACUCCCAAGGUUUGAAUGCAGGGCAAUAGGUUCCUACCUCAUCAACUACUUCCCAAUACCCACAUGUUAUCAAUUCCUAACCAUGCAAUUUUUGAGGGUGAAACUAAUGCAUAAAAACUGGGUAUGAAAGGGAUAUGAUCAAAGUGUGAACUUGCCUGCAAUGUUGAUGAAGAUGAUUCGCACUCAUAACUAUUGAUAGUUCUACUCGGCACACUCCGGUCAAUCUAUCGUGAGCAAGCAAUAGUAACCACACAUAAGCAAUCACUCAAAAGAUCGGAAAGAGCGAAGAAUACGAUUCAGAAAACAUCAAAACCAAGCAAACAACUCUUGCAACAUAAAACAAUUUCUAACAGUACCAAAAUUAUGUGAAUUUGGCCUUAUCACAAAGUUUAGGUCACGAGCUUCGAUAAGCAAAAAGAAUCAACUAAAUCGGAGCUACGAAACUCAAGUUAUGAUCAAAAGAAUAUUCAAAUUCAAAUGUGUUUGAAACAAAUUUUAAAUUUUCAAAAACAUGUUUAAGUUGUUUACCUGGAUAGAGGGGAUCAUAACAAAGACGUGGGCGUUGGUUUCGUUGGAUUUGGAUAAACGAGUAAAAAGAUGUGGUCGUUUGAAGAUCAGGGACUGAACUGUGAAUAAAAUAUUCACGGAUGGGUCCCUGGCCGAAAACUAAAAUAAAAAGAAAAAUCCUAUCGAACGAAUGUUCGCUACAGAACGCUAACGAACGAAAACCGUUCACUACAGAACCCUAACUAACGAACGCUCGCAAAAAAAUAAAAACCUAAAUAAUAAACCGAUCUAAAAGAAUAAAACCGAAGAAAAAUCGGGGUGGUUUAAAUUGGUUUAUACCGGUUCAAGGGAAAUAAACCGAAGGCGGCGGUUACUCCGGCGAGACGACGGCUCCGGCGAGUGCGAGCGUCGGCGGCUGCGCGAGGCGGCGGCGCUGGCGGCUAGCGGUGGCGAGGACGGCGGCNNNNNNNNNNNNNNNNNNNNNNNNNNNNNNNNNNNNNNNNNNNNNNNNNNNNNNNNNNNNNNNNNNNNNNNNNNNNNNNNNNNNNNNNNNNNNNNNNNNNNNNNNNNNNNNNNNNNNNNNNNNNNNNNNNNNNNNNNNNNNNNNNNNNNNNNNNNNNNNNNNNNNNNNNNNNNNNNNNNNNNNNNNNNNNNNNNNNNNNNNNNNNNNNNNNNNNNNNNNNNNNNNNNNNNNNNNNNNNNNNNNNNNNNNNNNNNNNNNNNNNNNNNNNNNNNNNNNNNNNNNNNNNNNNNNNNNNNNNNNNNNNNNNNNNNNNNNNNNNNNNNNNNNNNNNNNNNNNNNNNNNNNNNNNNNNNNNNNNNNNNNNNNNNNNNNNNNNNNNNNNNNNNNNNNNNNNNNNNNNNNNNNNNNNNNNNNNNNNNNNNNNNNNNNNNNNNNNNNNNNNNNNNNNNNNNNNNNNNNNNNNNNNNNNNNNNNNNNNNNNNNNNNNNNNNNNNNNNNNNNNNNNNNNNNNNNNNNNNNNNNNNNNNNNNNNNNNNNNNNNNNNNNNNNNNNNNNNNNNNUUAAAUAAUGGGAGGGGGCGACGGGUGGCGUGGAGGAGGGGUCAAGGGGAGAGGCAGCGAGGAGGAGUCCGCGGCGCGGAUGGCUCAGACGCCGAGGCGGCGGCGGUGGCGUGCGGGAUCCGGCCUCCUGCGUGAGAUCGGGGACGGCGCGACCGGGCUGGGCUAGGCCUGGCCCGGUUGGGUGCUGGGCCGGCCCAGUCGGCGAAGAAGAAUUUUUUUUAAAACACUGGCAAACAAAAUAAAUAAAACAAAGGAAAAAAUAUAUAUAUUAUAUAGGCAUAUAAUAUAUCAAAAUUUUCAGAAAAAGAUUUUCUACAAGAUGAACAUUUUCCUAACGUCAAAUAAACUCCACACAAACUCAAAUAAUUCAAAGAGUCCUACUACCCUACUAAAAUCCAAUAAAAUUAUUUUAAAAAUACCAAAAGGAUUUCAAACUUAUUUAUCUCCAAUUUUCUGAUGUAGGGAAUCAUGUUACCCUAUUUUCCAUAUAUUUUAUUUUUGGAGAAAAACAAUUCGAAUAAAACUCAAAUAACUCCAAAUUAAAAAUAAAUUCAAAAAGGACUUUAAAUUUGAUCAUUGAAACUCCCAUCUCAUAUUUCAUGAAGAAGUCAUUUUAUCUUCUCUCGUGAAAAUCAUUGAGUUGCAUAAAGUUUCUGAAUUGGAAAAUAUUUCCAAAUGGAAUUCAAAUAUUUUUCGAACACCCUUUUCAUUUAUUUAAAUGGAAGAUGUCAUGUCAUCUACUCUCCAGGGUUUUGAAUUUUGAAAAGAAUUUGAAUUCACGAAGAUCAUAAAUGCAAAAAUGAAAGUUUGGGAAAGUCCUUUUAUUCCCUCUCAUUUAAUUUUCAAAAAGUUCGAAUUUCAAUCACUUUCAGUCAAUCAUUCACACAACAAUCAAACAAUCAAUCAAAUCUAUCUAUUUAUCAUAACAUUCCAAAAUUUAGAAUUUUGGGAUGUUAUGAACCUACCACCCUUAAAAUGAAUCUCGUCCUCGAGAUUCGGAGGGGCUAGCAAGAAAUAGGUUAGGUUUGGGGUCUUCUUAAAAUCCAUCGAUCAUCACAGGGGGUCUGGGGUGCUACCACCCUUAGAAACAUCGUUACGGUCCCAUCAAUACUCAUAUACUCCAUCCUUAUUCUUGACAGGGCCGGUCUUCUCAGAUUCUCGAGAUAAUUCCUUCUCUAGGCUCUUCCGGUAGUGGCAUAACCUUUACCACAAUUCUUCUGUCCUUUCAUCUUGGUAAGGUUCUUCCAUGACUGGGUCUUCUUAGCUGACGGGUCUGGCGCCAAAACUAAACAACUAUCGAUAUCUCAUGGUGGUCAUCAAUUUAUGGUUUCUCCUGCAGGAAAUGGGUCUGGUUGAUCCUCACACGGUAGGCAAAAGCUGCCUUGUACAAGGGAAAAAAUACUUAUACCAUUCUAAGGUUUAAACAAGGUUUUGAUCAUCGUCUCUCUACUAUGGGUAAGUCACUCAGAUUUACCAUCCCACAUAGCAAGGCGAAUAAUAAGAGUAAGUUGGUAUGGUGAUCAAUCCAUCCCGCACCCAAAUCUCGCAUUCUAACACUCGGUCAUCCUCACAAGCAUUGCAGAAUUUCUCUUGUCGACGAACCAGGUUCGGAUGAAUCCAUUGAUUCUGCAAGCCAAACAAUCAUCUAUCGUUCCUUCACAACUCUCAGGUUUUGCGUAACUCCUAUAAGAUCGUCUGUCGAUAAAAUCGUAACUCCUUCCAGGGUUUUUCCUUUAGCAAGAGUGUGCUUGCUUCUUCGCAGGUCCUGGGACCUGUGGGUUAUGGCCCAUCUCAUCACUUGUAAACCGUGAACUCAUCAUCUGGGCCAACUGAUCAUUAUCUCAACAUCUAACUUCCAGCUUCCUAGCAUUCUUAAAUCCAUCCAAUUGUACUAUCUUCCUUCCUUCUAUUGGCACCAAACUAGGACAUGAUUACUCAGACUCGUCAUGGAAUUUACAUUGAUCCAUAUUUCCAACAUCAUACCUCCUUUAUGUCCAAUAGUACUUCAUCUCUUCAUAUUCUUGGGGUAUCCAACAUAUCGAGAUAAAACUCGUACUUAUUUUGUCCGAAAUCCACUUCGGGGAAUAACAUCAUUAUCCUUUCCAGGGUCAGGCAUCCUUACAGGGGAAUAUUGGCCAUCUCUGCAUGGCACUCUUCAACUGGGAAACGUGAAACACAUCAUGAACUCCUGACAGUCCUUCGGGUAACUCCAACUUGUAGGCCACUUCUCUCAUACGCUCCAAAACUCGGUAUGGUCCUACAAAUCUCGGGGCUAACUUUUCCUUAACUCCAAAUCGUUUAACUCCUCGCAAAGGUGGCACACGAAGAUAUGAUCUGUCUCUGAUUUCAUAGACUACCUCCUUGCAUUUUGAGUCUACAUAACUCUUCUGCCUGGACCGAGCUACCUUCAGUCUAUCUCGAAUCAACUUAACAUUCUCUUCUGACUCCUUGAUCACAUUUGGUCCAAACAACUGACGGUCUCCAACUUCAUCCCACAUCAACAGUGUCUGGCUCCUUCUCCCAUACAAAGCUUCAAAAGGGGCCAUCUUCAAACAGGCUUGGAAACUGUUGUUGUAUGAGAACUCCGCGUAAGGUAGAUUAUCAUCCUACUAGAUCCAUAAUCUAGCGCACACGCUCUCAACAUGUCCUCCAGAAUCUGAUUGACUCUCUCGGUCUAUCCAUCUGUCUGCGGAUGAAAGGUUGUACUGAACUCUAGCCUAGUACCCAAAGUCUGGUGCAGCUGAUUCCAAAACAUUUUUUUUGACAGAAAGACUGUAAGGGAACCCCUUACAGUAUAAUUGGUGCAACAAACCCAAAUUGCAAGUACCAUGCCUUGAACCUGGGUGGGUGGGAAGGCAUCAGCCCCUUCCCACCACUAGGCUAUGCCUUAGUCUGUUGAUUCCAAAACAUUGAGGUAAACUGUGUUCCUCUAUCUGAUACGAUGGUCCUCAGAACUCCAUGCAGACAUACGAUCCUGUUCAUAUAUAUCUUGGCCAACUUCGCACUUGUAUAGGUGGUUUUCACUGGGAUAAGGUGAGCCACUUUGGUCAAGCGAAUCAACUACUACCCAGAUAGAAUCAUAUCCCGAUCUGGUUCUGAGAAAUCCGGUAAUGAAAUCCAUGCCAAGCUUAUCCCACUUCCAUUCGGGUAUCGGCAUAGGCUGUAGUAAUCCGGCUGGCUUAUGAUGCCCUGCCUUUACUCUCUGGCAUACAUCACCAACGACUACAUACUCCGCAAUAUCCUUCUUCAUACCAGUCCACCAUAAACGCUCCUUCAAAUCCAAAAACAUCUUGGUGUUUCCAGGGCGAAUCGAGUAUGGUGAGUCAUGAGCCUCCUGAAGUAUUAACUUCCCGAUCUUUGCAUUAUUGGGCACAUAUACACGGUCCUCGAGGCAUAAGGUGUCAUGCUCAUCCUUACGAAAUCCUCUGGCCUUUCCUUUCCUCAUCCUCUCUUUUACCUCAGCAAUUUCUUUGUCAUCCUUCUGAGCUUCACGGAUCUUUCCCAACAAUGUAGACUGAACUUCCCUUGCUGCAAGAAAACCUUUGGGAACAAUCUCCAACCGAAGUUCCCUUAGAUCCUCGGCUAACUCCUUUGGUAAUCCUCCGCUUUUGAGGGUAUUCGUCCUUGUUUUCUUAAUGGUUGUGUCCUAUUUCUCCACAAAGCUUGUAUGCACAAGGUUUCUUCAUAUCCUUUCCAUAAGGCCUCAACUUUUGGGACACAAGACGAGAUCUUUGCAGAGUCAGCUUAAAUUCUUCCCAAGUGGUUACUCUUUGCCAUCCAUUGAUGGUUUGGUACAUCCUCCACCAAGUAGCAGCACCUCUUUCAAAACACUGCAGAGCAUGCUGGGUCAUAUCCUUUCUGGCUACAGAGUUAUUCUUCAUGUGAUCCGCCAAGUUCUGAAUCCAUCGGUCCGUCUCCAAUUGACUUAUCGGUCCCGGAACUGUGAGUUCAUCUCCAUUCAUCCUCUAUUGGGUCCAUGGGUUUGGGGUGAGAUAAGAGAGAUAGAGAGGGAUACACACAACACAACCAAUAGUUUUGAAAAGACAAAUUUUUAUUUGUGGCUGUCGGAAAGACAUCAAACAAAUGACAGCUCACAAACGUCGCAUCUAACAUAGGUAUAUAACCGGGUUUGGUAUUCUAAAGGUCAAUAAAUCUUCAACAUCGUCAAACUCUUCAAGUCUUGUUCAUGUCUACGGUGGCUUCUUCCGAUCAUGCUUGUCUUUCGCAAGUCCUUUUGCCAGAUCCUCUCUGUUGACGCGAAGUCUCUCGUGGCUUCCUUUAAUAAUUGCGUUCCAAACUUCUGGAUUUCAACAUCCUUGGCAUGAACUAUAGUCCUACUGUCCUUCAGUUCCUGACGUAUCUCCGGUAUCUUGAGGUUUUGCUCCUCUAGCUUGGCUACUUUCAACUUCUGGGUCCUGAGUUCUUCACGAAACGCUUCCUUAUGAAAUACUGCUUCUUGUAGGUCCAUCUUACCUUCUUGAUGUAACACUCCAGAUCCUGGUGAUACACCGGCUAAGGUUAAAACUUCAUCUUGCUGAUAGGUGCUCCAUCAGCCUUCUGCCAUCCAAUACUUCCAUGCAUAUGCAUGCUUAACUCGGCACGGUGACAAUAGCAUAAGCGGGCGAUAACAUCGUGGAUAGCAGUGUUUCUGCUCUUGUCAUUUCCAUGAGCUAUUUCUCCAUAGUUGAUAUCUCCUGCCUUAGGGUUUUCCUUGACAAAACUUUGUUUUCUAAUGCUCCACGUUCUAGUAUUUCUCCAAUACACCUUGAUAUCGGGCAUUGACGGCUUCCAUAGUCUGCCAACUUCCAUAAGGGUAGCCAUUCCUAGGUCAUACAAAUCCGGGAAUUCCUCAGAGCCUUCAAAUUCUCCUAGUCUUCAGAGUCUUCAACCGUUGUAGUUUCCAUUUACACGGUAAAAUCUUCUUCAUUCCAAAAUGGUCUUAGUUGUCCGAUAUCUUGUACUUCUUGAAGUGGUCUCAUCCGUCGAAUUUUCGAGUGGUCCAAAGGGAAAAGGGGUAUGGUCUCACUUAAAGGGAAUGUUUGAAUAAGCUCAGAAGAGAAGAGAGGUAAAAGAUCUUUUUGAAAAAGAAAGUUCUAGAGAAAAUUCCUUCCUAUGGGCUUGCCAGUUUCUAGGGUCACGUCCUACAGUCAACAUGUGCUCUGAUACCAUCUUGUAGCGACACGACCUCAAACGGUCAAGUCUCUGUGCUUAAGUGUCAUCCCUGGAUCGGUAUGCUAACACACAUAGUACUAGAGGAUUUAUAACAUAGGUAAAUCACAUGUAUAAAGUAACGUAAAUACUAUUACCUCAAUCCAAAUAGCGGAAGUAACAACAAGGUUGUGGAUUCCCAUCAACACCAACGACAAAGUUGAGUGUAGAAAUCAUAACCCUAACAUAUCACUUACUCGUCGUAAGAAUCCUGCAACAUGAGACGUUGCAACCACAAAGGGUCAGUACAUUGAAUGUACUGGCAAAUUCACACCAUAGAGAAAUGAUGAACAAUGGCUAUCACUACAUGCAUAUAUGGCUGGUGGAAAAGCUCUAUGGUUAUAAUGUUUUUGCGAAAAGCCAAUUUUUCCCUACUACAAAGGAAUAUAUUUUAUUUAACUACAAAGUUUGUUGAAAAAUAUUGAGAAGGUAAACCCCCUCUCAAUCCCAAUUAAAAGUAAUCAUUAACAACCCAACAAAUUAAGAUUAAAAGUGAUGAGAUCAACAUGAUAAUCCAAGAACCAGAUACUCAAGAUGUCCAUAACCGGGGACACGGCUAACCAUGAUUAGUUUGUACACUCUGCAGAGGUUUGCGCACUUUUCCCCACAAGACACGAUCUCCUCCGUCUGAUUUCUCGCACUACAUGGUGUUUGAAAAACGGAUGACCGAGACACAGUCUUUCAGAAGCGUUAGCACCUUACGAUGGGUAGACAGUUACACCUACUUUCCCCUACAUCUGCUAGUCUACCACUGUAAGAGUUCACACGACUUAAUCAACUAUGCUAGAGCCCAUAAUAGCUUGUGGCUGCACACGGAAGAUUCUAUUAUGAAUAAUCUCAUGAUCCCUUUGAGCCUGGGUGGCAGUCCAUAGGAGAAUCACACGGUACCCCGGGAUUUCAAAAAAAUACAGGCAAUCACUGGAAUUCCCCAGGUGCCUCAAUCCACCUAGAUGUGUAUUCAAGUUGCCACCUUAAGUUGAACCAUUACUUAACAAUACUCACAUCUGUCAUGAAUACUCUCAAACCCAAUCCACGUCUACGAGCAUAGCAUGGCAAUAUAAGCAUAACGUAAUAGUAACUACCAAGGUUUGAAUGCAGGGAAUAGGUUCCUACCUCAUCAACUACUUCCCAAUACCCACAUGUUAUCAAUUCCUAACCAUGCAAUGUUUGAGGGUGAAACUAAUGCAUAAAAACUGGGUAUGAAAGGGAUAUGAUCAAAGUGUGAACUUGCCUGCAAUGUUGAUGAAGAUGAUUCGCACUCAUAACUCUUGAUAGUUCUACUCGUCACACUCCGGUCAAUCUAUCGUGAGCAAGCAAUAGUAACCACACAUAAGCAAUCACUCAAAAGAUCGGAAAGAACGAAGAAUACGAUUCAGAAAACAUCAAAACCAAGCAAACAACUCUUGCAACAUAAAACAAUUUCUAACAGUACCAAAAUUAUGUGAAUUUGGCCUUAUCAGAAAGUUUAGGUCACGAGCUUCGAUAAGCAAAAAGAAUCAACUAAAUCGGAGCUACGAAACUCAAGUUAUGAUCAAAAGAAGAUUCAAAUUCAAAUAUAUUUGAAACAAAAUUUAAAUUAUCAAAAACAUGUUUAAGUUGUUUAUCUGGAUAGAGGGGAUCAUAACAAAGACGUGGGCGUUGGUUUCGUUGGAUUUGGAUAAACGAGUAAAAAGAUGUGGUCGUUUGAAGAUCAGGGACUGAACUGUGAAUAAAAUAUUCAUGGAUGGGUCCCUGGCCGAAAACUAAAAGAAAAAGAAAAAUCCUAUCGACCGAACGUUCUCUACAGAACGCUAACGAACGAAAACCGUUCACUACAGAACCCUAACUAAUGAACGCUCGCAAAAAAAUAAAAACCUAAAUAAUAAACCGAUCUAAAAGAUAAAACUGAUCUAUAUAAAAAACCGAAGAAAAAUCGGGGUGGUUUAAAUUGGUUUAUACCGGUUCGAGGGAAAUAAACUUAAGGCGGCGGUUACUCCGGCGAGACGACGGCUCCGGCGAGUGCGAGCGUCGGCGGCGGCGCGAGGCGGCGCCGCUGGCGGCUAGCGGUGGCNNNNNNNNNNNNNNNNNNNNNNNNNNNNNNNNNNNNNNNNNNNNNNNNNNNNNNNNNNNNNNNNNNNNNNNNNNNNNNNNNNNNNNNNNNNNNNNNNNNNNNNNNNNNNNNNNNNNNNNNNNNNNNNNNNNNNNNNNNNNNNNNNNNNNNNNNNNNNNNNNNNNNNNNNNNNNNNNNNNNNNNNNNNNNNNNNNNNNNNNNNNNNNNNNNNNNNNNNNNNNNNNNNNNNNNNNNNNNNNNNNNNNNNNNNNGGUAGCGGCGCGAUCCGGCGGCGGCGAGGUGCGGUGCGACGGUGCGGCGAGGAGCGGCAAAGUGCGGCGGCGGCGGCAUGACGCGAGGGCGGCAGCGCGGCUCGGAAAGUGGAGCGGCGUGGAGGAGGGGUCAAGGGGAGAGGCGGCGAGGAGGAGUCCGCGGCGGGGACGGCUCGGACGCCGAGGCGGCGUCGGUGGCGUGCGGGAUCCGGCCUCCUGCGUGAGAUCGGGGACGGCGCGACUGGGCUGGGCUUGGCCUGGCCCGGUUGGGUGGUGGGCCGGCCCCGUCGGCGAAGAAGAUUUUUUUUAAAACACUGGCAAACAAAAUAAAUAAAACAAAGGAAAAAAUAUAUAUAUUAUAUAGGNNNNNNNNNNNNNNNNNNNNNNNNNNNNNNNNNNNNNNNNNNNNNNNNNNNNNNNNNNNNNNNNNNNNNNNNNNNNNNNNNNNNNNNNNAUAUAAUAUAUCAAAAUUUUCAGAAAAAUAUUUUCUACAAGAUGAACAUUUUCCUAACGUCAAAUAAACUCCACACAAACUCAAAUAAUUCAAAGAGUGCUACUGUCUUACUAAAAUCCAAUAAAAAUCAUUUUAAAAAUACCAAAAUGAUUUCAAACUUAUUUAUCUCCAAUUUUCUGAUGUAGGGAAUCAUGUUACCCUAUUUUCCAUAUAUUUUAUUUUUGGAGAAAAACAAUUCGAAUAAAACUCAAAUAACUCCAAAUUAAAAAUAAAUUCAAAAAGGACUUUAAAUUUGAUCUUUGAAACUCCCAACUUAUAUUUCAUAAUUUGAAGAAGUCAUUUUAUCUUCUCUGGUGAAAGUCAUUGAGUUGCAUAAAGUUUCUGAAUUGGAAAAUAUUUCCAAAUGGAAUUCAAAUAUUUUUCAAACACCCUUUUCAUUUAUUUAUAUGGAAGAAGUCAUGUCAUCUUCUCUCUAGGGUUUUGUAUUUUGAAAAGAAUUUGAAUUCACGAAGAUCAUAAAUGCAAAAAUGAAAGUUUGGGAAAGUCCUUUUAUUCCCUCUCAUUUAACUUUCAAAAAGUUCGAAUUUCAAUCACUUUCAAUCAAUCAUUCACACAACAAUCAAACAAUCAAUCAAAUCUAUCUAUUUAUCAUAACAUUCCAAAAUUUAGAAUUUUGGGAUGUAACAAAAUGGUUAGAAAAUCACUUAAAUGUUUUUAAAAGGCCACAUGACCCCUAGAAUUUUGCAAAAUUUCACAUUACAGUUGUAGUAGUGCACGUUAGACAUAGAAAAAAUUUGUAGGACGUAAGAGGAAGCUAUCUCCCGUUCGUCAUCAAACAUGCAUUGUUCCCUCUCGGAACCACGAACCUUCUAGCGAGUUGCUCCGGUUUGUGAGGGGUGUGUUUCCAAACUUUCGUCACACAUGCCAAUUUCUUUACCACAUCAUCUUGGUGGCAUGACAUUACAUCAACCAAGGUUUCAUGUGUUUCUGAUUUUUUUUGGAAUUAAAAAGCCAUGCCACUCCAUGCAUACGUAUUCGUGCAUAUAUGUCCAUGUCGUAAUACAAAUAUGUUUGAAAAUUCCUUCUAGUUUACUGCACAUGGAAUUAACUCGCACACAAGUACACAAAUUUGAUUUUUCAAACCGUUUCGGUUACGCGUUGCAUGUAGAUGUAGUUCAAAUUUCAAUUACGGUCAUUAAAUGGCUAGAAAAUCACUUAAAUGUCUUUAAAAGGUCGAAUGACCCCUAGAAUUUUCAAAAAUUUCACAUUACAGUUGUAGUAGUGCACAUUAGACGUACAAAAAUUUGAAGGCCGUAAGAGAAAGCUAUCUCCCGUUUGUCAUCAAACAUGGAUUGUUCCCUCUCGGAACCACGAGCCUUCUAGUGAGUUGCUUCGGUUUGUGAGGGGUGUGUGUCCAAACUUUGGUCAAUCAUGCCCAUUUUUUUAUCACAUCAUCUUGGUGGCAUGACAUUACAUCAACCAAGGUUUCAUGUGUUUCUGAUUGUUUUAAUUUUUUGGAAUUAAAAUGCCAUGUCACUCCAUGCUUAAUUGUGUCAUAGCCGUUAGACCAAUAUGUUCGAAAAUUCCUUCCAAUUUACUACACAUGGAAUUAAAUCGCACACAAGUACACGAAAUAUGAGUUUUCAAACCGUUAUGGUUAGCUGUUGCAUGUAUAUGUAGUUCAAAUUUCAAUUACGGUCAUUAAAUGACUAGAAAAUCACUUAAAUGACUUAGAAGGUCAAAUGACCCCUGGAAUUUUCCAAAAUUUGACAUUACAGUUGUAUUAGUACUACAAAAUUUCUCGUUCAUUUAAAACACCAUCCGUUGGCACUUCAUUCCAAAUUCGUCUUUCACAGCUAGUAAAAAAUAUCUACAACAUCACACACAGUUGUUUUCUAGGAACCGUUUGCGAUGAAAAUAUCUGGGUCUAUUUAAGUCUCCCUCCUUAAGCUUCGCCAGGCUCGUCUGCUCUAGUGCCGGCAACCCCCGAAUCCACGAAUCCCGAUCCCCAUUCCCGCACCCCCUUCUUGCAAAGAUGAGGCCGUGGAAACGCUUCGUGAAGGCCCGUACGAUGGCCGCGUCCCCCCUGAGCGCCGCCGCCUGCGCCGAGAGCGAGGCCGCCUACGCCGAGAGUGCCACCGCAUCCGCAUUGAGCGCGGCUGCUUCCGCCGAGAGGGCGUCUGCAGUAGCCGAGACGGCUGCAGCUGCUGCUGCGAUGGCGGCUGCAAACACCGAGAGCGCUCGAGCUGCCGUCCGUGCCGCUGAUGUCGCCCUGGCCCGGGUCGAGGCCAUCCACGCCAAGAUCGAGGAUGCACACGCCAAGAUAUUCCAGGCCACCUUGGACUCCAGCAUGCAACCCAUGUAUGAAAAGGCGGCGGUGGCCAUGGAGCACCUGCUUCCUCAUGAGGUCGCCGAGCGGGAGCUGCAGAUGUAGGAGGCGGCGGAGAUAGAGGAGCGCCGGGAGGAGGAGUUGCGCGUGGCCGAGGUCAAGGUAGAGAACAGUCUAUUCGUCGAGGAAUCGGCGAUGGAGUACCAACGCGAGCUCUGGCGCAGGCACUACUACGAGUACUACAACCUUGAGGGCGGCGCCGAGGACGAGGACGAGGACACGGUCGACUUCAGCAGGGGGACGCGGAGUCCACCAACGGCAGCAUGUUGCCAGGACAAGUCAUCAACGUCUCAUCGCACACCGGCGAUGCAUAGGCCGGCACGGCGGCGGAUUUUUCAUUAUGCAUACUUAGGCUUUGUUUUUAAUGCUGGUCUUUUGUUAGAGCAAUGUUUAGGUCAACUAGCUCUGUGUAAUUACUAAAAUUGUUUGAUUCUGUAAGUGUGGUCUGUCUGCUGUACGCUCUUUUGUGUGCCCAAAUUAGCAAGCGAUGUUAAAUUAUGCAAUGACGUACCCGGGGAAAUUUCCACCAAAAUUUGAAUUAUCAAACUCAUCCCAUGCGCGUAAAGCAAAAGAAUCGUUUGUGAUGCACACAAUUUUUCAAAGUGAAUGGUCCGGCGGCACCGCACGCGUUCAAAGUGAAUGUGCCCAUGCCUUGAGACCAAAAUUUUAAUUAUCAAACUCAUCCCAUGCGCGUAAAGAAGAAAUAAUCGUUUGCGAUGCACACAAUCAUUCAAAGUGAAUGGUCCAGCGGCACCGCGCGCAAAGUUUCCCUCCACAUUUCCAAAAUUUUGGCCUACCGCCAAAAUAUCUACCCCGCCCCCCCCCCCACCCCCCUUCCCCACCCCCUUUUCUCCCUGACNNNNNNNNNNNNNNNNNNNNNNNNNNNNNNNNNNNNNNNNNNNNNNNNNNNNNNNNNNNNNNNNNNNNNNNNNNNNNNNNNNNNNNNNNNNNNNNNNNNNNNNNNNNNNNNNNNNNNNNNNNNNNNNNNNNNNNNNNNNNNNNNNNNNNNNNNNNNNNNNNNNNNNNNNNNNNNNNNNNNNNNNNNNNNNNNNNNNNNNNNNNNNNNNNNNNNNNNNNNNNNNNNNNNNNNNNNNNNNNNNNNNNNNNNNNNNNNNNNNNNNNNNNNNNNNNNNNNNCUUCCUUCCUUGCUAAGCUAUAGCCGCUUCUUCGCUCUCGCCGUCUCGCAUCCUACCACCGGGGUCGCCAUGGUCUUCUUCAAAGACAUCUCCAACGGUUCCUCCUCCGGCGACUACUCCUUCACCACCCGGGUAUGCCUCUCUUCUCUCUCUCGGGCUAUGACUUGGAAUGAAGGAUUUUUACCCGGAGGUCGAUUUGAGUCGUUUCUUCCUCUUGUAGCUCCCUAAGACCAUCAGUGACAACGAAUGGAGCGGGGUGGCUGAAGAUCUAUCUGCUCAUUGUCACCAUCAAUCUCCAUGCGUGAAGAUACUUGCGUUUGAUUCUGUGGACACUGGGAGGAAGUUUCUGGCAUGUGCAGAGAAGGUUAGACCCUCUUUCGUUGUUCCAAAUCAUUUGUUAGAUGUGAUUCAGACACUGUCACGGUCCCAACCCAUUCAUACCACACCUUCAACCAAACGCAUCCUAAGAUAGUGUCAUAGUUUUUACCUAGUAUCUUAAAUUGUUUCCAUCUCAUCAGCGGUGCCAUUAGAAAAUUAUUUGGCACCGCUUCAGCGGUUUGUGCAGCCAACUUUGGUCCACACAUCCGAGCAGCCAUGCAGUAAAAUAUUAAAUCUUUAUGGCACGAAGGAACUGGGCAUCGGAGCAACUACGUGCUCCGGAGUCUGGGUCCCUGAUUCUUUUUCCGCCGCAUCGGCUUGCCAGUUCAGGGCACCGGUCUGAGAUGUAGCAACAGUUGUCUUUACACCAGUUUUGGCAUACAUAGUGGACGGCCUUAGUGCUAUUAGUUCUAUGUUACUAAAUUUGUGCAUGUACACACCUGUUAGUAUCAAUUUGCUGUCACUCAAACACUGUCGCUAUGUUGUUGCAGUUAUAUUUACCUUCCUCAUAAAAUGUUCAACUUGGUAUUUAUUGUACAUGAGUAAGAACUUGUAGCAUCGUUGUAGUCAAUUAUAGCUUCUGAUGUUCCAGAAUUUGGUUGUUGUCUCAGUAGCAAUUAUUUCAUUUGCACAUUGAUCUCUUUGAGAAGAUAUGUCAUAAUUAACAUGUGUCUUCAGUUUUUCAAAAUAAGCAUUGGUGAUUUUCUAUGUUGCUAUAAACCCAUUUCCCCUACAAUUGUUACUGAUGUAGUUUUAAAUAUUAUAGGAUGAACGGAAGUGUUCUUACUUGGAGUGGGUUGAUCAAGAGUGGCCACAGUCUUUGAAGAUGUGCCCAACGAAGCUCUGGAGCAUGCAUGAGGAAGUGAAACACAGCUAGGCUUAGAGAAAGUCUUGUCAACGCUGAAGCAUAUUUCAAGAUGUGGGAUAAAAAUUUGAAGGUGCAGAAUGAGCUCAGAUUUUAAAAAAAUACUUUGCUAAGAUGGUGUUGGCGAAGGAGGAGACACUUCCUAGUUGGCCCGUGCAAAACGGGUUCUUACUGAACUGAAAGCAGAGGUGGAUAAGACGAGCAUGGAUGAUCUCGAUUAGGAAAAUGAAUAUAUUGUUCUUAUGAAGUUGAACUAGCUAUAUGUUGUACUGUGCUGUUUUCAUGUAGCUAUCGUACUGUGAUGUUAUAAUAUAUUUAUGUGCCUGAUAUGAAAUUGGCAAACAGUUGUUCGAUAUGAAAUGUGAAUUUGCAUAAUACUGGAAUUAUUAAUUAUAAACUAAUAAACCGGCUAAAUGUGUUAUGGACCUUUGCAAACGGGUGUAGCAGUAAAAGCGCUUCCGAUGGAUAGCCCAAUGCCACACAGUUUUCUACAUCAAAUCGUGUGUGAUGUAGUUAAUGAAAGCAAAUAGUUAACCAAGGCAGAGUGUGUGUGAUAGUUAUACCUUUCACACACGAGCGUAUAGAUAAACCCGUGUGGGAUGUACAUCUGAACGGAAAUGUUUUCCCUGUAUUGACUGUGUGGGAUGUACAUAAGAACGGAAACGUAUUCGUUGGAUUAACUGUGUGUGAUAUACAUACGAACGGAAAUGAUUUUCUAGUAUUCACCAUGUGGGAUGUACAUACCUACGGAAAUGAUUUCUGGGAUGUACUGUGUGGGAUGUACAUACCUACGGAAAUGAUUUCUAGGAUUCACCGUGUGGGAUGUACAUACCUACGGAAAUGAUUAGGUUUCGAUGCCUCGCCCGAUCGCACACGGCCCCAGCCUGGCACCCAGGAGGGCCUAUCCCCGACGAUUUCUGGGUCGUGUGGGAAGGACACCCUAUCGCACACACUCACUUGGCGAUGGUUCCAAAUGCCAUCGCGGAAAGGGGUCAAAAACCGUUUGUUUAGGACCGACGCGCACCAGUGAUAGAGACGUUCACCAUUGAAAACUACUCCAUCUCACAUGAUGAUCGGACAUGGUUUAGUUAAUAUGCAUCACGUGAUCAUUUAGAUGACUAGAGGGAUGUCUAUCUAAGUGGGAGUUCUUAAGUAAUAUGAUUAAUUGAACUUAAUUUAUAAUGAACUUAGUCCUGAUACUAUUUGCAUGUCUAUGUUAUAGAUCAAUAUCUCGCGUAUAGCUCCCCUGUUUUAUUUUGAUAUGUUCCUAGAGAAAACUAAGUUGAAAGCUGAUAGUAGCAACGAUGCGGGCUGGGUCCGUGAUAUGAGGAUUAUCCUCAUUGCUGCACAGAAGAAUUAUGUCCUUGAUGCACCGCUAGGUGACAGACCUAUUGUAGGAGCAGAUGCAGACCUUAUGAACGUCUAACAAAGCUCGGUAUGAUGACUACUUGAUAGUUUAGUGCGCCAUGCUUUACUGCUUAGAACCGGGACUUCAAAAAUGUUUUGAACGCCAUAGAGCAUAUGAGAUGUUCCAAGAGUUGAAAAUGAUAUUUCAGACUCAUGCCCGUGUUAAGAGGUAUGAGACCUCUUGUCACAUCCCUAGUUCUGGUUUGCUCUAGGCUAGCUAGUCAUGUGUGCAUCAUGUUUAAAUUUCAAUGAAUUUGAAAUGGGGACAUGUGAAAGCCUCAGAAAUCAUUUCUGAAAAAGACCAAGAUAAAAAUUGCUUCAAAUAGGUCCAAGAAAAUGUUCAUGUUUCUCUAUGAAAAUAUUGGCCAGAAUUAAAAUUCAAACCAAUAUUUUUAGGAGCUCAUAAAUAUUUAUUUUGGGCAUUUGAAGCUAAUGCAAUAACUAUUUGCAUUGGAUUUAUAUUUGCUAUAUAUCGAAUAUGUGUCCAAUAAUUCUGAGAAAUUGUGAGGGGCUUUGGGAUAAUCCUUUUAGUCCCUGCAAAAUUAUCAGAAGAAAGCAAAAUGGUUUAGUGCUUAAAAAUAAAUCAAAACAAAUAACAGAAAAAGAAAACAGAAAACAGAAAUGAAAAAGGAGUCUUACCUGGCGCUUACCUCGCAUGGCCCAGCACGGCCCAGCCCACUGGCCUGGUGCCAGUCAUCGCCUACCUCUGCCAGUAGGCAGAGGAGGGACACCGCGACACCGCCGAGCUCGCCACGCCUCCUCCUGCUUGCCGCCGACCGCUUGGAGCUGGCUGGAGACGCCAUGCACCCCCCCCCCCUGGUACCCCCUCGCUCACCUCCUCGACCCAUCCCCUUCCCUGGCUCCCUCGCGAACACACCCGAGCGCCCCCGUCACCACCGCUCGCCGUAGCNNNNNNNNNNNNNNNNNNNNNNNNNNNNNNNNNNNNNNNNNNNNNNNNNNNNNNNNNNNNNNNNNNNNNNNNNNNNNNNNNNNNNNNNNNNNNNNNNNNNNNNNNNNNNNNNNNNNNNNNNNNNNNNNNNNNNNNNNNNNNNNNNNNNNNNNNNNNNNNNNNNNNNNNNNNNNNNNNNNNNNNNNNNNNNNNNNNNNNNNNNNNNNNNNNNNNNNNNNNNNNNNNNNNNNNNNNNNNNNNNNNNNNNNNNNNNNNNNNNNNNNNNNNNNNNNNNNNNNNNNNNNNNNNNNNNNNNNNNNNNNNNNNNNNNNNNNNNNNNNNNNNNNNNNNNNNNNNNNNNNNNNNNNNNNNNNNNNNNNNNNNNNNNNNNNNNNNNNNNNNNNNNNNNNNNNNNNNNNNNNNNNNNNNNNNNNNNNNNNNNNNNNNNNNNNNNNNNNNNNNNNNNNNNNNNNNNNNNNNNNNNNNNNNNNNNNNNNNNNNNNNNNNNNNNNNNNCUCCCCAUCUACCCACUCAACGCCAGACGCCUCAAAACGCCGUCCCCGACCUCUUCUACAUCGUUGGCCGCCGCGGAUCCCCAUCGUCGAAUCGUUGCCGUCCGGCCUUCCCCGAGCCCGCUUCGACGCCUGCUGCAACCGCCGUGAGCCACCGAACCGUUUCCCCCUCUCUGUUCUCGCUCUCGUGUGCCAUAGCCGCCGCACCUUGCUCGCCCGCACGCGCCGCCGCCUGUGACCACCGCCGACGAGCCUCCGGCCACCUAGCGGUCCGUCCGUUGUGCUCAACUUCCUUCCCGCGCCACGUAGAGCACGUAGGUGCCCCGCACGAGCCUCCCCGGCCACCGUAGCGUCGACCCCGAGCUCACCCGAGCUCCGGCGACCGCCAAGGACGAUGCCGGCGACAACCCCGGCCACCCCAGGCCCAACCGCCACCACCACUCGAUGCGCGAGGUCGUCCGCAUCACGUAGAUGCCCUCCGCCGGCCAUUUGGUCGCCGGAGGAGGAAUCCCGCACCUCGCCGCCGCGUCUGGCCUCGCCGGCGGCGAGUCGCCGGUGGAUUAGCCCCAGUUGACUGGGGAUUUGACCCCCAGGGUCACUGACGUGUGGGCCAUGCCCCUGUUUAGUUUAGGUGUUAGCUUAGUUAGCGCAAAUUAACUUAGUUAGUUAGUUGUUACACUGACAUGUGGGUCCCAGCCGUCAGGUUUAACCUAGGCUGGCGCCUUUGACCUGCUGACAUCACCACGACGUCAUGCUGACGCAGUUAACCUUUUUGUGGAUUUAUUCUUAUAUAGGAAAUUCCAGAAAAUCUUAUAAACUUCUAAAAAUCAUAGAAAAUAAUCUAUAGCUCAGAAUGAAAAGAUUUAUAUAUGAAAAAUGAUCAGAAAAAUCCAAUCUAUCCAUCUGUACUGGUUUCAUGCAUGUUAGAGCAACCUAACCAUGCUGUUUAGAUGAAACAAGAUAAUGCACUUAUAUGACUCUAUAAAAUGGGUUUGCAUUUGAAUCUUUGGUUCAAAUGGACUCAUCUCAAUCUGUUCUAGCUUGCAUUAGCCCAAAACACAUUCAUAUUGCCAUGUCAUGAUCAUGCAUCAUAUUGUGCAUUGCAUUGAUUGUAUUUCUUCUCUGUUGCCGGUAUUUGUCCCUUCUCGGUAGACGAUGUUCCGGCGUUGUGAUCGUUGACACUAAUGAAGACUCAAUGCGAUCUUCAGAAGUGCCAGGCAAGCGAAACCCCCUUGUUCAUUCCGAUACAAACCCACUCUCUCGCUUCUGCUCUCUUUUACUGCAUUAGGACAACAACGAUUCAACUGUUACAUGCUGCGGUAGUUGAACCCCUUUCCUCUGGAUGACCUGUCAUUGCCACAGUAAAUAGAUGAAACCCACUAGCAUGAGUAGGAGUUGUUUGAGCCCUGAUGUGCCUACUCAUUCAUGCCUGUUUGUCAUGCCUGCUAUUGCUUAGAGUUGUGUCAGGUCUGAUUCAUCGGGGAUGAAUUGUAAUGUGGUGAACAUGUCCUACUGUUGAGAGCUAAGUGUGUGAACACGAUUUGGUAAAGGUAGCGGUGAGAGGCCAUGUAGGAGUACAUGGUGGGUUGUCUCAUUGCAGCCGUCCUCAGGAACUGAGUUCUGUGUUUGUCAUCCAUGAACAGUUACUACCACACAUUGGAAUGCUUAAGUGCCCCUCUCGACUUAUUAAUCAACUUGAUCUCUGUCCAGGAGUUGCAACUAGUUUCUGGUGUUUGUAGGUUGUGUUAGUAGUCUACCAAGUGGUACCCGGUACAGGUGGGCUUGGGACAGACUAGGCACCGUGGCACGGUGUACCAAGCGUAGAUCCAUCCGUCGAGGUGGGCUUGGGAACCCUGCACACAUCGUUUGGGGCCGUGAGCGACACCCCGGCCGGAUCUCCUUGCGGAUGGAACCCGAAUAGGCGAUAAACCUGGACUAGAGACUUGUGUGGUUAGUCAAGUCGUGGCCGACUCCCUCGCCAGGCUUCCGCUUGAAGGUUGCCGAGGUACACGACAUGUACAUGGUGGUAAGUGGCGAGAGCGUGUGUGAAGAAGUACACCCCUGCAGGGUUAACAUCAUCUAUUCGAAUAGCCGUGUCCGCGGUAAAGGACUUCUGGGUUGCCUAUAACAGUUCAUAGACAAGUGAAAGUGGAUACUCUAAAAUGCGCAAGAUAAGCGUGAGUGCUAUGGAUGGCGCUCUCGUAGGGAGACGGGAGGGGAUCCAUAGUGGUGUAUUGAUAUGGUGAAUAUGUGGACUCGUGUGCGCCACCUCAAAAGAGUUGCUUGCAGUCGUAGUUCAGGUUAGCCACUGAGUCAAAGCUGGCUUGCUGCAGUUAAACUCCACCACCCCUUUUGUUGAUACCGAUGCAUAUGUAGAUAGUUCUGAUGUAAGUCUUGCUGGGUACAUUUGUACUCACGUUUGCCUAUUUUAUGUUUUGCAGAGAGACGUCAGUCUCGCUAGUAGUGCUGUGUGGACUUCGACGCUUAGCUUGUUACCUCAGCUACGAUCUUGUGCCCUCGGCAGGAUCUGGUAGAUAGUCAGGCUUCUCAGCCUUUUUCAUUUAUAGUUGUCUGUACUCAGACAAGUUAAGCUUCUGCAUGUGAUUGUUGCUUGUAUGCUCUGUAUGUUUGGGUCAUGAGACCCAUGUUUGUAAUAUCUGGCUCUUCGGACCCUAAUGAAUAAAUACUCUGAGUCGUAGAGUCUUGUUGUGAUGCCAUGUUGUAUUUGCACAUAUCGAGCAUAUUGUGUGUAUGAUUGAAAUGCUUGGUAUGUGUGGGAUCCGACAACCUAGUUGUUUAUCCUUAGUAGCCUCUCUUAUGGGGAAAUGUAGUCUUGUGCUUCCAUGAGCCAUAGUAGUCCGCUACAGCCCGGUUCACCGGAGUCCUGCUAGCCCAGCACUACUGCUCCGGAACACUUGACUGGCCGGCAUGUGAUUCACUUCGUUCCUGUGUCUGUCCCUUCGGGGAAAUGUCACGCGGUGACAUCCGGAGUCCUGCCUAGCCUGCUACAGCCCGGGUUCCCGGAGUCCUGUUAGCCCAGAGCUACAGCCCGGAUUCGCACGCUGCUGACCGACAUGCUCGAUGUUGAUUCAUGUAUGCCUGUCCCCGUAAGUUAGUGCCACUUUGGGUUCACGACUAGUCAUGUCGGCCCGGGUUCUCUGUCAUAUGGAUGCUAGCGACACUAUCAUAUACGUGAGCCAAAAGGCGCAAAUGGUCCCGGGCCAUGGUAAGGCGACACCCAUGGGAAUACCGUGCGUGAGGCCACAAAGUGAUAUGAGGUGUUACCGGCUAGAUCGAUGUGACUUGGAAUCGGGGUCCUGACAGUUUCGGUAUCAGAGCCUGACUGCCUGUAGGAUUACCAAGCCAAACUGGUCGAAGUCGAGUCUAGAAAUGCUUUAGUUAUAUAAGGGAAUUGAUUGUGGAUGGGAUCUUAUGAUGUCUCUCCCCCUCUACUCUCUUGUAAUGGAUUGAGUUUUCCCUUUGAAGUUUCUUAUCGGAUUGGGUCUUUAAGGAUUUGAGAACACUUGAUGUAUGUCUUGUCGUGCUUAUCUGUGGUGACAAUGGGAUAUCACGUGAUCCACUUGAUGUAUGUUUUGGUGAUCAACUUGCGGGUUCCGCCCAUGAACCUAUGCAUAGGGGUUGGCACACGUUUUCGUCUUGACUCUCCGGUAGAAACUUUGGGGCACUCUUUGAAGUACUUUGUGUUGGUUUGAAUACAUGAAUCUGAGAUUGUGUGAUGCAUAUCGUAUAAUCAUACCCACGGAUACUUGAGGUGACAUUGGAGUAUCUAGGUGACAUUAGGGUUUUGGUUGAUUUGUGUCUUAAGGUGUUAUUCUAGUACGAAUUCUAUGAUAGAUUGAACGGAAAGAAUAGCUUCAUGUUAUUUUACUACGGACUCUUGAAUAGAUCGAUCGGAAAGAAUAACUUUGAGGUGGUUUCGUACCCUACCAUAAUCUCUUCGUUUGUUCUCCGCUAUUAGUGCUUUGGAGUGACUCUUUGUUGCAUGUUUAGGGAUAGUUAUAUGAUCCAAUUAUGUUAUUAUUGUUGAGAGAACUUGCACUAGUGAAAGUAUGAACCCUAGGCCUUGUUUCAACGAAUUGCAAUACCGUUUGUGCUCACUUUUAUCAUUAGUUACCUUGCUGUUUUUUAAUUUUCAGAUUACAAAAACCUAUAUCUACCAUCCAUAUUGCACUUUUAUCACCAUCUCUUCGCCGAACUAGUGCACCUAUACAAUUUACCAUUGUAUUGGGUGUGUUGGGGACACAAGAGACUCUUUGUUAUUUGGUUGUGGGGUUGUUUGAGAGAGACCAUCUUCAACCUACGCCUCCCACAGAUUGAUAAACCUUAGGUCAUCCACUUGAGGGAAAUUUGCUACUAUCCUACAAACCUCUGCACUUGGAGGCCCAACAACGUCUACAAGAAGAAGGUUGCGUAGUAGACAUCAAGCUCUUUUCUGGCGCCGUUGCCGGGGAGGUGAGUGCUUGAAGGUAUAUCUUUAGAUCUUGCAAUCAAAUCUUUUAGUUUCUUGUUUUAGCACUAGUUUAGUCUAUAAAAGAAAACUACAAAAAAUGGAAUUAAGGGUGCCUCAUAUGCUUCAUCUUUUUAAUGUCUUUCGUGAAAAUGAUGGGAAGGAAAAUUGUGCUCAAGUACUAGAAGAAGAAUUACAUAGAAUGCUUGGCAUAAAAUAUGUGAAUGAUGAGCAUGAUUGCAAUGUUGUUAGUAUGAAUUCUUUGAAUAUCCAUAAUGCUAAUGAUAUGCAAAGCCACAAGCUUGGGGAUGCUAUGUUUGAUGAAGAUGAUAUUUUUUGUCCCCCAAGUUUUGAUGAGCAAAUUUAUUAUGAUAAAAGCAUGCCUCCUAUCUAUGAUGAUUAUUGUGAUGACACGUAUGCUAUAAAGAAUAAAGAUAAGCAUGAAACUUGUCAUCAUGAUUUUAAUUUUCAAUUGGAUUAUCCUUCACAUGAUAGUUAUUUUGUUGAGUUUGCUCUCACUACUAUUCAUGAGAACAAAUUUGCUUUUGUGGAGAGUAAUAAAAUUUCUAUGCUUGUAGAUCAUGAAAAGAAUGCUUUAUGUGAUAGUUAUAUUGUUGAAUUCAUUCAUGAUGCUACUGAAAAUUAUUAUGAGAGAGGAACAUGUGCUUUUACAUAUUGCAAUAAUAUCAAGUUUCCUCUCUAUCUGUUGAAAUUUUUGAAGUUGCACUUGUUUUGCCUUCCUAUGCAAGUUGAUUAUUGUUCCCAUAAAUUGUUUGAUCACAAAAUCCCUAUGCAUAGGAAGUGUGUUAGACUUAAAUGUGCUAGUCAUAUUCUUCAUGAUGCUCUCUUUAUGUUUCAAUUCUUAUGUUUUAUGUGAGCAUCAUUGAAAUCAUCAUGCCUAGCUAGGGGCGUUAAACGUUAGCGCUUGUUGGGUGGCAACCCAAUUUUAUUUUUGUUUCUUGCUUUUUGGUUCUGUUUAGUAAUAAAUAAUCCAUCUAGAUUCUGUUUAGAUGUGGUUUUAUAUUUUAAUUAGUGUUUGUGCCAAGUAAGACCUAUAGGAUCUUCUUGGAUGAUAAUUAUUUGAUCUUGCUGAAAAAGACAGAAACUUUCUGCUCACGAAAACAAUUGUUAAAAAUCACCAGAAAGGGAUAAAAUACUGAUUCCAAUUGCAGUGGAUCAAUAAUCAAAUUAUCUAGUUCUUCCUAUUUUGGCAGAUUUUUCUGAGUUCCAGAAGUAUACGUUUGAUACAGAUUACUACAGACUGUUCUGUUUUUGACAGAUUCUGUUUUCUAUGUGUUGUUUGCUUAUUUUGAUGAAUCUAUGAGUAGUAUCGGAGGGUAUGAACCAUAAAGAAGUUGGAAUACAGUAGAUAUUACACCAAUAUGAAUUUAGAAUGAGUUCACAACAGUACCUAAGUGGUGAUUUAUUUUCUUAUACUAACGGAGCUUACGAGUUUUCUGUUGAGUUUUGUGUUGUGAAGUUUUCAAGUUUUGGGUAAAGAUUCGAUGGGAUAUGGAAUAAGGAGUGGAAAGAUCCUAAUCUUGGGGAUGCCCAAGGCACCCCAAGGACAACUAAGAGCCUAAGCUUGGGGAUUCCCCGGAAGGCAUCUCCUCUUUCGUCUUCGUUCAUCGGUAAACUUUACUUGGAGCUAUAUUUUUAUUCACCACAUGAUAUGUGUUUUGCUUGGAGCGUCAUUUUAUUUUCUUUUGUUUUGAUUGCUGUUUGUAUAAAAUACCAAGAUCUGAAAUUCUUAAAUGUUAGAGAGUCUUCACAUAGUUACUCAUUGAUCUUCACAUAUCUUUCGGAGUAGUUUGUCGUUUGCUCUAGUGCUUCACUUAUAUCUUUUAGAGCACGGCGGUGGUUUUAUUUUGAAGAAAUAGAUGAACUCUCAUGCUUCACUUAUAUUAUUUUGAGAGUCUUAAACAGCAUGGUAAUUUGCUUUGGUUAUGAAUUUAGUCCUAAUAUGAUAGGCAUCCAAGAGGGAUAUAAUAAAAACUUUCAUAUAAAGUGCAUUGAAUAGUAUGAGAAGUUUGAUUCCUUAUGAUUGUUUUGAGAUAUGAAGAUGGUGAUAUUAGAGUCAUGCUAGUUGAGUAGUUGUGAAUUUGAGAAAUACUUGUGUUAAAUUUUGUGAUUCCCGUAGCAUGCACGUAUGGUGAACCGUUAUGUGAUGAAGUCGGAGCAUGAUUUAUUUAUUGAUUGUCCUCCUUAUGCGUGGUGGUCGGGGACGAGCGAUGGUCUUUUCCUACCAAUCUAUCCACCAAGGAGCAUGCGCGUAGUACUUCGUUUCGAUAACUAAUAGAUUUUCGCAAUAAGUAUGUGAGUUCUUUAUGACUAAUGUUGAGUCCAUGGAUUAUACGCACUCUCAUCCUUCCACCAUUGCUAGCCUCUCUAAUACCGCGCACCUUUCGCCGGUACCAUACACCCACCAUAUACCUUCCUCAAAACAGCCACCAUACCUACCUAUUAUGGCAUUUCCAUAGCCAUUCCGAGAUAUAUUGCCAUGCAACUUUCCACCUUUCCGUUUAUUAUGACGCGCUUCAUCAUUGUCAUAUUGCCUUGCAUGAUCGUGUAGUUGACAUCGUAUUUGUGGCAAAGCCACCUUCAUAAUUCUUUCAUACAUGUCACUGUUGAAUCAUUGCACAUCCCGGUACACCGCUGGGGGCAUUCAUAUAGAGUCAUAUUGUGUUCUAAGUAUCGAGUUGUAAUUCUUGAGUUGUAAGUAGAUAAAAGUGUGAUGAUCAUCAUUCUUAGAGCAUUGUCCUAGUGAGGAAAGGAUGAUGGAGACUAUGAUUCCCCCACAAGUAGGGAUGAGACUCCGGACGAAAAAUAAAAAAAAAGAGGCCAAAAAAAAGAGAAGGCCCAGAAAAAAACAAAAAAUGAGAGAAAAAGAGAGAAGGGGCAUUGCUACUAUCCUUUACCACACUUGUGCUUCAAAGUAGCACCAUGAUCUUCAUGAUAGAGAGUCUCCUAUAUUGUCACUUUCAUAUACUAGUGGGAAUCUUUCAUUAUAGAACUUGGCUUGUAUAUUCCAAUGAUGGGCUUCCUCAAAAUGCCCUAGGUCUUUGUGAGCAAGCGAGUUGGAUGCACACCCACUUAGUUUCUUUUUGAGCUUUCAUACACUUAUAGCUCUAGUGCAUCCGUUGGAUGGCAAUCCCUACUCACUCACAUUGAUAUCUAUUGAUGGGCAUCUCCAUAGCCUGUUGAUACGCCUAGUUGAUGUGAGACUAUCUUCCCCUUUUUGUCUUCUCCACAACCACCAUUCUAUUCCACCUAUAGUGCUAUGUCCAUGGCUCACGCUCAUGUAUUGCGUGAAGAUUGAAAAAGUUUGAGAACAUCAAAAGUAUGAAACAAUUGCCUGGCUUGUCAUCGGGGUUGUGCAUGAUUUAAAUAUUUUGUGUGAUGAAGAUAGAGCAUAGCCAGACUAUAUGAUUUUGUAGGGAUAGCUUGCUUUGGCCAUGUUAUUUUGAGAAGACGUGAUUGCUUUGUUAGUAUGCUCGAAGUAUUAUUGUUUUCAUGUCAAUAUUAAACUUUUGUCUUGAAUCUUAUGGAUCUGAAUAUUCUUGCCACAAUAGAGAAGAUUACAUUGAUAAAUAUGUUAGGUAGCAUUCCACAUCAAAAAUUCUGUUUUUAUCAUUUACCUACUCGAGGACGAGCAGGAAUUAAGCUUGGGGAUGCUUGAUACGUCUCCAACGUAUCUAUAAUUUUUGAUUGUUCCAUGCUAUUAUAUUAUCCAUCUAAGAUCUUUUAUAUGCAUUUAUAUGCUAUUUUAUAUGAUUUUUGGGACUAACCUAUUAACCUAGAGCCCAGUCCCUACCUCGUGGACAGCCCGGAGACCCCCCCUGACUUGUUCUCGACGCCAAAACCUCUUAUAUAUACAGAAACCUCCAGAGCAUAACCUAGAUCGGGAGUUCCGCCGCCGCAAGCCUCUAUAGCUACAAAACCAAUCGGGACCCUGUUCUGGCACCCUGACGGAGGGGGGAACCCUCACCGGUGGCCAUCUUCAUCAUCCCGGCGCUCUCCAUGACGAGGAGGGAGUAGUUCACCCUUGGGGCUGAGGGUAUGUACAAGUAGCUAUGUGUUCGAUCUCUCUCUCUCUCGUGUUCUUGAGGUGGUACGAUCUUGAUGUAUCGCGAGCUUUGCUAUUAUAGUUGGAUCUUAUGAUGUUUCUCCCCCUCUACUCUCUUAUAAUGGAUUGAGUUUUCCCUUUGAAGUUAUCUUAUGGGAUUGAGUCUUUAAGGAUUUGAGAACACUUGUUGUAUGUAUUGCAUGUGCUUAUCUGUGGUGACAAUGGGAUAUCACGUGAUUCACUUGAUGUAUGUUUUGGGGAUCAACUUGCGGGUUCCGUGAGCUCGUGAACUUAUGCAUAGGGGUUGGCACACGUUUUCGUCUUGACUCUCCGGUAGAAACUUUGGGGCACUCUUUAAAGUUCUUUGUAUUGGUUGAAUAGAUGAAUCUGAGAUUGUGUGAUGCAUAUCGUAUAAUCAUACCCACGGAUACUUGAGGUGACAUUGGAGUAUCUAGGUGACAUUAGGGUUUUGGUUGAUUUGUGUCUUAAGGUGUUAUUAUAGUACAAACUCUAUGAUAGAUUGAACGGAAAGAAUAGCUUCAUGUUAUUUUACUACGGACUCUUGAAUAGAUCGAUCAGAAAGGAUAACUUUGAGGUGGUUUCGUACCUACCAUAAUCUCUUCGUUUGUUCUCCGCUAUUAGUGACUUUGGAGUGACUCUUUGUUGCACGUUGAGGGAUAUUUAUAUGAUCCAAUUAUGUUAUUAUUGUUGAGAGAACUUGCACUAGUGAAAGUAUGAACCCUAGGCCUUGUUUCCUAGCAUUGCAAUACCGUUUAUGCUGACUUUUAUCAUUAGUUACCUUGCUGUUUUUAUAUUUUCAGAUUACAAAAACCUAUAUCUACCAUCCAUAUUGCACUUGUAUCACCAUCUCUUCGCCGAACUAGUGCACCUAUACAAUUUACCAUUGUAUUGGGUGUGUUGGGGACACAAGAGACUGUUUGUUAUUUGGUUGCAGGGUUAUUUGAGAGAGACCAUCUUCAUCCUAUGCCUCCCACGGAUUGCUAAACCUUAGGUCAUCCACUUGAGGGAAAUUUGCUACUGUCCUACAAACCUCUGCACUUGGAGGCCCAACAACGUCUACAAGAAGAAUGUUGUGUAGUAGACAUCACUUCUACUGCAAAGGGAAUGGUCACUGGAAGCGGAACUACCCCAAAUACUUGGCGUGUAAGAAGGAUGGCAAAGUGAACAAAGGUAUAUUUGAUAUACAUGUUAUUGAUAUGUACUUUACUAGUGUUCAUAGUAGCCCCUCGGUAUUUGAUACUGGUUCAGUUGCUAAGAUUAGUAACUCAAAACAGGAGUUACAAAAUGAACAGAGACUAGUUGAAGUGACGAUGUGUGUUGGAAGUGAUUCCAAGAUUGAUAAGAUCACCAUCGCACACUCCCUCUACCUUCGGGAUUAGUGUUGGACCUAAAUAAAUGUAAUUUGGUAUUUGCGUUGAGCAUGAAUAUGAUUGGAUCAGGUUUAUUGCAAUACGGUUAUUCAUUUAAGUCAAAGAAUAAUAGUUAUUCUGUUUACAUGAAUAAAACCUUCUAUGGUCAUACACUCAAUAUAAAUGGUUUAUUGAAUCUCGAUCGUAGUGAUACACAUAUUCAUAAUAUUGAUGCCAAAAGAUACAAAGUUGAUAAUGAUAGUGCAACAUACUUGUGGCACUGCCGUUUAGGUCAUAUUGGUGUAAAACGCAUAAAGAAACUCCAUGCGGAUGGACUUUUGGAAUCACUUGAUUAUGUAUAAGUUGAUACUUGUGAACCAUGCCUCAUGGGAAAGAUGACUAAAACUCCGUUCUCCGGAACAAUGGAGCGAGCCACUGACUUAUUGGAAAUAAUACAUACCAAUGUAUGCGGUCUGAUGAGUGUUGAGGCACGCGGCGGGUAUCGUUAUUUUCUGACCUUCACACAUGAUUUGAGCAGAUAUGGGUAUAACUACUUGAUGAAACACAAGUCUGAAACAUUUGAAAAGUUCAGAGAAUUUCAGAGUGAAGUGGAGAAUCAUCGUAAUAAGACAAUAAAGUUUCUACGAUAUGAUCGCGGAGGCGAUUAUUUGAGUUACGAGUUUGGCCUUCAUUUAAAACAAUGUGGAAUAGUUUCACAACUCACACCACCUGGAACACCACAACAAAAUGGAGUGUCCCCACGUUGUAACCGUACUUUAUUAGAUAUGGUGCGAUCUAUGAUGUCUCUUGCCGAUUUACCACUAUCAUUUUGGGGUUAUGCAUUAGAGACAACUGCAUUCACGUUAAAUAGGGCACCAUCUAAAUCUGUUGAGACGACACCAUAUGAACUGUGGUUUGGCAAGAAACCUAAGCUGUCGUUUCUUAAAGUUUGGGGUUGUGAUGCUUAUGUGAAAAAGCUUCAGCCUGAUAAGCUCGAACCCAAAUCGGAGAAGUGUGUCUUCAUAGGAUACCCAAAAGAAACUUUUGGGUACACCUUCUAUCACAGAUCCGAAGGCAAGACAUUUGUUGCUAAGAAUGGAUCCUUUAUAGAGAAGGAGUUUCUCUCGAAAGAAGUGAGUGGGAGGAAAGUAGAACUUGAUGAGGUAGUUGUACCUUCUCUUGAAUUGGAAAGUAGUUCAUCACAGAAAACUGUUCCUGUGAUGCCUACACCAAUUAGUGAGGAAGCUAAUGAUGAUGAUCAUGAAACUUCAGAUCAAGUUACUACCGAACCUCGUAGGUCAACCAGAUUGCGGUCUGCACCAGAGUGGUACGAUAAUCCUGUUCUGGAAGUCAUGUUACUAGACCAUGACGAACCUACGAACUAUGAGGAAGCGAUGAUGAGCCCAGAUUCCACAAAAUGGCUUGUGGCCAUGAAAUCUGAUAUGGGAUCCAUGUAUGAGAACAAAGUAUGGACUUGGUUGACUUGCCCGAUGCUCGGCAAGCCAUAGAUAAUAAAUGGAUCUUCAAGAGGAAGACGGACGCUGAUAGUAGUGUUACUAUCUACACAUCUCGAAUUGUCGCAAAUAGGUUUUAGACAAGUUCAAGGUGUUGACUACAAUGAGAUUUUCUCAGUCGUAUCGAUGCUUCAAGUCUCCGAAUCAUGUUAGGAAUUGCCACAUUUUAUUAAAUCUGGCAAAUGGAUGUCAAAACUGCAUUCCUUAAUUGAUUUAUUAAAGAAGAGUUGUAUAUGAUGGAACCAGAAGGUUUUCUCAAUCCUAAUGGUGCUAACAAAGUGUACAAGCUCCAACGAUCCAUCUAUGGACUAGUGCAAGCAUCUCGGAGUUGGAAUAUACGCUUUGAUGAGUUGAUCAAAGCAUAUAGUUUUAUACAGACUUGCGGCAAAGCAUGUAUUUACAAGAAAGUGAGUGGGAGCACUACAUCUUUUCUGAUAAAUAUAUGUGAAUGACAUAUUGUUGUUCGGAAAUGAUGUAGAAUUUUCUAGAAAGCAUAAAGGAGUGUUUGAAAGGAUUUUUUUCAAUGAAAGACUUCAGUGAAGCUACUUACAUAUUGGACAUCAAGAUCUAUAGAGAUAGAUCAAGACGCUUGAUAAGAUUUUUCAAUGAGUACAUACCUUGACAAGAUUUUGAGGUAGUUCAAAAUGGAACAAUCAAAGAAGGAGUUCUUGCCUGUAUUGCAAGGUGUAAAGUUGAGUAAGACUCAAAAACCGACCACGGCAGGAAAUACAAAGAGAAUGAAAGUCAUUCCCUAUGCCUCAGCCAUAGGUUCAAUAAAGUAUGCUAUGUUGUGUACCAGACCUAUUGUGUGCCUUGCCAUGUGUUUGGCAAGGGGUACGAUAGUGAUCCAGGAGUGGAUCACUAGACAACGGUCAAAGUUAUCCUUAGUUACCUAAGAGGACUAAGGAAAUAUUUCUCGGUUAUGGAGGUGAUAAAGAGUAUGUCGUGAAGAGUUACGUCGAUGCAAGCUUUUACACCGAUCCGGAUGACUCCGAGUCUCAAUCUGGAUACGUAUUGAAACUGGGAGCAAUUAGCUAGAGUAGCUCCAUGGAGAGCAUUGUAGACAUAGAAAAUUUGCAAAAUACAUACCGCUCUGAAUGUGGCAGACUCGUUGACUAAACUUCUCUUACAAGCAAAACAUGAUCACACCUUAGUACUCUUUGGAUGUUAAUCACAUAGCGAUGUGAACUAGAUUAUUGACUCCAGUAAACCCUUUGAGUGUUAGUCACAUGGAGAUGUGAAAUAAUCAUAUAAAGAUGUGAACUAUUGGUGUUAAAUCACAUGAUGAUGUGCACUAGAUUAUUGACUCUAGUGCAAGUGGGAGACUGAAGGAAAUAUGCCCUAGAGGCAAUAAUAAAGUUGUUAUUUAUAUUUCCUUAUAUCAUGAUAAAUGUUUAUUAUUCAUCCUAGAAUUGUAUUAACCGGAAACUUAGUACAUGUGUGAAUACAUAGACAAAACAUAGUGUCCCUAGUAUGCCUCUACUUGACUAGCUCGUUAAUCAAAGAUGGUUAAGUUUCCUGACCAUAGACAUGUGUUAUCAUUUGAUGAACGGGAUCACAUCAUUAGAGAAUGAUGAGAUGGACAAGACCCAUCUGUUAGCUUAGCAUAAUGAUUGUUAAGUUUUAUUGCUAUUGCUUUCUUCAUGACUUAUACAUAUUCCUCUGACUAUGAGAUCAUGCAACUCCCGAAUACCGGAGGAACACCUUGUGUGCUAUCAAACGUCACAACGUAACUGGGUGAUUAUAAAGAUGCUCUAUAGGUGUCUCCGAAGGUGUUUGUUGGGUUGGCAUAGAUCAAGAUUAGGAUUUGUCACUCCGAGUAUCGGAGAGGUAUCUCUGGGCCCUCUCGGCAAUGCACAUCAAUAUAAACCUUACAAGCAAUGUGACUAAUGAGUUAGUUGCGGGAUGAUGCAUUAGGGAAUGAGUAAAGCGACUUGCCGGUAACGAGAUUGAACUAGGUAUGAAGAUACCGACGAUCGAAUCUCGGGCAAGUAACAUACCGAUGAGAAAGGGAAUGACGUAUGUUGUUAUUGUGGUUUGACCGAUAAAGAUGUUCGUAGAAUAUGUAGGAACCAAUAUGGGUAUCCAGGUUCCGCUGUUGGUUAUUGAUCAGAGAUGUGUCUCGAUCAUGUCUACAUAGUUCUUGGACCCGUAGGGUCCGUACGAUUAAUGUUUCGAUGACGAUUUUGUAUUAUAUGAGUUAUGUGAUUUGGUGACCGAAUGUUUUUCGGAGUACCGGAUGGGAUCACGGACAUGACGAGGAGUCUCGAAAUGGUCGAGAGGUAAAGAUUCAUAUAUAGGAUGAUAGUAUUCGGACACUUGAAGUGUUCUGGGGAUACCGGGUACGUAUCGGGUCAGCGGAAGGGGUUCCGGGCACCCCCCGGCAAAGAUAUGGGCCUUAUAGGGCCAAGGGCGGGACAGACCAGCCCCUAAGGAGAUGGUGCGCCCUCAUAUGAGCCGGCCUAAGUGGAGAAAGGAAAAGGGGAGGAGAAAAGGAAAUAGAGGGAAUAGGAUCCCCCCUUCCUCUCCCCUCUCCCCUCUUUCCUUUCCCCCUCCGGAGAUAAGGAAAGGGGGAGGCCGAAUUGGAGGAGGCCCCCAAGUAAGAUUCCUCCUACUUGGGGCGCCCCAUGGCUGUCCCCCUCCCCCUCCCACCUAUAUAUAUGUGGGGAGGGGGCACCUAGAACACACAAUAAACAUUGUUAGCCGUGUGCAGCGCCCCCCUCCAUAGUUUACGCCUCCGGUCAUAUUCACGUAGUGCUUAGGCGAAGCCCUGCGCGGAUCACAUCGCCAUCACCAUCACCACACCGUCGUGCUGACGGAACUCUCCCUCGACACUUUGCUGGUUCAAGAGUUCGAGGGACGUCUUCGAGCUGAACGUGUGCAGAACUCGGAGGUGCCGUACGUUCGGUACUUGAUCGGUAGAAUCGAGAAGACGUUCGACUAUAUCAACCGAUUAAACUAACGCUUCCGCUUUUGGUCUACGAGGGUAUGUGGACACACUCUUCCUCGUUGCUAUGCAUCUCCUAGAUAGAUCUUGCAUGAGCGUAGGAAAAUUUGGAAAUUGCAUGCUACGUUCCCCAACACUAUCUAGCGUAGGUGUGGCUGCAUCUUGGCUCCCUUGAACAUUUUUGAUAGGAUAAUAUGGAAAAUUAAACGUUAUGUGUGGCAUGGGCAUACAGUGAAGCCACUUCCUCUCGUCUUGCCAGCCAUCAAUAUUCGUGAUGAGAUCUCGAACAUGGAUGCCAAGUAAUUCGCCAUGUGCUGAUGUUGUCGGGCGACCGAGUCAUGGAGUCGCUAUGUCCCGUGAAUGAUCUUUUCGUAUAUAAUUGGUUGUUGCUUUAAUUAGAAGAAACUGCACCAAUCAAAAGUGUUGUUAGUAGUGGAGUGGUAGGCAUAUGCAAAUCAAAGCAUCAUUUUCCUUCUAAUUACACUUGUAAAAGCAUUAUGAGUGUCUUCUAGUGGAGUGGUAUACAGAUUUAUAAUGCUUGAAGGGAUGCUGCCACUUCGUAGGAGCAAGGGCUUACUUUUAUUGGUUUUGUCUAUUCUAGUGAUAUUUAUAUAGUGAUGCCGGGUUUGCCUUUUCUGAUUUCUUAUGGUUUAAUAAUUAUGCGAGAUACAUUAUGAGUGCCAGUUGUGUUGUACCCUUUUUUUUUGUGAGGCACAACAACUGGAUUGUUGUCGAUAUAAGGGAAAACAGAAACUUGUAUCGGUGCUUUUGUAUUUACAAACUUGUUACUGAUAUAUCAUAGAGUCUUGUUAUUGAGCCGCGAGACAGAGAGGGAGGAACGAGAUGAAGGUCCCAACCGCCAGACCAAAGAGGUGAACUAGAGCUCAUCCUAAUUGUGCUCUUGGUUAUUUUCAGUUACUAAUAGGAGUAAGAAGCAUUACGAAUUAAUCUCUUUGUUCACAAAUAUAAGAUGUCUAGAGUAACUUUCUUCUUAAUCGAAUGCAUAUAAACACAUUUUAUUGGGUUUAUUCACUCAUUUCAGUCUGUAUAUAUUCCUAUUAAUAUAUUUAAAACAUAUUAUAUUUAUGAAUGGAGGGAGUAAUUUAUAGUAAUGCAGUGAUUUUAGGAAAACCAAAUAUGUGUAUGUAAUCUUAUAUUUUCUUCAGGAAAACACAGUAAAUCCUAUGUUUUCUUCUGGGAAAUAUAUGUAUGUAUCCAGUUGUAUCAUUGGUAAACAAAGGCUGCUAUAUAGCACAAAGAGUGUUUUCUUCGAUUCGUUCAGGCAAAUCAGGUUCGUGGUUGACUGCCAAAGUCACAACCGUUUAUGUCUUUGGCACGGAAAAGAGACUGUGCAGUGCAAAGGCUAGGGACGGAGCCAGGAUUCUAACAUAGGGGUGUGUGUGUGUGUNNNNNNNNNNNNNNNNNNNNNNNNNNNNNNNNNNNNNNNNNNNNNNNNNNNNNNNNNNNNNNNNNNNNNNNNNNNNNNNNNNNNNNNNNNNNNNNNNNNNNNNNNNNNNNNNNNNNNNNNNNNNNNNNNNNNNNNNNNNNNNNNNNNNNNNNNNNNNNNNNNNNNNNNNNNNNNNNNNNNNNNNNNNNNNNNNNNNNNNNNNNNNNNNNNNNNNNNNNNNNNNNNNNNNNNNNNNNNNNNNNNNNNNNNNNNNNNNNNNNNNUUCAGACUUGGCGUUUGGCAGCGUGGCCUGUUCAUGUGUUUGAUUGGGCGUAGUACUGUGUGGGUACUUCAGUUAGAAGGUAUGCAGUGGACCGAGUCUAUCGACCGUGUGGCGAUGCCUGUAGAUUGUAGCACUGAACUUUGAUGCUGAUUCAUAAACUAAUUUAGAUAAAGCCGCACAAAAAAUGUGCUAGUUUUAUUUUUUUGCUCACAUACUCUGUUCUGUCUCAGUUUUAUCCAGGGCAACUUUGAAGCUUAUCCAGGGCAACUUUAACUAUUUACAGGAGAAAUAGUUAAAUACCUUAUUAAGAAGUGAAGAAGAAUAGUCGUCUCCAGUUUUUGUUUCUCCAACUCUAUGCCUACACUGUAAAUUAAUGGAUCAGCUCCAGUUGAUGCAACUGUACUCUUUCUGGUAGGUUUGAGAUCAGAUGCGACUGAGCCAGAUCGAUCCUGAGCUAGCUACUUGUCUCCCUUAAGUGUUACAGCGAGACAAAUGCACUGGACUACAAAGAGGAAAUUCUCCUGCAGGUUCGUAAUGCAUCUGUUUUGGUUCUUGCAUUCACACCAAUCAUAAAACAGUGUUUGUUAGUAGUGGAGUGGUAGGCGGACGCAAAUCAAACCAUCAUUUUUCUUCUAAUUACACUUGUAAAAGUAUCGAUGCAUCUCCUUCGCUUAAUUUUAUUUGUCAUUCUGUUCAAUACCUGGCUCAGGAAGAGCUCCUUUUCCUAUGCAAAAAUGUAUAACGUAUACGUUUCUAAUUCCAAUUGCAGGCAUAUUCAUCGCAAUUGUGUUUUGACAAGAAAAAUGAAUAUUUGCCACUUUCAAUAUGUGGCUUUUCAAAAUUGCCACUUUCAAGAUUGGUUUCGCAGAAUUGCCACUCCGCUCAUUGGCUCCUUGAUUACGAUGCCACUUUCUUUGUGAUUUUCCUUUUUCCUUAUCCAUUUAUAAACACAGGAAAAGACCAAACUACACAGUUCAGUAUCUGACUAUCUGUAUCUAUUUAUGCAUCUGUUCAAGUAGAGGAGAACGAGCUGCACAGAUCUUGUCGUCCGUAAAAGCGCCGCUGACGCCACCCGCUCAGUCGCCGUCGUCGUCCGCGCCACUCGGCUGCUUGCUGCUUGCUCCGCCCUUCCGCCAUCGCCCAUCGCCCUGUCUGCCCGCGCGCCAUAGCCACUCAGGCCAGUGGCCUGCUCGGCGCUCCCGCCGCUCGUCCCGGCCGCCUAACCACUCGGCUGGGAUGAGGAGGCGGAUGGAUCAAUCACUACAGAUUUUUGAACAAAGCAAGGUCAACACAAUACCAUCGAGAAUUCAUACACGCGGCCUGGACGAGAUUAGCGGCAUGCGGCGUUGCCGAUAUCGGCGGCACGCUGCGUAUAGAAGAUCGGCAACACGGGACGUCGAGAAGAUCGGCGGCACGCGACAUCUAAGCGAUGUGCGACACUCCGCGUCGAGGUCACGGUAUUCUCGGCAGCCGGUGCGCUCUCGUAUCAAUCAGAACGUACGUGGAUAGUAGCUGUAUAGAAUCAGGGGUAGUUUGGUCUUUUCCGGUGCUUGGAAAAGAAAAAAUAAAAUCACUAAAGAUAGGGAAGUUGCAUGGUAAUCAACGAGCCAACAUGGAGAGUGGCAAUUUUGCGAAGUCAAUCCUGAAAGUGGCAAUUUUGAGAAGCCACAUAUUGAAAGUGGCAAAUAUCCAAUUUUCUCCUGAUGACUUGACAGAACAUCGACCGAGAGCAGCAACAUGCCAUGAUAUAUUAGAACAGCAGAAUGAUUAGCGUGCUUGAAACCAGUUCAUCACCGCUACCUUUACUGUCAGACCGGUGGCGUAUCCCAGAAACGCGCUGUUGACUGGUGGCGUAAAUCACGUCUAUGUGUAUCCCUGAUUACGUGGAUUAACUACCGAUAUGCUUUGGUCCUUUGUUUUGGGAAACAACUUGCAGAUUUAGGCAGGUAGAUUCCUUACGAAGCAAAUCUUCUUUCUUUUUUUGUUUUUGGCGAGGAACGAGAAGCAAAACUUUUACCCAACGAGUUACCAAACUUUGCAUCGCAUGCAUCUAAUUUGUGCUUCCACGUUUCUUUCUAAUGUUGUGCAUCAGUUUGCUUCCUUUACAACAAAUUAGAUUGUGUUUUUGAUUGAAACUUUUGAUAUGUAACGUGAUAUUUUGUUUCAGAAGCAUCAUUACCGUGCUUCCAUCAAGAUCCUACCAUCAAAAAGGAAAUUAUUUCACAUGUUUGAGAAGCAUCACAUAUCUUUUUCACAUCGACUAGACAAUUGCUUCCAACUAAAUAUUAUCUUGCUUCCAUCAGAGAGAAAAAUAUUUCCAAUAAAACUUACACAUGUUUCAUACAAGUUAGGGGUUUGUUUGCAAAGAAAUAAAAAAAUGGCUACUGUAAAAUGGAGAGUAUGCCUCAAUGGGCAGAGUCAAAUUGCUUCCACCGAUCAUGUUUACUAAUUCAAAUAUGACCUAGCCAUCAUACGAUGGAAGGCAUGAUCCAUGAUGCCGGCGGGUAGAAGCUGUGGUGCCCCUGCCUGAGCGCCGUGAUCUUCUUCACCGUAAAUCCUUGAACGCCAAUAUCCCGAACGUCUCGGUCACAGCAAUUGGUGUGUGAGCUCGGCUUGUCUUCUUUGAAGUAGGAUGCAAUCAGCCUUGAUCUCUAGGCGCCUCCUACUCGUAGAAACAUAUGUGAAAGGUCAGAAAUCAGAAAGUAUGAGUCAUAUAGCUAACACAAAAUCAAUAAUUUGAUGCUAUCAUGCAAUAGAAGCAUAGAAAUUUGAUUUGAGAAAUAUACAUGCUUGUUGGGCAAGAUUUGGGUGCACAAAUUUAAUGUCUCGAAACAUUGUUUUGGUGCGGCAUUACAUGUGCACAUUAGAGGCUAAUGAGAAAAAUUAAGGAAGCACGAUUUACUAGAAGAACCAAGUUGCUACCUUUCAACCACUUGCUAUUCACCAAUUGAAGCAUAUUCUAUGGCCUCCAGAAGCAUAUGUAUAACAAUGUAGAAGCCCAAUGGAUAAGAAGCAUGAAAACAAUGGAUAAGAAGCAUCAAACUAUGUUGUGGGUACACAGGCAGUAUUACUUGGAAGCAUUGAUAUUUGAAAAAAAGGAUAUAUGAAACUAAAAUUGCGGCCAACAUGAGCAACAUAUUUCUGUCACGUAUGUACCAAAUACACAUGAUGAUUUAGCGAUCCACUACAUGAUGUACAUAACGAAAUCAGUUCCCCGAAAAGGGAAUGAAGAUCCGAACGUUUGGAAUCUACCAAUUUCGAUAUAUACAGAGACAGAGAACAUGGAUAUUUUUGGAAAUCAGCUAAUUUCUAAGGAUAAGGACUUCUAUACCUAUGUCAGAAGAGGAUGGUGCCUAUUGGGAGGGGCGAAUCCUGCAAUCUUUGGUGGCUGUCGGUGCUCCGGCGCGGCAGAACGGAGGCCACGGUGCCCAACCUGUUGUAUAUGACCGGGAUGGCGAGGGGGUAGUGAGUGAGUUCGUUCACCGUGGUGGAUAAUGGAGGGCGCAGCCGCUGGACAGGAGACAUCGGAGUCGGUGACUAGGAAGGCGAUGGGGUUGCGACCUUGCCACCGGAUGGGGUUGCGAGCAGCCACCGGAUGUGGCGGCACACCGGUGCGGUGCGUCUCAUGGCCACAGGGGGCAAGGUCGGUUCAUGGAGGAGUGGCCCGGGGCGGCGAGGGAUUGGCGAGGUCGACGAUGGAGCGGAUUCUGGAGGAGCCGGGCAACGGAGACGGGAUGACGAACGGGUUUUUGGGGCAGGAGAGUAUAAUUAGGGAGGUGUUAUGGGUUGACGUGGCGAGAUAAUCGGGAGGUUAUGCAGGCAUCGAAGGUUUUUGGAAGGAAUCUACGCCGUGAGCUGAAAAACAAAUCGACGGUGCACAAUCGGUCUGGGUCUGACGAAUUGAUCCUUUCAGACGUCUGUUGGGAAGCGUUUCCCAGGGCGCUAGGGCGUUUCCCGGGGCGCUAUAGGCAUCAGACUACUGAUGUUUUGCCUCUUAUCAGGCUAGUGGCCGUUCGAUCAAAAGCAGGCUGGUCCUCCGAUCUGUUAGUAAGCUCUCGCGUGAUUUUCUGGAUCCAGUCGUUAAUUAACUGCUCAUGCAUACCUUUUAUUACGCGUGCAUGUGGCUGGUGGUAGUUAAUGUAAAUUGAUUACGUAGGACUACUCGCAUAUAUUUGUUGCGUUUCUGCUAGUACUUGUUGCUUCCGAGAUUUGCUUCCUAGAAUCAUUUUUUGAUCCCACAGUAAUAUGGCAUUUAAUUGAUUUGUUUCUUUUACUUGUUGCUUCCGAGAUUUGCUUCCAUAUAUCAUUUGUUUGCCACUGUAAUAUGACUUUCUUUUUAAAUCAGGUAAAAAUUAUGUUUGAUGCUGCUGGGGUAUAAUUUUAAUUGAUUUGUUUCUCCUAGUUGUUGCUUCCAAGAAUAAUUUGUUUGAUAUCACUGUAAUGUGACUUCUCUUUUUAAACUCGUGGAAGCAUACACUUCAAUAAUUAUGAUAAAUAGUUAUUUAUUUUUAGACGCUUUUUUACUUCGAUGGUGACAUAGCUUUUCUGCCAUGGAAACAUUCCUUUUGACCGAUGAAAGCAUACUUUGUGGUCAGCAGAAACAGAUUGUUCAUCAGAAGCAUCUGAUUUAUGCUAUAUAUUUUUAAAAGGUUUGGAAACAAUUUAUCGGUGUAACGGAAACAUAUUUUUGUGUGAAUGGAAACAUGUGCUUGGCAAGAAAGUAUGUUGAAGCACAACAAAAAAGUUUAAGCUUCAGAACAAACUAACUGGAUAUGUUCAAAAUCUUACAACUCAUUUUACAACAAAAUAAAGGAGAACUAAAAUAGCCCUGUUUACAAGCUGAUAAUGGACAAGAUCCACGUGCACCACGAGCUCUCCGUUGUUCACUCUACAAACCGACAACUCUUAGCAGGUAGCUAGGUCUCAGAUCGUAGCCCACUCAACGGCAUUGCAAUGCAACAAAGAGCACAUCUGGAUUUGGGCGCGGCAAAAUGCCUGUACAACAGAAGCAUCCAGUGAGAAAGAAGGAAGCACACACUGAUAGUUGUUGAUACAUAAAUUCACUUAAAGAUCAAAUUUAUGUACAAUAAAAUUUCACUAGCAGAAGCAACACUAGCAGUGGUUGAAGCACAUAGUAGUGAUUGAAGCAUAAACUAGUGUCUGCUAUGUUUGUACAAUAAAUGAAAGCAUACACUUACAAUGGUUGAAUCCAAAAUUCACUACCAUAGAAACAUAUGUAAUAAAUAAAAGUAGGAAGUAUAUAUAACACAACGGAAGCAUGGAUCUUUUUUGGAUUCUAGACAGGAGUACAACUUGCAUGGAAGUUUGGAAGCAUCAAUUUCAUGCUCUCUAACAUAAAACAGGGCCAUAAAAAAAUGGAAGUAUGGAUGAACACAAACUCUACGCAGUGAACAAGCACAUGUAUGAAACAUAUGAAUCAUAAAUAUUUGAAAGAAUCAUAUUCAUGCAAUUCAACACAACAGAAGGGGCAGUGGUUACAACAAGAAGAUGUCGAACUUGAGAAGCAUGGUUGCAUUGUCGAUCCAUCUAAACGUAUGAAGCACGCAUGAUAUAUAUGAAGCACCGCACGUCUUGAAAUCACAGGACAGGUCACAGGUGAUACCUAGAGGAAGCAUAGAAAUCUAAAAAUGUGAGACUUAGUAGAAGUAUGGAAGCCAUCCAUAUAAAUAGAAGAAGCACAUGGCGUGUCAUUCUGAAACGGCAUUUGCAGGAAGCAUGAAAAUCUGUUAUUUCAGUAGGAUUCAUCUUAAAUUGGAAGCAGGGAAUAAACCAAGAUGUUAAAUGUUAUCAGCAAACAAAUGUUCAGAGACCAUCUACGAGUGUAGAAAUUAAGACCUAGUUUGGCAGCAAAGUAUUUUAAAACUAUGGUAAUUGAAAACCAAAGUAUUCUCCUGGGUGGGCAAGGAAUACUACUGUUUUCUAAAAACAAUGUUUUUCUCAGUUUUACAUAUGUUUGGUUGGUGCUGUUUUAUUAAAGUUUUGACCAAGGAUUUUAGCGUGAAUGACUGAGAGUAAUUAGCGGCUGUUAACGGGGCCGGGCUGCAUGCAGCUGCCAUGCACACAUCCGCCGGACCUAGAUGCUAGGAUCUGUAGACUAUGUCUAUCCGUGAUGCACCUACAUGCAUGGGCUGCUGGCAGAGAAGAGACGAGACUCGCACGGAACGCCGGCUGGAAGAAUAACCUGAGAGACCUACUACUCGUGAUAGGAUGGGAUUGGCUAUAAUCAGGAGUUUACCAUAUAACAGAAAGAGGAAAAAUAGAAUGGGAUUGCAGCUGGUAUUCUUAUCUCGGCGCAGACGACAACGUCAUUGUGAUCUCCGCGAUGAUUUCUCUUCGUUCUGUUAAAAAAAAAAAAGGUCGGGGCCUCCACCACUAGGAAAAGGUCUGUUAGUGGCAUACCUAUUUUGACCAUUAAUGGCGCACUAUAGGUGCGCCACUAUCAUCACGCCACUAGUAACAAGUACUAAUGGCGCAUUCCUGGUGCGUCAUUAGUAUACCAGAUAAUAGUGGCGCAUCUGGCAGUACACCAUUACUAUGUCCAACGGUGCGCCAUUACUAUGCCUGGGGGCCAUAUUUACCUUCACGUAUGCCCCCAAGUGCGCCAUUAUAAUGACCCAUAAUGCGCCACUGGUAUUUAGCCCUGGUGCGCCACUAAUGCUCAACAAGGUGCGCCACUACUAUGAAUAUUAGGAUUUUUUUUUGCUUUUCUGAUAUUUGCACAUGUUACAAAAUACAUUACAGAAUAUAAACAACACAACAUAUAAACAUCAGAUUUAUCGAAUACAAUAGAAGAUUAGUUUCCGAAUACAAUUCAUUAUAUUAGUCUCCGAAUUCAAAAUACCGAACAAAGUUAGAACAUUACAAGUCUCGAGACCGCGAGUAGCGAGUUUGUCUUCACAUUACAAGUCGAUAUCUAAACUACCAUCACAUAGAAGAGAGCUGCGGUCACGAUGAGCAUCAUCGCGAUGAAACUGGUCUUCAUCUGGUUCCUCCUCCGCUCCCUCCUCUCUCCCGCUAGAUAGCGCGCGUAUCUAGCUUCCGCCUCCGCCCUAGUGGUGUACCCUUUGUAACAGUUACCGCUGAAACGGUGAACCUGUCUCCGACACUCCUCCCAGCCGCCGUAGACUCCGGAAACCUUACCCUUGUACACGACAUACGACGGCAUUUCUAUGCACUAGACAAACAAAACGUUAGUAGCAAUUCACAGACAAUAUAUAAGCAAUAUAUAAGUAUGCAACAAAAGGAUCGGAAAAGAAAAGCAACACAUUAAUAGCACGAUUCAUGAUCCUACUAAUAAAUAGCAUCGAUUACAUAUAAGUUGAACGACUGUCCAAACCAAAGAGACAUACAAGUUCAUUAAAGUUUAAUUACAACAUGAGCUAAUCGAUAUAUCAGAACUACAUAGCAUCACUACUUUCGACUCGACUCAGGGACCGGAGCGUGGAUGAAGCUGCCGUCUUUUGUGAUGGUCAUGAAUGUGCGGUCGUUGUUAGCCUGCAUUUGUAGCGUUGUUUCUAUUUCACUGUUGGACGGUUGAUAUUUGAGGUAGAACUGCCCCGAGGUACGAAGGACAUCUUGAUGGAUGAUUUCCGCAAACUCCGACUGGAUGCGAAAGAAUUCUUGUCUGAGGUCCGCGCCCUGGACUACCCACAAGCGUGCAGCCCAAUCUUUGAGACUAUUUGGUAGCAGAAGGUGAUUAUGGUCCCGUACGAUUGCCCGCAUGUGAUGGAGGGCGUAGUAGGCAUCCUUCUGACCGCCAGGCGGCUGCUUGACGCAGGGGAAUGUCGUUACAUGGGUGAACACGUGCUUGCCGUACCUAAAAAUUGGCCUCCUGAAGGUGCCUCCAGAUUUGGCGUAGCCGGGGAGUACAUCAUCAAGAACUUUCUUGAUAUUUGUGUAGUCUUUUUUCGACUGACGGUCCGGGUCGAAAUACGUGGCCAUGGAAUAGUUCGGGCUUAAGAGGAUGAGUGUGCAAUGUGUGUCACUGCACAAAACACGGAAUGUUAGAAAAAAAAGAAUGAUCAAAAUCUAAGAAAUGAUAUGUUACGGGGCGGUGAGGGGAUGACUUACUCGGGAAAGUAAGGCACGAGGAAGUUAUCCUUAUCUGGGUUCGCCAGAAUGACGCCUUCGAGGUAUGAACUCGCGGCUUGCCGGUCCCCAGCGCUGCCCAAGAUCUUGGCACGCAUGUAGAAGGGGUCGACUAUCACGAUGUCCGGGGUCUUGUCUCUAAUGAUCCGCAUCUCCAUACUGAGUGAAAAUAGCCGAACAAAUGUGUAGUGCAGCGGAUGAAGGUUAAACAUAGCGAAGAUGUCAUCAAACCGCAGGACGAUCAUACCCCCGAUGGCGCUAUCGACAAAGCCCUUGCCCUCUGGCACCUUGGCCACGAAAACCGGGUAUGCCACAUCAUUCUCGGAGAGACGCCGCUUCUCCAAAGAAAGAACAAUGUCAUGCAGACUCCGCAUAGCACCGGUUGCAGCAUUGAGCAGAUUAGUCGGUAGCAUCGUCCUACCCGCUACAUGCACCCUCCUCGAGAUAUCCUUAGGUGAAGGUGGCCCGUCCUGAGCACGGAUCGUACUCGGUGCCAGCUGGCUCGCACCCUUGUUAUUCUUUCUUUUCCGUCCCUUCCGCUUCUUCUGCUGUAAUGGGAUCGAGUUUUGCUCAGAGACCACCUUCUUGAGUGUGUUGGGGCUGAUAAUAUUUCGCACCUCGGCUAUCUGAGGCUCAGUGAAGGCGGCAGCUGGAGGCAUCUCCUGAGAACUGAACGCCAGACGACACCUAUUGCAAUUGGCUUUCUCCGCGGUACCAGCUAGAUCGCGAUCGUCUUUUGCAGGGUUGGGUUCAUGAGAAGGAGGCCCCAAAAAUUCGUCAUCGUACCCAUGUUCGUUGAAGUACUUAUCGACGUUGGUAAAUGUACAGUCGUCGCCGUCCGGAUCCUGUGCCAUAUGCAUGUCCGGAUCAGGUGACAGCAGUAGCGUUCCGGCGGUCUUGCCAUGGCUUGGCGCCGGCACGACUGGCGGUGUUGUCUGUGGGGUGGUGUCCCCCGCCCCCAAACGAAUCUGGCUCUUCAGCCAAAGCAUGGGCCAGCUUAUGCAGGCGCUGAGGGUCAUCACAUCAUCUUCGUCGGCCCCAGGGGGUCGAUAUGGAGGUAACAAGUUGUCAAAGCCCCGCAGCACCCGAACCAGUUGAACCCUAUACACGGUGGGUGGCAUCGGAUUACCGUGGAACACGCGGCUGCCCGGUUGAACGAUUCUGGCCUUGGCGACAUCGAUCAACUCGCCGUCCAUGAAGUGCAGGAGAGUGCAUGGAACGUCGGCGGCGCCCUGCGAAAACAUGUAGGGCGUCAGGGAUAUCCAGUCAAAGGCAAGGAGAUGAAGUCAUCGGCCGAGAGGCUUAGUUACCGUGAUGGCGUCGAGCUCGGCUAAUGUCGAGGCACCGCCAACGGCAGGCGUGCAAGUGACGGAGGGGCCGUUUGCUACCGCGGUGCCGGAGACACCAAUGCCGCCUCCGCCGGAGACACCAAUGGUGCCGCCGGCGCGUUGUGCGAGUUGCUGCCCGUGAAGCUGGGAAUCGGGGGCGGCCCCUGUUGGCCGCCCGCAAUCCACGCCUGCAGCCCCUCAAUCAAGAUAGGCACAAUGGCGGUGAUCGUCGCUCCCAGUUGGUCUCGCACUUGCUCUUCGACUAUCUCCGGAAUCCGCGCCACUUGUGCCUUGAGUUCUUGAACCUCGCGCUCCUGGCUUUCCGAGCUAGUCUUUCUCUCCUUUUGCCCAGUGGUAUAGUAUUCCGACCAUUUCGUGGACAAGCCUUUGCCGGCCACACGACCAGCUGACGAAGGAUUACUGAGUUUAUCCUUGUGUUACAUUACGUUCAAUGCCCUAUUUAAAGUGGUGUCCCAAGGGGAGCUCUUAGACGACCCCGUGCUACUGCUUUCAGUGUCCUGCGGAAGGAACGUGAACCAUUUAGAAAUUUGGCUUCAUUAAUUAGAAUGCAACCAUAUGGANNNNNNNNNNNNNNNNNNNNNNNNNNNNNNNNNNNNNNNNNNNNNNNNNNNNNNNNNNNNNNNNNNNNNNNNNNNNNNNNNNNNNNNNNNNNNNNNNNNNNNNNNNNNNNNNNNNNNNNNNNNNNNNNNNNNNNNNNNNNNNNNNNNNNNNNNNNNNNNNNNNNNNNNNNNNNNNNNNNNNNNNNNNNNNNNNNNNNNNNNNNNNNNNNNNNNNNNNNNNNNNNNNNNNNNNNNNNNNNNNNNNNNNNNNNNNNNNNNNNNNNNNNNNNNNNNNNNNNNNNNNNNNNNNNNNNNNNNNNNNNNNNNNNNNNNNNNNNNNNNNNNNNNNNNNNNNNNNNNNNNNNNNNNNNNNNNNNNNNCAGAACAAGCUCAAGCGCCUUGGUCUUCGGAUCAGUGGUAAGCUCCUUUGUUACCGGGUCAAUCUUGUACCGGGCCCUGACAUGGUUCCUGGUCUGCUUGUCACGGUAUUUAUCGCAUAGGGGCGGUAGGCCAGCACGCUCCGCGUCCUCCUUGUCCCAUAUAGGUUCCGCCACUCUGUAACCGCCGGGACCGAGUUUGUGGACCCCUAAGUUCAAGUCCCGCAUAUCUUUCCCCCACUGACUUGAUUCCGCGGUUGCGUUGCUCUCGCACUUGAUCUUGAACUCCAGGUAGUCAGCUUCGCUGAUCGAAGGAUUUGUCUCCUUGAUCUUCUCAUAACUAUCACCUUUUUCAAUCCUUCUCUUCACCGCGGCUCUCCAAGUAGCCAGGGCCGUGCUCAUCUUCGUGAGGGCGGCACUGUUCACUUUAUUCCCUGAGAGGCGUGUGUUUGCGAAGUGACCACAGAACUUGUAUCGUUCGUGCAGCUUCGUGAAGAGGAGGUUGCGCAAAUUCCCUCCGGUCACGAUGCCUUAGGUUCUCGGUGUUGAUCGAGACGGUGCUCCGAAGAAUGCACCCGAGCUUUCCCGCGUACCCCUUGACUAAUUCUUUUGGCGCCGUUGGAUGCGAACUGGAGGACACUUCAGUAAAUCCCUCCUUGACGGUGCCGAGCAUGUUCGGGCGCCGGUCCUUCCAUUGCCUCUUCGGUAGGCUGCCAUCUUUGCGUGCGCUGCCAUCAUCAGUGGUGGCAUCCUCGGCGACACCAUCAGUGGUGUCAUCCCCGAUGCCACUAGGGGUUGUGUAGUCGGGAUCGGUGUCUUCCGCGGCGUCCUCAUAGCGGUGAGGUUCUUCAUCCAUCUCCUGGGACAGCUCCCAGAAUGCCUUGCCCGAACCGCCGGCCUCAUCGUUGUUGGCCAUGUUCGCUCUAAAUAGGAAAAAAGUUUGGUCAAAAAGUUGGUUAUUGUCAAGGAACAAGAUCUCUAAGUUGACCAAAUAACCUAAUUCUAGAGGAAUGUCGCCAAAAAGUUGGUUAUUGUCAAGGAACAAUUGAGAGAUGUUUGUGAUAUUGCCUAGGUAUUUUGGGAUGGAACCUGUUAGUGUGUUGUUGCUAGGUGUUUUGGGAUGGAGCCAGUAGCUUACUUGCAACCCACAAAAGACAAAGGAAAAGGGGUGAAAAGGGGGAGAUGGGUAGCUUUGAUGAGCAGGCAGCAUCUUCCUAACUCCCUUCUUCUUGUCUCCUCUCACUAUCUCUCUCACACACAUGGCAAGCAAGGGUGUUUGAGUGUGUGAAAAAAUACUAAACUAAUCCAACCACUAAAGCACUAGAUCACUACUAUUGUAUAAUCUUUUUAUAGCUUUGUAUAUAUGUAUGGCUCCAAUGGGUGCCACUGCCAUGCAUCCCUCUCCUAUCAUUUAAUCAUUAUUAGCCCAUCAUUUUGACCAGAGAUUAGUUUUGGUUAAUUAAUUAACUAGUGUGUGCCACAGCUAGCAGAGCACGGAUCUCCAUCUAGAUAGUAGGAGUAGCUUUCCAAGCCCUCUUUCCAAAGCCACAACUCCUCUAAGUUCUCAAGAUACAUGCUGAUUAAUUUUUGUUUCGGUUGAGAAUCGGGCACCUUCUAGGUCAAGAAAAUUGGGCAUGACCUUUGCUAAUUGAAGGGCCAUUACUAACUUUUUUUUGGAUCUUUAGUUGCAUCUAAUAAUUUUUUAGAAAAUAUUAACAAAUUCAAUACUUUUUGUGAGUUAGAAAUUCAAUACCAGAAUAAACCUAAAUAAAAAUUGGUAUACCAAUGGCACACCUCCUAGAGGUGCGCCGUAAGUACCUUGAUAGCAAUGGCGCACCUUCUCCUAGUGCGCCAUUAGUAACUUUUUUUUGGAUUUUUGGUUGCAUUCAUUUGUGAAUUGGUAAAACAUUUAUGAAUAUGAAAAAAUAUCAUCCAAUUUGAAAAAAUUUCAUGAACUCAAAAAGUGCCCAUGAAAUUUAAAAAUAUUCAUGAGUUCAAAAAAUAUUAACAAAUUCAAUACUUUUUGUGAGUUAGAAAUUCAAUACCAGAAUAAACAUAAAAAAAAUUGGUAUACCAGAAUAAACAUAAACACCAGAAUAAACAUAAAUAAAUAUUCAUGAGGACUAGAACAGAAGAAAUGUCAUUUCCGUAUGUCGAAAUACAAUCGAGAAAUGAAGACUACAAUUUAAAUACAAUCGAUCUUAGCUAGCUAUCUUUUCACAAUCUUCUUGCCCUUCUUUUUCGCAAAUGGAGUUCUUCUCUUGAACGGACGUCCUUUAGGUAGGGAACGGACGUCCUUUAGGUAGGGUGGUCCUGCUUCUUCUUGUGGUGUAUGGCACUUCAUCGUCGUCGUUAUGUUCCAUCUUCGGGUCGCCAUACUUGUCGAAGUCUUGCUCAUUCGCGACUCCAUCCAUUCCGAUGAUCUUCCUUUUGCCUCUCCUCACGACUACACGACUGGGCUUUGACGGGUCGGUAAUGAAGAAGCAUUGGUCCACUUGGGAAGCCAGUACCCAUGGCUCAUUUUUCGCGGUGACGUUUGCGCCCGCGGUCUUGGAUUUGGCUUCGGGUAUAACCAUGGUGGUGAAAUACCGGUCUUCUUUUAGGACGCUCUUGGCCCAUCUGACACGGAACAUCGGCUCCAGCGUAGCUCAGCUCCCAGAUCUCCUCGAUCCUUCCGUAGUAUCUGUCCUUGUUGUUACCGGUGUAGGAUUCCAUCGUUACCACGGAGUUCUGAUAACCAUCGCUCUUCAUGUCCUUUUCCUCGGUGUAGAAUGUGUAGCCAUUGAUAUCGUACGCCUCAUAGGUCAUCAGGUUGUGCUCGGCGCCCUGUGACAAGGCGAAUAUGAGUUUUUCUUCUGUGGAAGAAUCCUCAUGUAAAGGGUACGACAGAAGCUUCUCCUUGAACCAGCGCGCGAAACAUGAGUUGUGCUCUUUGAUUAUAUCUCCGUCCAUCCACUGUUGGCCUUGGUCAUUGUACAUCUUCUCAAUAAAGGAUUUGUGCUCUACCACCCAAGGAUCGACCACGUCUAUGUGUUGUAGCGCGACUAGGUUUGCUCUUUCAAAGUCGGCGAGUCGACCCUCGAAGUCGACAUGCAUUUCGCGGCGACCAUCGCGGUGACCCCAUCCAGCGAGCCCGCCGAGGUGCCUGUUUACAGGCAGACCAACGGGGUUCUCGAUGCCUACAUAAUUCGUGCAGUAGGAGAUGCACUCUUCGGUCAGAAAGCCCCUGGCUAUGCUUCCCUCUGGACGUGACAUGUUGUGAACGUAUCCUUUGAUGACACCAUUCAUCCUUUCGAACGGCAUCAUGCUGUGCAGGAACGUCGGCCCGAGUUGGAUGAUAUCCUCCACGAUAUGGACCAGCAGAUGCACCAUAACGUCGAAGAAUGCGGGCGGGAAGUACAUCUCAAGCUCGCAUAGUAUCACCAUGAUCUCUUCCUGUAGCCUUCUGAGUUGCCUCACGCCAGCCGACUUCCGAGAGAUGACGUCGAAAAAGUUGCAUAGGCCAAAUAGCGUUUCACGGACGUGCGCGUCCAUGAUCCCAUGGAUUGCAACUGGAAGUAUCUGCGUCAUCAGCACGUGACAGUCGUGAGACUUUAUCCCGCUGAACUUCUGCUUCGCUGAGUCUAGGUAUCUGCUUAUCUUCCCCGCGUAACCGUAAGGAAGUUUUACUCCUACGAGGCAGGUGAAAAACUGCUCGAUCUCCUCCCGACUUAGAGUGAAGCACGCGGGAGGGUAGUCAUUUCCGAUCUUCUUGGCCUUUUUGCCUUUGCGACGACUUUCCGUGUCCUUCGCCUCAUCAUCAUCAUCAUCAUCAUCAUCAUUAGCGUGAAACUCCUCCCUGAUGCCCAUUGAUUUCAAGUCUGCCCUUGCUUUUGGCCCAUCUUUGGUCCUCUCUGGCAUGUUGAGCAGGGUACCAAGCAGACUCUCGCACACGUUCUUCGUGAUAUGCAUGACAUCAAGGCUGUGAGGCACACGGAGGAUCUUCCAGUACGGCAAGUCCCAGAAAACAGAUCUCGUUUUCCAUACCUUCAGCAGCAGCUCUGGUGCCUUUCGCUUCUUUCCCGGCUCUGGCACCUUUCGCUUCUUUCCCGGCAGUGGGCAAUCUUUCCAAUUUUUCAACAGCUCAUCUAUUUCCUCGCCGCUCCUCGUACGCGGGCGUCUUCGGGGUUCGGUUUCAUCAUCGAACAGAUCCUUGCGUUUUCUCCAUGAGUCAUCGUCGCGAAGCCACCUUCGAUGUCCCAUGAACAUGGUUUUCGAAGACCCGGGAUCUCUAUCUAGCUGGCGAUACGUUGUGUCAUCCAUGCACCUGACGCAUCCAGAAAAUCCGUGGACCACCUGCCCCGCGACAUAUCCGUAACCGAGAUAGUCGUGCACCGUCGUGAGCAGUGCGGCUCUCAUAGGGAAAUAUUCUUUCUUUGCGGCGUCCCACGUAUUGGCUGGCGUUUUCCAUAGCGUGUCUAGCUCCUCUUUCAGCAGCCACAGAUACAGAUUGAUGUCGUUCCUUGGUUGUUUCGGCCCUUCAAUUAGCAUACUCGUGUGAAUGUACUUCCUCUUCAUGCACAACCAGGGGGGAAGGUUGUACAUCCACACAAACACAGGUCAGGUGCUAUGUGUGCUUCUCUGGCUGCCAAACGGAUUGACUCCAUCGGUGCUCGCGCCCAGCACGAUGUUCCUUGGAUCGUCCCCAAAUUCUGGGUGUUCGAAGUUUAACGCUUGCCACUGGCUUGCAUCCUUAGAAUGACUCAGCAUCUUGUCUUUUUUAUUUAUCUCCGGAUCAUUUCCGUCAUCUUCUCGCUUCUUCUCCUCCCUAUCCGCGUGCCAACGUAGGAGCUUUGCUAGCUUAGGGUCCGCGAAAUACCGCUGCAGACGAGGAGUGAUCGGAAAGUACCACACCACUUUUCGAGGAGCUUUCUUCCUCUUCUUGUAUCGAGUGACGCCGCACACCGGACAUAUGGUAGACUCCGCGUGCUCGUCCCGAUAAAUGAUGCAAUUGUUCAUGCACACAUGGUAUUUCACGUGCGGUAAAUCCAGAGGACACACGAUUUUCUUCGCCUCCUCGAAACUGGUCGCGCACUUGUUCCCCUUGGGAAGACGUUCGUGCCAGAAUGACAUGUUCUCGUCGAAGCAUGCGUUAGUCAUUUUGUGCUUUACCUUCGUCUCCAGAGCCAUGAGCGUUACUUUCAGACGGGUAUCCUCGGGCCUGCAUCCUUCAUAGAAUGGAGUAACCACGUCUAUCUCCAGUUGGUCCAGCUUGGCUUUCUCUCGGGCGGCAGCUCUUGCGUUAUCCGUCUGCUUGAGAAGCAGCUCUUGAAUAUGAGGGUCCUACACCCAGCCCAUCGAUGGUCCAUCGUCGUCUGCUCCGGCAUCUUCAUCUUCAUGAUCAUGCCCUUCGUCUUGACCUUCCUCAUCAUCAUGUCCGGCAUCUUCUACAUGAUGACUGUGUACUGCAUCUACUUCGUGAUCAUGUCCUGAAGAUUCUUCGUCUUCUCGCCCGCCCUCGCCGUGGUUGUCUUGCUGCCCUUCCUCAUUUCUUGCCCGACCCCCAUGGACGACUUCAUAGUCAUCUUCAUCACCUUGCCACCGAUAGCCAUCCAUGAAACCACGCAAGAGCAGGUGGUCCCGCACCUGUACGGAAUCCGGGUCCAUAAGGCUCUUCAGCUUGCAUCUUCAACACGGACAUCUUAUCUCCGUCUCGUUCUUUUGAAGCAUCACGGCCUUCGCGGAGCUCAAAAACCUAUUCACGAUGCCUUCAAUCAUCGUGCGGACCAUGGUCGCCUGCGGGGUAGAGCAAAACGAUAUUUUCGAACCAAAAAAAUUUUUGGCAUGACUUUGCCUAAAAAUAGGACAAAAUUCUCGGCGAAACGGAAAUGAAUCAACAUUCCGGCAAAAUAUUGGCAACUAUCGCAUUUCAAAUACCGGUACCUGCAAACACAAACAUAUGCAACACCACAAACAUACGUAGAUAUAGGCCAUAAAAAGUGUGUACAUUGUUGGUGGGAGAAAAAAGUAGAUCUAGAACAUAAAUAAAGCUUUCCCCUUACUUACCUAUCAAAAAAAAGGAAAUUUAACGACUUAAUUUGGGUGAAUCUAUGGUGCAAAUGAGGUGAGGAGGAGGAGGCAGCCGAGACCAAGCUUGGUAGAGGUGGAGAGAAUGAAGUGGGAAAACUGAGUGUGAUAGGUGGCUGUCCAAAAUAUCUAGCUGCUCCCAGGUUACCAAUGGCACACCACCUAAGAAUGCGCCAUUAGUAACCAGGGUUACUAAUGGCGCACCUGGUGAGUGGUGCGCCAUUACUAGUUUUAAAAAAAACAUGUUAGUAGUGGCGCACCAGUGGACAGUGCGCCAUUACUAGUUAGAACUAGUAAUGGCGCACUAUCCCCUGGUGCGCCACUGCUAACAAUUUUUUACCUUUUAAAAAAAAUUAGUAAUGACGCACCACCCACCAGGUGCGCCAUUAGUAAUGAGGACAUUAAUGACGUACCUGUAUCUGGUGCGCCACUGCUAUAUAGUAGUGGCGCACCACAUACAUGAUGCGCCAUUAAUGUCUAUAUUAGCUAUAGUCCUUUUCCUAGUAGUGCUCUUUUCCAGAUACCGCAAAAAUACCUUGGUUUCUGGCAUACUGUAGUUUACAAAACUUUGGUUUUUUCUGAUGCCAAACCCAGCAAAGUAUUCAAAACCAUGGUUUUUUUUCCAGAAACCACAGUAUUCUCAGAAAACAUUAAAAAAACUUUACUGCCAAACGCAGCCUAAAGGUUAAGAGGUACUCAUGCAACCAGUUGAUAUUUCGGGCAAGCUGGUGAUGCAACAUAAACGUGGUGGGGAUGACGACCGCAGCUGCCCAAAGCCAGGAUGGCGGACAGACGAGGUUAUUCGAGGACUGUAUCGAGGAUGGUGGGUCGACGAGGUUACCCGAGCUGAUUCAACCCAUGAGUAACCUGGCGAAGCACGAUUCACAGUUGAGGAGGGGCUCGACCCCCUAAUGCCCGAAUGGCGCACCGUCGCCCGGGGGUCACGUCGGUGGAGAGGACGAGGGGCAGCCGUGCUACUCGACGAUGAGUAGAGCCGUAGAUGAGGAGCAGGAAGGCGGAGCUGGCCGGUGAGCUCGCGGUGCGAGGCUGGCGGAGAUUGGGAUCUGGGCGAGGCGAGCGAGGUUGAGGAAGAGGUGGGAGCUCUGGGCGGUGCGGGCAAUUAGGAAGAUGGAAUCAUUUUUUUUUUUGAGCCGAAAGAUGGAAUCAUUGAGAGAAGAUUACGCGCAGGAUUUACAGCUUGCGGGUAGUUAUUCUGAUAGGAUUUUUUCCCGUUUUUCAUUUACAUACGAAGCAAAAUUGUGAACGUCGGAUUUGGAACCAAUCGACGUUAUUCAAGUGGUCCGACGCUCACGUUCCUUCAGACUACGGAUGGAAAGCGUUUCCCGAAACCGCUAGUUUCUCUCAUGUUCCCGAGACGAUAACACCAUGGCUAUUACUGCCAUUCCCCUUCUCUAUUAAUACCUUCCACCCUUUCCAUUAUAAAUAACAAAAUUGAAACACAUCAUUCUCUUGGUUGUAUUUUUCCUAAAAUGUUUAAGGUGUAUGUGUCAUUGAAUGUGAAUAUAUUCUGUUGCAAAGUUUCAUGAAAUUUAAUUAGUAUGCAACCUGUGCACUAGAGAAAUAAAGAUUAAAAUAAAUUUAGUUAUUUUUGUUAGCCCAUCAUUAUUGUUUUUAGAACAAAAAAGUCAAGUCACUUUUUCAUGAAAGCUGGAGACAAAUUGUGUAUUCUAAAAUAAAAAUGAUCGAUUUUCCUAUCUCUCUGUCUCUCAUACACGCGCGCGCGCAUGUACACACGUGCAAACUUAGAAUUUUGGAAAUAAUGGGCGCAAUGGCCAUUUGAAAAUAUGAGGUACUCCCUCCAUCCAUGAAUAAGUGUACGCAUGGCAUUCAAAAAAUUUCCACAAAAGAAUGUGCUUCUAUCUUCACAAUACACUUUAAAGUAAAGAAAAUGUCUCUAAUCACACAGUAAUCAAGACCAAUAAAAUUCAACACAUGGUCCUUUAUACAUCAUAUAUACGUGCCUAUGCGCGAAGAGCAAUACAUUAUGCAAUCAUACAUGGUAUCAGUUUUUAUGUUUUCAUCCUAGUCUUCCGCCGCCGCCGCCACGCGCCUCCUCCGCGGCGCCGCCGCCGCCGUCUGCGCGUCUCCCGCGCCGGCCGCCGCUGCUUCCUCUCCCUGCGCGUGCGCCUUGCACCGUCAGUCCUGCCCGGUCGCUAGCUGCAUCGCCUCGCCUCGCUAGCCCGGUCACUAGCCGCAUCGCCUCGCCUCGCUAGCUACCUCGCUUCACCUCGCUAGCUGCACGUACCUGCCCACCCGCACGCCCGAUCACUCGCCGCAUCACCUCGCCUCGCUAGCUGUCGAGUCGCCGAGUCAUCCGCUAGCUGCCUGCCGAGUCGCCGAGUCAAACUCCACUCGCCGCCUGCCAGUCCGCCCGCUAGCUGCACCCAAUCCUGCCCGCAGCAGCGCCCAACUCCGCUCGCCAGAUGCACCCGCAACCUGCUCGCCCGCCCAGCCGCUCCACGCGAAGCCAGCAGCGCCCGACUCCGCUCGCCAGCUGCACCCGUAACCCGCUCGCCCGCCCAGCCGCUCCACGCCAAGCCCAUAACUCGCUCGAUCGCCCAACGCCGCCGCCUAUCAAUUUUUAGGUUUUUCGUUUCCGCCACCACCGCCGCCGUGCACCUCCUCUGCGCCGCCGCCGCUGCCCAGCUGCCGUCGUCGGACCAGCAAUGGCGUCCACCGGCCCGUCCGCCGCCGCCUCUGCCAUCCCGCCGCCGGCGCCCUACGGCGCGGCCCCGCCAGCCCAUCCCGACUUGCCGCGCGGCUCGGCUCCGCUGCCCUCGCUGGCGUACGUCGCCGCCCCACUGCCGACGCUCUCCGGCCAGUCCAUCAUCGCCCCGCUGCCGGCGCCGACUCUGCCCGUCAACCCCUUGCUGUCGCGUGGGGCGUUCGACGCGCCCAUGUACGGGGCUCCCGGGUACUGGUGGGGGUCGUCAGCAGGCCAGCACUCGCCCGCUGGGCAGCCGCCAGACGGCGCCCAACACCUGCAGCAUCUUUUAGCGGGCCAGCAGGUUUUUCCGGCGUGCUAUCCGGCCUACCCGGCACCGCAGUCGCAGUCAGGACUGCUUCCCAUACCGUCUGGAGAGUACCCACCGCUGCUGCCGAGCGAUGGCUACAGCCUCCCCAUGGCGUCUCCGUCCCCCUUACCGGCCCUGCUGCCGGCGCCCUGGGACCCGGUGCUCCUUCCCGCACUGCAUGCCGCUCCUACGCCGAACAACUACGCCCAAUGUGAUGACAGGUACAUGGACACCGGGGCUACGGCUCACAUGUUUGCUCAUCCUGGUAAUCUUGCCUCCUUCACUCCCAUCACCACCGACCGCCGCAUCAUUGUCAGCGACGGUUCCACACUCCCUAUCACACAUGUCGGGCACACUUCUUUUCCUUCUAAUUCCAUGCCUAUUACUUUGUCUAACAUACUUGUGUCACCUCAUCUUAUUAAGAACCUUGUUUCCAUUCGUCGUUUAACUCGUGAAAAUCAUGUUACUGUUGAAUUUGACGAGCUUGGGUUUUGUGUCAAGGAUGCUGGAACCAGGAUGGUACUUCACCGAUGUGACAGCCUCGACGAGCUCUAUCCGGUGCAUUCGCCGUCCACCUCCACCACCGCAUCGGUUGCUCUCUCCGUCAGCGUCGAUCUCUGGCACGCUCGUUUGGGUCUUCCCAACCCCGUCACACUUCGUCAUAUUCUUAGGAGUUUCAGUUUCAGUUGUCAUAAGAUAGAGGAUCACACCUGUCAUGCCUGUCGUGUCGGCAAACAUGUUCGCCUCCCGUUUAAUAACUCCACCACCAUAGCUUCUUUCCUUUUCAGUUGAUUCAUAGCGAUGUGUGGACCUCUCUGGUUCCUAGUAAUUCAGACUAUUAUAUUAUCUGGUUAUCCUUGAUGAUUAUUCUCAUUAUGUGUGGACUUUUCCUUUGCGUAGAUAGUUAGAUGCACUCACGACUUUGACGGCUUUUUACUCCUAUGUCAGCACGCAGUUUGGGCGUCCCAUCAUUGCUCUUCAGACUGACAAUGGGAAAGAGUUCGACAACCUUGCUUUCCGCACUUUUCUGUCGCACCAUGGCAAGAUUUUCGUCUCACAUGCCCGUAUACUUACCAGCAGAACGGUCGAGCCGAACGCGUCCUUCGCACUCUGAACGACCUCGUUCGCACGCUCCUGUUCCAUGCUAAUGUGCCGCCUCAUUUCUGGCCGGACGCACUCGCCACUGCUGCUCUUCUCCUUAACCUUCGCCCUUGCCGCCCACGAUGGAACUAUGCACCUCACCAUCUUCUCUUCGGUAUGCCCCCAUCUUAUGAUGGCUUGCGUAUUUUCGGGUGCCUUUGCUAUCCUAGCACUGCCGACUCCGCUCCUCACAAACUCGCACCUCGUUCUGUCGCUUGCAUCUUCAUCGGCUGCCCCUCCAACUCCAAGGGAUAUCGGUGCUACGAUCCUGUCUCCCACCGUGUGUUCACUUCUCGGCACGUUUACUUUGAUGAGCAUGUGUUUCCGUUUCACCAGGUACCCCCGGCUGUUCCUCCCGCCACCGGUGACGCAGGCUCCUCGACACCCCUCAUAGGGUGCUCGUGCGCCUCUCUUCGCCCGCCCUUGGCUUUGAGGCACGCCCCUGUGAUACGUCCAUUUUGCAUCAUGCUUUUAUAUCGAUAUUUAUUGCAUUAUGGGCUGUUAUUACACAUUAUGUCACAAUACUUAUGCCUAUUCUCUCUUAUUUUACAAGGUUUACAUAAGGAGGGAGAAUGCCGACAGCUGGAAUUCUGGGCUAGAAAAGGAGCAAAUAUUAGAGACCUAUUCUGCACAACUCCAAAAGUCCUGAAACUCCACGAAAGUUAUUUUCGGAAAUAAUAAAAAAUACUGAGCGGAAGAAAUACGUCAGGGGGGCCUCCACCUGUCCACGAGGAUGGGGGGCACGCCCUACCCCCUGGGCGCGCCCCCUGCCUCGUGGGCCCCCUGUUGGCCCUCCGGUGCCCAUCUUCUGCUAUAUGAAGUCUUUCGUCCGAAGAAAAAUCAUAGGCAAGCUUUCGGGAUGAGACUCCGUCGCCACGAGGCGGAACCUUGGCGGAACCAAUCUAGGGCUCCGGCAGAGCUGUUCUGCCGGGGAAACUUCCCUCCGGGAGGGGGAAAUCAUCGCCAUCGUGAUCACCAACGCUCCUCUCAUCGGGAGAGGGCAAUCUCCAUCAACAUCUUCACCAGCACCAUCUCAUCUCAAACCCUAGUUCAUCUCUUGUAUCCAAUUCUUGUCUCUAAGUCUGGGAUUGGUACCUGUAGGUUGCUAGUAGUGUUGAUUACUCCUUGUAGUUGAUGGUAGUUGGUUUAUUUGGUGGAAGAUCAUAUGUUCAGAUCCUAUAUGCAUAUUAAUACUCCUCUGAUUAUGAACAUGAAUAUUCUUUGUGAGUAGUUACGUUUGUUCCUGAGGACAUGGGAGAAGUCUUGCUAUUAGUAAUCAUGUGAAUUUGGUAUUCGUUCGAUAUUUUGAUGAGAUGUAUGUUCUCUAUCCUCUAGUGGUGUUAUGUGAACGUCGACUACAUAACACUUCACCAUUAUUUGGGCCUAGAGGAAGGCAUUGGGAAGUAAUAAGUAGAUGAUGGGUUGCUAGAGUGACAGAAGCUUCAACCCUAGUUUAUGCGUUGCUUCGUAAGGGGCUGAUUUGGAUCCAUAUGUUUCAUGCUAUGGUUAGGUUUACCUUAAUACUUUUGUUGUAGUUGCGGAUGCUUGCAAUAGAGGUUAAUCAUAAGUGGGAUGCUUGUCCAAGUAAGGGCAGCACCCAAGCACCGGUCCACCCACAUAUCAAAUUAUCAAAGUACCGAACGCGAAUCAUAUGAACGUGAUGAAAACUAGCUUGACGAUAAUUCCCAUGUGUCCUCGGGAGCGCUUUUCUCUUUAUAAGAGUUUGUCCAGGAUUGUCCUUUGCUACAAAAACGAUUGGGGCACCUUGCUGCACUUUAUUUACUUUUUUUAUUUGUUGCUCAUUACAAAUUAUCCUAUCACAAAACUAUCUGUUACCUAUAAUUUCAGUGCUUGCAGAGAAUACCUUGCUGAAAACCGCUUAUCAUUUCCUUCUGCUCCUCGUUGGGUUCGACACUCUUACUUAUCGAAAGGACUACGAUAGAUCCCCUAUACUUGUGGGUUAGGAAGACUCAUUUCUGGCGCCGUUGCCGGGGAGUGAAGCGCCUUUGUUAGGUGGAAUUUGGUAAGGAAAAAUUUAUAUAGUGUGCUGAAAUUUACUGUCACUUGUCACUAUGGAAAGUAAUCCUCUGAGGGGCUUGUUCGGGGUAUCUUCACCCCGACCUGUAGAGCAAAGGGGUGCUCCUCAACCUACUGAACCUACUGAAGAUGAAAAUGUCUACUUUGAAAUACCUUCGGGUAUGUUAGAAAAACUGCUAGCUAAUCCUUUUGUAGGAGAUGGAACAAUGCAUCCUGAUGAGCACCUAAUCUAUGUGGAUGAAGUUUGUGGAUUAUUUAAGCUUGCAGGUAUACCCAAUGAUGUUAUUAAGAAGAAGGUAUUCCCUUUAUCUUUGAAGGGAGAUGCAUUGACAUGGUAUAGGCUAUAUGAUGAUACGGGGUCAUGGAACUACAAACGAUUGAAAUUGGAAUUUCAUCAGAAGUUUUAUCCUAUGCAUCUUGUUCAUCGUGAUCGCAAUUAUAUAUAUAAUUUUUGCCUCGCGAAGGAGAAAGCAUCGCUCAAGCUUGGGGGAGGCUUAAAUCAAUGUUAUAUUCAUGCCCCAAUCAUGAGCUCCCAAGAGAAAUAAUUAUUCAAAGUUUUUAUGCUCGGCUUUCUGAUAACAAUCGCACCAUGCUCGAUACUUCCUGUGCUGGCUCUUUUAUGAUGAAGACUAUUGAAUUCAAAUGGAAUUUAUUGGAAAGAAUUAAAUGUAACUCUGAAGAUUGGGAUCUCGACGAAGGUAAGGAGUCAGGUAUGACACCUAAGUUUGAUUGUGUUAAAUCUUUUAUGGAUACCGAUGUUUUCCGUAAAUUUAGCACUAAAUAUGGACUUGACUCUGAGAUAUUAGCUUCCUUUUGUGAAUCUUUUGCUGCUCACGUUGAUCUCCCUAGGGAGAAGUGGUUUAAAUAUCAUCCUCCCAUAGAAGUAAAAGUAGCUGCACCUAUUAAAGUUGAAGAAAAGACUAUCACUUAUAAUGAUCCUAUUGUUCCUACUGCUUAUGUUGAAAAACCACCUUUCCCUGUUAGAAUAAAGGAUCAUGCUAAAGCUUCAACUGUGGUUCGUAAAAGCAGUAUUAGAACCUAUGCACCUCCUGAGCAAGUUAAAGUUGAACCUAAUAUUGCUAUUGUUAAAGAUCUCUUGUCUGAUAAUAUUGAUGGGCAUGUUAUUCAUUUUCGUGAUGAAACUGCUAGAAUUGCUAAACCUUGUGCUAAAGAUAAACAUAGACCUGUGGUAGGCAUGCCUGUUAUUUCUGUUAAAAUAGGAGAUCAUCGUUAUCAUGGCUUAUGUGACAUGGGUGCUAGUCCUAGUGCAAUACCUAUUGACUUAUACAAAGAAAUUAUGCAUGAUAUUGCACCUACUGAGUUAGAAGAUAUUGAUGUCACAAUUAAACUUGCCAAUAGAGAUACUAUUUCACCCAUGGGAAUUGUAAGAGAUGUUGAAGUCUUGUGUGGGAAAACUAAAUAUCCUGCUGAUUUUCUUGUUCUUGGUUCCCCACAAGAUAGCUUUUGUCCCAUUAUUUUUGGUAGACCCUUCUUGAACACUGUUAAUGCUAAGAUAGACUGCGAAAAGGAUGUUGUUACUAUUGGUUUGGGUGAUAUGUCUCAUGAGUUUAAUUUCUCUAAAUUUCGUAGACAACACCGUGAAGAGGAAUUGCCUAGUAAGGAUGAAAUUAUUGGUCUUGCUACUAUUGCCGUACCUCCAAGUGAUCCUUUAGAACAAUAUUUCCUAGACCAUGAAAAUGAUAUGUUUAUGAAUGAAAGAAGGGAAAUAGAUGAAGUAUUCUUUAAACAGGAACCUAUCCUGAAACACAAUUUGCCUGUUGAAAUCCUAGGGGAUCCUCCUCCAACUAAGGGUGAUCCCGUGUUUGAGCUUAAACCAUUGCCUGAUACUCUUAAAUAUGCUUAUCUUGAUGAAAAGAAGAUAUAUCAUGUUAUUAUUAGUGGUAACCUUUUAGAGCAUGAAGAAGAGAGAUUAUUGAAAACUCUGAAGAAGCACCAUGCUGCUAUUGGAUAUACUCUUGAUGAUCUUAAGGGUAUUAAUCCCACUCUAUGCCAACACAAAAUAAAUUUGGAGAAAGAUGCCAAACCAGUUCGUGAUCACCAACGAGGGCUGAAUCCUAAGAUGAAAGAAGUGGUAAGAAAGGAAAUACUAAAGCUCCUUGAGGCAGGUAUAAUUUAUCCCGUUGCUGAUAGUCAGUGGGUAAGUCAUGUCCAUUGUGUCCCUAAGAAGGGAGGUAUUACCGUCGUUCCUAAUGAUAAAGAUGAAUUGAUUCCGCAAAGAAUUAUUACAGGUUAUAGGAUGGUAAUCGAUUUCCGCAAAUUAAAUAAAGCUACUAAAAAAGAUCAUUACCCCUUACCUUUUAUUGAUCAAAUGCUACAAAGAUUAUCCAACCAUACACAUUUUUGCUUUCUAGAUGGUUAUUAUGGUUUCUCUCAAAUACCUGUGUCAGCCGAUGAUCAAUCAAAGAUCACUUUCACUUGUCCUUUCAGUACUUUUGCUUAUAGACCUAUGCUACCUUUCAAAGAUGCAUGAUGGCUAUAUUCUCUGACUUUUGUGAAAAGAUUUGUGAGGUUUUCAUGGAUGAUUUCUCCGUUUAUGGAUCCUCUUUUGACGAUUGCUUGAGCAACCUUGAUCGAGUUUUGCAGAGAUGUGAAGAAACUAAUCUUGUCUUGAAUUGGGAAAAGUGCCACUUUAUGGUUAAUGAAGAUAUUGUCUUGGGGCAUAAAGUUUCUGAAAGAGGUAUUGAAGUUGAUAAAGCCAAGGUUGAUGCUAUUGAAAAGAUGCCAUGUCCCAAGGACAUCAAAGGUAUAAGAAGUUUCCUUGGUCAUGCCAGUUUUUAUAGGAGGUUCAUUAAGGACUUCUCAAAAAUUUCUCGGCCUCUGACUAAUUUAUUACAAAAAGAUAUACCAUUUGUCUUUGAUGAUGAUUGUGUAGAAGCAUUUGAAAUACUUAAGAAAGCAUUGAUCUCUGCACCUAUUGUUCAGCCACCUGAUUGGAAUUUACCCUUUGAAAUUAUGUGUGAUGCUAGUGAUUAUGCUGUAGGUGUUGUUCUAGGGCAAAGAGUUGAUAAGAAAUUAAAUGUUAUCCAAUAUGCUAGCAAAACUCUAGACAAUGCUCAAAGAAAUUAUGCUACUACUGAAAAGGAAUUCUUAGCAGUUGUAUUUGCUUGUGAUAAGUUCAGACCUUAUAUUGUUGAUUCUAAAGUAACUAUUCACACUGAUCAUGCUGCUAUUAAAUAUCUUAUGGAAAAGAAAGAUGCUAAACCUAGACUUAUUAGAUGGGUUCUCUUGUUACAAGAAUUUGAUUUGCAUAUUAUUGAUAGAAAGGGAGCUGAGAACCCCGUUGCAGACAACUUGUCUAGGUUAGAAAAUGUUCUUGAUGACUCACUACCUAUUGAUGAUAGCUUUCCUGAUGAACAAUUAAAUGUCAUAAAUGCCUCUCGUACUGCUCCAUGGUAUGCUGAUUAUGCUAAUUACAUCGUUGCUAAAUUCAUACCACCUAGUUUCACAUACCAGCAAAAGAAAAAGUUUUUCUAUGAUUUGAGACAUUACUUUUGGGAUGACCCACAUCUUUAUAAAGAAGGAGUAGAUGUUGUUAUUAGAUGUUGUGUACCUGAGCAUGAACAGGAACAGAUCCUACACAAGUGUCACUCCGAGGCUUAUGGAGGACACCACACUGGAGACAGAACUGCACAUAAGGUAUUGCAAUCCGGUUUUUAUUGGCCUACUCUCUUCAAGGAUGCCCGUAAGUUUGUCUUGUCUUGUGAUGAAUGUCAAAGAAUUGGUAAUAUUAGUAGACGUCAAGAAAUGCCUAUGAAUUAUUCACUUGUUAUUGAACCAUUUGAUGUUUGGGGCUUUCACUAGUAGAAAACAGGGCUUAGGUCACAGGGCAGUUUUCUCAUUAGCCCCGGUUCAGUCACGAACCGGGACCAUGGGGGCAUUCGUCCCAGUUCGUGAGCCCAGGGGGCCGGCCGGGGCCUCGUGGGCAUUGGUCCCGGUUCGUAUGGAACCAUUUGUCCCGGUUCGAGCCACGAACCGGGACUAAUGUACCUCGCUCCUGGCCCACAACCAUUUGUCCCGGUUCUUGGCAUGAACCGGGACAGAAGGCCCGGAUUUAGUACCGGUUCAUGCCGCGAACCGGGACCAAUGAGGUGCCUAUAUAUACCCCUCGCCCGCGAGCAGAGCACUCCAGUGCUCUGUUUUUCUCUGGCCGGCGAGGGGAGGGCUUUGUGGUGCUCUAGCUCACCUCCUAUGCACAUGAGGUGUUCGAUGAAAUGCCCGAGCCACACUAGUUAAGCUUUGUCCUCUCGAAGCUCGACCUCAAAGCUCCAUUUUCCUCGAGAUUUGUCUAGGUUUAGCGGCCCGUCAGGUCCCAUUCCCGUCUUCACCGCCGUCGACCGCCUGCGCCGAUCUCGUCGCCGGCACCACCGUGGUGAGCCUCUUGUUCUUAUCUUCUUUUUGAAAGAAAAAAAUUCUUACUUUAGAUAGAUACUUGUCUAAUUUUCUUACUAUUUUAUUCCUUCUUAUUACAUAGUGCGAUGGUUUUGGUAUCCGCCCCCGUCGGCCCUCGUCCUGUCUAUGAUUCGGAUGUGGUAUAUAUUAUCUUUUUAUAACUAUUUGAUUCAUUUAUUGUUUAUGACAAAUAUACCAACCAGCGUGACAUAGAUUUUAUUUAUCUAGGAGGUGGUUGAACCGGAAAUUCUAACCGACCCUAUUGUCGAGAGGUUAAAUUUAGUUGAAGAAGAAAACAAUUACUUGAAGGAAGAAAUAAAAAAAAUUGAGGAGGAGAAGAUGAUAUUCACUACUGGAAUCAGCUAAUUUGCCAUCUGCCAGAUCUUUGCCGUCUGCUAGCUGACGGCAAAGAUGCUCUUUGCCAUCAGCUACACAUAAACAGACGGCAAAGAAAAGGCUGACGGCAAACACACUCUUUGCCAUCUGCCUGGUCUUUGCCGUCUGCCAGCGGACGGCAAAUAAUCUUUGCCGUCCGCUGGCGGACGGCAAAGAGUGUGGUGGCCCCACCCCCCGCUCGUUUGAAAAAAUCCUAACGGCCCACCUCUUUGCCGUCCGCUAGCGGACGGCAAAGAGGCAGAAAGGCGGACGGCAAAGGCUGGCGGACGGCAAAGAGGGCACUUGCCUAACGGCAGGUACCCCCCGCCCGUUACUCACUUCGUCCUCGCCUCGCCCUUCUCCUCCCACCCCGCCGCCGCCGCCGCCGCCCGCCGCGCGCCGCCGCCCCGUCGCCCCCGNNNNNNNNNNNNNNNNNNNNNNNNNNNNNNNNNNNNNNNNNNNNNNNNNNNNNNNNNNNNNNNNNNNNNNNNNNNNNNNNNNNNNNNNNNNNNNNNNNNNNNNNNNNNNNNNNNNNNNNNNNNNNNNNNNNNNNNNNNNNNNNNNNNNNNNNNNNNNNNNNNNNNNNNNNNNNNNNNNNNNNNNNNNNNNNNNNNNNNNNNNNNNNNNNNNNNNNNNNNNNNNNNNNNNNNNNNNNNNNNNNNNNNNNNNNNNNNNNNNNNNNNNNNNNNNNNNNNNNNNNNNNNNNNNNNNNNNNNNNNNNNNNNNNNNNNNNNNNNNNNNNNNNNNNNNNNNNNNNNNNNNNNNNNNNNNNNNNNNNNNNNNNNNNNNNNNNNNNNNNNNNNNNNNNNNNNNNNNNNNNNNNNNNNNNNNNNNNNNNNNNNNNNNNNNNNNNNNNNNNNNNNNNNNNNNNNNNNNNNNNNNNNNNNNNNNNNNNNNNNNNNNNNNNNNNNNNNNNNNNNNNNNNNNNNNNNNNNNNNNNNNNNNNNNNNNNNNNNNNNNNNNNNNNNNNNNNNNNNNNNNNNNNNNNNNNNNNNNNNNNNNNNNNNNNNNNNNNNNNNNNNNNNNNNNNNNNNNNNNNNNNNNNNNNNNNNNNNNNNNNNNNNNNNNNNNNNNNNNNNNNNNNNNNNNNNNNNNNNNNNNNNNNNNNNNNNNNNNNNNNNNNNNNNNNNNNNNNNNNNNNNNNNNNNNNNNNNNNNNNNNNNNNNNNNNNNNNNNNNNNNNNNNNNNNNNNNNNNNNNNNNNNNNNNNNNNNNNNNNNNNNNNNNNNNNNNNNNNNNNNNNNNNNNNNNNNNNNNNNNNNNNNNNNNNNNNNNNNNNNNNNNNNNNNNNNNNNNNNNNNNNNNNNNNNNNNNNNNNNNNNNNNNNNNNNNNNNNNNNNNNNNNNNNNNNNNNNNNNNNNNNNNNNNNNNNNNNNNNNNNNNNNNNNNNNNNNNNNNNNNNNNNNNNNNNNNNNNNNNNNNNNNNNNNNNNNNNNNNNNNNNNNNNNNNNNNNNNNNNNNNNNNNNNNNNNNNNNNNNNNNNNNNNNNNNNNNNNNNNNNNNNNNNNNNNNNNNNNNNNNNNNNNNNNNNNNNNNNNNNNNNNNNNNNNNNNNNNNNNNNNNNNNNNNNNNNNNNNNNNNNNNNNNNNNNNNNNNNNNNNNNNNNNNNNNNNNNNNNNNNNNNNNNNNNNNNNNNNNNNNNNNNNNNNNNNNNNNNNNNNNNNNNNNNNNNNNNNNNNNNNNNNNNNNNNNNNNNNNNNNNNNNNNNNNNNNNNNNNNNNNNNNNNNNNNNNNNNNNNNNNNNNNNNNNNNNNNNNNNNNNNNNNNNNNNNNNNNNNNNNNNNNNNNNNNNNNNNNNNNNNNNNNNNNNNNNNNNNNNNNNNNNNNNNNNNNNNNNNNNNNNNNNNNNNNNNNNNNNNNNNNNNNNNNNNNNNNNNNNNNNNNNNNNNNNNNNNNNNNNNNNNNNNNNNNNNNNNNNNNNNNNNNNNNNNNNNNNNNNNNNNNNNNNNNNNNNNNNNNNNNNNNNNNNNNNNNNNNNNNNNNNNNNNNNNNNNNNNNNNNNNNNNNNNNNNNNNNNNNNNNNNNNNNNNNNNNNNNNNNNNNNNNNNNNNNNNNNNNNNNNNNNNNNNNNNNNNNNNNNNNNNNNNNNNNNNNNNNNNNNNNNNNNNNNNNNNNNNNNNNNNNNNNNNNNNNNNNNNNNNNNNNNNNNNNNNNNNNNNNNNNNNNNNNNNNNNNNNNNNNNNNNNNNNNNNNNNNNNNNNNNNNNNNNNNNNNNNNNNNNNNNNNNNNNNNNNNNNNNNNNNNNNNNNNNNNNNNNNNNNNNNNNNNNNNNNNNNNNNNNNNNNNNNNNNNNNNNNNNNNNNNNNNNNNNNNNNNNNNNNNNNNNNNNNNNNNNNNNNNNNNNNNNNNNNNNNNNNNNNNNNNNNNNNNNNNNNNNNNNNNNNNNNNNNNNNNNNNNNNNNNNNNNNAUAGCAUGGGAAAAUGAACCCAAUCUAAACAUACUCGGGUGGGAUUAGGACCUAUCAUUACCUAUUAGAGUGUAGGUUGCAUGGACGUAAUAAAAUUGACAAAGUAGAUCAACUGAUGAAUACAUACAUGGUGAAUUAUAUAUAUAUAUUUGUUGUGUGUCUAGUAGCUCUGAAAGUCAAGAUGAGUGAUCGUGCGUGGAUGUACACCGGUCACACUGGUCAGAACAAAUGGAGCACUGAAUGGUUCACAAAAACCAAGGGGUUUGUGCGAGCCGCAUUUGCAAAUGGCCAGAGGAAAACCUGGUGCCCCUGUUUACGGUGCGGCAAUUGGGAAAAGAGGACAGAGGCUGAAAUGGGCAAACACCUGCAGAAGAGUGGUUUUACGCCCGAUUAUACGGUGUGGACAUUUCAUGGUGAGUCUGCCCAACGUGACCGAGCUGAGGUGGAUCUUCGUCGCACCGACGAGCAUGGUACCGGUAUGGAAAACAUGGUGCAAGACUUUGAUGAUGCUCAGGAUUCGGACGAGGAGAUGGAGGAAUCUGCAAAGGCCUUCAAUGAAAUGUUGGAGUCUUCAAAACGUCCGCUCCAUGAGCACACUGAGCUUUGUCAGUUGGAUGCCAUCUCACAAGUAAUGGCUCUGAAGGCUCAGUUCAACUUGGGCAGAGAAUGCUACGAUGCAAUGAUGACAGUAUUUGGACGCUUUCUACCCAAAGGCCAUGUAAUGCCUGCAAACCUGUACCAGUCGGACAAAAUCCUCCGUGCACUGAAGAUGCCCUAUGAUAAGAUACAUGCCUGUGAGAAAGGAUGUGUCUUGUUUAGGCUUGACUAUGCGGACUUGAACUGUUGUCCCAUUUGCAAGUCUUCCAGGUAUGUUGUGGUAGACAACGGUAUGGGUGAGAAGACACAGACCAAAAUCCCCGUUAGUGUUCUUCGGUAUAUGCCAAUCGUACCAAGACUUCAACGUCUUUUCAUGGUCGAAGAGACGGCCAGACAGAUGACAUGGCACAAAACGGGCAAAGGAACCGAACUAGAUGCAGAUGGGAAUCUGAUGAUUGUACACACAUCUGAUGGUGUUGCGUGGAAAAAGUUUGAUGAAUUACAUGGUGACAAAGCGGCAGAUCCGAGGCAUCCUCGAGUCGGCAUCAACACGGAUGGGUUCAGUGUGUUUGGUAUGACGGCAGCCCAAUACAGUUGUUGGCCCGUAUUUGUCUUUCCACUCAAUCUCCCCCCCGGACAGAUUAUGCAAAGAAAGAACAUUUUCCUGACGUUGAUAAUUCCAGGGCCCAACUAUCCGGGGAAAAAUAUGAAUGUGUACAUGCAACCGCUUAAGGACGAAUUGCAAGAAGCCUGGGAUAAUGGGUUCAAGACAUACGAUGACUAUAGCAAACGGAACUUCAUAAUGCGUGUCUGGUACAUGUACUCGACGCAUGACUUGCCGGCGUAUGCGCUAUUCGUUGGCUGGUGUGUGCAUGGAAGGUUCCCGUGCCCCACAUGCAAGGGAGCUCUUGAGUUUCGUUGGCUUCAGGCCGGUCGCAAGUUUUCUUGCUUCGACAUGCAUAGAGAGUUCCUGAAUCCUCGCCAUAAGUUCAGGAAAGACAAGAAGAACUUCAUCAGAGGUAGAGUUGUCAAAAACUCUGCACCACAUGCAUUGACAGGCCAACAGACCCUGGAUCAGUUAAACGCUCUCGAGCCAGAUCCCGAGCGUCCAGGGUACUUCAAGGGGUAUAAUUCUAAGCACGCCUAGACUCACAAAACAUGCUUAUGGGAUCUGCCUUACUUCAAAGACCUCCUUUGCCCACACAACAUCGACGUGAUGCACACUGAGAAGAAUAUCGCCGAGGCACUUUUUGGUACAUUGUUCGGCAUAGAUGGGAAGUCAAAGGAUAAUACUAAGGCUAGAGUCGAUCUGGAGGCGCUAUGUGAUAGGCCGUUACAAAACAUGAAAGAACCGAAAGGAAAGCAGAACUGGACGAAGCCAAAGGCAUGGUUCAAUCUUGGAAGGCCGGCUAUGAGGGAAAUUAUCUUGUGGGUGAAAAUGCAGUUGAUGUUCCCCGAUGGGUAUGCAGCGAAUCUACAGAGGGGAGCCAGUCUUGAUAAAUUGAAGAUAUUUGGUCUCAAGAGUCAUGAUUGGCACAUAUGGAUUGAGCGGGUAAUGCCGGUGAUGUUGCGUGGCUUCAUCCCUGAGGAUGAAUGGCUAGUACUGGCAGAACUCAGCUAUUUCUUCCGUGUUCUUUGUGCGAAAGAACUAUCGCCUAGCGUGCUAGAAGAAAUGGAAGAGUUGGCGCCGGAGUUGAUCUGCAAGUUAGAGAAGAUCUUUCCACCGGGCUUCUUUAAUCCAAUGCAAUAUUUGAUUUUGCAUCUCCCGACCGAGGCAAGAUUGGGGGGGUCCGUGCAAAAUCGUUGGUGCUACCCAACUGAGAGGAUGCAGAAGACGCUUCGACAAAAAUGUAAAAAUAAACGUAGAAUUGAAGCAUCGAUGGCUGAGGCAUUCAUCACUGAGGAGGCGGCAAACUUCGUGACAGCACACUACGAAGCCAAAAAUCGCCAUUUGCAUAAUCCGAAGCCUCGGUACAAUGCUGACGACCCUAAAAAGGGUGGAUCCAACCUCAGCCUAUUCAAAGGGAAUCUCGCACCAGCCAGUGUUUCAAAUCCAGUAUCUUUGGAUAACAAACAAUGGCGGACCAUUUCGUUGUAUAUCUUCAACAACCUGAUAGAAGUGCGGCCGUACAUCGAGUAAGUUCUCGGUACAUAGUUUCGCAACUUCUAUUUCCUUUGAACUGCUCUUAUUCCUGGAUAUUUCAUACAGUCGAUACGUCGCCUUAUUCUCGUAUGGAGCGGUGAUCCAAAAGGAUUCUGUCGAAGAGUAUGAGCUUCUCGCAAAGCAAGGUGGCGGCUAUCCCGGUUUCAUCUCUUGGUUCAAACAAACGGUAAUUUCUAUUAGACUUGUAGGCUAAUUUGUAGGCGGCUAUCCCGGUUUCAUUCGCUAAUUUGUGUGUAAUGCAACAAUCCUUUCAUAUUAAACUUGUAGGCUAAUUCAGAGUCUAUGGACGCCGAAUUGAGACAAGUCGCUAAUGGUUUUGACUAUAAGGUCCGUUCAUUUGACAAAUACGACAUCAACGGGUAUCGCUUUCGUACCUAUGGCAAAGAGCUAUCUAUGGCCGGCCGAAAGUCUACAAAUUGUUGUGUAUCUGCUAUCGGCGAAGGAGGUACCGAGUAUUAUGGGAGAGUUGAAGCAAUUUAUGAACUUCUAUUCUAUGGUGAAAACCCACCGAAUGUCGUAGUCUUCAAAUGUUAUUGGUUUCAGCCGAAGGAGACUAGAAGAACUCAUGAACAUAUAGGGCUAGUUGAAAUCAACCAAAGCACCCAUUUAGAUGUUCCUGAUGUCUAUAUUACGGCUCAACAGGCGACCCAAGUAUUCUAUCUACCGUGGGCCUGCCAAACUAAUCCAAAUCUGAAAGGUUGGGAAGUCGUUUAUGAAGUGCCGCCACGUGCUAGACUAUCUCCCCCAAAGGAAGAGGAUUAUGAACCUCACAUUAACCCAGACACAUAUGAAGGAGAAUUCUUCCAAGAGACACGUCUUUCCAAAAAGCGUUUCAAGAACCGCUAUACUUCACCCCAAAACAUUGAAGUAGACACUGACAGUGAAUCCGACAUCACCCCAGAGGAGGAACAAGAAGAGCCGGAACAAGAAGAGGUUACUGCUGCGGAUGACCUGUCAUUGCUUGACCGAUUACGUCAAGGUGGCCUUGCAUAUGUUGAUGCCACUGAACCCUAUGAGCCCGUCAUUGAUUAUAGUGAUGAUGAUGAUUAUGCAUUUAUUGAUGAUACUGAUCGAGAUUAUUAGUAGUGUCAGGUAUUAAAUUUUUUAAUGUUGUACUUGAUGAUGAUACACUUAAGUGAUACACAUAUUAUUAUUCAUGUCGGUUUUUUUUUAUGUUGUACUAAUUUCGUUUACUGUUUGUCAUGGCAGGUGUUGAAAGAUGGUGGGCGCUGGUCGGGAGCGCGCCAAGGCCCCUUCUUCCUCGGCGCGUGGUCUGAGGUCCUCGAUUCCAGACGUACCUCUUCGCCGAGCGUUGCUGGACAGUAUGUCCACACCGCCGGGCCCUUCUUCGUCCACCGCGGUGCCCAGCAGGGGACGAGGUAGGAAGAGAGGAGGUGGGGCACGUGGUCGCGGGAGAGGAGGUAGGGUGACUGCUAGGGAGCCUUCCUCGCCGCCACCCCCAGCUGUUUCACCCGAGCACGUGACUGCUAGGGUGGACUCGUCCGAGGAGGAGGCUACACGGACUCCGGUCCACGAGCCUCCGGUCCACGGGUCUUGGGCCCACGAGCCUCGGGUCGACUGGCCUUCGGCCCACGAGAGUUCGGCCCACGAGACCCCGGAGGAGCACACGUCCGGAUGGGGUACCUGGCCGGAUCAGCCCGAGGAGCCGAGUGGCCAUGCUGAUGAUGGCGGGGAGCCGACUGAUCUUGAGGAGGAGGGUGGCACCGUCUACCAGCGUGGUGCUACACGGCUCCCGUCCGUGCCGGCAACUCGCGAGCAGAGGUGGUUGAUCUUCCCUGAUGGGGAGAGGUACGUAAGUGCAUUUAAUAUUUUUGUACCUUCUGCAUUCACGUUUCUUCAAAUAACUAAUGCGUUGGCCUUGUCAUGCUGCAGGGGUUGGGACCACCAUCAUAGUGUCCGCCGGCCCAACUCCGUCCUUGGAGUUCUUUGCCGGCAAAACUUCCCGGGGUUUGUCACGUUGCCUGGUGAGGGUCGGCUUCCAGAGCUUGGGUUGAGCUGGGAGCACUACGUGGCUGCCCCGGCCCCGCCGGAUGUCAUUAUCGACGGUGUCGUGUGCGACACGAGGGCAGACAUGGUGAUCAGGACGUUCUGGGUAAUUUCUCCUUUACACAUUUCAAAAUCUUCAACUAGCUAGUUAUUAAUUGUACUAAUCAAUAUUGUCUCAUUUGAUUGCAGACAUUCUACAGGUGUGAGGAGGGAUACGAGGAGGACUGCGCAAAUGUUAUCCAGAACGUCUGCAAGCGCCUACUCCAGAACUUACGGCACGAGGCUCGGGUGCAGGCUGUUCGAGACUACUACGCCUUGCAUGGUAUCAAGAAGACCAAGCCGGCGUGCCGCGAUAAGUUCCUGAGUAAGGAGCAGUACAUGAAGGUAAUUCUUAAGGCCUUCUACUUAAGUUCCUUCAUUUAGUAAUUCUUAGCCGUAGCGCUCAAGUUUCUAUUUGCUAACUUAGGCGCCUCCGAGAUGGUGUGCGGAUCGGAUGGAUUGUUGGGAGGUGUUGGUCGAUGAGUGGUGCUCACAAGAAUGGCUAGCCCUCCACAACCAGGCCAAGGACAAACGUGCCCAAAUGGAAGGUGUGCCACACCAUCAAGGCAGCUCCAACUUAUAUCAGUUCGGGCGCAACUGGGUAUGUGGUUUGCUUCAUGAUUCAUGCAAUUCAUUCAUCAUGCUAGCUUGAGCCCUUUAGUUACUAAUUUUCAUUGUUUCUCUCUUUCAGGCACGCCACAAUAAGGCGGAUAAGGUGCCAGAGGUGUACGACCUGUAUGCCAUGGCCCACACUGGCUCUUACAAGAAAGUCAAGUCUUUCUCUCAGUCUGACCUCGAUGAUGCAAACAACUUCACCAACAUCUCCUCCCACAACAAGCUCGUGAGAUAUAGAGAUGAGGGGAAGGCGAGGAAAGGGGAGGACUUUAACCCGAGCCAGGGUCCCAUUGAUCCAGAGCUGGUGAUGAUAUCUGGUGGCGGGAGGUCCCAUGGCUCCAUAGCCAUUGGAGAUGGACUUAUCCGUUGUCCUAGCACUCUCCCAGAGAUCAAGGCGCGCCAGUCGAGCUCCGCUCCUGAGAUAAGGCCUCGUGAACGGCCAGUGCAACUCGCCAUCAAGGUUAGUGAUACGUACUCAGCUAUCUUUCUCCAUUACAUUGUGUGCGCUUCCAUCAAUGAUUACAAAUGGUCAUGUGAGUGGUGUUGCAGGCUGCUAUACAGAGUGAGAGAGAUAGAACGGAGAAACUUCUGGCGGAGGCGGCGGAGAGGCAGCGGGAGUUGGAGGAGAGGACGACACAGAUGAUGGAGGAGGAGAGGGCACGGAAUGACAUGCAGGCAAGGGCCAUGUACGAGCUCCUUGUGGUAAGUUUCUUCUGCAGAUUAGCCAAAACAUUCAUGUAGUGUUUGUCUCAUUACUAACUAGUAUGACUGAGUCGUCAAAACCAAAUGUGCAGUCUGUGUGCGAGAAGACCGGUCAGACCGCUCCGCCGAUGCCAGUGAUUGCUCCUGGGACCACGGUGAGUUUAAUUUGAAUGGACAUUACUUGCUAGUCUUAACAUUUGAGUGUCAUAAUGCUAACGAGACAUUGGAAAUGAUCUUUGGUGCAGCUUAACUCCAGAAACGCAUCGCAUGAUCCUUCUCCAGCUACCGGCACUAGCCAGCCCGCUCCUACACCUCCCUGAUCACGGUAAGUUUCUCUAGUGUUUUGCUUAACAAAUGCAUAAAGACCUAUACUUAGCUUUAUUUCCUCCAAUAUGCUUACCAUAAUGACCUAGAGUUAGCUUCUUUUCCUCCAAAAUGACUUAAUAAGCUUACUGACCUCAUAAACCAUCCAUUUUACCUAAGUUAGCUCUAAAACGAUAUGUACUUAGCUUACUUAUGUCAAAAAUUGCAUAAUUAGCUCAUAAACGACCCAUUUCACCUAGGUUAACUCAUAAACGACCCAUUUCACCUAGGUUAGCUCAUAAACGACCCAUUUCACCUAGGUUAGCUCAUAAACGACCCAUUUCACCUAGGUUAGCUCAUAAAUGACCCAUUUCACCUAAGUUAGCUCAAAAAGAUCCAUUUCAACUAAAUUAGCUCAUAAAUGAUCCAUUUCACCUAAGUUAGCUCAAAAACGAUCCAUUUCAACUAAAUUAGCUCAAAAAUGAUCCAUUUCAACAAAGUUAGCUCAAAAACGAUCCAUUUCAACUAAGUUAGCUCAAAAACGAUCCAUUUGACCUAAGUGAGCUAAAAAAGAUCCAUUUCACCUUAGUUACCUCAAAAACGAUCCAUUUCAACUAAGUUAGCUAAAAAACGAUCCAUUUCAACUAGGUUAGCUCCAAAAUGACCCAUUUCACCUUACUUAGCUCAAAAACGAUGCCCUUCACCUUAGUUAGCUCAUAAACGACCCAUUUCAACUAAGUUAGCUCAUAAAUGAUCCAUUUCAACUAAGUUAGCUCAUAAACAACCCAUUUCAACUUAGUUAGCUCAUAUAUGAUCCAUUUCACCUAAGUUAGCUCAUAAAUGACAUAUACUUCUUGUUCUAGUCUUCUUCUUGUUCUAGUCACCUAUUUCUAACUUUCUUAUUUACCAUUUUGCAGAUUUCAUUCACUUGAUGGAAGCUAGCUUGCUAUGAUGGAGUGCCUUUGAUGAAACUUUGCAUUGUAUCUAGCUUGCUAUCUUCAUGACACUUUGCAUUGUAAUAUAUAUAUGGAUGGAACAAUGUGUAUGGAUGGAACUUCCUUAUGUAUGAACAAUGUGUAUGGAUGAAACUGAUGUGAUAUGUGAUAUGUGCUGGAUAUGUGAUAUGUGAUAUGUGAUGGAUAUGUGAUAUGUGAUAUGUGCUAGAUAUGUGUUGGAUAUGUGCUGGAUAUGAAACUUAUAUAUGUGAUAUGUGCUGCAAAUUGUGGGAUUUAAUAAAAAACAGAAAAAACAGACAAUAUCCAGGCUCUUUGCCGUCUGCCACCGACGGCAAAGAGCCUUUGCCGUCUGCCGCGGACGGCAAAGAAGCCACGUGGCAGCCAACUGUGCUUCCUGGGAGCUGACCCAUUUGGUCAGUUUGCCUACAGUGGCAGACGGCAAAGACUUUGCCGUCCGUGGCAGACGGCAAAGAACCUGCACUUUGCCAUCAGUGGCAGACGGCAAAGAACCUGCCAUCUAGUGACGUGUACAUGACAUCAUAAGGUGGACGGCAAAGAACAAAGGCUCUUUGCCGUCUGCGGCGGACGGCAAAGGUCUGCCGUUAGCCACUUAACGGACUGACAGCGCAAUUAUUGCCGUCCGCCCUCUUUGCCGUCCGCCGCGGACGGCAAAGAGCCUUUGCCGUCCGCCGCCAGGAAGCAGACGGCAAAGCAGCUGUUUACCGUAGCCUUCUUUGCCGGAGCCUUUUGCCGUCCGCGGCUGAUGGCAAAGGUCUUUGCCGUCCGCCUUUCGAGCCUUUGCCGUCCGCCAUGGCAGACGGCAAAGUAGCUGUUUCCUGUAGUGAUUGGAGUUGCAUGCUACGGAUGUCGUCGAUGAUCACAAGAUCAAGAUGGAUGCAAUGCGCUUGAAGAUUAGAAAGAUUAGAAAAUAUGCCAUUCAUACCGAGGCUUGGUAUCACUAUGCCGUUGGAUCAAUUGUUACCUUGGUUGCGAUUAUGAUCGCAUUUGUUUUCGCAUUGAAAUGUUUUACAUAGUUUCAAUGUAUGGUUUAAUUAAUUAGAUGCUCUGGAGAGCUAUAUAUAUGUUGUUAGAUGAGAACUAUGUAUGUACUUUGGUUCUAAUGUGAUGAUGAACUUCUAUUAAUUUGGUCACUUAAUUAUCUAUUCAUGAUGUUCUGUAAUGGUUUUUGACACACUUAAUUAUAUAUAAUGCACGCAGAUGAACCGGCAAUGGAUGUACGGUGACAGACACACCUCCGAGUACAUUAAGGGCGUGCAUGAUUUUCUCGAAGUGGCUGAGGCAAACAAGCAGAAUGGUUUUAUGUGUUGUCCAUGCCCUAUAUGUGGGAAUACGAAGUCUUACUCUGACCGGAAAAUCCUUCAAGCCCACCUGCUUUACAAGGGUUUCAUGCCACACUAUAAUGUUUGGACGAGGCAUGGAGAAAUGGGGGUUAUGAUGGAAGACGGCGAAGAAGAAGAGGACGAUGACAACUAUGUGCCCCCUGAAUACGGUGAUGUUGCAACGGGGGAAGCUGCUGAAGAUCAAGAGGAACCAGACGAUGUGCCCAAUGAUGCUGCAAGGGGGGAAGCUGCUGAAGAUCAAGAGGAACCAGUGCCCGAUGAUGAUGAUCUCCGCCGGGUCAUAGUCGAUGCAAGGACGCAAUGCGAAAGUCAAAAGGAGAAGUUGAAGUUCGAUCGCAUGUUAGAGGAUCACAAAAAAGGGUUGUACCCCAAUUGCGAAGAUGGCAACACAAAGCUCGGUACCGUACUGGAAUUGCUGCAGUGGAAGGCAGAGAAUGCUGUGCCUGACAAAGGAUUUGAGAAGCUAUUGAAAAUAUUGAAGAAGAAGCUUCCAAAGGAUAACGAAUUGCCCGACAGUACAUACGCAGCAAAGAAGGUCGUAUGCCCUCUAGGAUUGGAGGUGCAAAAGAUACAUGCAUGCCCUAAUGACUGCAUCCUCUACCGCAGUGCGUACAAGGAUCUGAACGCAUGCCCGGUAUGCGGUGCAUUGCGGUAUAAGAUCAGACGAGAUGACCCUGGUGAUGUUGACAGCGAGCCCCCCAGGAAGAGGGUUCCUGCGAAGGUGAUGUGGUAUGCUCCUAUAAUACCACGGUUGAAACGUCUGUUCAGAAACGAAGAGCAUGCCAAGUUGAUGCGAUGGCACAGUGAGGACCGUAAGAAAGACGGGAAGUUGAGAGCACCCGCUGACGGGUCGCAGUGGAGAAAAAUCGAGAGAAAGUACUGGGAUGAGUUUGCAGCUGACCCAAGGAACGUAUGGUUUGGUUUAAGCACGGAUGGCAUUAAUCCUUUCGGGGAGUAGAGCAGCAAUCACAGCACCUGGCCCGUGACUCUAUGUACAUAUAACCUUCCUCCUUGGAUGUGCAUGAAGCGGAAGUUCAUUAUGAUGCCAGUUCUCAUCCAAGGCCCUAAGCAACCCGGCAACGACAUUGAUGUGUACCUAAGGCCAUUAGUUGAAGAACUUUUACAGCUGUGGAAUGGAAACGGUGUACGUACGUGGGAUGAGCACAAACAGGAGGAAUUUAACCUGCACGCGUUGCUGUUUGUAACCAUCAACGAUUGGCCCGCUCUCAGUAACCUUUCAGGACAGACAAACAAGGGAUACCACGCAUGCAUGCACUGUUUAGAUGACACUGAAAGUAUAUACCUGGACAAAAGCAGGAAGAAUGUGUACCUGGGCCAUCGUCGAUUUCUUCCGACCAACCAUCAAUGUCGAAAGAAAGGCAAGCAUUUCAAAGGCGAGGCAGAUCACCGGAAGAAGCCCACCAUGCGUACCGGUGAUCACGUACUUGCUAUUGUCAAUGAUUUACACGUAAUCUUUGGAAAGGGUCCCGGCGGACUAGCUGUUCCGAAUGACGCUGAGGGACACACACCCAUGUGGAAGAAGAAAUCUAUAUUUUGGGACCUACCCUACUGGAAAGAGCUAGAGGUCCGCUCUUCAAUCGACGUGAUGCACGUGAUGAAGAACCUUUGCGUGAACCUGCUAGGCUUCUUGGGCGUGUAUGGGAAGACAAAAGAUACACCUGAGGCACGGGAGGGCCUGCAACGUUUGCACGAAAAAGACGGCAUGCCUCCGAAGCAGUAUGAAGGUCCUGCCAGCUACGCUCUUACGAAAGAAGAGAAAGAAAUCUUCUUUGAAUGACUGCUCAGUAUGAAGGUCCCGACUGGCUUCUCGUCGAAUAUAAAGGGAAUAAUAAAUAUGCCAGAGAAAAAGUUCCAGAACCUGAAGUCUCAUGACUGCUACGUGAUUAUGACGCAACUGCUUCCGGUUGCAUUGAGGGGGCUUCUACCGGAAAACGUCCGAUUAGCCAUUGUGAAGCUAUGUGCAUUCCUCAAUGCAAUCUCUCAGAAGGUGAUCGAUCCAGAAAUCAUACCAAGGCUAAGGAGUGAUGUGGCGCAACGUCUUGUCAGUUUCGAGCUGGUGUUCCCACCAUCCUUCUUCAAUAUCAUGACGCACGUCCUAGUUCAUCUAGUCGACGAGAUUGUCAUUCUGGGGCCCGUAUUUCUACACAAUAUGUUCCCCUUUGAGACGUUCAUGGGAGUCCUAAAGAAAUAUGUCCGUAACCGCGCUAGGCCAGAAGGAAGCAUCUCCAUGGGCCAUCAAACAGAGGAUGUCAUUGGGUUUUGUGUUGACUUCAUUCCUGGCCUUAAGAAGAUAGGUCUCCCUAAAUCGCGGUAUGAGGGGAGACUGACUGGAAAAGGCACGCUUGGAGGGGGGGGGCUCAAUAAUAUGCAGGGACGGAUAUUCUUGGUCUGAAGCACACUACACAGUUCUAUAGAACUCUACCUUGGUGACCCCGUAUGUCGAUGAACACAAGAACAGUCUGCGCUCCAAACACCCGGAGCAGUGUGACGACUGGAUUACAUGUGAACACAUCAGGACUUUCAGUAGUUGGUUGGAAACACGUCUCAGAGGUGACACCACUGUUUGUGAUGAGUUGUACUCGUUGUCCAGGGGACCAUCUUCGAUUGUAUUGACUUACAAAGGAUACGAGAUAAAUGGGAAUACAUUUUACACGAUCGCCCAAGAUCAAAAGAGCACCAACCAAAAUAGCGGUGUCCGCUUUGAUGCAGCAACCGAGAGGGGAAAGGACACAUAUUAUGGUUACAUAAUGGACAUAUGGGAACUUGACUACGGACAUGAUUUUAAGGUCCCUUUGUUUAAGUGCAAAUGGGUCAAUCUGUCAGGAGGCGGGGUACAGGUAGACCCAUAGUACGGAAUGACAACAGUGGAUCUGAACAAUCUUGGGUACACUGACGAACCAUUCGUCCUAGCCAAUGAUGUGGCACAGGUUAUCUAUGUGAAGGACAUGUCUACCAGACCGAGGAAAAGAAAAGAUAAGGAAGCGAAUACAUCAUACGAUGAGCCAAAGCGGCACAUAGUUCUUUCAGGAAAAAGGGACAUUGUGGGAGUGGAGGGCAAGACAGACAUGUCUGAAGAUUAUGAAAAGUUUCAUGAAAUUCCUCCCUUGAAAGUCAAGGCUGACCCAAGCAUCCUGAUAAACGAUGAAGAUUAUCCAUGGUUACGGCGCAAUAAGCAAAUGACACAAGCGAAGAAAAAGUGAAGACUUUCUCCCGCAACUAUUAUGAUGAUACCAUGCCAACUUUGUAAUAGACGAUUAUGAUACCAUUGCCCGUUUUGUACAAGAAGUGCAUCUAGUUUUUGACGUAACCCUCUCAACUUUCUUGCACAUGCUAUGUGGAUGAAAUGAUGAUACCAUGCCAACUUUCAACCUUUUCAGAGUUCAUUUGAAAUGCUUUAUAAGCCCUGAGUGCAGAGAGGUUAGGCCCGUAAGCCUGCUUUAGAGAGGAGCUCGACAGCUCAGGCGCACCGCACCUUAUAAACAGGUGCGGCUCUCUCUUAGCUAGCGAAGUGGGACUAAACUCACCACCACGCCGCUGUGCAAGGCCAUUGGUCCCGGUUCGUGGCACGAACCGGGACCAAUUCCACCCUUUGGUCCCUGUUGGUGCCACGAACCGGUACUAAUGAGGCUGUGGCCCCACGAGCACCUUUAGUACCUGUUCGUGGCACGAACCGGUACUAGAGUUUCUUACUAGCUAAGCAGUUUUUUAGUCCCACCUCGCUAGCUGAGAGGCACUAGGAGCGGUUUAUAAGCCCUGAUUGCAGAGACGAUGAAGAAGAGGCGCAAUGCUCACGUUGCUUAGCUUCAAGCCUUGAGGAAUAAGGUAGACUGCAUCGAGCUAUGUGCAGUGCAGUCUACACUAUUCCGAAAGGCUUGAAGCAAAUCAACGCGCAUUGUGCCUCUUUUUUAUUUUUAAUCAUUAAAAGCAAAAAGAAUUUUCAUAAAGAACUUUUUUUGAUAUAAACUUUAAUAGCAGAAAGAAUUAUCAUAAAGUAAAAUAAAUAAGUAAUUAGAAACAAAAUAAAAUAAAAUAAAUAAGUUUUUUGUUGUAAGUAGAAACAAAACAAAAUAAAUAUAGCAAAAAAGAAAACAAAAAAACUAAACACAGCAAAAAGAAUUUUCAUAAAGAACUAAUGGCACUAAUAGAAAGUUUAUAUGUUUUCUAAAACUAAUGGCACUAACAGACAGUUUAUAAUUUUGCUGACCUAAAAGCAAAAAGAAUUAAAAAAUAAAGCAAAAAACAAAAGAAAAUAAAUAAUGCAAAAAACAGAACCAAAAAACUGGAUUUUUUUUUAAAAAACUGCCACCUAUUGGGCCACCACGGCCUGAAUACGACUAGAAACCCAACCUGGGCCAGGAUUCAGGCCCGCAGAAGGCCCAAUAGGCCAACAGACAGCACAGUGUGACAUUAGGCCCGUAAGCCUGCAUUUGAGAGGAGCUCGAGAGGGCAGCCGCAGUGGGGAUUAUAAACCACUACGAGCCCCUCUCAACUAGCGAGGUGGGACUAAACUUUUGGCCGCGGGCAGCGCAAGGCCUUUGGUCCCGGUUGGUGCCACCAACCGGGACCAAUGCCCCCCUUUAGUCUCGGUUGGUGNNNNNNNNNNNNNNNNNNNNNNNNNNNNNNNNNNNNNNNNNNNNNNNNNNNNNNNNNNNNNNNNNNNNNNNNNNNNNNNNNNNNNNNNNNNNNNNNNNNNNNNNNNNNNNNNNNNNNNNNNNNNNNNNNNNNNNNNNNNNNNNNNNNNNNNNNNNNNNNNNNNNNNNNNNNNNNNNNNNNNNNNNNNNNNNNNNNNNNNNNNNNNNNNNNNNNNNNNNNNNNNNNNNNNNNNNNNNNNNNNNNNNNNNNNNNNNNNNNNNNNNNNNNNNNNNNNNNNNNNNNNNNNNNNNNNNNNNNNNNNNNNNNNNNNNNNNNNNNNNNNNNNNNNNNNNNNNNNNNNNNNNNNNNNNNNNNNNNNNNNNNNNNNNNNNNNNNNNNNNNNNNNNNNNNNNNNNNNNNNNNNNNNNNNNNNNNNNNNNNNNNNNNNNNNNNNNNNNNNNNNNNNNNNNNNNNNNNNNNNNNNNNNNNNNNNNNNNNNNNNNNNNNNNNNNNNNNNNNNNNNNNNNNNNNNNNNNNNNNNNNNNNNNNNNNNNNNNNNNNNNNNNNNNNNNNNNNNNNNNNNNNNNNNNNNNNNNNNNNNNNNNNNNNNNNNNNNNNNNNNNNNNNNNNNNNNNNNNNNNNNNNNNNNNNNNNNNNNNNNNNNNNNNNNNNNNNNNNNNNNNNNNNNNNNNNNNNNNNNNNNNNNNNNNNNNNNNNNNNNNNNNNNNNNNNNNNNNNNNNNNNNNNNNNNNNNNNNNNNNNNNNNNNNNNNNNNNNNNNNNNNNNNNNNNNNNNNNNNNNNNNNNNNNNNNNNNNNNNNNNNNNNNNNNNNNNNNNNNNNNNNNNNNNNNNNNNNNNNNNNNNNNNNNNNNNNNNNNNNNNNNNNNNNNNNNNNNNNNNNNNNNNNNNNNNNNNNNNNNNNNNNNNNNNNNNNNNNNNNNNNNNNNNNNNNNNNNNNNNNNNNNNNNNNNNNNNNNNNNNNNNNNNNNNNNNNNNNNNNNNNNNNNNNNNNNNNNNNNNNNNNNNNNNNNNNNNNNNNNNNNNNNNNNNNNNNNNNNNNNNNNNNNNNNNNNNNNNNNNNNNNNNNNNNNNNNNNNNNNNNNNNNNNNNNNNNNNNNNNNNNNNNNNNNNNNNNNNNNNNNNNNNNNNNNNNNNNNNNNNGAUAACUUCAACACGAGGGGGGGUCGAUAUACCCCCUCCUCGAUAACAUUAUUUUCCCGUGUAUGUAUGUCGUCGUUGUCGAUAUAAAACCCCCUCCCGAUAACUUCAACACGUGGGGGGGUCGAUAUAUACCCCCUCCCCGAUAACAUUAUUUUCCCGUGUAUGUAUGUCGUCGUUGUCGAUAUAUAUAACUCCCUCCCAGAUAACUUCGACAUGAUGGACGGUCGAUAUGUAUACCCCCUCUCGACCGUGAUAACUUAUACCACGGGAGCACCCCCGGCCCUCUCGCUCGACCAAAACUCUCGAGGACACCCAAACCCUAGAAAAAAAACGAUGUCGGUCUCCUACCCCCUCCCGCCGCGCCCCUACCCUUGAAGCGUUGCCUAGGCCACCCCAAACCCGGAAUAAGCUAGGUCUACGUUUGCACUAAUAUAUCCACCUGCUGUCGUGUUUGUGUAAUAAUUGCCAUGUUGUAAUAUUUGCAGAAACAAUGGAGCACGGACGAGAUGAGCAAGCAGAAGAUGUGUUGGGGGACAUAAUCUUAGCCGGAGGUUAUAUCUUGUCGUAUCUUAACGACAAUGAUGGUCUAGAAGAACAGGGUGAAGAAGCAGGCUGUGGUGAUCGAAGAGUGGAGGAGGAAAGACAUGAUUAUGAUGCCUCCGGUGACCCAAUGCUGGUGCAAGAAGGAGCCCGUGGUGACGGCUCCGGUGACCGAACAGAGUCCGGCCAGGUAAAUAUAUUAGUUAAGCCUGUGCUGACUAGCUAAUUGAUGCAUUCAUUGUUUUGGUAUGUACACAUAUUAAUUAACACUCGUCUUUCUUCUUUUUUCUAGCCCUCCGGAUCAAGCACAACUGCGGUAAAGAGACGAGGCCCGAAGAGAAAGUUGCGCUCGGAUGAAAGGUUUGAGAUCACAGCAAUCGCGCGCGACGACCAACCGAUUGAACCCAUCCGGACAAAGGAUGCUUUUGCUGCUCAGUGUGGGGUUCCAGUUAGGGACAAGAUCCCGAUCAGCAUCCACCAAUGGUAUAAGCCUAAGAAGGAAGACCCUGAGGUGUCUUAUGUCAAUGAUAUGCAGAAAGAUGAUCUUUGGACUGAGCUGAAGGCAAAUUUCACCCUACCGCCAGAGGAGGAUCCGGAGAAGCCAGUUAUAGAGCAAUUAAUCAAGUCUCAUGCUCUUAAGAAGAUGGCAGACCUAUUCAGGAGGUGGAAGAAUGAGCUGAAAAAUUUUGUCGACAAAGAAGAGACACCAGAAUUCGUCAGCCGGUAUGAGAAGAUCAGAGAUCACUGGCCCGCAUUUGUGGCCCACAAGACAUCGGAAAAGAGUAAGAAGAUGUCAGCGACAAACAAGAAGAAUGCUGCGAAGAAGAAGCUUCACCAUCGCACGGGGUCAGGUGGCUACCUCAAAGCCCGGCCUAAGUGGGCCAAGUCUGAGAGGGAUCUGCUUGAUAAAGGGAUCGAACCAGAGACAAUGAACUGGCCAGACCGUUGGCGGACUUGGUUCUUCGGGGCUGGCGGAACCUUGGACCCUGUAUCAGGGACGUGUCGUUGGACGGACGAGCAACUUGCAAUACCCGUCAAGAAGCUUAAGCACUAUCGAUGCAGCGCAGCAAGGGACGUUCGUUCCAGACAGAGAGAACGACGAGCUCACAAUGGCCCUCGGGAAUCCUGAGCACCCUGGACGGACACGAGGCAUGCCAGGUUCCGUUCCGUGGAAGGCUGGUUUUUCGGACGCGGGCGGUUACAAAACCCAGGAGAGGAGGAAAAAAGUGGAGCAGAUCCAAAUUCAGCGUCUGCACGAAAGGGUUCAAGUGCUAGAGGAACGAGACGGCAAUAGAGAUGCCGAAACUGCCCCCGAAGCUACACCGCCAUCUCAGCGUAGAAGCAGCGUGGCUUCCACCGAGCUGCCUCAGCUGGAGCAUGCGGCUACUCCUAGCUACCCCGUGGAUGCUAUCAUGGAGUCUCAACAUUGCAACCUUAUGGCGGAAUGGCAGAACUUGAAAGUCAAGGCGGCUGUUGGCUCUGUUUUACCUACUGAACCCGGCGCAACCUACCACUGCCGGCCGAUUCCAGAAGGAUAUGCUAGGGUGAUGGUGGAUGAAAUAACGGAGGGAUUUGAGGACCUCCAGCUUGACCACCCUACCGGUGAAGGGGAGACUCGGCUGGGUUUAGCUCUGAAGACUCCAUGCCUAUGGCGGAAGGAGCUCAUCAAGCUUCCGAACUGGACGGCUCCGGCGAGUAAGGGCACUCCGCCUCCUCCUCCGCCUCCUCCUCUGGCGAGUGAUCAGGGCACUCAGCCUCCUUCUCCGGCGCGUGGCGGCACUCCGCCUCCUUCUCCGCCAGCGCCGGCGCGCCAGAGCAGCCAGCCUCCUCCUUCUCCGCCUCGUCAGCAAGGGCGGAAGAGACCCGCCGCCGCUGCGGCUGCUCCGGCGCGUCGUAGUCCUUCUCCUCCGCCUCGUAAGCAAGGAAAGAAGACAGCCGCAGCUGCUCCGUCUGCUCUGCCGGCGUCUAGCAGUACAGCUGCCAGAGGCGGGAGGCAAUACAGAUUCGGUCCUUCUCUGAAGACUCCAGAGAAGUUACCAUAUGAGAGGACCGAGGAGGACAACGCGAAGAUCUGGCGAGCCGAAGUGAAGAACUUCUUUGAAGGGGUCAAAGCAAAGAAACAUCCACCUCCGGAGGAGAAGGUAGAUCCGGUGAAAGCAAAGCGCACUCUGGCUGCCCUGACAAAACCACCAAAGUCUCCGCCAAGAGGCAACUAUGAGCGCGUUCUUGGAAAGGCAUAUGCCGAAGCGGAGCGGUCGGGAAGUACUAUCAGUGAUAAAAGGAUGAAAGAAUGACGAGCUGGGAAAAAAUUGCCCAGCUCGGCGAACAAGCGAACCAAUCGUGCCCCCCGCUCAAGGUGUCAAAAAACAUCGUCGCUAAUGAUCCGGGUAUGGUGCCCGGUUAUAGCAAUCUUGGAGAUUACCUGCCCGACGAUGUACAUUAUGAAAUCAUGGAGGUGGACGAACACAAAUACCAUUACGGGAAGCCUCUCGUCAAAGAUGUCAGAUCUCUAAGCACGAUGAUGCGAAGACUACAUGAUUGGUACAUGAAAACCUGCAGAGAGUCUGAUGGGAUGAGUACUUUGACGCUGAGAGUUAAACCGGAGCAUGACCUCGUUGGAAUUGAACUGCUGAAUGUUCCAUUUGAGGAUUUCUUCCAGUUUUACAAUCUAAAGUCCCUCGAUAAAACAACGAUCACUUGCUACUGUCUGUAAGUAGUACUACUUCUGUCAUUAAGUCUCUCUAUAUAGGUCAGCUCUUUCAUUGCAUGUAUUUAUACUUAUCCUCACUAUAUUAUGCAGAUUGAAGAUCGCCGAAUUGAAGAAAAGACAAAUCGGUGAUAUUGGGUUCAUUAACACAAAUCUCAUAGAUGCAUAUACGGUUGAAAAACAUCCCAAAGAAGCCGAGGCCAACUUGCUACAAUCGUUGGUAUUAAAUCAAAACAAAGAUAUAAUACUCUUUCCUUACAACUUCAAGUGAGUGUUACUGUCUUCUGCAUAUUCGGUUUCCCUUAUUAGUCCAGGUUAUGGUAAUGUAAUUGAUGACUUAUGCAUGCAUGCGCAGCUUCCACUAUAUUCUCCUAGAGAUUAAGCUUGAGCCGGGAGUAGUAACCGUCUUAGACUCGAGACGAAAAGAUCCCCAGGACUAUGCGAACAUGACUCAAAUGCUCUAGAAGUAAGUUAAAUCGAUCAUUAUCCACCAUAUCAGCAACUUUGUUCAUUUCCUGAUAUCAAGUAAUUGUUUUCUUUGUCUGGCAGGGUUUGGAGAAAAUUCACCUCAAAAGCCCCGGGACUACCGAACCAGCUGCAAUUUAGACACCCGAAAGUAAGUACUAUAGUAGCAUGUUCCGCGCAUCUCCUAGUGAUUCAAGCGCUAGUUUGAUCAAUACCAUUUAGCAUGCUUGCUUAUCAGUUUGAUUGACCUCUAUUUUUUGUAAAGUGGUUGUGGCAGCAACCCGGGAAUAAUUACUAUGGAUACUACGUUUGCGAGUCCAUCCGCUACCAUACCUGUGAGCGGGGCUACACUGAAGAACAAUAUGAAGUGCGUAAGCAAUAAUAUUCACAAUUUUAUUUUAUUACCAUCAUUUGUGUUGAGUUUCAUUUAUUCAUAUAUAUAUGUAUUGACCCCCUUCUUCAAAUUAGAUUUUUCGGAAGCGGGAUCAACUCCUAGCAGAAGAUCGUAUGCGAGGAAUUCAAGAGGAAUUGGCGGCAUUCUUCCUUGACCACGUGAUCGCUGAAAACGGAGAAUACUAUGUGGACCCUGUGUUCCUACAAUAUAAUUAGGAGAUUGUAUUGUAAGAGAUAAUUAUUGUAUAUAUGUAGCCCGUAGUGUCGGAUAGAUAUACGAGAACUUGUUGUUCGACCAAUAUCUCGGAGAAGGAGAGGUGGUCGAUAUCACUUCUCUCUGUAUGCAUAUGUUCAUGACGAUCUUCUGCUUCCUUCAUUUGAUUACUAGCUAGCGUGUCUACUCCUCUCCAUACGUAUAUAGUACGUAGCGUCGACCAAGCACGGAGAUAAGAGAGGACACUUCUCUCUAUUAAUUAGCUAGCUAACACAAUAUAUGAAACACCUAAAUUAACCCCCCAAAACCCCUAAACCACCCCUUUUCAAAAAAACAAAAACCUCAGCUCCUGCCAGGUGCUGACGCAUGGAUGCCUAUUGGUCCCGGUUGGUGGCACCAACCGGGACCAAAGGCCCUCCUGCCUGGGCUCCCCGCACCGGCCACGUGGACGGCCUUUAGUCCCGGUUCGUGUAAGAACCGGGACUAAAGGGCUAGGGCAUUAGUAAUGACCCUUUAGUCCCAGUUCCAGAACCGGGACUAAAGGCCCUUAUGAACCGGGGUAAAAGCCCCUUUUCCUACUAGUAUUUGAUUAUAUGGGACCUUUUCCUGCCUCUAAAGGAUAUACACAUAUUUUAGUUGCUGUUGAUUACGUUACUAAGUGGGUAGAAGCUAUUCCAACUAGUAGUGCUGAUCAUAACACUUCUAUUAAAAUGCUUAAAGAAGUUAUUUUUCCGAGGUUUGGAGUCCCUAGAUAUUUAAUGACUGAUGGUGGUUCACAUUUUAUUCAUGGUGCUUUCCGUAAAAUGCUUGCUAAAUACGAUGUUAAUCAUAGAAUUGCAUCUCCCUAUCACCCACAGUCUAGUGGUCAAGUAGAAUUGAGCAAUACAGAGCUCAAAUUAAUUUUGCAAAAGACUGUCAAUAGAUCUAGAAAGAAUUGGUCCAAGAAACUUGAUGAUGCAUUAUGGGCCUAUAGAACUGCAUAUAAAAAUCCUAUGGGUAUGUCUCCGUAUUAAAUGGUUUAUGGAAAAGCAUGUCACUUACCUCUCGAACUAGAACAUAAGGCUUAUUGGGCUAUUAAGGAGCUCAACUACGAUUUUAAACUUGCCGGUGAAAAGUGGCUAUUUGACAUUAGCUCACUUGAUGAAUGGAGAACCCAGGCUUAUGAAAAUGCCAAGUUGUUCAAAUAAAAAGUUAAAAGAUGGCAUGACAAAAGAAUACAAAAGCGUGAGUUUAAUGUAGGUGAUUAUGUAUUGCUAUAAAACUCUCGUUUAAGAUUUUUUGAAGGGAAAUUUCUCUCUAAAUGGGAAGGUCCUUACGUUAUCGAGGAGGUAUAUCGUUCCGGCGCCAUAAAAAUCAACAACUUCGAAGGCACAAAUCAGAAGGUGGUGAACGGUCAAAGAAUCAAACAUUAUAUCUCAGGUAAUCCUAUAAAUGUUGAAACCAAUGUUAUUGAAACCAUAACCCCGGAGGAAUACAUAAGGGACACUUUCCGGAAUGUUUCAGACUCCGAAAAGGAAUAGGUAUGUGGUACGGUAAGUAAACCGACUCCAAAACAGUUCUAAUGGCAUUUUUUCUCCGUUCUGGAAUAUUUAGAAAAAAAGAAAAAUAAGAAGCAGUCCGGGAAGGACACGAGGCCUCCACGAGGGUGGAGGGCGCGCCCUACCCCCUGGGCGCGCCCCCUACCUCGUGGGCACCUCGUGUGCUCUCCGGACUCCGUUUUCUUGCACGAUACAUAUUUUGGUCAGUAAAAAUUCAUUAUAUAAUCUCCCGAAGGUUUUGACUCCUGUAUCAUGCAAUUGUCCUCUGUUCUUGUUUCGAGCUGUUUUCUGUCAGGGUUGUCAAGGCUGGGCAUCAUGUCGUCCCCCUCCUCCAACAAUGGUGAUAACGAUGCUUGGCUAAUGAAGAUAGAGCUGAAGAGGGAAGAACCCAUGGAGAUCAACAAGGAUGAAGGGAUCAAGAAGGCCACGGAGAACCAAGUUCCGGCAACAGAAGACAUCCUUCAACCUGAUCACAAUCUUCUUACCCCAACUGAGAUCGAAGCUUUCAAGAUGAUUGAGCUAGCUCGUAUACAAAACAAGUAUCUCACACGUGAAAAUAUUUUGUUGAAGGAGCAUAUUGUUGCACUCAAGGGCAUUAUCCGCAAGCUGGAGGAUCUCUUACGCUCGAUGUGCGACUACCCAUCAUCACCACCAUCCUCUUCACCAACAAAGGAGACAUAAUCACAUGGGUAUGGGCACUCCCCUUGGCAACUGCCAAGCUUGGGGGAGGUGCCCCGGUAUCGUAUCACCAUCACAUCUCUAUCUUUACCGCUUUUCUUAGUUCGAUCCUAUUAGUAGUAUCUUGAUCUAGUAGAAUAAAGUUUUGGUAUGAUCUAGUUUUGAGUUUUGCUUUAUGAUCCCUCUACGUAAUCGAGUCCGUGAGCUAUAUAAUAAAGAUUAGUGUUGAGUCAAGGGCUUGAUUAUUUGCUAUGAUCUUGAGUGAAUAAAAGAAAAGAGAAAAGAAUAAAAAGAAAUUAAAAAGAGGUCAUAUUGAUCUUAUUGAGAGUAAUGACUUCACAUAGAAAGAGUAUGAUGAUUAAAAAUUGUUGAGAGUUGACAAACAUAGCCUUGGUCAUCGUUGCAAUUAAUAGGAAGUAAUAAAGAAAGAGAGGUUUCAUCAAAAAUAUACUAUCUUGGACAUCUUUUAUGAUUGGGAGCACUCAUUAAAAUAUGACAUGCUAAAGAGUUGAUGUUGGACAAGGAAGACAACGUAAUGGGUUCUGUUUUCUUAUAUCUAAGAUAAAGUAUAUUGUCAUGGAUCAUCCAACAUGUUGAGCUUGCCUUUCCCCCUCAUGCUAGCCAAAUUCUUUGCACCAAGUAGAGAUACUACUUGUGCUUCCAAAUACCCCUAAACCCAGUUUUGCCAUGAGAGUCCACCAUACCUACCUAUGGAUUGAGUAAGAUCCUUCAAGUAAGUUGUCAUCGGCGCAAGCAAUAAACAUUGCUCUCUAAAUAUGUAUGAUUGAUUGGUGUGGAGGAAGUAAGCUUUAUACGAUCUUGUGAUGUGGAAGAAAUAAAAGCGACAGACUGCAUAAUAAAGGUUCAUAUCACAAGUGGCAAUAUAAAGUGUCGUUCUUUCGCAUUAAGAUUUUGUGCAUCCAACCUUGAAAGCGCAUGGCAACCUCUGCUUCCCUCUGCGAAGGGCCUAUCUUUUAUUAUUACCUUCUACCUUAUGCAAGAGUCAUGGUGAUCUUCACCUUUCCUUUUUACAUUUUAUCCUUUGGCAAGCACAGGAUGUUGGAAAGAUCCUAAUAGAUAUAUCUAAUUGGAUAUGGGUUAGCAUGAAUUAUUACUGUUGACAUUACCCUUGAGGUAAAAGGUUGGGAGGCGAAACUAUAAGCCCCUAUCUUUCUCUGUGUCCGAUUAAAACUCCAUAACCACAAGUAUUGCGUGAGUGUUAGCAAUUAUGAAAGAUUAAAUGAUAGUUGAGUAUGUGGACUUGCUAGAAAUCUCUGACAUAGACUCUUUCUGAUGUUAUGAUAAAUUGCAAUUGCUUCAAUGACUGAGAUUACAGUUUGUUGGUUCUCAAUAAAGUUUCUGAUUCAUACUUUGCAUUGUGAAUAGAUUAUUACUUGAGCAUAAGAAAUCAUAUGACAAUAUCCAUAUAUGUUGCUGUUAUAAGAAUGAUCAUGAUGCCCUCAUGUCCGUAUUUUAUUUUAUCGACACCUCUACCUCUAAACAUGUGGACAUAUUUAUCGUUAUCGUUAUCGUCUUUCGCUUGAGGACAAGCGAGGUCUAAGCAUGGGGGAGUUGAUACGUCCAUUUUGCAUCAUGCUUUUAUAUCGAUAUUUAUUGCAUUAUGGGCUGUUAUUACGCAUUAUGUCACAAUACUUAUGCCUAUUCUCUCUUAUUUUACAAGGUUUACAUAAGGAGGGAGAAUGCCGGCAGCUGGAAUUCUGGGCUGGAAAAGGAGCAAAUAUUAGAGACCUAUUCUGCACAACUCCAAAAGUCCUGAAACUCCACGAAAGUUAUUUUUGGAAAUAAUAAAAAAUACUGAGCGGAAGAAAUACGUCAGGGGGGCCUCCACCUGUCCACGAUGGUGGGGGGCGCGCCCCCUGCCUCGUGGGCCCCCUGUUGGCCCUCCGGUGCCCAUCUUCUGCUAUAUGAAGUCUUUCGUCCGAUGAAAAAUCAUAGGCAAGCUUUCGGGACGAGACUCCGCAGCCACGAGGCGGAACCUUGGCGGAACCAAUCUAGGGCUCCGGCAGAGCUGUUCUGCCGGGGAAACUUCCCUCCGGGAGGGGGAAAUCAUCGCCAUCGUCAUCACCAACGCUCCUCUCAUCGGGAGAGGGCAAUCUCCAUCAACAUCUUCACCAGCACCAUCUCCUCUCAAACCCUAGUUCAUCUCUUGUAUCCAAUUCUUGUCUCUAAGUCUGGGAUUGGUACCUGUAGGUUGCUAGUAGUGUUGAUCACUCCUUGUAGUUGAUGCUAGUUGGUUUAUUUGGUGGAAGAUCAUAUGUUCAGAUCCUAUAUGCAUAUUAAUACUCCUCUGAUUAUGAACAUGAAUAUGCUUUUUGAGUAGUUACGUUUGUUCCUGAGGACAUGGGAGGAGUCUUGCUAUUAGUAGUCAUGUGAAUUUGGUAUUCGUUCGAUAUUUUGAUGAGAUGUAUGUUGUCUAUCCUCUAGUGGUGUUAUGUGAACGUCGACUACAUAACACUUCACCAUUAUUUGGGCCUAGAGGAAGGCAUUGGGAAGUAAUAAGUAGAUGAUGGGUUGCUAGAGUGACAGAAGCUUAAACCCUACUUUAUGUGUUGCUUCGUAAUGGGCUGAUUUGGAUCCAUAUGUUUCAUGCUAUGGUUAGGUUUACCUUAAUACUUUUGUUGUAGUUGCGGAUGCUUGCAAUAGAGGUUAAUCAUAAGUGGGAUGCUUGUCCAAGUAAGGGCAGCAUCCAAGCACCGGUCCACCCACAUAUCAAAUUAUCAAAGUACCGAACGCGAAUCAUAUGAACGUGAUGAAAACUAGCUUGACGAUAAUUCCCAGGUGUCCUCGGGAGCGCUUUUCUCUACAUAAGAGUUUGUCCAGGCUUGUCCUUUGCUACAAAAAGGAUUGGGCCACCUUGCUGCACUUUAUUUACUUUUGUUAUUUGAUGCUCGUUACAAAUUAUCCUAUCACAAAACUAUCUGUUACCUAUAAUUUCAGUGCUUGCAGAGAAUACCUUGCUGAAAACCGCUUAUCAUUUCCUUCUGCUCCUCGUUGGGUUCGACACUCUUACUUAUCGAAAGGACUAUGAUAGAUCCCCUAUACUUGUGGGUCAUCACCCUGCAUGCAGCGCCUCCUACAGUCACGGCACUGCCGCCCGCGGCCCCCUUGGCACCCGNNNNNNNNNNNNNNNNNNNNNNNNNNNNNNNNNNNNNNNNNNNNNNNNNNNNNNNNNNNNNNNNNNNNNNNNNNNNNNNNNNNNNNNNNNNNNNNNNNNNNNNNNNNNNNNNNNNNNNCUCGGAUGACUACGUCCAUGUGGCAUCCACCUCUGAGUCGUUGUCGUUACCGUCCUCCAUUUGAGCCGCUCUUCGUGACCCGCUCAGGAUGGCUGCGAAGCAAGAGGAGUUUGACGCCCUAUUGCGUAACCGGACGUGGCAGCGUGUUCCCCAUCCCUGGCACGCCAACGUGAUUACCGGGAAGUGGGUCUUUAAACACAAGCUCCGUCCUGAUGGUACCCUUGAUCGCUAUAAAGCGCGCUGGGUCGUUCGUGGCUUCCGACAGCUUGCUGGCAUCGACUUCACCGACACCUUUGCUCUGGUCAUCAAGCCCGGCACGAUACACAUGGUUCUCCACCUUGCGGUCUCUCGUGCUUGGCGGUGCACCAGAUGGACGUCGCCAAAACCUUCCUCCAUGGUCACCUUGAAGAGUAGGUCUUCUGCCAGCAGCCCACCGGGUUUGUGGACCCGGCGCUUCCUGACCACGUGUGCCUGCUUUCACGGUCCUUGUACGGACUCAAGUAGGCUCCGCGCGCUUGGUACCAGCGCAUCGCGUUGUUUCUCCACUAGCUUGGGUUCCGCUCUACCCGCUCGGACGCCUCGCUCUUCGUCUAUCAUCAGGGCUCUGACACGGCCUAAUUGCUGCUCCAUGUCGACGACAUCAUCCUGACGGCAUGUACGGCUGGUCUCCUUAGCCAGCUCACGGCUCGUCUUCGCGCUGAGUUCGCCAUCAAGGACUUGGGUCCUUUGCACUACUUCCUAGGUGUCGAGGUGGUGCGCCGUCCGGAUGGCUUCUUCCUUCAUCAGCGAAGUACGCUCACGAGCUCCUGGGGCGCUCCGGCAUGCUUAACUGCAAGCCCGCCGCUAUGCCUGUUGAUACGAAGGCCAAGCUUUCUGCCACGGAUGGUUCUCCUGCUUCGGAUGCUGCUUUCUAUCGGUCUAUCGUUGGUGCUCUCCAGUACCUCACUCUGACUCGACCGAAGAUCUAGUAUGCCGUGCAGCAGGUGUGUCUUCAUAUGCAUGCUCCUUGAGACGUUCACUGGGCUGCCGUCAAGCGGAUUCUCCGCCAUAUCUGUGGCACUAUGGAUCUUGGCGUCACGCUUCACGCCUCCGCCGACACCGCCCUCACCGCCUACUCCGAUGCAGACUUGGCGGGCUGCCCUGACACUCGUCGCUCCACUUCGGGCUAUUGUGUCUACCUUGGACCCUCACUUAUCUCGUGGUCGUCCAAGCCGCAACCUACGGUCUCUCGUUCCAGUGCUGAAGCUGAGUAUCGCGCGGUGGCCAACGCCGUCGCCGAGUGUUCGUGGCUUCGCCAGCUGCUUCAGGAGCUCUCUUGUCCUGUUGACCAUGCCACGGUGGUCUACUACGACAACGUCUCGGCGGUCAACCUCUCCACUAACCCGGUGCAUCAUUGACGGACCAAGCAUAUUGAGUUGGAUAUUCAUUUUUUUCGGGAAUAGGCGACCCUUGGCCAUAUUCGUGUUUUACACGUCCCUACUUCCCAACAAUUUGCCGAUAUCAUGACCAAGGGCUUGCCUACGACGUCAUUUGAGGAGUUCCGGCCCAGUCUUUGCGUCAGUUGCGGUGCUGCUUCGACUGCGGGGGGUGUUGAGUAUAUGUGUUAUGUGCAUAUUGUGUAUUGGGCCCACCUCCUAGUUCCAUGCAUGUAUAGUUGAGGUUCGUGGCCCACCUUUGUACAUCAUAUAUACAUGCCUAUGCAUGAAGAGCAAUACAUCGUGCAAUCAUACACAGAGGAGUAGUGUACAUUGGUCUCUAGUGCACUUUGCUCAACAAAUUGGGUGAAAAUGUUCAGUAGAACCAUGCAAGUCUUCAUACUUUUUCUCAUGGCACAGGUUUGCCUUGUCUUGAUGAUGGCCGCACCGUUUGCACAAGCCGCUGGGAGGCCUGUGGCAUCCUUACCAUGGAUUGCGGGGUGUUGCCCGAGGAACUAUUUGUGUUGUGGUGUUGGUGCGGUUGCCCCGACAUCCCAUGCAUUGCAGGCCACCCCUGUACCUUGAGUUAUGGUUUCGCUUGAUCUCCUCUCAUAACAUAGUUGAUAUAACAUAGUAGCAUCACAAAGGUUGCAUGGUUUCAUUGAUUCAUCUCUUUUCUACUGCUUGAAUCUUGUGAUGCCGCUUUUGAACAAUGUCAUUCCUAUGUCUUCUUAUAACUAAUAAAAUGUGAGGAUAUUUUUAUCUUAUUUGAAUUGUGUUGUAACAUUACCUACUAAUGUGGAUGAUCUGGGUGGACUACAUAGAUCAGAUCUUGUAAAGAUGUAAUCUAGGACUUUGCGAGAUGAUGAAAUUGUCCUUUAUCUUGGUCACCUUUUCGUAGAAGUGUUGGUCGGCUGUCGGCAUCCCUUAAUUUGUGUCUUCUUGUAGUGCAUGCUCUAGAAUCAUCCAUAUUUUGUAGUUUUACAAUAACCUUUGAGGCAAAUGGGGCGUGGUACGUCUGAGGAAGUCAGUUCACCAAAGCAAUGCCCCCCCCCCCUCCAAAAAAAGAAAAACCAAUUAUGUGUGCCAUGGGCGUACAGUGAAACCACUUCCUUUCGACAUGCAAGCCAUCAAUAUUCAUAAUGAGAUCUCGAACAUGGAUGCCAAGUAAUUCGCCCCGUGCUGAUGUCGUCAGGCAACCCGCUCACUUUUUUAUGAACAAAGUAAGGCACCGACCGGUGCCAAUUUCAUUCAGCUCAAAGAAAUAGUACAUCAGGGAAUACAAUGGCAUGAAGAAAACAGAGAAGAGUGGGUACAACCAUUGGAAGUGAGCCAAAGAAAAAUACUACAGAUAGGCUGGCUGAAACACCAACCAGAUGAACUACUCAAAGAACAGAUACAUCUGAAGAAAAUUCAGGAUGGAGGCAGAGUAGAGUGGGCACUGCAUGAAGAAGAUCUAAAUACGCCUUAGAACCACUGAAAGAACAGUAAUCUUGUUUGAUGUCCUCAACAGAAGCCAGCUUGAUUGUAAAUGUGCUUCCUCGAUAGAAGUCCUCAGAACCAUGUGCUCUACUAGUAACAAUGCACCGCAUGCAACCUGAAUCCUUGAACCUGGAAAUUGGAAAUAAGAGACACCACUGGAUAGGAAGCAUGUGAAUGAUUAGAAGCAAAACAAGAAACUUGAGUAUUGCAUCAGACCGAAGUACCUGUUGCGCAAGAUUGUGAGCAAUACCAUUAAUUUCUCGAGAAAUAUGAAACACCUUAGGAUGCAAAUUAGAAGUACAUUUGAAAAAAAAUAGCCAGUGCUUUUCUGAUACUCCAGGGAGAUGUGGGCUCAGAGAUGUUCCCCAAAGUAGCAAACUUAGCUAAUGAAAGACAGUCCAUUAAGAAAGUGGGAGAAGAAACAUUCAGCUGAGAGGCCAAAUGAGCAGCAAAAGAAAGAGCAAUCACCUCAGCUUGCAAAGGAGUAGAGGUUGGGGGAGCCGAAGCUUGAAUUUGUACAUUGUAAUCCCCUCGAUUACAAGGCACAGAGAUGAAAACUCCCACACCUGUAGCAACUUCUCCUUGCAUUAAACCAGGAAUCUUGUUAGACCCGAAAGUUGCGUCAGAAUAUACUUUAGAACCAACAAUUAGUAAAUCUGAUCUAAGUGUAUCUCCCUGUGUAGGGAGAUGAUCCGCAAAAGGCUGAUCCCGAGGUUGAGACUGCUUCAUAGGGAAACAUGGGAGAUUAUCAUAGGAAUCCGGAAGUAAGGCAGUAGUAGCAAUCUGAACUUGGUGAGGAGAAGCUUUUUCCCUGUCAAAGAGAAAAUCAUUCCUAGCUUUCCAGAGCCACCACAAAAAGUUGAGAAUAUUAAAAAUGGAUCCAUGAGGAUGACCCAUACGAACGAAAGCAAUAAGAACCGAGUGAAUAGUGGAAUGGCCUUGGAUUAAGACAUCUGAUCUAAUGAACCAAGGAGAGGAAAACCAGGCCACACGAGCAAAGUGACACAGGAAAAACAAAUGAAACUCAUCCUCUUGUUGGCCACAUCUACAACAAUUCUGAGAAAUGUGAAUGGAGAAACGGCCUACUCGCAAACCCGUAGGUAAAGCCUUUCUAAGUAAUCUCAAAGCAAAAGUUUACACCCUAGGAAGCAUAUGCUUUCGUUUCCAAAUCAAUUUAAGCGGGCUUUUUAAAUCCAAGGAAACAGCAGCAUGCACAUUUCUAGUAUUAGCAUAAAUCUCUUGCAAACAAAGUUUAUAACCAGACUUAGAACAGCAAAUGCCAUUAGGAGUGAGAUCCCAACAUAGCAAAUCUGGACCAUCAUCAUCAAUAAUUUCAGUUUGAACAAUGAUAGAGGCCAUAGGUUGGAGAAAAAGAGAGAAAACAAGAUCAUGAUUCCAACUAUUUUGCCCCGGAAGCCAGAGAUCUCUAACUAUAGAUGGGUAAGCAAAACCAGCUUGCUGAGGAAUGAGAUGGUCAUGGAUAGAGUUCCAAAGACUACACCAAGGCAUGCUCCAAAUGGAAAUGUUUCCCUGAGUUAAUUGAUAGAAAGAAUGAGCCUUAAGUUUAGGUAACAUUUUCAAAAUAGAAGCCCAGAACGCAGAUUUAGGAGGGGUCGCAGCAGCUGUCCAAAUGGAAGUACCAUGAAAAUACUUAGCCUUAAGAACUAGGUACAAGUGAGAAGAAGGAAAUUUAGCUAACCUCUAAGCAGCAGCCAAAAGAAGGCUCUCAUUAAUGGCUUUUAAAUUCCUAAUACUCAGACCACCUUCUUUAGAGUUGCAAAUAUCCUUCCAAGCUCUAAAACAAAGACUUUUCUUAGAAUCAUUUUCUCGCACACCCGUUCACCAGAAAUUCCUAAUAACAGCCGUCAGCUUAGCAAUGAAUUUCUUUGUAAACAAGAUAUUAGCCAUAUAAUAGACCGGAAUAGCCGAGAAAACAGAACAGAUCAAUUCAUGUCUAGCAGCAUGAGAAAGCAUGUUAGCUUUAUAAGUGGGCAGUUUAUUUAAAAAUUUGUCAAGAAAAAAGUUGUAAGCUGCAACUCUAUUUUUAGCAGGAAGAACAAGCGGGUGACCAAGGUGGGUGAAGUUACUAUCCAAAGUAGCAACCGGAAAGAUUUUCCUAAUCUCCUACAUAGCUGUAUGAGAAACAUGAGAGCUAAAAAGAAUAGCAGAUUUAGCCCAAUUUGGAAUUUGACCUGAGAUAGAACAAAAGUCACUACUAGAAAACAGGGCUUUCGUUCGGGCCUGGCCAGCCCAUUAGUCCAGGUUCCGCACGAACCGGGACCCAUGGGGUGCAUUAGUCCCGGUUCGUGAGCCCAGGGGGCCGGCCGGGCCACGUGGGCCACUGGUCCCGGUUCGUCUGGACCUUUUGGUCCCGGUUCAACGCACGAACCGGGACCAAUGCGCCUCGCCCCUGGCCCAUGACCAUUAGUCCCGGUUUGUGCCACAAACCGAGACUAAAGGGUUGGUCCUUGUUGCGGCCAGAGUUUAGUCCCACCUCGACGACCGAAGGGCGCUCACACCGGUUUAUAAGCCCGUCCCUCUGUGCCUUGUUGAGCUCCUCUCAAAAUGAAAAUAGAUGCCCUUAUACAGGGAAUUUGACCAAAAUUCAUAGUGAGUUUCUCUGAAAUUCAUCCAAAUUUAUUAUGAAUUUAGGUUGAAUUUUCUCUAUAGGCGCAUCUAUGCUCAUUUUUUUAUGUUGGGGUUGGCGAUCUUUACAGACUUUUUGUGUGUUGAAUAUGCACCAUUCAAAAUCAGUCUCUGCUUUGAAUGGUUCAUUUUGAACACACAAAAAGUCUGGAGUUCAAAUAAGUUCAAGAAAAUGAAAUCCCUUUGUAACAGAUGAGUUUUCGUCCGAAACCCUGAUACUUCGAAAGAGAUUGUCCAUUUUGUUCACGAAGUGCAUCCACCUUUUGCGGGGACCCUCUCAACUUUCUUGCACAUGCUAUGUGGAUGACAUGAUGAUACCAUGCCAACUUUCAACCUUUUCAGAGUUCAUUUGAAAUGCUUUUCAAUUUUAGGGUCUUAUAGCUCAAAAUAAUUAGUAAAUGCAUGAAAAAUAACAAAUGAAGUCAGAAAGGAUUGAAAAAUGAUGAUGUGGCUUUGAAUGGUGCAUUUUGAACACACAAAAAGUCAGGAGUUCAAAUAAGUUUAAAAAAAUGAAAUCCCUUUGUAACAGACGAGUUUCCGUAUGAAAUCCCGAUACUUUGAAAGAGAUUGUCCUUUUGUACACGAAGUGCAUCCAGUUUUUGUCGUAACCCUCUCAACUUUCUUGCACAUGCUAUGUGGAUGAAAUGAUGAUACCAUGCCAACUUUCAACCUUUUCAGAGUUCAUUUGAAAUGCCUUUCAAUUUAUGGUCUUAUAGCUCAAAAUAAUUAGUAAAUGCAUGAAAAAUAACAAAUGAAGUCAUAAAGGAUUGAAGUGGCUUUGAAUGGUGCAUUUAGAACACACAAAAAGUCAAGAGUUCAAAUAAGUUUUAAAAAAUGAAAUCUCUUUGUAACAGACGAGUUUCCGUAUGAAAUCCUGAUACUUUGAAAGAGAUUGUCCGUUUUGUACACGAAGUGCAUCCAGUUUUUGCCGGGACCCUCUCAACUUUCUUGCACAUGCUAUGUGGAUGAAAUGAUGAUACCAUGCCAACUUUCAACCUUUUCAGAGUUCAUUUGAAAUGCCUUUCAAUUUUAGGGUCUUAUAGCUCAAAAUAAUUAGUAAAUGCAUGAAAAAUAACAAAUGAAGUCAGAAAGGAUUGAAAAAUGAUGAUGUGGCUUUGAAUGGUGCAUUUUGAACACACAAAAAGUCAGGAGUUCAAAUAAGUUUUAAAAAAUGAAAUCCCUUUGUAACAGACGAGUUUCCGUAUGAAAUCCUGAUACUUUGAAAGAGAUUGUCCGUUUUGUACACGAAGUGCAUCCAGUUUUUGCCGGGACCCUCUCAACUUUCUUGCACAUGCUAUGUGGAUGAAAUGAUGAUACCAUGCCAACUUUCAACCUUUUCAGAGUUCAUUUGAAAUGCUUUUCAAUUUUAGGGUCUUAUAGCUCAAAAUAAUUAGUAAAUGCAUGAAAAAUAACAAAUGAAGUCAGAAAGGAUUGAAAAAUGAUGAUGUGGCUUUGAAUUGUGCAUUUUGAACACACAAAAAGUCAGGAGUUCAAAUAAGUUUUAAAAAAUGAAAUCCCUUUGUAACAGACUAAAGCUUCAUGUAUAUAAGGCACACUUGUGAAAAUUUUGGUUUGCAUCUUGCAGUUCGCCCCUGACGACGCGCGCGGAGAGGACGCCGCCAGGCUGUCGGACGCCGUCGCCAUCGCCCCCGCCCCGGAGCCCACGCCGACGCCGUCGCCGUCCGCCGCCCCCGCCCCGGAGCCCACGCCNNNNNNNNNNNNNNNNNNNNNNNNNNNNNNNNNNNNNNNNNNNNNNNNNNNNNNNNNNNNNNNNNNNNNNNNNNNNNNNNNNNNNNNNNNNNNNNNNNNNNNNNNNNNNNNNNNNNNNNNNNNNNNNNNNNNNNNNNNNNNNNNNNNNGUUAGAUUAGUUGAAUUAGAUGUUUUUCCAUGUAUUUUAGAUUUGUUGAAUUAGAUGUUUUUUUGUCAAUUUAUGUAUAUAUGUGCAUAUUUAGAAAAAAUGUGUUGAACUAGUUAAAUAUAAUAGAACUAGUUAAACAAGUUUAUUUUUAGUAAGUGCUUAGUAGUUGAACUAGUUGAUUUAAUAAAACUACUUUAUUUUACUAUAGAAGUGGUUUAUUUUAGUAAGUACUACUUUAUUUUAUUUAUAGUAAGUGCUUAAUUAGUAGUUGAACUAGUUGAUUUAAUAAAACUACUUUAUUUUACUAUAUAUAGAAGUAAUUUAUUUUUAGUAAGAACUACUUCAUUUUAUUUAUUUAUAGUAAGUGCUUAGUAGUUGAACUAGUUGAACUACUUUAUUUUAGCAAGAAAUUUAAUAGAACUAGUUUAUUUUUUUAGUUCAAGCAAUUAAUCCCGCAUCGACGUCGACGAUGCCUAUCCCGCAUCCUCGUCGUCGACUCGGCGGAGGAGGCCGGCUUGAUCAGAGGGGCCAUGUCUGGGACUGGGCUCCGCCGGGCUGGUUUUGGGAGGUGCUACCUUCCGGUGGGUGUAGGUUGGUGAGGAGCCAGCCCGUCGUUGACCUGAUCCUUGUUUGGUUGCGGUUGCGUGGGCCAGUGACGGUGCCGAGGCUUCCGGACACCGCGGAGGUGGUACGUCACCGUGUCAGCGAGGAGGACCAGCACGUCCAUCGCUACAUGUUUGCGUUGGAGGGCAGGUUCGACAAUACCUGGCAGGUUCUUCAGGGUUCUCACUGGAGCUAUGAUCCUGUGAUGGUUCCGUCCCUUUGGGUGUCCACCGCCCGCGCCGAUACCCGUCGGGCGCUACUGUUCUAGCUGUACUAGCGAUGCUAUAUGUAUGAUAGUAUUCGAGGCGUAUUAGUGAUAAUAUUCGACGAUGUACGGACGCAUGGAGAUGAUGUAGUUUUGCUUAUAAUUGAAUGCAUCCUAAUUUGAAUACUACUUUAUUUUGUGAUUUGAUUUUGCUUAUUGAAUGCUCAAAGUGGAAAACUACUCCUACUUUGAAUGCUAAAAUUGGAGAGCACUAUGCAAGGCGUAUGCAUAUGAUUAGUUGAUAGCUUAUAGGGUUUUUGUUUUCGCAGAAAUCUAGGAGCCCCCGGCCCCUCCAUCAUCCCCGCCGUCGUCCCCGUCACUGCCCCCUCCGACAUCGAGGUGAGACUAGCCAAAUCCUCUUUUAGAAAGAUAAUUAAACGAUAUUUCGGGUUGACUGUAAGUCUGUCGAGUCUCCACCAUAUAUGAGAGGACGAAGAAUCCCGACUGUUGUCGUGGGGGUAGCUUCUCCUUCGUUCCCGUGUGCUAGACAAUUUGCUGUAAUGCACUCGAGAACGAAAGGAGGAGCUACCAUACCAUCACCGACGGUCGCAAAUGUCAGAGAGGAAUCAGUGAGGGAGAGUUCCACCAUAUAUAUAUGAGAGGACGAAGAAUCCCGGCUGUUGUCGUGGGGGUCGCUUCUCCUUUGUUCCCGUGUGCUAGACAUUUUGGUGUAGUGCACUCGGGGACAAAUGGAGGAGCGACCAUCACCAACGGUCGAAUGUAUACACCACGUGAGCUGAGAGUUUUCAAGAAAAGACUCGACAAACCGAUAGUCAACCCGUGAUGAAUAAUAAUGAUCUAACUUAGGUUUUUUUUAGUACAUAUAUUUAAUUGUAGACGUUUAAUAUUUGAAUUACGAACAUAGGAAAUGUCGUACUCGGACGACGAAAGUCUCCCGGAGUGCGACUGGUGCCACGACGACCGAGGUCAGUGCGACAGGCCUUCCCUGGACGAAGAUCGGCGCUUCAGUAUUAACCUGGAGGAGACCUUCGAUGUUGAAACGGUACGCAAUGAUGACAAGUGUUAUUUUUUUGUAAUUAAGCACGACUUCAACUAUUUCAACGUGUACUUUUCAUCAUUUACAAUUCGGCUAGCUUAUCCCAUGCCAUGCAAGACGCUACGUCUUGGAGAGGAUGGGUUUUGAAGACCAUGAAAAUAUGGAAACAAAGAAACUUCACCUAAGGACCCAUCAUGAUAUAGAUUUUGAAGUAAAUCUGUAUAAUUCUAAGAGCGUAACCCAUUUUGGUUGCAAAAAUUGGGAAGCAUUUUUCAAGAUGUAUGGUUUUGAUGAGGGUAUGCUUGUCACCAUGGAUCUUGGUGAUCCUGACAUCGAGCAAGACAAUAUGGACAUUUGGGUCCUUGUUGAUACGCCUCCAAUUCUACCGCUAUGUGAGUUUCUCAAACAUAGUUAUUAGCUAAUUUAUAUUGUUCAUUUCAAAAUAGUUGACAGCUUAUUUUCAUUGACAGCUUAUUUGAUUGUUGAAACAAUGUGCGGAACAUGGUAGUCAGAACCUACUACACCGAUGGCUCUGAGUUAACUUAUAAGGAGAAAACUCAUCUGGUCGGAUUUUGUACUGAUCUUGAGAAUUACAAUAUCUAUUGUAAAACUCCUCCACAUUAUGGUCAAUAUGUGCCACUAGUGCACGUGUUGAACUACGGUAACUACUAUGGAGAUACCCUGGUAAGAUUUCUUACUAUUACGACAUCCAUGCAUCUUUUGCAUACUUCUAAAACUAGUACAUCAUUGCUAACUAUGAAGUUAUUACUAUAUUUUUUUAACAGAUAAUCCCAGAGGAUUGUGUGCCUCAUUUGAUGUAUCAGAAUGGUAGGCUUGAUGUUUUGAACAUACAACCAGGUCAUCCUACGAAUCGCAACUGUCCAUACCAGAUUUCUAAAAGAAGUGGAGACAUGCAAAUCAAAGAAUGGAAAAAAUGUAUGGACAGUCGCAAGGAGGUUCUUGGAAGCAAAAGGAAGCGAAGCGCAAGAAUGGAGACAGGAUGAUCUCCAGUCUCCAUAAUGGAGAGUCAGGGUCUAUAUUGUUUUAUGCUAUUUUACCUUAAAGAGGGUAUUUCGGUCCUACCUAAUACUGAUGAUCAUGUGCUAAGAACAAUUAAGUAGGGUUGGUUCGAUGACUAUGAGGAUGAUGAUCGUAUGACUGGUUAUUAAUAACGAGUAGAAGUUGUAUGAUGAUGAUUAGUAGGACUUGUUAUUAUAUAUGAUGAUGCAUGAUGCACGCAUGAAGAGUUAUUAUAUAUCAGCGGGUGAAAUGAUCAUGGAUUGGAUUGAAGUGAAGGCAACAUGCAUGUGGUGCAUGUCGAAAGUAGUACAAUCCAAACUUGAUCAAGUUAGGAUUAGUAUUACUUUCGACAUGCACCACAUGUUGCCUUCACUUCAAUCUAGGCCAUGUUUAGGCAUAGUAGUACGUAGCGUUGGUAAACCAAGCACGGAGAUAUAAGAGAGGACACUUCUCUCUAAUAGCUACCUAAUAACAACCUAAAUUAGCCCCCAAAACCCCUAAAUCAGCCCCUUUCAAACAAAAAAACCUCAGCUCCAGCCAGAUGCUGACGCGUGGAUGCCUAUUGGUCCCGGUUGGUGACACCAACCGGGACCAAAGGCCCCCCGGCCUGGGCUGGCCGCAGCGGCCACGUGGAGGCCCAUCUGUCCCGGUUCGUAUAAGAACCGGGACUAAAGGGUUAGGGCAUUAGUAACGAUCCGUUAGUCCCGGUUCAAAAACCGGGACAAAAGGCCCUUACCAACCGGGACAAUAGGCCCUUUUUCUAUUUGUGAGUGAUGAAUAAUAUUAGCCAUAGCAUGAGCCUCCUAUAAAGUGGCUUUCCCACAAACCAAAAGGGCAUCAGCAAAUAAAAGAGAGUGAAUGGAAGGACAAUCUGGACCAAGAGAAAUACCCUGGAGAUGAUGAGCAGCAAGCGCUUCAUUAAGAGCAAUGGAUAAUUCAUUUAUAGCAAUAACAAACAAAUAGGGGGAGAUAGGGCAACCUUGACGAAUACCUCAAAAACUUCUAAACUUGUGAGAAGGUUGUCCAUUAAUGAGCACAGAGAAAGUGGGAGAAGAGAUGCAAGCAUGAAUCAAAUUAAUAAAAUGACCAUGCAGCCCUUUGCGCGUAAGCGCCGACACUAUGAAAUUUCAUUCUAAACGAUCAAAAGCUUUGGCAAGAUCAAUUUUAAGCAUGAAAACAUUGUGUUUCCAAAAUUGAAGAGAAAAAGAGUGGGUAAUCUCCUGAGCAAUAAUAAUAUUAUCACUAAUUCUUCUACCCGGCGACCCGCUCACUGAUGUUUUGACUCACGGAGUCACUAUGUUCCCUUAAUGAUCUUUUCGUAUAUAACUGGUUGUUGCUUUAAUUAGAAGAAACCACACCAAUCGUAAUUGUUGUUAGUAAUGGAGCGGUAAGCAUAUGCAAAUCGAAGCACCAUUUUCCUUCUAAAUACACUUGUAAAAGCAUUAUGAGUGUCUUCUUCUGAUUUAAUAUUUAUGCAAGACACAUUAUGAGUGCCAGUUGUGUUGUAACUUUUUUUGCGAGGCACAACAACUGGAUUGUUGUCGAUAUAAGGGAAAACAUAAAAUAGUAUCAGAACUUCUGCAUUUAGAAACCUGUUACUAAUAUAUAGUGGCAUCUUUUUGCUCUCGAUCGAUGUCCUGGCAUGACAGGCUUUGUCGCUGUUCCCUCACCAUGGAGUGGGGAAGUAAAAUCGGUAAGUUAGCCUAUUUACCUAGUCGCCGUUCAUUUGUUCACCGAGUCAUGAGACAGCGGGAGGAAGGAGACGAAGGUCCCAAACGUGAGACCAAAAAGGUGGACUAGGGCUCGCCCUAGUUGUGCUCUCGGGUAUUUUUAGUUACUAGUAGGAGUAAGAAGCAUUGCAAAUUGCUCCCUCUGUUCAAUCCGUGCCAACCCUAGCCGCCCCUCCUCCUCACCACCCCCCUCGAACUAGAUCGCCGCCGCCUGAGGCAGCCGCCGGGCAAACGGGGCGCCAACGAUGGUGGCGGCGGGGCCUCGGUUGCCUUGCCUCUGCGUGGGGAACCCCGGAUCUGGAGCGGCGGCUCCAUUGGCAAGGCACGGACGGCUAGCAGCCGUGCGGGCGGUGGAUCUGGUGUCCCGGCCGCGCGGGCGGCGGGAUAAGGUGGUCGUUGGCGGCCGGCGAAGGCUUCUACGGCGGUCGGUGCGGGCGAUCUGGCACCUCCCUUCCUCCUCCGCUCGGCGUGCGGGCCAGCCUGGUCGGGCCGUGCUUCCUCUUGGUCGCCGGUUCUGUACAGGAGGCGCUGCUGGUGGCGGGGAUCUAGUUCGGGCGAAAUCCCUUGCCGGCCAUGACCGGCCGCGCCGACGGCGACGCCUGAGGGCGUCGUUCCGCUCCUUGGAGGCGUCGGUAUGGACUGAUCUCCUCACGGCGCCGUUCCCUUCUUGAAGGCGCCGCUUCGGGAACCUUGGGGUUGGGUGGCGCUUGUAGGUGGUUGGCGACGGCGGUGCUGCGGCCCUAUCCUAGCAUGGAUUUACGUCCGUUGCUUGGAGAUGGACUCGCGUAGGUGGAGGUCGUCGCCUGGCGUCGUGGUGGCGUCAAAGGCGGAGGACCUGCCAAGACUCGCGUAGGUGGAGGUCGUCAUUUGGCGUCGUGGUGGCGUCGAUGGCGGAGAACCUGCCAAGGUUGUCAUCUCAAUCGCUCUGAAGAUGGACCAGUGGAAUAUGGCGGCGACAACACAUGUGAGUGCGUCGGACCGGUUUGAGCCCCGGACCCGGUAGAUGGCUCGGUCGGGGCCUCCGGCUUUAGAUGUUAGGCUUAGGUGAGAGGUCUAGAUAUGUGGCCCAGCUUGCACCCCUUCAUCAUUUGAAUAGGAGUAGCGACAGAUGUUGCGAAGAUGACGGAUUCAAGUAUAUUGUUGUUCUACUUUGUAAGUUCCUCGAGAAUAAUCAAUAAAAUGGCCGCAUGCAUCUUCCAGAUGCAUAUGCCGGAGGUUAUCCUCCUUUUUUUUUAAAAUGUAGUCCAUAUUAAUAUAUUCAAAAUAUUUUAUAGUAUUUGUGAACGAAAGGAGUAAUUAAUAGUAAUGCAACAAUUUCAGUGGAGGCCAGUCAGCAGCUAACUAAAUGUGCUGGAUGAGACUGGAGAAAUGCAUAAACGAUUUACACAUGAUAGAACUACUCUUUUCUUAUUAAGGCGAAUCAGGUUCGUUACUGACUGCCAAAGUCACGGCCGUUUCUGCCUUUGACGCUGAUAAGAGAUUCUACACUGUAAGGCCUCGUUUGAAAUGGAGGGAUUCAGGAGGACUUGAGGUGUGGAGAUUGGAGGGGAUUUGAUGAAUCCCUCCCCUCCACCCAAUCUCCUCAACUCCCCUUGCAAUCAAUCCCUUCCUGAAAAAACGCGUUUGGUAGGCGGAGAGUGGAGGAGGCAUGCACUGCCGCUGCCCUCGAGGUUCUGCUUGUGCAAGGCCCUCGACUAGAGUUCUGAACCGCGCGGGUACGAGGGGAUUGGAAGGGAUCGGAGGGGGUUGGGCUGUGCAAACCCCACCUAUCAAAUGGGCCGAUGAGGUUUCGUGGGGCUUCUGGCCCUCCGGGGGUUCAUCCUCUCCAAACCUCCUGAAUCCUCCUGCGCCAAACGAGGCCUAAAGGAAAAGCUGAAAGCUCUCCUAUCUCGUGUGUUUCUCUUCUCUUGCACCUUGUCGGAAAACAGCGUGCACCAGGGACGCUUGAUUCCAUUGCAGGCAUCAGUUCAAUCUAUCAUGCUACAGGGAACCGGCACUAUCUUCUUUUUCUUCUUCUUUUAGGUCGUGAACGCAAGUCAUUUGAGACAUUCACAUGGGAUUACAUAAUCGGUACGUUGUGACGGAACUGGACGCACAUGAUGAAAUAGAUAGAUAUUCCUACGGUAGAUUUAUCAGCAUCAGUGUGGAGCUAAAGUGUUUGAUGUUUUGUAUGAAUGGUUUGGUCUGAACAAUAAAGCCGACCACUCAGGACCUACUUUUGGGCUUUUUUUUGUAUUAUUGUAUACUAGCAAAAGGGCCCGUGCGCGGAGAAAAAAAUUAUAAUCUUGAAUGGCCAAGAUCACAUUUUUUUGCAUCACCGACAUUUUUCAAAUUCAUGAACACUUUUACGAAUUUGCAAACAUAUUCUAAAAUCAAUAACAUAUUUUGAAUUCAUGAACAUUUUAUAGUAUUUACAAACAUUUUUAGAAAUUGUGAACAUUUUUUAACAAUUUUCUUGAAUAGGCAAAUAAUUCUAAAAUGGACGAACAUUGUUUUAGAAAUCGGUGGAACCAUUUUUGAAAUUCACGAACAUUUUUUGAUUUUACAAACAUAUUUUGAAAUGCAUGAUCAUUUUUUGAAUCAGCGAACAUUCUAUGAAUGAAUAAACUAUUUUGUAAGUCACGAAUAGUUUUUCAAAUAUUUGGUUAUUUCCCCAUUCAUGAACAUUUUUUGAAUGAUGAGAUGUUCUUCAAUUACAUUAAAAAAAAUUUAUACACGAAUUUUUAAAAAGUCAUGAACGUAUUUUGAUUUCAUGAACAUUUGUUUCCGAAAUUUCGAACAUUUUUUGAGUCAGAUUCCUUAAUAAAAUUGCAAAUAUUUUUUGAAUACACAAACAUUUUAUGAUUUAUCAAACCUUUAUUUGAAAAUUAUUUUCUAAAUUUCAAAUAUUUUUUUGUAUUCCGAAAUUAUUUAAAAAAUAAAAAAGGAAAAAGAUAAAAAGUGAAAUGUUAAAAACAGGCCGCCCGGACAUGGGCCCGCCCAGAUAUGCGGCCCACGCCUUAUCCCUCCCCGCAGAGCCGAGUAUGUGAGGUCCCUACUACAUGGGCCUGUCCAGACGGGGAUUUCCCUGUGUGAAACAUUUAUAUCACUUAUAUGUGACAUUUGUGGGUAAUUUCUAUGACGUGCCAUAAGAAGAAAUAGCCCCUUUUAUUACUAGCAAAAGGGUCCGUGCGUUGUAACGGGAGAAAUAAAAUCAAAAUCUCCAAUGACCAUGACCAUAUUUGCUACAUCACUGAGACACCCUAUCACUCUCAAUUUCAUGAAAUCAUGAAUAAUUUUUGAAAUCACGAACAUGUUUUAAAAUUCUUACACAUGUUUGGAAUCAUGAACAUUUUCCAAAUUCAUGAACACUCAUACAAAUUUUCAAACAUUUUCUAAAAUCAAGAACAUUUCUAGAAUUGAUGAAAAAAAUUAUACUAUUUGCAAACACUUAUUAAAAAUUCUGAACAUCUUUAUAAAUAAUUUUGUUUAAUCGGCAAACAUUUUAUGGAAAUUGAUGGAAAAAAAUUCGAAAUUCAAAAACAUUUUUCGUUUUGACUAAAUUUUUUGAAAUACAUGAUCAUUUUUUGAAACAGUGAACAUUUUCUGAAUGACUAAACUAUGUUGUAAGUCAAGAAAUAGUUUUUCAAUUUUAGGAUAUUUUUCCAUUCAUGAACAUUUUUUGAAUUAGCGAUUUAUUUCAAUUUCAUUAACAAUUUUUGAUACACAAAAUAUUUAGAAAAUCAUGAAUAUUAUUUGAUUUCCGAAAAUUUUGUUUUUAAAAUUUUGAACAUUUUUUGUGUAAGCAAUUAUUUUUUGCAAACUGCGACCAUAUUUUGAAUCCACAAGUAUUUUAUGAUUUAUGAAAAAUUUAUGUCAAAUUCUCAUUUUUUUUUUCGAAACUAUUUUGAAAUCUCAAAAUAUUUAUAGUAGAAAAGAAAAAAACAGGAAAGAAAAAUUAAAAUGGAAAACGAAAUUAAAAAAACAGGCCAGCCUGUAAUGGGCCAGCCCAAACAUGCGGGUAGCGUCUUCUCCCAGCGUGCAGAUAGCAUUAAAGGAGGUCCCAAGUGUAGGGCCGGCCCAGAUGGGGGAAUUCCCCUGUGUGAAUUUUUUUAUCACUUAUAUGUGGCAUUGAACUCAUGAAUCAUGCGCUAUCACAUCCAGCUAGCCGCCAUGUCUCGCUCGGACAACCAGAUGAACUUUCUUUCGUCCCUGUAAACAUUUUGACGAUAUAAUAAAAAGCUUUGGAAUUUGUCUAAAAAAAACUUAUAAGUGGCAUUGGUGGGUAAUAUUUUGUAACUUUAGAGGUAAUUUCCACGACGUACCACUAGAAGCGCAAUAGCCCAUUUACUAUUAUUAGGUACUCUUUUUUCCUUGUGGAGGUUUGGAAAUGAGAGAAUUUGAAUAUAGUAACUCUCGAAAACUCUUAUUGGACGAGAGAGAUUUAAUAUGAUAUUGGCAUGGGUUCUACCAACUAAACGAAGAAGUAUUUGACUGGAUAAACAGACAAUUUCCUUUAAUUGACAAACAUUUUUAUGAAAAUUGGUGGAACAACUUUUGAAAUUCAAAAAUAUUUUUUGAGUUAAUGAACAUUCUUUUAACUUAAUGAACAUUUUUUUUAAAUACAUGACCAUUUUUUUGAAUCUGUGAACGUUGUAUGAAUGAAUAAACUAGUUUCUAAGUCAUGAGCAGUUAUUCAAUUUUUAAGAUAUUUUUUCCUUCAUGAACAUUUUUUCAAUUGGUGAAAUUUUGUUCAAUUUCAUUAACAACCCUUUUUAAAAAAUCAUGAACAUUAUAUUUUACCAAAAAAGCAAAUUGUUUUUUUACAAAAUCGUGGACAUUUUUUGAAUCCACAAACCUUUUAUGAUUUAUGAAAUCCUAAAUUAUUUAAAGUAGAAAAAUCAUAAAAAGAAAAGAGAAAGGAAUAAUAGAAAACGAAGUUACAAAAAUAGGCCGACCGAACAUGGGCCGGCCCCAAACAGGCGCACUGCAUCUUCUCCGAGCGCCUAGAGCGUAGUAUAGGAGGUCCCUACUGCAUGGGCUGGCCUAAGCGUUGUCAAAUUUAUUCAUAUAUUAUUUUCGAUUGUACAACCAUAAUUUUUCUUAUCUCUCUCGUUCCACUACAUGCUCCUAGUCAAUGAAUUUCUUUAAUAAUGGUUGUUUUUAUUAACUCAAAAUAUAGCAUCAAGCAGAUACAAAACAUAAUGAGCCACACCCGGUCUAUGCAUAACUAAGAUGCACACAGCCAAAAGCAGAAGUCUGACAAAAAUAAGAUAAGAAGAUCGAUAUAUCGACAACAGUGAGUCAUAUAGUUGGUUUUGGGUUGGGAACGGCGGUGGCCUGCCAGAGGGCAAGACACUGGCUGUGUACGCUGGUGUCACCUGGUGUGGCAUUCGUGGGACCCAAGUGGUAGCGCCUCCUCAGUGAUGGCGGCGAGCGCGGACGUGUUGGACACCACCUCGUCUAUGUCCAUGCAGCCCACUUCUUUCUCUGUAGGAAGGACGCGGUUACACUCGCGUUGACAUCGGAUGACUCGGUCACAGGCACGGGAGGGGUGAGAGGACAUGGCACCGUCAAUGGCAGCCACGAUGCCCGUGCCACCGUGCUCCCUCCCUGUGCCGACCUGGAGCAACUUGCCACUCCUCGGCUCGUGGCCGGCGGGCUUUACGGGCCACCUAGCCAUUUUUAUGCCAGACAACUCUUCUUCCUGCUCGUCAGAUGCCAUGGAGAAAACUGUUCAAGGAGGAAAAUGGUGAGUGGAGGUGUGAUGCGGUUCUUGCCCGACAUCUGGCAUUGUUUAAAUAGCGAGGGGACACGAGGAGCCAAGCGACAUUCUGUUUAAUGCCAACCGGCUCACGAAUGAACAUGUGGCCGGAGUAAUUAUCCUGGAACACACGUGGGUUUAAUGAUGGAAGGCGGGCAGUCUGCAAGAAUGAGGCGAGGAUGUGUGUUUAGCCGGCGUGCAGCGGGCGGCGCCCUCGGCCGGCGCUCUGCUUCCAUUGCGGAGGCAGUGAGAGGCCGCGUCCGCUCUGCAGCGCAUGAAUGCGGGCAGCUGGCGCAGAGCGGGAACGCGUGCGGGCGAGGGAGGAGGGGGUUUGGGUGGGCAUGGGUGGUCAGAAGCGGUCGUGGGUGUUGUCCGAACACCUGCAAAGCCCCCCUCCAUGUUUGUCUCCGGUUUACGGGAGAAAGUACGUCCAGACCUUCCAAUGGACCGAUACAGGCCCGCAUUGGAUGGCACAACACGUCCGGACCAUGUGGUCCGGAUGGUUCAGGACGGUUUAAUUGAGGGUUGACGUUGGAGAUGCCUUAGAGUUUAUGAAUCCAUUGUGUUUUUCUAAUCAUAAAAAAACACUUAUAAUAAGUUAGAAGGAAAGACACGUUUAUAUGUUAGGUUCAGACUCCAGCUUUCCUCUUACAUAUGCUUUAUUCUGAUCCGACUGAUUCCAAUAGAGGGAGCCUGGCGUUGUUUUUCUGGAAACUCGCGGGAUAAAGAGACUUGCAUACACAUUCUUUCAAGCAAAUCACAUCCAUUCUUUUAACUCAUUUUUCUUAUUUUAAUAAUAUAAUAGAUCAUUUAUAUUUUUUAUCUCAAACAGUUGACGUGUAAUUUAUAUUGUAAUCUGAGGAUAAUGUUUGGAUUUUACUUUCAAAUAUAUUUGAAAUGGCCAUGAUGGAAUCACAUCCAUUUAUUUUAUUAUUAUUUGAAUUUGAUCCAAAAGAUAAAUAAUGAGUAGAGGUCAUGUCAACUUUUCUAGAACUUUGCUAAUCAAAAUAUAAUUUGUAUUUAAAAACAUCUAUUUUUUAGCACGCAUGAAAAACAUAACAUUGUAUCUUUUCACACAUAAUGAACGGUUGUCAUAAGAACUCAUGCCAUGCCACAACCUCCCUCCGACCCUGCCAACAUUGUUGCAGAUGCACUAGCAAGCCUUAGCGUAGAUGAUCAUUUAUACGAUUUGCGUAAAACAAAAUAAGAUCUACAAACGAAUAGAAGCUAGAACGUACCUUGGCAUGCACACACAUUGCAAGCCAUACUAAGCUGACAAGUGUUAAUAACUUGUACAAUAUAUACAACACUUAAGACAAGUAAAAACAAUUUCACGAGUCAUGGUCUAUCAAAGCAAGCCACAUUACUAGUCUAAUCCAUCUUAACAGGUCACACAUGAUUAAAAUCUUGUUUGUGUGCAAGUCAAGCUUAUCUAGUUUACAUGUAACAACUUGUAGAACAUUACAAAAUUUAUGUUUGCUAAUAACUUCUAGAACACUACAACACUUGACAUGUAAAAGGAAUUUGAUGAGUCAUGGCCUACUAAAGCAAGUUAUAUUACUAGUCUUAUCUACCUUAACAGGCCACACAAGAUUACAAACUAAGUAACGUGCCAGCCAUGCUUAUCUAGUUUAUGCGCAACAAUUCGCAGAAAAUUACAAACUUAGUUUCAGAAAAUAGGUAAUCUAGAUUAGUGUUUGAGCUGUAAAGUAAAUAAGAUGAGUCAAGCGUGUUAUCACACGUUUUUGGUUGUGGAAUGAUAGUGCAAUAACAAGGAACUUUAAUGACCAGUCCAAGAAUACACUUGUAAGUAGUGCUACCGAACACAACAUACCAAAUUAUGAUUUUGAGAAGCAUCCAAGCACUUUCCACACAGGCAAAUGCCAAUUGUGAAAGAGAUCAUGCCAUGGUAGCUAUAAAUACGCUCGUAGCAUGAUGACCAUCCUUCCUCAUCCAUCAUUCUCAUAAGUAGAGUGCAUCAUUUAAGCCAAGCAAGCAGUGGUCAAUACAAAUCCAUCAUGAAGACCAUUCUCAUCCUUGCCCUCCUUACUAUCGUGGCGACCACCGCCACAACUGCAGUUAGAGUCCAAGUUCCACAAUUGUAGCCACAAAAUCCAUCUCAGCAACAGCCACAAGAGCAAGUUCCAUUGGUACAACAACAACAAUUUCCAGGGCAGCAACAACCAUUUCCACCACAACAGCCAUAUCCGCGGCCGCAACCAUUUUCAUCACAACAACCAUAUCUGCAGCUGCAACCAUUUCCGCAGCCGCAACUACCAUAUCCGCAGCCGCAACCAUUUCGACCACAACAACCAUAUCCACAACCGCAACCACAGUAUUAGCAACCACAACAACCAAUUUCGCAGCUGCAGCAGCAACAACAACAACAAUAGCAACAACAACAGCAACAAAAACAGCAGCAACAACAACAGCAGCAGCAACAACAACAA
rnacentral:lncRNA from 1 species